CGAAACCCUGGCCGGAAAUGAUACGAGAAUGACAAUUGUUCAUCCAAAACCACAAGGCAGUUUUGAACGAAAUAACGUUAUCUCUGGCUACAAGUUCAGGUUGACUUAGUCCAUUGAACCCAAUGCUUUGUCCUGCUGGUCCAUAGUUGUAGUUCCAUGAUAUUUGUAGUGGACCGCGGCCGUAAUACCCCUUGCCUGGCACACAUGGAUACUGAGUGUUGCUCUUGUCACAGUAGUUUCUGGACGGGCCGUUUAUCUCUUCUAUAUAGCACAGAUCUGCAUGAUAUAGAGAAGUCGUAUUAGUUACCAUUCUGUCGAAUUGAUAAAAAGAAAAAAUGGAUGUCAGGUAAGACAAGGAUUGUCGGAUGAUAUGAUAAUGAAAAGUGUAGAAAACAAAUUUUAUGAGUUCUAAUAACAAUUAAUUGCAAAAUUAUAGAAUUGAAAGGAUUUAAGAAUCACAAACAAAUAUAUUUAUGUGGACGAAAAGAGAAUAAAUAACUUAACUCAAAACGUCAUUAACAUUUUAAACAAAGAAGAAAGUCUUACCACAAUAAAAAUUUAAUAAAUUUUCUAUAGACUAUUUUAGGCUCUCCUAAAUUUUUAGAAAAUACUCCACCUAAUACUCUAUUGAUAAUUUAUCAGAAUCGUUGAAUAAGAAACAACACGAUUAAUUAUGAAAUAAAACUCCAAUUACUAAAUAAUAAAAUUACUAGAACUUGGCUUCAAUAAAACUAAUGAUAAUUAAAUAGAAAAUUUUUGAAGCUUGGUUUAUUUUGCCAAAAAAAGAAAAAGAAAAGAAGAGCCAUCAAUAUUUUUGAAUGGACCACAAGUGAUUUAAAAUUUACAAAGUUGUAAGUACUGAUUUAAAAUUUACAAAGUUGUAAGUAAUCACAUGCUUACUAAAUUAUAAAGUUGACUACUACAACAAAGUAAAAUGAACGGAAAGUAAUAAUUUCUCUAUCCAAUUAUAAGUGGCACCCAUAUUCAUGAUAAAUUAUUACAAUAAUAAGUAUUUCUUGUCAAAGUUUUAGUUUUUGAAGAAAGUUCUUGGAUAAUAUUGCAAAGAAAAAUAGUCAAAACUUGGUAGAUCCGGUUUUCAAAAAUCCAAUAGACCAAAGUGUGCUAUACUAUCUUACCAAGUGGUUUGACACUAUUUGGACUAUUGAAUUUUUGAAAAUGGACUUACCCAAGUGUGAGUCCAGAAAAAUAAUCUAUAUAUUACUGUACCAACAUUUAGAAAAGUUACUAAAAAUAUUUUAUAGAAAGUUCCAAAGUAAUUCUCUUUGGUAGAGUUGUUGAAAACACUUACGUCCAGUCUCAUGAGUGACAUGAGCAAAGAAAGCAGCAACCUCCCUUUUAGAAUCAUCAGCAGAACCAGAAGUUCCAAACUUAGAAUACGACUUCUGAGCUUCAAGAAAUGCCGAUCGAGUAUAGAACCCUUUUCCAGCACAACCCGAAGCAGCUUGAUUAGCAAUCCCAUUAAAGAAAGCGUCUGUGACAAUACCAGCAACUGAAGCACCAUUAUUACCACCGCUGGGUGCAGAAGUGCAAGGGCCGGAUUGGCAGCCGGGGCCACAGUAGUCGUUGCUGUUGCCGCAAUAGCCGAAUUUGCUGCAGCAUAAGUUUGGUGCACAGCCACAGUUUUGACUUGAAAUCAGCUGUGGGAAGGCUCCGACAAGAACCAUAAUGGAGAAAAUGAUGGUUGGAAAAUUCUUCAUUUUUGUGCUUGAAGGAAGAGAAAUGGAUGUGGGCAGAAGCUGUUUGAGAAAAAAGGGUACAUAUAGGGAGGAGAACUGGAAAAUGGAUCAGCUUGUGUGAAGAAGGGAGAGCUGUUAUUGUUGAAAAAAUUUAAGUUGAGUAAUGAAUGAAAACAGAAAUCACGUUUGACUUUAAUUCGUGCAUUGACUUUGACAGUGUCAAUAAGUGGGAAUUUUUGUUCUUGGUUUCUAGAAUGGUAUUUGUGAAAGAUUGAUUUUGAUCAAUUGAUAUAAAUAAUUUUGGAAUUGAAUAAUGUAGACUCACAAGUCACAACUAUUGUGUGUAUUUUUAUGACUUGAAGUUGUCUACAGCAUUUAAUUUAGUGCUCAUUAAUACAUUAACUUGCCUAACUAUGUUUUAGUCAUACUUCACACUUGCAUUUGAGUUUAAGCACUCAACAAUAUGAGACAUAUCAAUUUGUCAGUUACAAUUCAUGAAAUAAAAUAGUGUAGAACCUGUAUUAGAAUAAUUUUAGGUUAAAUGGUAAAGAAAAGAAACACUUUCACAUAGCAAUAUAAGUGGUAGUCAGUUUUGGAAAAGCUAAGAAAGGAUUAAAGCCCUGUUUGAUAACCUAAUUCAACACUUAAAUUUAAUGAAUUCAAAUUUUAAUAUAUUCACAUCGUUUGAUAACCAAAGAUUGAACAUCUGAAUUAAUUAAUUGUCACUGAUUUUUCUAGGUAAAACUUAUUCCCAAAAUUAAGUGAUAAGUUAUUCACUUAUCACUAAAUGUGAUAUGCAUUCAAAUAUAUUAGAUUUAAUACUUAACAACUCAAUAAUUUAACGAAUUCAAAUUUCAAUUUUCAAAUUUUAGACUUCAAUUUUCACGCUUAACUUUUGUCAAACGCAUCCUAAUCAGGCCACUUGCAUAUCAUGAAUGACAAAACUAUGUGGCUUUUGCUAGUACACGUUACGAUAGAAUUCCACUUCACGUGUUUGUUGGGGAUACUGGCAUGUCCAUUUGCAUCAUGUCCCAUUUCAUAACAAAAUAUUAUAUUCUAAAUAUAUAUGAAAUAUUUAAUUUCUAUAUGUUAAUUUUUUAAUACAAUAAUAUAAUGUACUUGUAAAUCAAAUAGUAUCAAGUAAAAUAACUACAUAAAACCAGAUAAAAAUAUAACUGCAGUGCCCCUGUUAGAUUGAAUCUUUAACAAAUUGAAUGCUUUGAACUUUUUUCAUUCAGGAUUUUAGUGCUAUAAUUUAUAAACAGUAUUUCCAAAAAAGAAUUGUUAGUGAAGGUAUCAAAUUGGUGCCCCUAGUAAGUAAUUGUGUUCAGAAAACAACUAGAGUCAAAAGUCAAAUUUUCGUUUCUUUCCUGUUCUUGUCUAAAGACAAUUCUGCAGACAAAGAAGUUGGAAAAAAAAAUAUGCUCACAAUUUGGCAGGGCAAACCUCCUUGCCUAAAAAUUAAGAUAAGAAAAAAAAUCAGUUCAUUUUCUCCUCAUGUUCACUAUUAUCUUAUUAAAUUAAAGGAAACCACGCUUAUAAAUUAUAAUCACUUGCAUCAAAAUCCAACGGCAAUUUUCUCCAUUUUUUGGAAAGAAGAGGAAGGGGGAAAAAGGAAGAAGCUUCCGUAGAAAAGGAAAGAAUUGAGAAAUGUGAUAGGUACUCUGUCUCCCUCUCGGCAAGUGCGGCUUAAGCCAAGCACAGCUCACAGAAGUCCAUUGUUGAAUUAGUCUCCCUGAAAAUUUCUAGCCAUAAAAAUUUUAACUUUUCCUUUUAGUAUAAAUGGAAGAUCUCGAAGUGGGGACCUCUUAUUUACAUUUUCUCUCCUCAUAUCAUUCAACUCAUUUUUUCCCCGAAUUUCAACUUGCUACUCCAUAACUUAGCUUCAUGGAUCUAUAUUUAUGUUCUCAGAAAUGUGAUGUCAUACUUCUAGAUACAUUCAAAAGCGAUGAAUAGUCGAUCAUUUGGACAAUUGUAGUUUAAAGAACUAAGAAUUAGUGCAAAUAUCUAGUUCAUUGAAAACGUAUGGCCCUUAAUUUUUGUAUUUUGACGAUAUACAAGUCUGAAAUUCUAGAAAACAAAGAAAACUGCCAUCCUUGAACAAUUCUUUAGAGAUUUUUUGUUCUUUUUAUUUUUUGAGCAAAUGAAACAUCUUCCCGUUUAUCAUUGGAACAUAAGCUUUACAAAGGAGCAAAACCUCUUACUACAACAAAAAAUCUGGAGCGAGCUAUACCCAUUAUACAAUACUAUGCAUGUGAAAACAAACAAAACAGACAGAAUUCAACCAAGAUCAAUCUAGCAAACGUCCGUGAUCUAUCCCCCAUUCUAACAACAACUCCCAAUUUUCCUUACUACCAGGAGCUUUAGCCCAUAAGAGACAAGUCAAGUUGAACAAUUUUAACCACUGCCGAUUUAAUAAAAUUUGGAGUGAAACCCUCCAACGUGUACAGGGUUUGUCUUUCCAAAAAAACAAAAAACAAAAAACAAAACCGCUGCUGCAACUACUUCCAUUAUCAGUAUUCUGUAUACGAAAAUCAACAUUUAGUCUUUCCCAAAUUUAGUAUAUUUUAGUGCAUAAUUGAAAAAAAUUCUCUUGGCACAAGUGGAAAAUUAUAGAUUUGAAAUCAAUUACAAAUUUUCCUAGAAAAUAGAUGCCCAGUGAUCAACUAUGGCGCUUCGUAGUUCAGCUUUUCCAGUCUCAUACGUAGAAGUUGGUCCUAAUAGUGCAUUAAUAUUUCAUAGUUAAUCAGAAUUUUCUAUGACAAAAAAAAGAAGAAGAUUCAUGAAGAAAAAUAAUCUAUUGGCUGUAAUUUAUUUCGAUUUAGACAUCAAUAUUGCAAUGGCAAAAGGACUUUGUAGAUGAACCUAGUUGAUGUAAUGAAUUUAUGAUGAUUUAAUUAACUAAAAAGGCAAUCAAUUCGGUCUACUAAAUGUCAUACUCAAGAGGUCAUCAUCUUUGUCAAAGGGUCUAUACAUUCCAUACAUUAGUAGUAACAUUUAGUGGAUUUGUUACUAUUGCUGACCAUGUUAGCCACUGAUUUCUAUUAAAUCAUGUCUUUAGCUUCUUAUAAGCUUCUCUAUACCCUACCUAAUCUCAUACCAUUUUACUUUCUUUUGGAUUAUGUGGAAUGCCUACUUGACUGCCGGAUGCAAUGUCUAUAUUUUAAUGAUUCCAGUACAUUUUCAAAAUCUUCAAUUGGCUUUUAAAGUAUCGAAGUUCAGUUCACUAAUUGGCCAUAAAGACAGAUCAAUAGCAAAGUUGAAAUAUGCCACUUAUCCUGAGACUUUGUAGAAAGUUUGGAAUGUUAAUGUUAUGCGAAGUGCAAUCGUUCUCCUUCAUUCACCUUUUGAUAUUACUUUACGGGCCAAAUAUAAGAAUGAGAUUUCUUGGGCUGGCCACGUCUUCUUCUUCUUCGGUUUUUUUUUCCAUUCUUCUUAUAGAUCUUUCAGGCGAAUAAGCAUUCUUUGGGCAAAUAAUGUAGUAUAUUUGGACAUUGGGAUAAUUUAACAAAUCUCCUUUGAGUUUUAUAACAAAUUCAUCAUAGUUCCCCCUCAAAUUAUUACAUUACACUUAUGUCUAUUAGCUAUUGAUUUCCAAGGUAAAUGCUGAAUUUUACCUCUACGUUUACCAUUGACACUUUCUAUACAAAGCGAUACAAAUUAUGUAUAAGAGAUUUGUGAAAGUGUUAUACUUCCGAGCUGUAACUCAUAAACAAAGGCAUUCGUAAAACCCUUUUGAUUCAAAUAUAUAGAUUUUUUUUUAUCCAACGCCAAAAUUAUAUUGCCCAAUAAAAAUAAAAAGAAAACCUUUUUUUUUUGGUUAAACCAAACUAUUAUUAAUGCAGCCCCAAAAAAGUACAAAGUUCGGGACCAACCCUUCCCCAGGAGUACAAGCUCACACACCCUGCGACACCUCUAAUUAAUCCCUACUGCCGGCAUCUACGAAAAUUUGGAUACCCCCACGCAUCUAAUAUAUAGAUAUACUCACCUAUACACUUAACAAUUUAAUGUAUGCUAAAGUGAGUAGAAUAGGGUUUUGAAAAAGUACUCAAAAGUAUGCUACUUCCAUCAUUACCUUCUAGCACGCAUUGUGCAAACUCUUUUCAACUAGAAAAAAGGGAACGGAGAGGAGAUACAAAAAAGGGUUACAAAUUCUUUAAAAUAUAGCAAGGGUAAGCAUGCAAGUAACAUGUAACAUGAAACAUGUAACAUGAAACAAAUAUGUUAAGGAAACCUUAAAACAAGAGAGGUGACAAGUUGUCGAAGCCUGUACAAUAAUAAACUUAAACCUAAUUGCCAGUUAAAGUAACCAAAAACCAAUUUCAAGUACUGGAGCAGGGACUCUAGGUAUGCAAUGGGUUAUUUGAUUCACCCUACUCCCGAAGAAAUUGUUUGAUCCGAUAUACCCGAAUGGGAUGGUUUUUUCACAAAUAAUUAUGAAUUUGUAGACAGGGCAAGUAGGAUCGUAUCCUCAGGGACUGGGUAUAUUUGUCUCUUAAGAAAUCCAAAGUAACACAGGGGGUGAUUUUGUAGGAACGACGACAAUCAAAGAAAUUCAAAUAAGAAAAUAAAAAUAAAUAACUAACUAGAAAUUAAAUGACAAUUCACUAAACUUAGAGUAAUAAUAAUUAAAGGUCUAAAACAAUUAAAACAAGAAAACAAUUAAAAAUAAAAUAAAAUAGGCAACUAAAAAUCAAAUGGCAAUUCACUAAAAUCAAGAUAAUGAUAAUUAAAGAUCUAGCCAAGAAAUAACUUCAACAAUGGUUCACCUAAUUGAUCAUCGAUUCACAAGCAAUUCCAAUUAUUUAUUAAUAAAUAGGUUAAAACUGCCAAACAGGUGAUGACGGUCAACCCCUCCUUAGUGUGUCGGUGACUAAGGUAUGCCCGUUAAUCAUUACUCUAAUUGAGAAAUAAUCAUAGGUAUGCCUGUAAGAUGUAAUUCCCCAAUUACCUUACGUAUUAUAGGAGCCCUAUUCUAACCAAAUAACGCACUACCAAGGUUAUUUCAGAUUAGCCAGCGUAUCCCCCUGACACGAAUCUAAUCGUGCAAGUGUCACUAUUUCAAGGCAAUUAAACAAUUACGGAUUUAAAUGUCCCAAUUGACAAUAAAUUACUAAAUUAACUAGUUAUCCGGAUCCAAGACAAUCAAUUAAUUAAAUAAUCAUAAAUACUGUAAUCAAGGGAUAUGCGAAUACCAAUAAAUAAAAGAAAAAGAUAAAAUUAAAUCGAUAUUACAAUUUUAGUCAAACCAAAACCUCCGUUGUUCCUUGACUAGAACGGAGAAAUUAGUUCAUGUUUGAUGCGAAAAAAUCCACACAAAAUUGUAAAGAAAGCAGCGGCCAUUGUCCUUUGAGAUUGGAGAAAUUCAAUUCGAUCGAAUCAGGAAGGCAAGCGAGAUACAGGAAAUUAUCAAUUGGGUUUCACUUGUCUCGUACAUACGAAGAGGAAAUCCACUAAUAAGCUAACAAGGAAAAGUCAAACAGAGGAGCUGAAGAGAAUGAUUCAAUCUUCUUCUCAUGGCCUCUGGCCUACAAUAAUUAAAACCUAUGUUUUCAGAACCGGACCGGAUAGCGACUCGGCCGAGGUCAGGGGUCAGGGGUCAAUGGAUUCGACCGGGGGUCGAUAGGGGUCGAACCGGAUGACGUCAUAAAUAAAAAUUAUUUUAAAAUUAAAAUGUUAUAUAUAUAAUAUCUAAUAAUAUAUUGAUAUUAAUAAAGGCAUAUUCAUAUAUAUUUGAUGUUUCAAAUAUAUUUAACAAGAAAAUACAAAGAAAUUAGAACAAUCAAGUAGCAAUUUAUAUUAUUUAAUAAAUAUUAACAAGUUUAGAAUUAAAAUUAUGAAUUUAAUUGAAAAAUAACAUCAAAUUUUAGGACAAUAUUUAUAAAGUAUCAAAUAUUUGAGGUAUAUCAAUAAGUUUUAACAAUUUAGGGGGUCAAAACAUAAUAUUAAAAAGUUUGAAUUUUUUUUUUAAAAAAAUACUGUUGAACCGGAAAAACCGGUUUUUUCCCGGUCAAACCCGGUCAAACCCGGUUUUUGACCGGCUUUGACCGGAUUUUAAAUUUCCGGUUUUCUAAUGUGACUCGGACCGGCUACCUGGCCGGUUCCCGGUUCAACCGGUUCGACCGGCCGGUCCGGUCCGAGUUUGAAAACAGAGAUUAAAACUAAGCAAAAAAGCUCACAAACAAAAAGUCAAAGAGCAAAAGCUCUCCAAAAAGAUAGUGUCCUCCUCCUGCAAUUCUCAUUCCUUCUUUUUUUUUUAAGUAGCCUAUGCUACUGUGCGGCGGCUCCAGAGUGUCCCAGGCCUGCGUCCGCUGCCCUCUUCCGCAAAUUACCAAAGUGGGCACCAAUUUUCCUUUGCCAACAAUACCCCUCAAAUAAGCUCUUUGGCUUGGACCCCUUUUCUGUCAAAUUGGCAUCUCUUAUUAUAUUUUCGUUCUACUCCCUGAAAUAUAUGUCCAAUACUAAAACUGAGUAGAAUUCAGCAAUUAAUCCACAUCGAGUCAGGUAAUAGGAAAAAUUAAUAAUAGAAUAAAUGAUAAAAUUAUACCCUAUCAAGAGGUAACAGUAAGUUUGAAAACUUUGGUGCAGCUAAAUGAAGUCAAAAACCUACAACAAGGUUGAUGGAAUUAUCCCUUGUAAACUCUAUGUGUCCUUCACCAAGUAAAAAAUACUGUUCAAAAUUCUUAUUUCUAUCGGAACCAUUUCGAAGAACUCCAAUUCGGAUGUCAAUACUAAAAGAAAUUUUCCCUAUGGUACGACUGAUUUUGAAAUUCACUAAUUAUUUGUAUAAUUGUAUCAUAUAUGUGCUUUUAUGUAUUGUGUAAUGAUUCACAUCAAAUUCAUGAGAAAUUUCGCAUCCCUCUCAUAAAAGUUAGCAAAUGCAUUGUAUAUAGGAAGCUGAAAACCAAACAAGACUUUAUUAUUAGGUUAUCAGUAUUAUUGGUCGUAUCCAAGUGUCAUCAUGUUUUGUUUAUUCAAGUGUCAUAAUGUUAUUGAUAGUAUAAUUGGGUUGCAUGAUUAUGGUUGAAAGUGUAGAAUAUGCGAUUAAACUCCGUGUUAGGAGUACUGGUUUUGCUGUGGGUUUUUUCGUUUUCUUUGUCACCUGCAUGGGGGCUUUAGAGCAUAAGCCUUUGUUUUGUUUCGAAACAUCACUGCCAAAAUUGCCAAUAGCAUAUCGAAACAUGAACACAAAAUGAAAGAUGUGAGGAAACUUUAAUGAAGAUAUGCCUUGAGAUUUAAACACCAAAGACAAAAGCUCGAAAAAUAUGAUCAAGGGAUCAAAAUAAGAACAUGCGUGUUGGUAAAACACUCCAACAAGUUAAGUCGAACCAAGAUCAACAUAAUCAAUCAUUUGAUUUCAAGAGUCAUAACUUUUGCUUGUAAAGAACAAAUAAAGUUAAACAAUUUAUUGCUUUUUCCCCCCAAUCAGCUGUGUACCUCAACAUUAUUUCACGUCAAAAACUUGUUUUUCCUCGGAUUAAAUACCCUAGCAUCUGAGGUUAUCACCAGUCUCGACACCCAAUUGUCUACAAUAUUCAGUAUAAUACUCAACUCGAGCACUAACUGUGUUUGGAUUUGCACCAUCACAUUCAAGCCGACCAUUAAUGGCACGAAUUGUAGCCCCAAAACCCUGGCCAGAAGUGAUAAGAUCAUGACAAUGGUUCAUCCAAUACCACAAGCCAGUUUUGAAUGAAAUAACAUUAUUUGUAGCUACAGUUUCAGGUUGGCUGAGUCCAUUGAAUCCAAUGCUUUCACCUGCUGGUCCAUAGUUAGAGUUCCAUGAUAACUGUAUUGGACCCCUGCCGUAAUAUCCCUUGCCUGGCACACAUGGAUACUGAGUGUUGCUCUCAUCACAGUAAUCUCUGGAGGGGCCGUCUAUCUCUUCUAUGUAGCACAAAUCUGCGCAAUAUAAAGAAAUUUUGUCACUCAAUUGAAAUGAUUGAUAAAGGGUUAGAAUCAAAGAAAAUCAGCAGGUCUGGAAUUUUUUCUAAAUUUUUAGAUUUGAUUGUUUUACUGAUGAAUUCAAUUGGUGAGAAAAACUUUAUCCCAUUUUGUAAAAAUUGGAUUGGACAGACUUAAAGUAAACACUCUUUUUAUGAGGUAAAAUUUUAGAAUGAUUUAACAUUAUAGGGUUAUACGAUAGAUAAAUAAAAAUUGGCAAUAGCAAGAUUAAGAAGGGACCAACAGUGAUAUAAAAAUUACAAAGGUAUCAUGGACGUCUAAAAUAUAUUUGGCUAAUAAAUUUGAACUAAUUUACGGCCAAAUUUAGGUGAAAUAGUUAAUUCUACUUGGUAAAUUGGAAGUUCGGAAACGUGUAUCUGUCAGUUGUCAUACUCAUGAGCGAGCCAAUCUUAACUUAAAAAAGAAAAAGAAAAAAAGAAAAAGAAAAAAGGAAUCCAAAAGAUAAAAGUAGAAAAGGCAUGAAUUUUAAAACGUAAUCGUAAUACCUUGUACCCGAAACAAAUAUGUGCAAUACUUAUUAAGCUAAGCAAAGCCACAUGAUCUACUCUUAGAUGCAGCAAAAUAUACAACCACCUUAAGCUUGGAAUGUAAAGGCAGAAAAACUUGCUUAUGUAGAUAUAAAAGUGACCACUACAAGAAAAGUAAAAAGAAUAUGGAGAUACUAAUCCUUCUGUUCAUCAUGAUAAAUUAUUUAACAGUAAUAAAUCUUUCAUAUUCAAGUUUUAUUUUUUGAAGAAAAAAUUCUUGGAUAAUAGUGCACAGGAGAUUCCAAGAUAUACUAUCUAGAAAUUCACAGGAGCUACUAAAAAAGUAGAAAAUAUCUUCAAAAUUUAAUUUCCAAGCUAGUGUUAUUCAAAACUUACGUCGAGUCUCAUGAGUGACAUGAGCAAAGAAAGCAGCAAUCUCCCUUUUAGAAUCAUCAACAGAACCAACGGUUCCAAACUGGGGAUACGAAUUCAGAGCUUCAAGAAAAGCUGAUCGAGUAUAGAACCCUUUUCCAGCACAGCUUGAAGCAGCUUGAUCAGCAAUCCCAUUAAAGAAAGCGUCCGUCACAAUAUCAGCAACUGAAACGCCACUAUUACCACUGCUCGGAGCAGCAGUGCAAGGGCCGGAUUGACAGCCAGAGCCACAGUAGUCGUUGCCGGUACCGCAAUAGCCGAAUUUGCUGCAGCACAAGUCUGGUGCACAGCCGCAGUUUUGGCUUGAAAUCAGCUGUGGAAAGGCUCCUGCAAGAACUACAAUGGAGAAAAUGAUGGUUGGAAAACUCUUCAUUUUUGGAUUUGAUAAAGGAGAGAAGCUUGUGGGCAGAAGUUGUAUCAGAAAAAAGGGUAUAUAUAGGGAAGAGAACUGAAAGCUGAUCAGCUUGUGUGAAGCAUGCACAGCUGUUAUUGUUGAAAAUAUUGAAUUUGAGCAAUUAAAGAAAACAGAACAGAAGACGAAAGCGUGAAUGGUUGACUUCGAUCGAGUGUAUUGACUUUGACAUUGUCAAUGAAGCGGAAACUUUCUUUCUUGGCUUCUAGAAUGGGAAAGGUCAAAAAGAAAGAUUUUGGCCAAUUCGUAUGAACAAUUGUGAGAAUAAGGCAUGUAGACUCACAAGUCCCCACUAUAAUGUGUGCAAAAAUAUAAUUUGAAGUUGCCUAAAUCAUUUAAUUUCAUGCUUGUUAUUGAGUUUAUUUGCCUAACUGUGUUUUAGUAAAACUUCAAAAUUGUGUUUGAAUUAGAACAGAAAAAUACGAGACAUACUUAUUUAUUUAAUUGCAAUUCCAGAAAUAAAAUCGUAUACAACAUGUAUUAGAAUAAUUUAUAGGGUAAAUGAUAAAGAAAAGAAAUACUUCUACAAAUUGACGUAAGUGGUCAUCAGCAUUUCGAGAAGUUCAGAAAGAAUCAAGUGGCCGAUAUAAUAUAUAUAUAUAUAUAUAUAUGUGUGUGUGUGUGGCUUUUGUUAUGACUAUAUGUAUGUUUCAUUUGACAUGUUUGUUGGACGCGUUGAAUUGUUAGCAAUGAAAUGCUCCAAAAUGUUUUCAUGCAAGAUUUCAGCACUAUAGUUUAUAAGCAGUAUUAGGUCAUAGUGAAUUAUCGACAAAUCGUCACAUGCAGAGUCGUGAAAAUAUGCAAGUCUUUCCCUAUCAUUAAUUAGUUGGUUAAAUGACAAUUUCUAGAAUGGCUGACCAUGUCAAGAAACAUCUCGCAGUAAAUUGCGCGAGUUAAUAUGGUCCUCUCGUUUUACACAGGAUGUACUUUUCUUUUUCUAAAUAUUUCCCCUUAAACUCUCAAAUUGAUCAUAGUGUUAACUAAUUUUGCUCUGGUUUUAUUCUUGGUUCGCAAAAUUCAGAAAAACCAAAACCAACCCUUGUUACUGAAGAUAUCAAAAUGGUACCCCAACUAAGUAAUUGAUUUCGAAAAACACUCUGAACCAAAUUUCAAGUUUUGGUUUCUUUGCUCUUUUUCUACUGAAAGGCAACUUCCCCGGGCCAAGAACUUGAUACAAAUAGUAUGAUGCUUAAGUUUUCUAUGCUCUUAUGAACAAGUCAAACUAUGCUUAUAAACAAUUACAUCAAAAAUUACGGGCAAUUUCGGCAUUAUUUGGGAGGAGGAGGAAUAUUAAGCAAAACAAAAAAAGUUCUUUUAAGAAAACGAUGAAGCAUAUUAUUUUCCAGGAAUAAAAAAGAAAGAGCAGAAAAAUACAUUAGUUUGGAUGACAUUAGAACAUUUAGCAACAGGAUUAGGGAUGCAAUGGGAAGAGUGCCAACUGGGAAUCAACAGGAUGGGAAAAAAUGCAGGGCGGGGUAGGGGGAUUGGAGAAUUUUUCUCCCCCAACUUUAAAUGGAUGCCCCCAUCCCAUCCCCUAAACCCCUUGUUGCUAUUCCUAAACAGGAUGUUACUUAUAUCCUCUCUCUAUGAGCAUGUGUGCAUAGUGACGAAUGCAGGAUUUUGAUUUUGGCGGGGGGAGCGUGGGGCAAACUGACAAUCAAGAAACAAAAAAAAAAAAAAAACAAAAAAAAAAAAAAAACCAUAGUAAAUAAAGCACACAAACUUAAAAUGAAAGUUUAAUAUACGAUAACUAACAAAUAAAAAUUUUUAUUAAUAAAAGACACCAUAUAAAUAAAACACCAAAUUAGACUCUCUACACUUUAUUUCCUCUCAAUGCGAAGCAUACAAGACGAAGAAGUUUCCUUAGAAUGAAAGGCCUCUUCUCUAUGGGAGAAUCAUUUUCACUUCAAAAAGAAUCAAUUAUUUUGGAGGCGUUCUUAUUUUGUUUGUUUUAUGACCUGAAAUAUUUCAUAAUUUGACUAUAAAAGGUAAAAUUAACUCAUGGGCCAAAAUCAUACAAAAUUUAACUAAAUUCUAUAAAUCACAUUAAGGCUAUGCAAAAUUAAGAUUAAGGUUCUAAGAUAAAAAUUAGCAUAAGACUAAUUGAUAAAUUAAUAACCAUUGGGAAAUUCUAAAUGACAAAACUAAAAUAAAUAUAAGUUCCACUUCCUCAAAUCUCCAAAUUCUACCGAUUUCAUCCUUGAAAAUCACCACAAAUCACUCCUAAACAUCUUGUGAGUAACAUACAAGCAUCAAACAUCAUCAAAAACAACAACUUUGGUAGAUUUAACUCAAGACUCUUAGGGUUCUAGAUCUUCACUUCUUUCAAUUUGGAGUUAAUUUGAGCUAAACUAUCUGCUCUAGUAAAUCAUCUCUUUCUCAUCCAUGGCAGCCCUUCAGCCGUCGGCUGAGGGGCAAGCAUUUUCUCCUACAACAAAAAAAUCUUUCUCUCAGCUCUUCUCACAGCCGGCAACAUCUCCAAUUCAACUUCGACAGGCGUCUGUUUAUAAGGGUGAAGCUGCGGUUGUUUUUUCCAGAGUAGAUGUGGACAGACUUGCGGCGCCAUUCAGAUGGACUUUGGUUGGCAAAUUCUCUCACGGACGACCUUCUUUGGAAGAUAUUCGAAAGUUUUUUGCGUCUUUGAACUUGAAAGAUCAAGUUUCCAUUGGAUUGUUGGAUUAUAGGCAUGUCCUUAUUAAAUGCUCAGCUGAAGUAGACUUUAACAGAGUUUGGUCGAGAGGAACUUGGCAAUUGGGCAAAUAUCCAAUGCGUGUGUUUCGAUGGACCAGGGAAUUUCAUGUGCAUAAAGAAUCAUCUCUAGUACCGGUUUGGGUAAAUCUUCCAGCUCUACCUAUUCAUUAUUUUGAUAAACAUUCUUUGUUUUCAAUUCUGUCUCCAGUAGGAAGACCAUUGUACUUAGAUUCGGCCAUGGCUGCUGGGACUCGUCCUAGUGUAGCCAGGAUAUGUGUAGAGAUAGAUGUAGCAAAAAUUGUUGUGCCAAGGGUGUGGGUUGCUGUUGAAGGUGAAUCAGGUUUCUGGCAACGUAUUGUCACCAUGGUUCGAAGUCUCGGCCGAGACCGAGACGACUCGGCCUGUGCAAUAAUAAAACCUGCUCAAACUAAAAGUAAUUUCUGUAGAUAGCGGUAAGCAGGGUCGAAUCCACAGGGACUGGGAGUAAUUGUUUCUUUUCAAAUUCACAGUGACAAAGGGGGGUGUUUUUGUGUAGAAGGUGACAAUAAAAGAAGUUCAAAUAAAAUCUAAGAAACUACUAAAAAUUAAAUAACAAAUUACUAAAAUCAAAUGAAUGAUAAUUAAGGAUCUAGCCAAGGAAUAACUUCAGCAAUGGUUCACCUAAUUGAUCAUCGAUAAGCAAAGGCAAUUCCAAUUAUUUACUAAUAAAUAGGUUAUAACUGCCAAAUAAGCGAUGACAGUCAACCCCUCCUUACUGUGUCGAUGAUUAAGGUACGCCCGUUAAUCACUGCUCUAAUUGAGAAAUAAUCCUAGGUACGCCCAUAGAAUUUAAUUCCUCAAUUGCCUUACGUAUUAGAGGAGCCCUAUUCUAACCAAAUAACGCACUACCAGGGUUAUUUUAGAUUAGCCCGCGUAUUCCCCUGACACAAACCCAAUCAUGCCAGUUAUCACUAUUUUGAGACAAUUAAACAAUUACGGAUUUAACACCUCAAUUGACAAUAGAUUAUUAAAUUAACUAAUUAUCCGGAUCCAAGACAAUCAAUUAAUUAAACAACCAUAAGCACUGCAAUCAGGGAAUAUGCAAAUACCAAUAAAUAAGAGAAAAAGAUAAAAUUAAAUCGAUCUCACAAGUUUUAGGCAAUCCAAAGCAUCCAUUGUCCCUUGACUAGAGUGAAGAAAUUUAGCUCAUGUUUGAUGAACAAAAUCCGCGAGAAAUUGGAGCGACACUAGCGGCCAUUGGCCUCGUUCGUGAGAAAUCAAUUUAUUCGAUUGAAUAAGGAGAAACCAGCAACCACAAACAAUGAUUCAAUUCCUCGUAAGGCUCCUGACAUGCACAGGAGAACUCCACUAUCAAAAGCUAAAGAGGAAAAGUUCCUACUAGAAGACGAAAAGAUGGAAAAGUCAAACAAAGCUAGGCUAAACUAAACAAUGGAGAAACUAAGAGGGAAGCCAGCUCCCUGCUGUGCGGCGGCUCCCCCAGGGGGAAGAAGACUUUUCCUGCGUUCCUUUUUUCUUCUUUUUAUACUGUCUUCCGUGAAUUACCAAAUAGGACUUGUAUCUCCUUGUUCCAAAAAUACCCUGGAUGCCUGCUACUUGAACUCUUUCCUGAUAACUGUCAAAUCGGCACUUAUUAUGGUAUUUUCGUUCUACUCCCUGAAAUAUAUGUAAAAUACUAAAAGUGAGUAGAAUCUAACAAUUAAUCCAGAUUGGGUCAGGUAAUAGGAGAAAUUAAUAAUAAAAUAAAUCAUAAAAUCGCAACCUAUCAAUUUCCCCCACACCUAAACCAUGCUUGUCCUCAAGCAUGAGAACAGCAAACAAGUACUAAUAUUUGACAAUGGCUAUUGCUCUAUCCAACAAAUUGCCAAGAUACCAAGAAAAAUAUAUAUCAAGCAUGGGUGAUCAAGAUCCAAGAAACAUCACUUCGGUUAGCUUCUAAACCACAAACUCCUCUAAUUUCAGGUUAACUAAUCUAAGAAAAAGGAAUGACGCAUAACAUUUAUCAGCAAAUGGUCCAACUAUUAACCAAAAUCUCAACAUUAAAUCCAUAAUUCGGCAAGCUGACUUUUAUUACACACUAACACAACCUUCACUUUUUUUUCACAUUCUUUUUUUUGUUCUCUCUUUUUUUUUUGAUUCUUUUUUUUCAAUAGUAACAAAAGACUUAGUCGCUAGCCAUUUGAGCCUUUUGACGCGAACUCCAACAUUGGCCAGAUGAAGGAGCCCGGUUACUCAGCUUCUAUCGCCACGUGACCACGUAUUCAUAGCAAUUACUACUUUUUGACGCGAGAAUCGACACUUUUAGGUGCAGAUCCCCGGUUACUCAGUAGUAACUAACAGCGGAGUACAGUCAAGUUUAUUAUAGCUAAAAAUCACAAGAACUCACUAUAACACAAGAACCAAAAGAAAACUUGCAUCAGCUAGCCUCAUUUUCAAACAUGGAGAACUAAAAUUAAUAACCGGACCAAUUCACAUGAAAAUGCCAAUAAUCAUUCCCUAUGCCUAGGAAAGUUAACCAAAAAUUAUAAGAGUAAAACAAUCAUCGAUAUUCACCAAAGAGAUGUUUUUGAAUUCAACCACAUUAACUUGAUACCCUUUUAUUAUUAAAAUUGGCAAUAGUAGAAAUAGAGGCAAUAAUCCAACAUAAAACCUUGGCAUGCACUUACGAGCCAAUCACUAAAAAGAAAAAAAAAAUGAACGAGAGGUGGACAAAUAACAAACUAAAAAUAAAGAACUAGUAUAGCUGUCCCCCCCAUACCUAGAUCCUACAUUGUCCCCAAUGGAGGGAUUAAAGCAAUUAAAACGAAGAGGGCAACGAAACUUCCCUCACGAGUGGCGAAAGGGUAGGCGGGAAUGGUGCACGGAAACUGAUGUGAUAGAAGUACGCGGCCAAGGUCUGAGACAUCUCAACUCAAUUCAACCAGCAAGUGCAGAACUCUGUCACCCAAAAUCUCAACCAAGUCUCCAAUAAUGUGCUAAAUCCAGCAAUAUCAGUUCAGGACUUCAGUAAUAGCAGCGCAGUCACAAGCCCUUGGUAGUCAAUCAGAUCUCUAACCAAAUAGAGUUAACAAGUACUCGCACCCUUACCAUUGGUGCAAAUCGCAAUUCAAAAUCAAUGAGAGUUCUAUAGCAGAGCAGAUCAGUAGUAAAGCAAUAGCCCCAAGUAUUAAUCUAGUCACAAUAAAGAUUCUAAACCUCUAAAGAAGAGCAACAGGCGACUAGAAUUCUAAUGAAUAGAGCAAGUAGAGGAACCGUAGGUGGGAACCCAGUCCACCGAAGUCAAUAAACAAACCCAGGAAACAAAUAAGUCCGCAAAUGAGUCAACACAUUGCACAAAUGAUCAGACCAAAAUCACAGACACUGCUCCUCCAAAUCAGCAAAAACGAAAAUUAACACCCAAAAUCAGUCAAAUUCAAGGAAAACAGAUUUAAACUAUGACACGAAACCAACAAACAACUAAAAGAAACAAUUGGGUUGCCUCCCAAUGAGCGCCUUUCUUUAAUGUUUUUGGCUAGACAUUAUCAUGUUUUGUUCAUGGAGGAUAAAAUCGUGUGGCUCGUCUUAAUGCUUCAUCCUCUAUAUAGUCCUGAUAACCCUCGUAAAUAGAAUAAUCCUUGAGCAUACGAGCUACGGGCUUCCAUGGACUAGUGAAUGGCGCUAAACGAGUCGAUGAUAAUUUGCAUUCUCCAUUCACUCCUCCCUCACUUGCAUUUAUUGGUACAAGAUAUCUUGCCAUCGCCACUCUUAAUUUAUUCCUGUCAUGAAAUUCAAAAUUGUCUGGUAUAAUAAAGUCAAUUUCAUUAACAGGAAUUGAAGAGUAAGAGUCAGGAGAAUAGUGAUGAAGGAGUGGAGGGGAUUUCACCGCAUUUGGAGAUUGUUCACUGGAUUCAUUCACUUGAAUGAGUUGCGGUUGGGGUUCCAUUUCUUCCUUUUUGGCUUCUUUUUCAACUGCAUCUGUAGAUUUCUCAUUUUGACACUCUUGCAACUCCUCAUCACCAGUCAAGCAAAUUGCACUCUCAUUUUCUUCUAGAUCAACAAUGGUUUUCGAGGGCAAUUCUUCUAUUGGAGAAGCCAAUCGAUUCAUUCUGGAUGUCAAUAGACAUAGUUGAUCUGCCAGGUCGCGAAGGCUCGCUUGUGCCUCCUGAUGAAAUCAAUUUGUAUUAGCAAUUAGUAAUUUCAUCAUUUCUUCAAGAGACAUACCUGACACGGAGGAUGAUUGCUGAGACUCUUGCUGUUGAAAAUUCAUUGGCCCCGUCGCAUAAUCAAAAUUGGAAUUAUCCCACCAUUCUUGAUCAUACCCGUUUGAAUAAGGGUCAUACUGCGUUUGAUAUUGGGGUGGAAAAUCUCCAAAAGUAUCAAGUGGAGAACUUAGAUUAUCUUGAAAUACGGGGCAUGUGUCAGUUGAAUAACUUGAGUCAAAAUAAGUUCCACAAUUUGCAACAGCCCAUUGAUCAUUAGGAAAAACAUGAGUCUCAUAACCCCAUUCAGGAACAAAGUCCAGUCUAUCAUCAAAAUAUGGAAUGUUAGCAGCCAUAAAAAAAAUAAAAAAAAAUAAGAGAAAAAUAAAUUUAAAAAAAAUGAAAACAAAAUAAACUCAAAAAGAAAAAAAUUAAUCUGGCACCAGUCCCCGGCAACGGCGCCAAAAAUUGACAGGGUGUCAGCCUGUGCAAUAAUAAAACCUGCUCAAACUAAAAGUAAUUUCUGUAGAUAGCGGUAAGUAGGGUCGAAUCCACAGGGAUUGGGAGUAAUUGUUUCUUUUCAAAUUCACAGUGACAAAGGGGGGGGUUUUUGUGUAGAAGGUGACAAUAAAAGAAGUUCAAAUAAAAUCUAAGAAACGACUAAAAAUUAAAUAACAAAUUACUAAAAUCAAAUUAAUGAUAAUUAAGGAUCUAGCCAAGGAAUAACUUCAGCAAUGGUUCACCUAAUUGAUCAUCGAUAAGCAAAGGCAAUUCCAAUUAUUUACUAAUAAAUAGGUUAUAACUGCCAAAUAAGCGAUGACAGUCAACCCCUCCUUACUGUGUCGAUGAUUAAGGUACGCCCGUUAAUCACUGCUCUAAUUGAGAAAUAAUCCUAGGUACGCCCAUAAAAUUUAAUUUCUCAAUUGCCUUACGUAUUAGAGGAGCCCUAUUCUAACCAAAUAACGCACUACCAGGGUUAUUUUAGAUUAGGCCGCGUAUUCCCCUGACACAAACCCAAUCAUGCCAGUUAUCACUAUUUUGAGACAAUUAAACAAUUACGGAUUUAACACCUCAAUUGACAAUAGAUUAUUAAAUUAACUAAUUAUCCGGAUCCAAGACAAUCAAUUAAUUAAACAACCAUAAGCACUGCAAUCAGGGAAUAUGCAAAUACCAAUAAAUAAGAGAAAAAGAUAAAAUUAAAUCGAUCUCACAAGUUUUAGGCAAUCCAAAGCAUCCAUUGUCCCUUGACUAGAGUGAAGAAAUUUAGCUCAUGUUUGAUGAACAAAAUCCGCGAGAAAUUGGAGCGACACUAGCGGCCAUUGGCCUCGUUCGUGAGAAAUCAAUUUAUUCGAUUGAAUAAGGAGAAACCAGCAACCACAAACAAUGAUUCAAUUCCUCGUAAGGCUCCUGACAUGCACAGGAGAACUCCACUAUCAAAAGCUAAAGAGGAAAAGCUCCUACCAGAAGACGAAAAGAUGGAAAAGUCAAACAAAGCUAGGCUAAACUAAACAAUGGAGAAACUAAGAGGGAAGCCAGCUCCCUGCUGUGCGGCGGCUCCCCCAGGGGGAAGAAGACUUUUCCUGCGUUCCUUUUUUCUUUUUUAUAUACUGUCUUCCGUGAAUUACCAAAUAGGACUUGUAUCUCCUUGUUCCAAAAAUACCCUGGAUGCCUACUACUUGGACUCUUUCCUGAUAACUGUCAAAUCGGCACUUAUUAUGGUAUUUUCGUUCUACUCCCUGAAAUAUAUGUAAAAUACUAAAAGUGAGUAGAAUCUAACAAUUAAUCCAGAUUGGGUCAGGUAAUAGGAGAAAUUAAUAAUAAAAUAAAUGAUAAAAUCGUAACCUAUCAGACUCGUCCUAGUGUAGCCAGGAUAUGUGUAGAGAUAGAUGUAGCAAAAAUUGUUGUGCCAAGGGUGUGGGUUGCUGUUGAAGGUGAAUCAGGUUUCUGGCAACGUAUUGUCACCAUGGUUCGAAGUCUCGGCCGAGACUGAGACGGCUCGGCCGAGUCGUCACCGUCUCGGCCCCUACCGAUACGAUACCGUGACGAAACGAUACCGAAAUACUUGACUCGCCGAGAAAUCGGCCGAGUCGUCACCGCGACGGAUUGACUCAGCCGAGUCACACCGAGUCACUCCGAGUUAUCCCGAGUCACGACGAGAAAUCAACCGAGUCACACCGCGACGGAUUGACUUGGCCGUUUCUUUUGCUAUUUUUUAAUUAUUUUUAUUUAGCAUAAUUUUUUAUAUUAUUAACAAUUUUUAGAAUAUUAAAUACUUUAAAAUUUGCGUCUCACCGAGACCGUGACCGAUAUGCCGAGACCGAUGUGGAACGUUCCGGGCCGCGACCGCGACCGCGACCGUGACUUGGAACCAUGAUUGUCACAGAGAAUAUUCCUCCAUAUUGUUCUUUUUGCUCAAGGCUAGGACAUCAUCAUGAGGAGUGCAAGAAGAAGUUAAAUAAGGAUGAAUCUCGGCUCAAAUUUAAACAAACCAUGAAUACGCAGCAAGAUCUACACUUACAUGGAAAUCAAAUGGUUAAUCAUCAACCUGAGACUAAUCCAGCUGCUAUGGCAAACGAUAUGGUGGCGGAAGUGGUUGCUGAUAUUGCGAAAGAUACAGCUGCGAAUGCGACUGCUGCUACUGGGAGCGAAAAUGCAGUACAUAUUUCUGAUUCUCAUGAAGUACGAACUACUGCUACGGUUCAAAAAAGGAAAAAUAUUUUAGCAGCAAAAGCCACUAUUGCUGGGUCUGCCGUGCAAGUGGAGAAAGGGGAAGUAAAUGUUCUGCAACAUUGUGCUAUUCAUGAUGAUCAUGCGGUUGAAGCAACCCAUAACCAAACCGCUGAUGCUAACGAAAAAACAGAAACAAGUAACAUGAUGAGUUUGACAUUGCAUAGGGGACAAAGAGAAAUGGACUAUCAACUGGACAAUCAACAUGGUCUUCAAAUUGAAGGGUCCCAAUCCUACAUUGCGAAGCCUUUUAACACCGAACCAGCGCAUGUGGACAGUCAUCAAAAUGAAGGGUCCCAUUUCCCCAUUGAAAAGCCUCUUAACACCGAACCAGAGCAUUUGACCGACAAUGGUUUAAACUGUAAAGAUAAUCUGACCCACAACAAUGUGAGGGGUGAACAUCAAUUGCUAGCCGACAAUGUCAAUGCUGAUCAUGAGCUGAUGGCCGACAAUACUGUUUUGGAGAAUCUCUAUGUUGAAUUGCGAGGGGGAAAGGAAUCUACACAACAAGAGGUUUUGGAGCAGUCUGCUGGUGACGUGGAGAAACAGGAGAACCGUGUUGAGGAGGGACUAUUGGAUGGCGGGUUUGCAUCCCUUUCAGAGGGCGAGGCUGACGAUGACGAUAGAUUUUAUGGUGGGAUGACACAGGAGCGCAUGGGCUCCUCUGGGGUUGUAGAUAUUUUUAACCUUGACCCAAUUAUUCAACAGGUUAGUGACAAGCUCUAGCAUGGGGAAGAGUUCCAGUUGGUUAAGUAUGGCAAGAAGAGAGGAAAGCUACCUCAAAUUCCGUCGGAUCGGUCGCUGCGAUCGAAAGCAAAGGCAACCUCGAACUCUUUCUCUGCUGUAACUCAAUGAUUAAGUUCCUUUUCUGGAAUAUCAGGGGUGUGUCCCGUGCCCCAAAUUUUCGUAGAUUGAGAUUUUUAGUUAAUCAUCAUGUGAUUCAAUUGGUUGCUAUCUGUGAACCGAAAGUCCAAGCAGUGGAUAUUCAUUCGAUUAGGAUGCGUCUUCACAUGGAUCAAGCCAUCUGUAAUAGUAGGGGGGAUAUUUGGGUUCUUUAUAAAUCCUCUAUCUUGUGUAGCAUGGUUGGAGAAUCGAGUCAACACAUGUCACUACAACUUAGCUCUUUGUUAUUUGAGAGACCUAUCACCUUCUCAAUUACUCAUGCAAAGUGCACAGACACUGAACGGCUAGAAUUGUGGUCUAGUCUCCUAGUGGACAACCCGGAUCAAUCCCCUUGGUUGAUUGUGGGGGAUUUCAACAUCAUCGUGUCGGCGGAGGAGAAAAGGGGAGGGUUGCCUUUUAGACCAGUAGAGGGUGGGGAUUUUUUAGAUUUUAUGUCUCAGGCAGGGGUUUUUGAUGUGGGGUACUCGGGCUCUUGCUUCACAUGGUGCAAUAACAGGCAUGGACGGGCGCGUAUCUGGAAGCGGUUAGAUAGGUUGCUAAUGAAUCAAGUUGCUUCUAGUUUCGCUCUGGAUUUUAACGUUCGCCAUUUGUCGAGGGAUCCUUCAGAUCAUGCGCCAUUAUUAUUAUCGGCUACGACAAAGCUAGACAACAAGCCGAGGCCAUUCCGAUUCUUAAAUUUUUGGGCAUCUAAGCCUAGGUUUUUGGAUGUGGUUCGAUGCAACUGGAACGUGGCUUUCUCGGGGCCUCCAUUAAUGGUCCUCGCUGCUAAGCUUCGAAGUGUCAAGACGGUGUUACGUGCCUAGUCUCGGGAGGUUUUCGGAGAUAUCUUUGGCUCGGUACGGGUGGCAGAGGACAUGGCCCUCAAUGCUGAGUUGAGCUAUGACACUGAUCCAUCGAAAGACAAGCUUGUAGCAUUACAGGAGGCUCGGGCUCAUCUUCGGAGGUCGCAGGGGGUGGAGCAUAUGUUUUGGCAACAAAAAUCAAGGGUCAAAUGGUUGAAGGAUGGAGAUCGAAAUUCGAGAUAUUUCCAUGCAGUGAUGGCAGAGCGCCACCAACGGUCGGUAAUCCAUCGGAUUAAAUCAUCCGCUGGGGAUUGGCUGGAGUCUGCGGAUGACAUUGAGAGCGAAGCCGAAUCCUUUUUUAAACGGUUAUUUACGGUAGAGUCCCAUAGUGCAUCCUUUAAUGCUCUUGACGUUUACCGAAAUUGCUGACGGACCAGGAUAAUGAGAUGCUAGACGAGAUCCCAUAUAAGGAAGAAGUUAAGUCGGUGAUUUUUGCUAUGGAUGGUGGGAGUGCGGCUGGGCCGGAUGGGUUCUCGGGUAAGUUUUUUGCGUGUGCAUGGGACAUUGUGGCAGAGGAUGUCCACGCGGCUGUGGUAAGUUUCUUCUGUGGAGAGGUGCUGCCUAGGAGUAUAUCUUCCACUUCAAUAGUGCUGAUUCCGAAGGUCCAGUCUCCUCAGGAUUUUACCCAAUUCCGUCCGAUUAGCUUGUGUAACUUUAUCAAUAAGGUGAUAUCCAAGGUCUUGUCGGACAGAUUAGCAAGGAUCUUGCCGAAGAUUAUUUCUCCUCAGCAGAGUGGCUUUGUGAAAGGAAGGCAUAUCUCUGAUAAUUUUCUGUUGGCUCAGGAGCUUAUAUCUGGAAUUCGUCGCUCUAAUAAGGGAGGGAAUGUGGUGUUAAAGUUGGACAUGGCCAAGGCUUACGACCGCGUUUCAUGGGUUUUCUUGUUACAAGUACUGCGUCGAUUUGGUUUCACGGAGAGGUGGAUUGAUAUGAUUUGGCGGUUAAUCUCCAAUGUUUGGUUUUCGGUUCUGGUCAACGGCUCUCCUUGUGGCUUUUCCAAUCAACUCGGGGGCUCCGACAAGGUGACCCCAUUUCACCGGCUCUUUUUGUUAUUGGGGCAGAUUUCAUGUCUAGGUUGCUGAACUCUUUGGUUGGCCAACGUGGAUUCCUGCCGUUUAAGGUUCCUUCCAGAUGUCCUGCCAUUACACAUCUAGCUUUUGCAGAUGACGUAAUUAUUUUUUGUAGCAGGAUUAAGAGUAUUUUGCGGCAUGUUAUGAGGGUAUUGGGGAAGUAUUGUAGUAUGUCUGGGCAGCAGGUAAAUUGUCAGAAGAGUUGCUUUGUUACUCAUGAUAAGUUGAGCCCUGCUCGUCGACGUGUGGUGUCACAAGUUUCUGGUUUUCAGGCCAAGUCCCUCCCACUUAAGUAUCUUGGAUGUACUCUCUAUUUCGGAAGACGGAGAUGUAGCUACUUCUUUGACAUCUGCUCCUCAGUUGCAAAGCGGGUUCUAUCGUGGAAGGAAAAGUUAUUGUCGCCUGGUGGGCGUUUGGUUUUAAUCAGGAGUGUUUUGUCGUCGUUGCCUCUACACAUCCUUGCUGUCACGGUUCCUCCAAAGGGUGUGCUUCAUACCCUUGAGAAGGUUUUUGCAAAUUUCCUUUGGGGAAGGUCUGAGGGGGGUAAUCGCUACCAUUGGAUUAGAUGGGAGACUAUGUGCAAACCGCUUGAUGAAGGGGGGGGUCGGCGUGCGGUCCCUGGCGGAUGUGUUGGAGACAUUUUCAGUGAAGCUAUGGUGGUCCCUCAGGCAAUGUUUAUCCCUCUGGGCAGAAUUUAUGCACGCUAAAUACCUCCAUGGCGGUCAUGCGUGUGAAGCGGAACUUCAGCGCUUUCAAUCUCCCACCUGGAGGAGGCUGGUCAGGUGCCAGGCUCUGGCAGAUUCCCAUAUCCAGUGGGUGUUGCAGAAUGGAAUGGUGGACUUUUGACAUGAGAAUUGGAUGGGUGCAGGGUCGUUGUGUCAACAGGUUGAGAAUUUUGGUGAUCACGCCGUAGCGGACUUCGUGUUGAAUGGGAGCUGGAACAUUUCGAUGCUUCAUCAAUGGCUACCUGAUAGUAUUGUUUCUAGGAUUAUGCAAAUACGCCCUCCUGAUAUUUUUUCUACACGCCCAGAUAGGAUGGUGUGGGACUUGGAGACAACUGGUUCCUUCUCCUUCUCAUCUACAUAUAAUUUGGUCCGACAGGAUUCCAACAUUUCCAUCUUCUCCUCUAAUAUUUGGUUGUCAGCUUUGCCUGUAAAAAUCUCUUUUUUUAUGAUUAGAAUGUUAUCGGGCCGCCUGCCUGUGAUGGAAUCGCUGCAGAGGCGGGGUGUCUGCGGUCCAUCUCGUUGUUCUUGCUGUGUCAACCCAGCGGUGGAGUCAGUUGAUCAUGUCUUUUGUGCUGGAGAUGUCCCACGGUGGGUAUGGAAUUCUUUUCAGGUCGAGGCAGGAGACUUUGUACAUGUCUCAACGGUAAAACAUGCAGUCAUUCAAUGGUGGAUGCGCCCGGCUAAGAACAAGUUGAUGAAAUUGUUGUAUCAGAUAUUGCCUUCGCUUAUUUGUUGGCAUCUUUGGAAGGCUAGGAACGUGGCGGUGUGGGAAGGAAAGGUGUUGUCAGCGAUACAGGUACAUGGCUUCAUUCUUUAGGAUCUCUGUGAUAUUCUUCAGGUGCACUUUAAGGAUAUGGGGGUGGGACGUUAUUCGUGGCAUCGACUACACAUUUCGCUGAUGGGGUGGAAGAAGGAAAUGAGGGUCACAUUAGUCAGGUGCCUGCCUCCGGCUUCUACCCUCCUAAAACUGAACACCGAUGGGUGCUCCUUGGGGAAUCCGGGGAGGAGUGGAGGUGGUGGGAUUUUGUGAGAUAGCGCAGGAAUUUUCAGGCUUGGUUUUACGGGUUAUUGGGGAGAGACGACGAGCCUACAUUCGGAAUUGAAGGCCUUGUUAUUUGGGAUUAAGCUGUGUGUCACGCGAGGCUUUUGUUGCUUGCACCUGGAGUCUGAUUCCAUGCUUUUAGUCCAAAUGGUCACAGGGGUUGGUAGAUGCCCAUGGGCCUUGCAGCGAGAGCUGGACGAGUUGCUUGCCUUUCGGAAUGCUUUUCAUGCUGUCUCCCAUUGUUAUCGCCAAGCGAAUGUGCCAGCAGAUCGGCUUUCUAAGAUUGGGACAGAUACCGGCUCUACUGUUAUCUACAACUCGUUUGUGCAAUUGCCGCGUUUGGUUCGAGGAGACCUUAGGUUGGAUAGGCUUGGCUAUCCUAACUUCCGUGCUUCUUGAGCGCCGGCGUGCUUGUGUUUAGUGAUGUUUCCGUGUACUGGUUCAGGAAAAAGGGGGGAAAGGUGAGUUCUCUUCAACACAGAAAAAUGGACUUUGAAGAGUUCUGUGCAGCUGCAAUAAAUGUGCACCAUCUUGAAGGCAUGGAAAGCUGGGAGCAACUUUUUGGGAACUCAUAAAAAGGACUGGAUACGGCAUUCUGAUGGAAAACUCAGUUUCUUGGGAUUUGUGAGGCUUUUGCAUGGAGUUCCCCAUGAACAUUUCAGAAGGCUUGAAACCACCAACUACUCAGAUUGAUCCCUCAAUGCUUCUCUUAAUCAACAGAUUAGCAGCGUCUCAAAGGAUUACAGAUUUGACUGUUAAUAUAGCACGUAAAAGGCAAGAAGUAUCUGUUAAUUGCAGUCGCAGGGGCGCUUUGAGUGCUGUAGCUGAAAUUUGUCAGUUCAAAGCCAUUUCAGCUUAUUCUCGCAGUAGUAUGCUCCUGCUCAUUGUUUUCCUUGUAUCUCUCCCUCCAGCGUUAAAAUUUUAGAGGAUCUUACAAUUGAUGAUAGAUAUUAAAAUUGUAUUUAGGACUAGAAAAUAGCUUAAAGCUGCAAUAAGUUUUGCGGCUUUAGGUGUGUCCCUUGUGGAGUAAAUUCUUAAAUUGUGAUGAAAAAAAAAAGAUUUGCUUUAUUUUGAGAUACUUUUUAACUUAAGGAAACUAGAGUUAAUUUAUUUUAGGACACUCUUUUUAAGGAGAAAUUAAAAGAAAUUAAUAAUCUAACUAAUGAUAAAUAUGUUUUUUUUUUUGGAGGGGGAUUGAUAAAUUUUUAAUCUGAAACAAAACUCUAUAUUUGUUGUUUUGGGGGAGGGGGGGACUGCCCCCACAAUAGAUCUUUUGUUUCAUUCUCUGUAUUAUUUUCUAUCCCACUUUUUAUUAUAUCAUUAUUUUUUCUUUAUAAACAUCAUAUUUUAUUUUCUUUAUUUAUUUAAGAUCUAAUAACUAUUAACUAAGUAAAAAAUAAAUACAAAAUCUCAAAAAAUAAUAUAUAAUAGAAAAUUAGAAAAUAAAGCAAAAAAAUUAUUAAAAAAAUCUCAUUUUUCAUGCAUUUUGAUUUUUUGAGUUUGUUAAAUUUUGUAUAUUUGACAGGUGCCGAACCUGUGCAAUAAUAAAUAAAACCUAACUACCACCUGAAGCAGUCAAUAAUCAAUUUUAGUACUAGAGCAGGGACUCUAGGUGUGCAAUGGGUUACUUGAUUCACCCUGUUCCCGAAGAGUUUGCUUAAUCCGAUAUACUUGAAUUAAUUAUUUAACUGAAUUCACUAGCUAGUAGACAGUGGUAAGCAUGGUCAUCUCCUCAGGGACUAGCGAGAAAUUUGUUUCUUUUCAAGUAAAGAUUAAAGGGGGGUUUUUGGGAUUCAAUGCCAACUAAACAAAUCAAAUGCAGAAAAUAAUUAAUUAAAAGAAAUAAUUAGAGAAACUCUAGAUAAGAAUACACUUCAGAAAUGGUUCAUGCAACUGAUCAUCGAUUCAAAUAUAAUUCCAACAUUUAUUAAUAGAUUAGUUAUAGUUGUCAUGCACGCGAUAAAUAACCAACCUUUCCUUAAUUUCUCGAUAGUUAAGGUACGACCGUUAGCUAUUUCUCUAACCCAAAAACAACCCUAGGUACGACCAUAGGAUUUAAUUUCUAGAUUGCAUUAAUAAUUAGAAAGGCCCAAUCCUAACAAACAAACACGCUACGAGGGUUUGUUUAAACUAGAUCAUAUGUUCCCCUGACAUAAAUCCAAUUACGCCAGUUGCUGCGGAGAUAGAGAUAACGAGCAAUUACGGAUUCAAUUACUCCUAUUUAGCAAAAUAGCCUAUAUGAAUAAUUAAUUAUUGCGCACUAACCAAUCAUACACAAGGCUAUAGCAAUUAAAAGCAGGGAACAUAUAAAUAUCAAUAAAUGAAGGAAGUAAUUAAAAAUGAUUUAGAUCUCAUAGUAAUUAUUAAACCAAUUCGUCAAUUGUCCCUUGACUAGAAUUAGGGAUUUAGUUCUCCAUAAUUAGAGUACAGGCCAUGCGGCAAAGCUGGAAGAAGCCGUCGAUUCCUUAAUCAAAGCAAACGGAAGAAAUUGGCCCUCGUUCGCUUCGGUCAACCGAAGAAAGAAAAGAAAACAAUUGAUUGUGGUUGCUUUCAAUUGACUUCCAAAGCUAAUCGUACAGAGAGCAUGCACUUUCAAUUUCCUUCGGUCAAAGCAAGAAUGAAAAGCAUUUCCAAAGGUCCACAAUUGCGGCUCCUCUUUGCUUUCUUUCUUUCCUCACAAAACACAACAGACGAGAGAUUAUUUUGCUUGGUUUCUUCAAAUCAAUUCACACAAGAUAGAAAAGCCAAAGUACAAAGUCAACAAUUGCGGCCUUCUUGUCUCUUCCCCCUUACAAAGCCACGGCCAGCCCCCUUCAAAAACAAAAAGAACGAAAAAGAAGAAGAACCUAAGCCAGCGAAAGGUUUAUUUUUCUUCCCCUUUGCCAAGCCGCCCUCCUAGAGUCUAAUACUCCCUACUUUCUGUUUUUGGUCCGGAAUUUAAGGAGGGGAUUUCCCCUUAUCGGAAAUUGGUACUUGAAAAUUAAAACAAGACUCUCUAAAAAUAAAAUAAAAUAAUAUCUAUUAUAAUUUAGUUUCUUCAGCUUCUCCAGCGGACCCACUAUUUGAAGUGGCUCACGUGCGACGAAUCUUCUAAAUUUCAAUUUCAAGCCCUUUUUAGUACCAAUUCCUGCAGUUAGCACCAAAACAAAAUAUCAGUAGUAGAAUCCACCCCAUUAAUGAAAAUAUUUAGUCAAAUAAUUGUACAAUAAUGCCCAAAAUACCCCACUAAAAUGCACCCUAUCAGUAUUACUCAGUUAAUAGUUAUUGGAUCCUAAGGAAAUUAAAAAAAAAACUAAAAUAUGAUAUUUAUGAAGGAAAAAUAACAAUAUAUUAAAAAGUGAGACGGAGAGUAGCAUAAGAUGUGAAACAGAAAAUCCAUUGCAAGCUGCCCUGCCGGCCCUCUCUUAUGUCUGUCAUUGUGUGGCUAGAAACAAGUACCUGUUGCUGAAUUACUCUCUCCCUUCUAAGAAUUUCAAAGUUUUUUUUUCUUGUCAAUCGAUGACUUCUACACUUAUUCUACUCCUACUCCUACUUCUCUACUCCUUUUCUAACCUAUCUAAGGGUUGGUCUAACAGGACCAAAAAUCCUAUUCCUAGUUCUAUUUUCACUCCCAUUCUAACCUAUUUAAGGAAGUGUCUAGCUGGAUCAGGGGGCCUAGAGAGAGUAGUCCCCACCUCUAGACCAACGUUUGGAUUUGGAGGAAACCACAUACUAGUCACAAUUGCUAGAAAAUAAGAUUUGAAUUCUUGAUCUUUUACUCGAAGGCCUUUAUGGUGGCCAACAUCCCAAUAGGACAUUGGUUACAUGACAUCAUACUUCUAGUACAUGAGAAUACAUUAAAAAUCAAUCGCUUUCACAGUUCCACUUCAGACAAUUAAGAAUUACUAUCCAUUAGAUAAAACUCGUUUUAACCUUCAAAUAUCUUAUUGCAAGUAAGCCUUCUAAAAUAUGCUCACGAUUACUAUUUUUUUAGCAUUUUCACUAUAUAUAAGUCUAGAAUUGUAUGAUGAAAAGAAUUUCCAUCCAUCAAUAACUACUUAAGACUUUAUUGAGCCCAAUGACUAGCUUCUGAUAUAUUUUUGAAAGUGUACACUUUACGUCGUUAAACCACCAUUUUCAAGUAAAAUUACAGACCUAUUAAGCAACAGUUAAAAAAUUAUAGAUUGCACAAUACUAAAUUCACAAAAAAAAUGAAAAUUACUAAACGAGGAUAAAUAUUUAGUUGGGAGGUGGAGCUAGAAACAAAAUUCAGUAUGGGUAAACAUACUGUUAAAUUAUACUACUUUCAAUGUAUAAAAAAAGUUACAAUAACAUUUUCAAAUGAAUUUCUUGUGUGUUGGGAGCACAUCAAUGAUGGAGCCAAGGGGGGGCUGAGGGGGAACAUGCCCCCCCCCCAGCCCAUGUUUUGAAAAGUUUAAUUCAUAGUGUGUAAAUAUAUAUAUAAAACAAUGUUGGCCCCCCUUAAUUUUUUACAAUUUUAAUUUAUAUUAUGAGACUUUAUAUAUAUAGCCACCUUUGAAUUAAUUUUCUUCUUCAAAAAAAUUAUUUAUUUUUUACUAAUUACUUAACUUUCAAAAAAUUAAACAUAUAAUUUGAUGAUCCAUAGUAAAUUGAUCCAAUAUGAUAUAUUAUAAUAAAAAGCCCCAAUUCACAAUAUCAAUGGGCUAAAACAAAAAUAAUUAUUUUAUUGGCCCAUAUGCAAAUAUACAACUUAACCCAAUUGAAUGAUUGUCUAACUGUGUUCAUAGAAAAGAAAAUUGCUGAAAAAUUUAGCAUUGAUUCAAUCAUAGAUGAAUUUAGUUCUAUGAAAGAAUGUAAAGUUCAAUUUACUUUUAAGAAAAAAAGGUUGAAAUUUUAAGGUAUAUUAACAUAACUUUUAUCUUGUUUUAAUUGAAAAUAGAUAUAUUUAUACUGCAUAGUUAUAUGCUUUUUUUUUUUUUUUUGCACAUGUGACAUAUUGGAGUAUCUUUUCAUAAUGUGCAUCUUGGGUGGUUUGUAAUGUUAUAAGAUAUUUAAUCCAAUGUUAUUUCUUGUCUUAAUUUUCGUUAUGACUGUAUUGCAUAUUUAUGAAAUAGACAUACACUUAUAAUUAAAGUUAAUAUUGGAUAUUUUUAGAUAUUAUAUAUUUAAAUAGUUGAAAUUUAUUUUGAACAUAACAUGUUAAGAUAAUUUUGUUAGAAAAUUCCCCCCCCCCAGCGAAGAAAAAAAAUCCUAGCUCCAUCACUGGAGCACAGAGAAAGAAGGAAAAGAGGAAUAAACAUAAAGUUGAGUUUUUGUUAGUUAUUUUUUAUUUAUUUGUAAGAGGUGAAAUGAGUUGUUUUUUAUUUUUAAUCUAUUGAAAUGGUGAGGACAAAGUGAUAAACAAAGGAUAAUAUUAGAUACAUAUUUUAUUAGAACAUAGUGGGGAAAAUAUUAUCUAACAACGACGACAUGAAUUGUAUAUAAGUUAUAUGCUUUUGGUGGGUCAGUGGAGGUUAUUGUCCCCGUUGUAUCUUCUCCCAGAAUCAGUAUAUUCUAGUACAUGAUUCUAGUUAUAUGUAAGUGAUUUAUAUUACUAAUUUUUUGUUACAAUUUUUAGAGAAUAGUUGGUUGAUUCUUAAAAAUCGAGCGAAGUCAACAACUAAUGCGCUUCAUAGUUAAUAGAAGUUUCCAAGUAGGGCACCAAGUAAUAUUUUCAUAAUUGAUUAGCUUGGUUUUCAAGUUCAUAUAAAAAGAUAUCCAUGAAGACCUCCCCACCCAAGGGAAGACUGUAAGUUACGAAAACGUUUACUUUACUCUCAACAAAAUGUUGAGUAUACUUUAUUUUACUUUCGACAUCAUGCAAUGAUAAAAUGAUUUUGUAUAGGGACCUAGUUAAUUCAAUAAGCUUUAUGAUGGUUUAAUUGACUAACAGAGGAAUUUACUCAGCCUACUAACUCUGGUACUCAAGUAAUCAUCACCUUUUCAUGUAAUUAAAGAUCCGCACAUUCCAUAUUGAAGUAAAUGAUAAUGGAUUUAUUACUUUGGUUGACCAAGUCAAGCCAAAAACUUUUAUCAAAUCAUGGUUUGAGCGACUUAUAAGUUUCUUGAUAUCCCAACUAACCUCAUAGGAGGGUUACUUUAUUUCUUUUUGGUUACUUUCUAAUGCCUAGUUGCCUGUCGGAUAAAAUAUUGCCUUCACGGAUUGAUUCCAAAACUUGCUCAAAAACAUCUAUUUAUUUUUUAAAAUAUUGCUUAUACUAUAUUUUGAACCAUUCAAUUGCAAAACACAAACAAUUUUUCUUAUGGUGCCUUCUUGUCGUUGAAACUAGGAAGCUAACCAAACAGUUGAAGCAAAGUGAUAAACAAUUAAUAGCAAACUAUAUUGGAUCUUCGAAAGGAAAAUUGAGGCCUCAUCUAUGAAUUUAACAUUUUCCGUUGUGAUGACAUUCGAAAUUGAUUGUGAGAACAUUUUACAAACGCUAAAAGAGUAUCUCAUUUAAUUGUGGAAAGGAAUUUUUUUUGUCAUAUGCAUAGAUAAUGGAAAUGACAAAAUAGCAGCACUGUCCUUGCCAUUAGGAAGCACUCAAAAGUUACGUAUUAAAUGAGAGUUUAACAUACAAGCAAUGAAACACUUUUGUAUUUGCGAUAAUAAUGAUAAAAAUUAAGAUUCUAUAGUCAUUUUCAAGUAUUUUACUUCAGAAUCAUAAUCAAUUCAACGUUGGAUGACAAAAUAAGUAUUCUGAAUUCUUAAAUUAUAAUAAUUUUAAGGGAUAAUUUCAGAAACCUCCCUUGAGGUUUCUUACAAUUGCAAAUACCUCCCUUCAAGUUUAUUAAAUUACACCUACCUCCAUUGCUUUUUUUAUUUAUAUAAAAAUAUAGGCCCAAAAGGCUAUAUUUUUCUCAAAAGUCCUAAACUACCCUUUUGUACAAAAAUAAAACAAAAAUUAUUUUGCCAAUUUCUUUCUUUCAUAUUUUAGCUAAACCCACUAUACUAACAAACUAGUCUAACAAAUAAUGUAAUUCCAAAUUCUAAACCCAAGCAAUUCCAUCAUCAUAGUCAUAAAAUUGUUUCUCCCAAAGCGUGCAUUCAAUUCUGAAGAUUCUUUCCAUUCUUCAAAAAUAUUCUCACCAUAUGGUUCCAUAUGGUCAAAUUUACAAUCAACUGCCCUUAUGUUUGCAUAAUCUUCAACAUAGGAUACCAUGAUUUGGUUCCAUAUAAGUGGCUUAACUUCUACUACAUGAGCCACGUUAUGGCCUUGAAGAAAAUCCUUAGGGGAGAUUUAGGCAUAAAUGGGAUUAAUCAAGUUUAAGAAAAGGAGAGGUAUCAUUGUGACUAUAGAGAUUUUCAAGAAAUUCAUUUUGCCAAAAAUCAAAAUUCUAUAACAUGCCACAGUUUUUCACAGUGGGGAACGUCAUGCAAGUUGUUCUUAUUGCGGAACGUCAUGCAAGUUGUUCUUAUUGCAUGCAAGUGUUUUUUGGAGUAAAUCGAUUUUAGACUGCAUCGUAUGAAAUACAUGGAGAUGAGCUUUUAGAAAUAUUUUCUAUGAAGUGUUCCGCAAUAAUUUUUGUUAAUUAUCUACCGUUGGCUAUUCUAAUAGAUUAGCAUCAAAAUUAUAAAAGUCUACGCUUGAAAUUGAUUGUGUCAUUAAUUAGGCAAAAUUUUGGGUACCCAAAACUUCUAUACAUAUAGAAAACAGUUUAGAACAGUACUAAGAUUCCACUACGUUUUUUUUCUAUAAACUAGAGUGCUUUCUAUCAUUGGUUAUCAGUUUUAACAGCAUUGAUUUGGUUUAGUUACGAUUACACUAUAAUGUCUUAGGGAAACAAUUAUCUGUUCACAAAAAGAUAUUAAAGUGCUACAAUUAACGAACUCUUUAAUAGGCUUUGUUGAUUAAUUCUAGAAUUAGAUGAUUGUAAAAAACAAUUAGACUAUUAACAUCGAACUUUUAUUUUUUUUCUUCUAAGAACAAUAGGAAGGAAUAGCCUUACAUUCUUUGACAAAAAGAAAGAAAGUAAAAAUCCCUAGCUACAUUAUUUGAGUUCUCAAGUACUACUGAUUAUGGAUGGAGAAAGAUUGCUCAAAAUUAUAAAAGUUUUAUCAAAUCAUGGUUUUAGUGACUUACAAGUUUCUUGAUAUCCCAACUAAUCUCAUAGAAGGGUUACUUUAUUUCUUUUUGGUUACUUUCUAAUGCCUAGUUGCCUGUCGUUGAAACUAGGAAGCUAACCAAACAUUUGAAGCAAAGUGAUAAACAAUUAAUAGCAAACUAUAUUGGAUCUUCGAAAGGAAAAUUGAGGCCUCAUCUAUGAAUUUAACAUUUUCCAUUGUGAUGACAUUCGAAAUUGAUUGUGAGAAGAUUUUACAAACGCUAAAAGAGUAUCUCCACUUAAUUGUGGAAAGGAAUUUGAUUUGUCAAAUGCACAGAUAAUGGAAAUGACAAAAUAGCAGCACUAUCCUUGUCAUUAGGAAGCACUCAAAAGUUACGUAUUAAAUGGGAGUCUAACAUACAAGCAAUGAAACACUAUUGUAUUUGAUAAAAAUAAAGAUUCUAUAGUCUUUUUCAAGUAUUAUGGUUCAGAAUCAUAAUCAAUUCAACGUUGGAUGACACAUUAAGUAUUCUGAAUUCUUAAAUUAUAAUAAUGUUAAAUAUUUAAAAUAGAAGCUGAUAUCAUUAUUAAGAAAUACACAUUGAAGGAAUAGUUCUCUAAGCGAUAAAUUUUCCAAAAGUAAAAGAAUGAAUGAUCAAAGUUUUCCAUCUUUGCCGGAUGACUCGUCUGUUUCCAUUUUACUUUCCCAGCGGAUAGCAUUUAAUAGCCUCGUGCCUUGUCUCAUUUUAAUCCUAAAAUAAGUGAUCAUGGGCUUCUUUGAGAGUGGGCUUGGUCUAAAUAUUGAACGCUCAAACUGGGUGUUACAAAGACGAGACUUCUUUUGUUGGAGGCGGCUUUCACUAGAGAGCGUGGGACUGAUUCAGAGUUCUUUUUCUUCUUUUUUUUUUUUUUGUAGGAAAAGGGAGACUGAUUCAGACUUCUUGCUAUCAUAAACCUACCUUGGAGAGGAAUUCGGCGAAGGAGGUGGGUCAACAGAUUAUUGGUUCAAUCAAUGGAUGAGUACUUGAAUUGGUGGAUCACUAAAUAUAUUUAAAUAUUAUGUCUCAUAAUUUUUUCAUAUAGGGUAUCUGGUUUAAACUACAAUGAACUAUACCAAGCAAAUGGUUAUUUAGGGUGUGUUUAAUAAAAUUGAAAUUUGAAAUUAAAAUCUGAAAUGUGAAUCUAUUAAGUUAUUAAAUGGUUAAGUGCUAAAUCUGAUACAUUUGUGUAUAUAUAUAUAUAUAUAUAUAUAUAUAUAUAUAUAUAUAUAUAUAUAUAUAUCACAUUAAGUAAUAAGUGAAUAGUUUAUCACUUAUUUUUAGGAAUAAAUUUUGCCUAGAAAAUUCAUUGCUAAUUAAUUAAUUCAGAUGUUCAAUUUUUGAAUAUGUUAAGAUCUGAAUCCAUUAAGUUAAAGUGUUGAAUUGGAUUAUCAAACAGGGCUUUAGUCUAAUUCAUUAUAGAAUGAUUAAUUAUUAUAAAAAUCUAUAAAAUCAAAAUUUAAUUAGUAAUCCACCAAAUUUCAAGUGCAAAUAUUUACCUAUAUUUAGUGUAAUUAUUUAGUUUAUUUAUGAAUUUUAAGUGCAAGAGGUUAUUAGGAACAAUAUUUGCCUUUAAAUGAAUUGUAUACUAUGUUAUUUUUGAAAUCCAUUUCAUAACUUAUAGAGUUUGAGAAAUAAUAAAUUUUAUUAAAAUAUCCCAAGUAAUUUUUAUUUUAGAGAAAUUAUGAAAAUAAAGAAACAAUUGACUAACAUACAAUAUAAGACAGGUGAAUAACUAGCAUGUCAGCUGUUCACCUAGCGGUAAGUACUCGUUGUUUAUAUGCAUGAAGUUUUGAGUUUGAACCAUUAAAAAAACACAAUCUUGUCUGAUUUUUCGAAUAGCAACUAAUGUUCUACCUGAUUCAAUAGGUCGAAUUUUCGAUUUAAUUCGGUUGAUUUGUUGACAAGUCAACGAGACUUGUUCACAUUCAAUCCAAUUAGAGACCCAAUCCUAUUUACUAAUCAGGCUUAAUAACUAUGCUUGCUGUGUUUCCUAGGUUUGCAAGAUUGAAUUCAAGGUUAACUGUAUUCAUCUCCUUUUUGGUUUAACCAAAUUACAAAAAUCUUUUAUAUUGUUUGACCAUAUUAAGAGUACAGGCAAAGCCCUUGACCAAAUUACAAAAAUCUACCAUAUUGUCUGACCAAAUUAAGAGUACAGGCAAAGCCCUUGAUGGCAAAACAUUUAUCAAAUGCGCCCUUAUAUCAAUAGCUGUUAAAAUUGAUGCUUACAUUAACAAAAACCACAUAUUUGAAAGCCCCAAAAUAACCUUUUACACCUUGAGUUAAUUACACUAAUCUCCCUUGAAUUUUGUCCAAACUAUUUUCAUCUCUCGUGAGGGUUGUACAAAUGACAAGUAAAGCCUAUUAUUGUCCAAAUCAAUUCAAAGCUAUAAAUAACCCAAUACUUUUCAAAUACUCCAUAGUCAACUUAAUUAGUUGCAACAAACUUCUAAAACAAUUCUCAAAAUACCGAUUAGUUACUACCUUUUUUUUUUUACCAUUUUUUCUCCUCGUAGGUUAUAGUUACUCUACCCAAAAACUUGAAUUCGAAUUUCGCACAUUGUUGGGCCUUGCAUGAUAUCAAAUAUCAACAGUAUUUUCGGCAAUUGAUUCUUUAGUCACAACUGCUAUAUACAAAAUUGAUACUUUUCUCCAUGUUAGUAUGCAAAUUGCCAAAAUCCAUUUUUCAAAUAAAAUACACUAUAAACUUAAAUCCACCUUAGCACUAAAAUUUAAGGUUUCUAUAUAAACGAUAUUUUGGAAUUCAUUAGUUAAAGUCCAAGAAAAUAUUAUCUAGAAAUUUUAGAAUAAAAGCUUAACAUUAUAAGAUUGAUAAAAAGAAAGUUCCUUCUAAGCUAAGUCAAUCCUUGUUGAUGGUUCAUGAUUUUGGACGAAAUUGCUUCAAAUGCGAGACCUGGCAAGAUGAUAUAUUCAGGCAGUAGUAGGCAAUGGGCGCACUGUACAUAUGUGGCAGGAUUCAUGGCAUCCACAUGGACCUCUGUUACAAUACUAUGGGUAUAAUAUUGUUAAACAAUUUAGGGGGUGCUUGGUUGGAGGGUAUAGGAAUCAAGAAUUGGAUUGAAUCCCAAAAUUGUUGCUUGGCUAAUGGGUAUGGGUUUUGAAAUCUUGGAAUGAAUCAUGAAAAUCUAGCCACUCUCAGUACCCAACUAGAUUGGAGGGUUUUGAUGAAUCCCACAUUUGAUUCCAAAAUCUUUUUAAAAAAACAAAAACCCGUGCAAGGGGCACACAGCCUGCACCAUAGAACACAGGUGCCAAUCCAACACAGGUGCCGAUCCAAUGCACCAAGGUAUGAUGGAGUGCCUAAAGCACUGGCAACAGAUAAGAAAGCUGUGAACAUGGCACCAAUAUGAGCAGCCCCACUGGCAAAGAAGUAGUGAGAAUAGAAGUAGAGAAGAACAAGAAUGCCAAAAGAAACCUGCCAAGAUAGACCCAAUCCACUGACAAACUGCAAGAAAGCAUAUAAAUUAACAACCCAUAAAUGUUGGAUGCAAUUGAAGGAAGGUCAGUUUCCUGACAAUGGUGGGGAUUUGACAAAAUCAAAUCCAAAUCUGCUUCCUCGUUGCGUCAAUGGACUGUUGCUUCUGAAACUGCAUUAUCUUUACCAAAAAUUGAAUAUUGAUACUAAUUGGUGGUGGUUAGGUGCUGGUUUAAUGGGUGUUGUCAUGGUUGGGUGCUGGUUCAAUGGGAUUGACGGGGUUUUGAUAUACGUACAAGUUCAAAAAUCCGAUUUACACCUAUUUCACUGCAAGUAUAUAGGUCAACUAGUAGUUUAGGGUAUAUAUCGGGUCGAUCCCACGAAAAAGAUUGAACAAUUACCGGUACUACUAAAGUUUCUCUAUUAUUUAGACUAUCAAUGAAUUGUAAGAAAUGAAACCUACUGAACUUAUGCAAAAUAACAAAUGAAAGCUCCUUAGGUUAUGGAAUCCCUAAUUACUCAUACAAGUGCCAUUUUUGGAUUAUUGAAAACUACUAUCUUGGCUUUUUUUUCGGAAACGAUAGAUGAAUUUUACAGCAAACCAAACUUUAUAAUAUUUGAGCAAUGGCUCAACCACCUAUACAAAGUGUACGAUGGCACUAAGAAGAGACAAAAAUUCUCUCUUCAUCCAUAACUAUGCUUAGAGCAUAACGACUAAUGCUUUUACAUAGAGACAUAUUACUAUUUUUUCCUACUUCAAAAAAGCACAUUUGAAACAGAUUAGCUAGAGCAAGUAUAUUUUCCACUAACAUGACUAUGUUCGGAUUGUCUCCUUUCCCACUUUUCAGCAUGGCAAUAAGAUGUUUAUUGACGUUUCUGACUUUAAUCCUGUGCCAACGAAGCUAGCUUACUUUGAUGAGUGCCAGUCUCACUGCUCCAGCUUCAUCUUGGAUGUUCAGUAGCGAGGUUCUGUCCACUAGCGCCCAGUCAGCUGUGAUUCUUGUUCCAUUCAGCUUGGCCACAAUGCCAAUCCCCAUCUUGUGUCCCUCGGAUGCUUUCUGUGUUGCGAUGUGAAGUUCCAUCAAGUCCCUUGUCUCCAUUCCUUCCUCCCUUUGCCUUGCAUUUGCUGCAUCUGUUUCUGAUGUACUCCGAGCUUCCUUUACUGUACUAGCUUCCUCAAACUCCAUCCACUCAGUACUCGCCUUUUGCACUACUCUUAUUUCAUCCUUCUCUUUCCCUUCAAAUUCCAGUUCAUUCCUAUCUUUCCAUAGUUGCCAAAGUAUGUUAGCAGUCAAAGCUAUAUGUUGUUUGCCUUCCUUCCUACUCCUAGCUUGAGUUAAAGCUGCCCACCACUGCUUAAAACAGCUUGUUUGAGUCUGGAUACCGUCCCAUUGAACUGGUGCAAGCUUCCAUACCUUCUGAGCCUGUGAACAAUGAAACAUAAUGUGUUCCACCGUUUCUAUCUUGUCUCCACAUCUUAAGCAGCAUGGUGAGCCUUGUUUCGUUCUCCUGAAUAUUGUUUCCCUUGCUGUUAAUGUGUUAGUAAUACACCUCCAAAUGAAUAGCUUAAUCUUAUGCUUGAUAUUCAGUCCCCAAAGAGUUUUCUAAAUUUGUGUGUUGGAGUCAUCAUAACUAGAACCUGAAUCCCCCUUUUACUCCUUUUUCCUUCCUCCUCUCUUUCUUCAACAGAAUUUGAUAGCAAGAUUUAACUGAGUACUCUCCGUGCUUACAGUGUAUCCAAAAAUGCUGGUCUCCAGUCCUCGAAAGGCUAAUAGGUAUCUUUAAAAUGUUCCCAGCAUCCUCUCUGUUGAAUCUUCUGAAGAUGACACUCCUGUUCCACCUAAAGUUUGAGAUCAACUGUUCAACUUUCUGCUCAUCGUCAUUGUCUGGAAUCUUAGUUGCUGGCUAUCUAUUUGGAUUGUUUGGUAUCCAGUGAUCCUUCCAUAUUUUUAUGGUUUUCCCCAACCCAACUCUCUUCCAAAUGCCCCCUUCAACUGUAUCUCUCGUUGACAUUAUGUUUUGCCAAAACCAUGAGGAAUUUUUGGGGAUCUCACAGUUCAGUAUAUUUGCCUUGGGAUAAUAUUUGGCCUUCAAUAUUUUACUGACCAAAAGAUUAGGGAAAUGUAUCAGCCUCUUAAGCUGCUUGCCCAAUAAUGCUUUGUUGAAGCAUUGCAAAUUCCUGAACCCUAAGCCUCCAUCCUGUUUUACCUUCAUUAUUUUGUUCCAAGAACACCAGUGUACCUUGUUUUUUCCUUCUAAUUCACCCCACCAAUAGUUAACCAUCAACCGUGUGAUUUCCUUGCAGAGACUAACUGGCAACUUAAAGCAAGACAUAGCAUAAGUUGGCAUAGCCAUUGUUACAGCUUUAAGCAUCACCUCCUUGCCUGCUGCACUCAAAAACGUGUUCUUCCAACUAUUUAGUCUAGUCCUGAUGCUGUCCUUUAUAAAUCCAAAGAGCUGACUUUUUGUCCUUGUAACCACCAUAGGAAGUCCCAAGUAUUUCCCUUGAUUAACGGUUCUAACACCUGGUAGUGGUUCACAGGCUUCCACCUUAUCGUUCUCCUUAGUGUUGUUGCUGAAGUAUAUAGAGGAUUUGUCCAGAUUGAUUACCUGGCCUGACCCUCUUUCAUAUUGACCCAGAAUUUGUCUUAGCUGCCUUGUUUCCUCUUUCACUGCUUUGCAAAAUACUAGUGUAUCAUCAGCAAAGAAAAGAUGUGUGAUAGCUGGCCCUUGUCUGCUAAUCCUUAGCCCACUUAGUAGUCCCUGCCUUGCUGCUUUGCUAAGCAUAUUCGAGAGACCUUCAAAGCAUAAUAGGAACAAGUAAGGUGACAAUGGGUCACCUUGCCUAAUACCUCGAGAUGGUAGCAUAUACUCCUUAUUCUCUCCAUUUAUAUUGAAGGAAUAAGACACUGAAGUAAUACACUCCAUUAUCCACUCCUCCCAUAGCUUGCAAAAUCCCAUUUUUUCCAUCAGAGCUCUCAGAUAACCCCACUCCACCUUAUCACAAGCUUUGGACAUGUCCAGCUUAAUAGCAGUAUAUCCAUCCUUGCCUUGCCUCUUGUUUUUAAGAAAUGUAGGCAUUCAUGUGAUAUAAUUAUGUUAUCCAAAAUCUGUCUGUUAGGAAUGAAGGCAGAUUGGGUUUUGCUAAUACAAUGUUCAAGGACAGGUUUCAGUCUGUUGGCAAGGAUGUUGGAGAUGACUUUGUCUAGAACAUUGCAGAGGCUAAUUGGCCAGUAGUGUUUCAAGUCAGUAGGUAGUUCUACCUUAGGGAUGAGAGAAAUGGUGGUAUAGUUUAAGGAUUUAAACAUAUGACCAGACUAAAAGAAAGACUUGAUAGCUUUUACCACCUCAUCCUUAAUGGUAGGCCAGAAAUGUUGGAAAAAGAGUGGUGUCAUCCCAUCAGGCCCUGGUGCCUUGUUGGGAUUCAUAGAAAAGAUUGCUAUCUUGAUUUCGUUAUCCUCCAUAGGUCUAGUCAAAUUACCGUUCAGGUGGUCAGUAAUAGUACUAGGCAAGCCAUCCAAAAUUUCCUCCAAACACUCUAUCUUAGUGGAGUUAAAGAGAUGCUUAUAAUAAUUAGCAACCUCAGCUAUAAUCUCUUCAUCAGUUGCAGUCCAAGAGCCAUCCUCUCGCUGCAAGUGUCCUAUUUUAUUUCUUUUCCUCCUCCCUUUCACCACUACAUGGAAGUAUUUAGUAUUUUUGUCUCCUUCCCGAAGCCAGCUAAGUCUAGAUUUCUGGCUCCAAUGUUGCUCUUCAUCUUUUUAAGCUCCCACCAAUUGAAUUUUCAAAGCUGCAACUCUCCCUAUCUUGGCUAACUAUGGUGUAAUUUCCUUAUGCAUAUGAAUCCUACUUUCGUAGUGAAUCAAUUAUACACAUAACUAAUCCAUACCUAUUCUCAUGGUUAUGAAAUUAGUUACAAGUUCAUUUUUUCAAUGAAAUUACAUGAAAUUAAUCACCAAAACCACAUAGGUGAACCUCUACUCUCGUGAGUGUACUUCCUAUGUUUAGCACUUCUUGAACCAGUGUUAAAUCUCAAUUUUCAUUGCAGAAACAACACCUUAGAUAAUCACAAUUAAUGGUACCAGAUUAAUCAUGAUUUAAAGAGCUAAAAUGCUAAAUAACUUGCUUAAAUCAUAGCAAUCAAAUAGCCAAAGAAUAAACACUAACAAUCAUAGAAAGUUCAACCAAACCCAAGACGUAAACUUUUAAAGACACAUAAACACAAAAUCCAGAACUUGCAUAUUAACCAAAUUUAAGAAUCCAAUACAAAAUAUAAAGAGUUGAAGAAGAGAUAACCCAUGUCACUUGAGCUUCAACUCCUCCUUCUUCAUCUCCAUCUUCAUCCUAAUCUAGCUAAUAUACAAGAAGGAUGAACUAACUUGUUAAACUAUCCUACACUAAGGAAAUGGAAGAACUACAUUUCUGCAGACUCCAAGCUUCUCUCGUAUCUCCCUCCUCCAAUCUUGCAAGUUUUUUUGGCUAUUUCAAGACAAAGGUGGUCAAGGAAUGAGGUUUUCACCUCCCUUUUACAGCUGCAAAGUGGUUCUCACAUGUCUAGCAUUAGUUGUGACUUUUUGGAGUUGAAAGUAAGUUGUCCGCAUAGAGAACAGCCUUUUCUGACCACAAUCCGGCCAUAAAUCCGGCCAAGUUCCUGCCGGAUUGCUACAGUGACUUUUUGUGCAAUUUCUGUUCAAUUUCCAGCUCUACUCCAAUUUUACCUCAAUUUUAACUGAACUUUUCUUGAUAAUAGAAGCUGAUUUAGCUCUUGACCAAAACAUAAAACUUAUAGCCCUUUGAGUUAGCUUUUCAAUGCAUCAAGAAUCACCUCAUUUGGAUUUGUGUAGGCUGAGAAAUAACCAAAAUAGCCUUGACUGCUCAGUGUCCUGUUUCAGCUUCAAGCAAUAGAAAUUAGCUACUGUAAUUCGGCUUUUUGACCUAGAAAACCUUCAAACUGGAUUUCGAUGUCUUCACCAAAGUUGUAGGUCUAUCUCUUAUUUUCAAAUUAGUUCAAGAAUCAUUUCAAUCCGAUCACUGUAGCUCAAGUUAUAGCCGAAAUACGAAAAUGUGUCAAAACUAUCAAAAUGCACAAAAUACAAGUAAAAAGUGAUAAAAACCUCAUUUAAUCUCUUAAGAACAUUUUCCACCAAAUCUAGUCAAAAUGAUUUAUUUUCUUCCAAUAAUAUAACCAAAGUGACUAAAUAUAACAUAAAAUGUCAUUCAAUUAUUACAUAAAUUAGUCACUUAUCAGGGAUUAUGGUGGAUGUGUAUGCGGGAUAAGCAUUCGAACGAGAAAGAAAAAAGAUAUGAAAAGAAUAAAGAAAUUAAAGGUAAAAAAUUGAUUAUUAAAUUUGAUAUCCAUUCCUUACCAAUAUUUACCAAGCAACCCCAUUUGUAAUCAUAUUUUUGUCCAAAACCCAUACCAAGUUUUUUUGUAUGAUUCCAAUUACAAUUCCAAUUCCUAAGCUUGAACCAAGCGCCCAAUUAAUAGUUUUGAGAAUGCAAGACUGGCUUCAAUUAUGAACACAAGUGCUUGGUGUUGGCCACAUGGCAGAAGAAGAACCUCUCAAGCAGAGGAUUUCAUCCAUAAUCUUCCCUCUGCUUGUGUACCUCUUCCCAGGGAAGAUGAUACCAUCUGAUGGUUAUGAGAUAAAACUGGAAUGUUACUACAAAGUCUACUAUUGCUUCAUUGAGAGAACAUUGUAUGAAUGUUGAGUGGCAUAAACUGGUGUGGUUUAAACAACAUAUUCCUAGACAUGCAAUUAUCACUUGGCUUGUUUGUAAAAAUAGUUUGGCUACAAAAGAUAGGUUAUUUAAAUGGGGUAUGCCAGCUUAUGUUUGGAGUAGGAUACAACAGUGCUGUUUGCUUUAUGGAGGCGUAUUGGUUGGUCCGAAGAAUUAGCAUCGUGGAUUGGUUUUCUGUAGAAUGAUGAAUUUGUUAGCUCAAUCAAAAGAUUGGCUUUUGGGGUUUUUAUUUAGGGAGAAUUGUAAUUUUGGUCCCCAAUUUAUAGUGCAUGUGCGAAAUUAUCCCCAAUUUAUUUCGAAAAUCAAUUUUGGUUCUCAAUCUAUUCAAUUUUGCGCUAAAGUGGACAAUUGACUGAAUCUUUUCAAUUUCAAUCGAAACUAAAUCACGUGAGAUCACGUGCCAGCACCUAAAACCCCUUUUUCAAUUUUUUAAUUUCUAAACCACGUUUUUUAAUAUUUUUAGCUUUAUUAAACAAAGACAUGCAAAGGUUAAUCUCACAAUCCAAAUUACUCCUCUUGUUGGCUGCUGCCUCCAAACCCCCAAAACCCACAGCACGAGUAAGAAGCUCAGCUUGGCCUCCAAGUCCAAGUCUCGUUCCUGCCUCCAUUAGUAAUAGAGAUAAUCUGCAAUCAAUGCCAGAGACGGACCCAGUUCAACUCUCCUGCACAAACAACAGGAGCAGCAGCAGCAGUACUACUUCAUAAGCAAGCAAGCAAGCAGCCGAGAGAGAAGAGCGGAUGAUAAUAAUUGGAAAUCAAUGGGAUUAUACGGACCAAAUGAUCAAAGGGGUUAUACUAGUAAGUAUAUUCUUUCCCUAUUAGCCAUUCUUCACCGUUGAACUGGAAUGAGCAUUCAAUUGAACCACUAGUAUAUUAUUGGUAGGUCAUGCUUACGGCUAGAACUGACACUUCAUCGGUGACUAUAGAAUGGGCCUUGUCUCUUUUGCUCAACCACCCGAGGUGCUAGAGAAACCUCGAGCUAAAUUAGAUGCUCAAGAAGGGACUGAUCGAUUGGUUGACGAACAUGAUCUAUCCAAUAUUCCUUAUUUUCAUAACAUUAUUUUAAAAACACUUCAGUUAUACCCAGCAGCACCAAUACUAGUGUCACAUGAGUCGUCCUAUGACUAUAAAAUUGGGGGAUACAAUAUUCCGUGAGGCACAAUUUUGCUAGUUAAUGCAUGGGCAGUUCACAGUGACCCAAACGUAUGAGAUGAUCCAACAAGCUUCAAGCCAGAGAGAUUCGAAGGCUUGCAAGUUCAGCCAUCAAAGCUGAUUCCAUUUGGGAUGGGAAGGAGAUAUUGCCCUGGUUCUGGCCUAGCACAGGGGGUGGUGGGUUUGGCCUUGGGAUCUCUAAUUUGGAGUUUUGAUUGGAAAAGAAUUGGCGAGGAGGAAAUUGAUCUGACUGAAGGGAUAGGAGUGUCCAUGCCAAAAGCCAAACCACUAGAAAAAACGUGUUUUAGAAAUAAAAAAUUGAAAAAGGGGUUUUGGGUGCCGGCACGUGAUCUCACGUGACUUAGUUCCGAUUGAAAUUGAAAAGAUUCCGUCAAUUGUCUACUUUAGCACAAAAUUGAAUAAAUUGGGGACCAAAAUUGAUUUUCGAAAUAGAUUGGGGAUAAUUCCGCGCAUAUACUGUAGAUUGGGGACCAAAAUUACAAUUCUCCCUUUUAUUUAUUUCCUUUGGCAUGAGCGCAAGCAAAGGCAGUUCAACAGUAAGGUGUCGAAUGCUGAUUAUGUGAUACAGCAGAUAAUUACUACUGUUAGGCAAACUACAAUAGGUUGGCGAAGGGUGCAAAUGACACAUAGCAGCUGGGAGUUUGGCAUUGGCUGGAAUUUUGAUUAGCAGAUUUUUUUCUUAGAUUAAUAUUUCGUAGUUAUAAAAUUUGUUUUCAUUAUAGUAUGGUGUCUUGUUCCGUUAAGCUUGUAUAGGGCAGCUUUUCUUGUUGUUGGAGCCAUUCCUUGCUUGUCUAAUGAAAAGAGUUAUUUUGCCUAAAAAUAUAUAUUAUUCUUCUUUCUUUUUCUUACCUGUUCAACCCUCCUGACACCCUCCUCAUCCCUGAGUGCCAGGUUAUACUAUUCAAUUAGUCUAGAUAAAUUUUAUUUUUUGAAAUUAAAUUAUAUAUCUAAAAUAUAAUGGACACUUGUCAUACGGAGAAAUUGGGUUGGGUGAGCUUGGUAGCGGCUACAAUGAGCUGUAACAAAGAAAAACGGAAGAGGUUUUUUUUAAUAAUUUUUUUCUUUUAUUUGUCAUUUCUUAGUAUUGAGCAAUUAAUUAUUUUCUUUUAAUUUGGGAUUCAAUUUACCUUGGAUGACAUCAUGAUUUUUCUUAUAAAUAGUUUGCGAUUCAAAUGAUUAAAUUUAUAUGGCCAAACUAUAUGGUCACUCUUGUAAUAUAAACAAACGUCAAGACAAGUAAAUGUUGAUUUUUCAAAAGGUAUUUUUGUCAUUUCGCUCAUUUCAAUGGCUGGGUUAAGAGGUUGUCACUCAUGGGUAAAUGUAGAAGCAAGACAGCAUAUGCAAUUUGUUGGGUGGGCCAGCCCAUUUGUGGGCCAACCCACAUAAAUAACACUUGAGAGUUUCUCAAGUGAAAUAGGAGCAAGCGGCAGCCGCAUAAGUAAUUCCUUUUCUUCGAUCUUCGGGUGAGAAAAGAAAAAGUCAGCCGCCACUUUCUUUGAGAGAGACGAAGAGAGAGAAAGAGGGAGAACUAGAGAGAGAAAAUUCUUUGCAACUUUGAAGCCUCAAUUGGAAGGUGAUUUGAAGUCCGAUUGAGACGAAAUUUUACACACGGGAUCCUCUCAUCAAGCUCUACUCAUCUACUGAUUCAGAUUUCGGAUUUCCUCUUCGUUUGGUAACACCUUUCUAAACCCACUUUUUUGACAGUUGUAGUUUUUGGGGGGUGAUUUUGUAGCUAAUUGGUUUGGUUGAUAUUGGUGAUAUUAUUGUCAUCCGAAUAUUUCGAGUAGACCUGUGUAUUCCCAUUAUUGUGAUAGUGGAGAUUUUCUGACUGGACUAGAUCCCGUGGUUUUUCCCCAAUUUGGAUUUUUCACGUAAAAAUCUUGGUGUCCUGUGCCUUUAUUUUUCCUUGCAUUUUAUUAUCACUAUUGAUAUUAUUACUUGGUGAUUUGGUUUAUUCUUAUUUUAACUGGUACUUGGGGAAAGAGAAAUUUAUCUUGGGCUAACUCUGAUAUUGUGUGCCUGUACUGGUACCCCUUUCCCAACAAGUGGUAUCAGAGCAGUCAGGUUAGGCUGCUCAAUUGUACCUGUUAAAAAUGGAUGAUUCGGAUAGUGGUUGCAUGAUAAAAUUGAAUGCUACUAAUUAUUCGAUUUGGAAGCCUAGAAUGGAAGACUACCUAUAUUGUAGAGAUUUAUUUGAACCUGUUCUAGGGGAUAAAGGCAGACUAAGUGAUAUGAGUGAUGAAAAAUGGACCAAUAUGCACAAGAAAAUUGUUGGUAAUAUUAGAAAAUGGAUUGGUCAAAGUAUUUUUCAAUAUUUUGCUAAUGGCACCAGAGCUGAUAUAUUAUGGAAAAGGCUUGAGAGUAUGUAUGAAAAAAAGACAGGUUUGAACAAAACUAGUUGUCUGAACCAGAUUACUCGAAUGAGAUAUAAAGAUGGGGAAGAUAUGACUGAACACUUGAGUAAUUUUCAGGGAUUGAUAAACCAGGCAACUAUAUUAAAUUUGAACUUGGAUGAUGAAGUGCAGGCUUUAUUAUUAUUCAGUUCACUACCAGAUAGUUGGGAAACCAUGGUGGUCUCCAUCAGCAAUUCAGCUCCAAAUGGUGUGUUGACUAUGACUAUUGCAAAAGAGGCUGUGAUGAAUGAAGAGUUCAGGAGGAAGGAAUAAGAAAUUGUCUAUGAGUCCCAGGCCCUGGUGACAGAAAAGAAAGAAAGAAGAGGGAGAAUGGAUGAUUCGGAUAGUGGUUGCAUGAUAAAAUUGAAUGCUACUAAUUAUUCGAUUUGGAAGCCUAGAAUGGAAGACUACCUGUAUUGUAGAGAUUUAUUUGAACCUGUUCUAGGGGAUAAAGGCAGACUAAGUGAUAUGAGUGAUGAAAAAUGGGCCAAUAUGCACAAGAAAAUUGUUGGUAAUAUUAGAAAAUGGAUUGGUCAAAGUAUUUUUCAAUAUUUUGCUAAUGACACUAGAGCUGAUAUAUUAUGGAAAAGGCUUGAGAGUAUGUAUGAAAAAAAGACAGGUUUGAACAACACUAGUUGUCUGAAGCAGAUUACUCGAAUGAGAUAUAAAGAUGGGGAAGAUAUGACUGAACACUUGAGUAAUUUCAGGGAUUGAUAAACCAGGCAACUACAUUAAAUUUGAACUUGGAUGAUGAAGUGCAGGCUUUAUUAUUAUUCAGUUCACUACCAGAUAGUUGGGAAACCAUGGUGGUCUCCAUCAGCAAUUCAGCUCCAAAUGGUGUGUUGACUAUGACUAUUGCAAAAGAGGCCGUGAUGAAUGAAGAGUUCAGGAGGAAGGAAUAAGAAAUUGUCUAUGAGUCCCAGGCCCUGGUGACAGAAAAGAAAGAAAGAAGAAGGAGAAGCAAAAGUAGAGGACCCCACAACAGGAAUGACAAAUCCAGAGGCAGGUCUGAGUCGCGAAAAAAUGUUGCAUGCUAUUAUUGUAAAAAAAAUGGGCAUUAUACGAAGGAGUGCAGAAUCUUAAAACGGGAUUAGGCUGAGAAAAAGGGAAAGGCGAAGGAAAAAGAUGAUGAAGAGACUACAGCAAUUGUGGCAACUCAUGAUGAUAUGUUUGUGUUCUGUGAUAAUGGUCAGGUGAAUAUUAUUCAUUAUGACAGUGAUUGGGUAGUUGAUUCAGGUGCAUCCUAUCAUGUUACUCCUCACAGGCAUUUCUUCUCAACCUACACCGAAGGAGAUUUCGGAUGUGUUAGGAUGGGAAAUGAGGUCUCAUGCAAAGUUGUUGGCAUGGGAGACAUAUAUUUAGAUACAGAUACUGAGUGCCAGCUGAUAUUAAAAAAUGCUCGACAUGUUCCUGAUAUUCACCUUAAUCUUAUCUUUACAGGAAAACUUGACGAUGAGGGUUACCAUAGUUUGCAAGGUGGAGGCAAAUGGAAACUCAGCAAAGGAAAUCUCGUUGUUGCUAGAGGAAAGAAGCAGAGUACUCUCUACGUGAUGCAAGCCAAGUUGAGGAAGGGAGAAUUGAACGCAGUUCGUGAUUCCUCAAUUGACCUUUUGGCAUAGGCGACUUGGACACAUGGGUGAAAAGGGGAUUCAGACACUUGUUCACAAACAGCUCCUACCUGAAAUUAGAGGUAAUGCACUUAAACCUUGUGUUGACUGCAUUUAUGAGAAACAACACAGAGUUGCAUUUCAAAAUUUUUCUCCAUCUAGAAAAUUGAAUCCUUUAGAAUUGGUGCACACUGAUGUCUGCUAUAUGAAAGAUAAGUCUCUUGGUGGUGCUGUUUAUUUUAUAACUUUUAUUAAUGACUUUGCUAGAAAGGUUUGGUGUUUUGCUUUGAAAUCCAAAGAUCAGAUUUUGGAUGUGUUUAAAGACUUUCAUAGCAAAGUUGAAAGAGAAACUGGUAAGCAGUUAAAGUGUGUACGUGCUGAUAAUGGUGGUGAGUACAGAGAACCAUUUGAAAUCUAUUGCAAGUCCCAUGGGAUUAGAUUGGAGAAGACUGUGCCAAAAACUCCUCAAGAGAAUGGAGUAGUAGAGAGGAUGAACAGAUCCAUCAUUGAGCGGGUCAGAUGUAUGCUCUCUAAUACUAAACUACCAAAAUCCUUUUGGGGUGAGGCAAUGAGGACUGCGGUUGAUUUGAUAAAUCUUUCUCCAUCAGUUCCUCUAGAUGGUGAUAUCCCAGAGAGGGUAUGGACGGGAAAAGAUGUGUCCUUUAAGCAUUUGAGAGUUUUUGGUUGUCGGGCAUUUGUUCAUAUUCCCAGAGAUGAGAGGUCAAAACUUGACGUAAAAUCAAAGCAGUGUAUUUUCUUGGGUUAUGGACAUGAAGAUUUUGGCUAUAGGCUGUAUGAUCCUGUUGAAAAGAAGGUGAUCAGGAGCAGAGAUGUUGUCUUCUUUGAAGAUCAAACCAUUGAAGACAUUGAUAAAGGUGAUAACUCAAAAUUCUCAGAUGACAUACCUGUUAGCUCAAAUUCAGAUUCAGAUCUAAUUCCAGUACCUAUUGAUUUUAAUCAAGGGGGAGCUGAGACGGAGCAGCGAGAGGAAAUUAAUGAUGGUGAUAAUCCUACUGCUGAUGAAUCUGAGCAUGAGACGCCACCUACACCACUACCACCGCCACAAGAAGAGCUGAGAAGAUCUACCAGAGAGAGGAGACCUUCUAGCAGGUAUAAUCCUCAUGAAUAUUUGUUGUUAACAGAUGGAGGAGAGCCAGAGUCCUACAGUGAGGCUCUAGAGCAUGAGAAUAAAGAAGACUGGUUGCAAGCCAUGCAAGAGGAGAUGGUGUCCCUGCAUGAGAAUCAUACUUAUGAUUUAGUGAAACUGCCUAAGGGUAAGAGAGUUCUAAAGAACAAAUGGAUUUACAGGUUGAAAACUCAGGAGCACACCUCACAACCAAAGUAUAAAGCAAGAUUGGUUGUGAAGGGAUUCAGUCAAAAGAAAGAUAUAGAUUUUGAAGAAAUCUUCUCUCCUGUGGUAAAAAUGUCAUCAAUUCGAGUUGUUCUUGGUAUUGCAGCUAGUUUGAAUUUGGAGAUUGAGCAACUUGAUGUAAAGACAGCCUUCCUGCAUGGUGACUUGGAAGAGAAGAUCUACAUGGAGCAACCGGAGGGGUUCAAAGAAAGUGGUAAAGAAAAUCUUGUAUGCCGUCUCAAGAAGAGCUUGUAUGGGUUGAAACAGGCACCGAGACAGUGGUAUAAAAAGUUUGACUCCUUCAUGACAGACCAUGGGUACCACAGGAUUACAUCUGAUCACUGUGUUUAUGUGAAAAAAUUUUCAGAUGGUGAUUUUGUUAUUCUCUUGCUAUAUGUUGAUGAUAUGUUGAUUGCUGGUUGUGAUACUGUGAAGAUUGACAGGUUGAAAAAGGAGUUAAGUAAACCCUUUGCAAUGAAAGAUUUGGGUCCGGCUAGACAGAUAUUGGGGAUGAAAAUCUCACGUGACAGGCAAAAUGGGAAGUUCUAGUUGUUUCAAGAAAAAUACAUUGAGAAAGUACUCAACUGGUUUAACAUGAGCAAGGCUAAGGAAGUCUCAACUCCACUUGCAGGUCACUUUAAACUGAAUAUCAAGCAGUGUCCUACAAGUGAGAAAGAUAAAGAAGACAUGAAGAAGGUUCCUUAUGUUUCGGCCGUUGGGAGCUUGAUGUACGCUAUGGUUUGCACCAGGCCAGAUAUUGCUCAUGCAGUUGGAGUGGUCAGUCGGUAUCUCUCUAAUCCUAGUAAGGAGUAUUGGAAUGCUGUCAAAUGAAUUCUCAGGUAUCUCAAGAGAACUUCUAGAUUAUGUCUAUGUUUCGGCAAUGGUAAAACUAUGCUAGAUGGAUACACUGAUGCAGAUAUGGCAGGUGAUCUUGAUAAUAGGAAGUCCACAUUUGGGUACUUGAUGAUUUUUGCAAGGGGAGCAGUGUCAUGGCAAAAUAAGUUACAGAAGUGCAUCGCCCUUUCUAGUACGGAGGCAGAGUACAUUGCAACCACUGAAGCAUGCAAGGAGACUCUUUGGUUGCAAAAAUUCCUUCAAGAGUUGGGUAUGAAACAAAAGAAAUAUAGUCUUUAUUGUGACAGUCAGAGCGCUAUUCACUUAUGUAAGAACUCUACAUUUCACUCUCGGUCCAAACACAUUGAUGUGAGGUAUCAUUGGAUUCGAGAAGUAUUGGAUUCCAAGUUGUUGACACUUGAGAAGGUGCAUACAGAUGACAAUGGUGCUGACAUGUUUACCAAGGCAUUGCUUAAGGAGAAACUUUGCCUAAGGACUUAUUUUGUAAACAAGAAGCAGGUUUGGUGGAGCCUCCCAAAUGAGCUGGAGGGGGAGAUUGUUGGGUGGGCCAGCCCAUUUGUGGGCCAACCCAUAUAAAUAACACUUGAGGGUUUCUCAAGCGAAAUAGGAGCAAGCGGCAGCCGCAUAAGUAAUUCCUUUUCUUCGGUCUUCGGGUGAGAAAAGAAAAAGUCAGCCGCCACUUUCUUUGAGAGAGAGAAAGAGGGAGAACUAGAGAGAGAAAAUUCUUUGCAACUUUGAAGCCUCAAUUGGAAGGUGAUUUGAAGUCCGAUUGAGACGAAAUUUUACACACGGGAUCCUCUCAUCAAACUCUACUCAUCUACUGAUUCAGAUUUCGGAUUUUCCUCUUCAUUUGAUAACACCUUUCUAAACCCACUUCUUUGACAGUUGUAGUUUUUGGGGGGUGAUUUUGUAGCAGAUUGGCUUGGUUGAUAUUGGUGAUAUUAUUGUCAUCCGAAUAUUUCGGGUAGACCUGUGUAUUCCCAUUAUUGUGAUAGUGGAGAUUUUCUGAUUGGACUAGGUCCCGUGGUUUUUCCCCAAUUUAGGUUUUCCACGUAAAAAUCUUGGUGUCCUGUGUCAUUAUUUUUCCUUGCAUUUUAUUAUUACUAUUGGUAUUAUUAUUUGGUGAUUUGGUUUAUUCCUAUUUUAACUGGUACUUGAGGAAAGAGAAAUUUAUCCUGGGCUAACUCUGAUAUUGUGUGCCUGUACUGGUACCCCUUUCCCAACACGAAGUUCAAAUAAAGAAAUCCAAAAACACGAAGUUUAAAUAUUAAUGAAGCUUUUUGAAAAUAUGAAUAUGAACCACCACAAAAUAAUUAUUAAUACCCAUAAUACUUCAAAUACUAAUAAUUUUGGCACUCAACAAUAAGUCUUCAGCCAAUCCUCCACUAUUUUUUCCUCCAUGAAAAUGACUUUAAUGAUAGACAUCUGUGUUUUUUUUUAACUUCCCAUUCCUCUCCACGCUCUUCCCCACCCCCAACUAUCAAGACCAAAAUUCGAACUCUGAACUUGGCAAUAGAAAAAGCGCAUAUGUUUAUGUAUUUGUUAAGUAUAUGGUUUAUUGCCUUGGCAAAAGAAAUAUGUGAACUAAUGCACAUGUCAUGAUUUUCUAAGUUAAAUUGUCUUGGCGUUUUAAAUUCUUUAAGCAAUGUGAUAAAAUACAAUUUUAUUGGUUUAAAAAAAAUAUUUCUUACAUAUCUGUUAUCAGUUGUUGUUCAAGAUUAUUUUUAAUGGAAAUAGUUUAUUCAAGUUUUUUUCUUCCUCGUGUCUUUGGCCAGGUUUGACAUAUAAAUUAUGAGAAAACAUAGAUUAUGUAUCUAAGUUAUUUUGGUGAACGCAAAGUACGAAUUGAGUGUCUCAAAGUCAAUUUGGAGUUCCAAAUUCAUUGGUUCAUUAUUUUUUGGACUCUUCUAGGAUCACAUACUUUAUGCAUGAUCAAAAAAUGUUACUCUCUAAUGCAAAAGAUUUUCAUAUAAUAGCCCAAGUGUCUAAAAAAUAACUGGUGGAUAUGUCUAAAUUGUAAGAAAAGGAAAGAAAAAAAAUAACAUUUAGUUUGGGAGGUUGGAAGUACUUCCAAAUCACAUGUUUGAGAAUCUGUUAUUGUCCCUCUUUUACUACAUGAAAUUCAUAUUCGAAUUGAUAUAUAAUUUUUCGGGUGCGAUGUUUAAAUUAUUGUUCAUGCAUGCUGAUGCGUGGAACCAAAGAAGAAAUUAACGAAAAUAGCAAAAGAAACAAACUCAAACUUAAUCCAUAGUACAAUACGUUCAUAGAUAGGAUGUCAUAGAUUACACAUCUUGGUUUACAGAUCCACUCAAACUCAAACAUAAUUACAUUACAUCAGACUUUUAUUCCCACCAUCUUGGUUGGUAAAAGCACACACAAACCAAAUAGAAACACAUGAACACUUAAUUAAGCAGAGAAUAACAGCUUCUGCAAUCUGCGUAUCGCAGCUUGAUAGUCUGAUUAGUUCUUUCCUUGAGAAAUGAAAAUGAGAUCACUUUGAGACAUCCAAUGGCAUGCUUCACUUUGGCCAGGAGAAGUUUUCAAUAUCUUCAAGGCCACAUGAUCAGGGGACCAGCCUGAAGUAUCCAUAUGACAUACCACCGUGACUGUAUUAACUGGAACUUUGGUCCUAGGUUCAACAACAUCUACUGCAUAGACUUCAAUAUUGGACAGCAAAUGGCAGAAAUAUGUUGCAAAAGGAAGAAAUAAUUGAUGACAUGCCACAGUUUUUCCAUAUUUAAGCUUUUCCACGCGUCCAACCAUCAAUUCUUUUCUAGAACCCUCUGUGUUUUUCGAUGCCAAUGCCACCAAAUUCUUGUCACCUAUGGCAGUUUUUGAAAAUUCAAUCAUUUCCUCAAGGGAUUUUGCACAGCUCUGAGGCUCUUCCUUAAGAGCAGGAGUAUUGCAAUAAAUAAGGGUGUAUUGAAUGGCAUCUUUUGUUUGCGGGCUUUCAAAGGAUUGAGGAAAUAAUUUUCGUAGGUCAUUUUCCGUAACAGAGAUCUUUGAUGCCGUUUGAGAAGGAAGAAAUGACUGUUGGGGCAAUUGGUUUUCCAAGCUUGAGAGAUGCACCAUGUUUCCUUGUUUGAGAAGUGAGAGUCUGAAGAAAGAAAAAGGAUCAACAUGUAGGACAACAUUUGGGCUAAUUCUGCCAUAGCCGUAAUUAUUCUUGUCCAAGAAACUAUCAACACGUGCUUUGGAUAAACAAGCUAGGUUUGCAAGAGAGCAAAGAUUUGCAUCAAAUGGAAGAUUUUUCUCGGACGCUAAUGAAGUGAAAUGUUCAGCUUGUUCCUUGCUCAGUGGAGAUAGUUUGGACAGAAGAUUUCCAGGCAUGGUGCCUUGGACAUUUUCUGACCAAUAUUUGAGCUGAUUCAAUGCAGUGAAUGAAGAAGAUGAAAUGUGUGCAGCAAAAUGGGACGUAGGAAACGUGAGGGCAAUGACAAAGAGAACGAUAGCAAACGUUGAAGAGGCCAUUGGUUUCAUCGACACUAAUAUUGAGCUAAUUUUCUUCAGUGGAUGAAGUGCUGAUGACUUUGCUAGUGCAGCUUCUAAUUUAUACUAGUGCUCGAGCCUGGACACAGGGCCUCACCUGCCCAUUUCAGGAUAAAAUGGUUACUCUAAAUUUUUUUUACAUCUUGUUUUAGUUGGUAUAUAUCUUUACUUCAAUUUAUUUACAUCCCACUCCAACUUAUUUGUACCUUAGUCUAAACCGGUUGGAAAUGGAACUUGUGAGGCCUCAUCCCCCACUCUAGCCUUGUGUUUGCUCCAGCUAUAAUCUCUAAAGGGAAACCGUUCAAAAUGUUCCUUAUAUUUUGUCAUAUAAAUUUUUUCCUUCUUGUUGUCCCUAAAAAUUAUCAAUCCUCAAUCAUUAUUGUCCCUAAAUAAGUAGAAUCUAAUCCAUACCAUGUUCAUUUUUCUCCAUAAAAAAGUGGAAUAUGACCCAAUCCAUAUUUAUUUUUGCCACAAAAAAAUGGGAUCUACCCUUUUUGGACAUAAAAAAUAACUGUAUAUAGGUCACAUGGUGAUUUUAAACUAGUCAGAUAUUUAGGUUGGAACUAAAUUUUGCUAAUUUGAAUUUUUAAGUGAUUUAAUUUGAAGUUUAUAUUUUAAAAGUGAAGAACGAAAAAAUUUAUUUGAUAAAAUGUGUGGCAUGUUUUGAAUGAUUUUCUCAUCUUCACAUGUAUAUAUUGUACAAUUAAUCCAAAACAAAACUCCAAAUGUACCUGUGUUUACUAAUCCAGAAAAAAAGAGACAAAAUUGAAAAAUAAAUUUAUUUGAAUAGACAAUUUGCAACUUGUUCCACGUUCGCAUUUGAAUGGGUUAAAUACACUAAUCAUACAUCCACGUUAGACAAUUUGCGGUUGUCCCAUUUUAUGCUCUCAGCUUGCGGUCCAUAACCUGAGAUAUGUGGUAGUUAAAAAGACAAUAUUUGUAAUCUCGAAAGUGACGGACAAUACAGUCCCGCACAUUUAGUGCGUCUUGUAGGUAUAUAUGGACAACCGCAGCAAGGAAUUACAUCUCCAAAUACGAAAAUUUCAUGAAAUGAGAUGUAGGUGUGUGUAUAUGUAUAUAGGUAUAUAAAUAUGUAUGUAAGUUUGGUUUAUAAAAUAUUAGUCAAUACUAAUCGUUCAAAAUGACCAACAAAUUUCUUAAUAAAAAAACAUUGAUAUCCUUGGGGAUACUUUUUUAUCCAAUAAAGCAGCUGAAAAUUGUGUAAAAAAUGCAUGCUUCCUAUAAACAAGAUUGGAAAAGAAAACGAAAAUGAAUAAGUCACAUGCUAUGAAAGUCAGUUGAAAAGGAAAAGAUUGGCUCGUGUAGCCAAAAAUUCAUAAGCAUUGCAGUUACCAGCAACACGUAUUUCCGAUUUUCAGAUGUCCACGAUUUGUAUAAGGGUUCUAGUCUGUUGCAUUUGCAUCCCACAUACAUUGAUAACUCCAUUUGAUUUGAAGAGGAACACCUUGCGCAAAAGAAAGAUGUUGCAGAAAUUUGAGACAUGAAAAAAAAUUUAGAGACUAGCAUUGAAACUUUUCCAUUAAGGAAAUAGAAAGUUUAAGAGCUAUCAAUUGCUACAGCUAAAAUAAAAUAAGAAUGAGACAGAGAAAUAGGUUUUGAAACACACUGUGUGAAAAAUGGAUUUAAAAUGUGGUCAAUUGUUUGUACUAGUAGCAAAGGGUAAUUCCAACAGUCCCAAACGUAGGGGCAAGUGUAGGCAUUUAACAAAAGAAAAUUCUAUAUUAAGUGAUAUACAAUAAUACAAUAAUCACAAUUUAAAAGAUGGCGUACCUCAUGAUAUCUAAGAGUUCUCAUAUUUAAAUUUGAUAAAUGGGAACGUCAUGCAAGUUGUUCUUAUAGCAUGCAAGUGUUUUUGGAGUAAAUCGAUUUUAGAAAAGUUUAGAACAGUACUAAGAAAAGUUGCUUUCUAUAAUUGGUUAUCAGUUUUAACAGCAUUGAUUUGGUUUAGUUACUAUUACACUAUAAUGUCUUAGGGAAACAAUUAUCUGUUCACAAAAAGAUAUUAAAGUGCUACAAUUAACGAACUCUUUAAUAGGCUUUGUUGAUUAAUUCUAGAAUUAGAUGAUUGUAAAAAACAAUUAGACUAUUAACAUCGAACUUUUAUUUUUUUUCUUCUAAGAACAAUAGGAAGGAAUAGCCUUACAUUCUUUGACAAAAAGAAAGAAAGUAAAAAUCCCUAGCUACAUUAUUUGAGUUCUCAAGUACUACUGAUUAUGGAUGGAGAAAGAUUGCUCAAAAUUGCUGUCCUUUUGAAAUUCAUGAAAUUAUUAAUCAAUUGGCAACUUUGGUUGACUGGUCUUUUAUUGGGCAAUUUUUUGACAGAAGUUUGUCGGAGAAUAUCCUCUCCUUCAAUUUAAAAGAAGAAAAUUUUGAAGUAAUUCCUCCUACACUAGCCAAAAAUCUUUUCUAUGUUCUUCAGCUUGGGCUGGAUAGUGACCUGAUCGAGUUUAGGUAUUAAGAGCCAAUGAGUUCGAUCGAUUAGUUCGGGAUCUAGCUGAAUGAUGUCAUAAUGAUGCCAUAAAUAUAUUUUAAUUAUCUAUAAAGUAAAAAUUAUAUAUAAAUUACACAUUAGCUUGACAUAUUUGGUGAGUUUAUAACAAAUAUGAAGAACUCAUUCAAAUAGUUGUACAAAUUUAGGCUGGAAAUAUAAUUUGAUAAGUAUUUGUGGUUUAAUAUAUAAUUUUUUUGAAACAAUUCAGUGUCAAUUCUUGAACUUAAAGUCCAAAUACACAUUGAUGAGCCUAAAACUUUUUAAUAGGACAAUUCUUCAACAAAAUUGAGGUUUGUAUGUAAAAAUACAAAAGUUAGAGUUGCGUAGAGUAAUUAUAAAAGAAGUUUGGGAGUAUAUUUAUGAUUAUAAAAAAUGGAGGGUCAAAACAAAAUACUAGAAAAGUUUUAUAUUUAAUUGGCAAUUUCUUCUCCACCAUGCAUCUUCAUCAGCCAGGAAUCGGGAGGUUUCAACCUUCAUCUGCAUUCCCCUUUUUUUUGGUUUCUUUUUGUAAUGAUUUCAUUGUUUUUUUGUCCCUUUUCUUCAACUGGGUAAGAAUCUUCCCCUUAUUCUUUAUUUUCGUUCUCUCCUGUUUUCUUCUUUUUCUAUUUAGAUCUAUAAAUCUUUGAGAGAUGACAAUGAUAGAUUUAUAGAUCUAUUUUCUCUUUUCCUUUUUUCUUCUCUUGCAGUAAUUGAAACUUUUUAUUAUGAUUUGUCAAAUAUCUUACCACCUUUUUUUGGAGAGAUAAAAUUAGGCUUUAGAAAUGAAGAAAAUUUUUGGAAAAAAAUCACAAAUCAGCAAUGAAGAAAUUCAGGUAAAAUGAGGUUUUUCCCGAUUUUAUUGAUUCCCAGUUUAACACUCGAUUUUUUAAGGUGACUUGGACCGAAUGCUUGAUCGGUCUUGGUUUGCCCGGUCAGACUGAUUAGUCUAAUCCAAAUUUUAAAACAUAGGAUUUAAAAGGACAUAUUUGACUUGGGGAUCUAGCAGCAGAGCAUUUGAGACUGAAAAUAUAUAUGGAUGUUAAACAAGGGCGGCAAUGGAAAGAUAGUCUAAUGCUAUACCAAAGCAAGGAAACAAAAAGAAAAAGGAUUAAAAGUAAAAUUAGUUGUGACCAAAUAAAUGUAGCCAACUUGAACAUGGUAUAAAAGCAAUUGAGCAAAUGCCUUGUUCAAUUCAAGAUAAUUGAGGUACAAAAUCUAGAUUAACACAGCAAAUUAGGUUGCAGAAUGUUGGGUGUGGGCCAGCUCAUUUGUGAGCCAAACUAGAAAAUCAAAUAUUUUUAGGUUUAAGUCAAAAAUUUGACUUAAAUAAAAAAGGCGAGCAGCCGCAUGAAGUAUGAUUCUUCGGUCCUUGUGCGAGAAAAAAGAUUUCAGCCGCCGCUCUUGCUGGCUUGGUGAAGAAGGAAAAGAGAAAAAUAACUGGGAGAUCUUGAUUGGAAGGUGAUUCGAAUCCCGAUUGAAAUAAAAUUUUACAUACGCGAUCCUCUCAUCAAUCUCUACUCAUCUACUGGUCCAGAUUUUAGAUUUCCUCUUCGUUUGGUGACACCUUUCUAAACUCACUUCUUUGAUAGUUGUAGUUUUUGGGGGUGAUUUUGUAGUAAUUUCGUUUGAUUGGUAUUGGUGAUAUUAUUGUCAACCGAAUAUUUUGGGUAGACCUGUGUAUUCCUAUUGUUGUGAUAGUGAAGAUUUUUGACUGGACUAGAUCCCGUGGUUUUUCCCAAUUUGGAUUUUUCACGUAAAAAUCUUGGUGUCAUGUGCCUUUUAUUUUUCUUGCAUUUUAUUAUCACUACUGGUAUUAUUACUUGGUGAUUUGAUUUAUUCCUAUUUUUAACCGGUACAUAGAGAAAGAGAAAUUUGUCUUGGAUUAACUCUGAUAUUGUGUGUCUAUACCCAUACCUCUUUCCCAACAAAUGGUAUAUUAGACAAUCUUCACAUUUUGCACUUUCAUAAAGCAAUUACACCACAACUAUUCAGUUUUAGAUCGACAACUUUGUAUGCUACAGUUCCUUAGGCUGUCAACCACGUAAAAGAUGUCUUUCCGCAUCAUAUUGAAUGCGUUAGUUACUUUGUUUAGCAAAUUUAUAAUUAUUGAGAUGCAUGAAAUACUUUUUUUUCUGCAAGAAGAAUGGUUAAAUUCUCAAUUACAAUGAAAACAGAUAAUAUAGUAAUCCCACCAAUAUUGUUUCUUUAAACAUUUUGUUGUAAUACUCUCAACCUUUUGCUUUUCUGGUAAUAUACUUUCUUUUCAUUUCCUUUCCUUCAAUUCAAAAGGUCACUAAAUUUUUUUCCUCAAAUGGCGCCUAAAUUACUUUAAAAGCAAAGAUAACUAGUGAGAUGCCAAAAAUUUCCAAUCAAUUAUAUGCUUUACUUUGAAACUUACCGGUAGUUCCACUUGUUUUAAAUUUGUAUUAUUUAGGUAGGUUAAAAAUCGAACCAAACUAUUCGAUAUUUGAAAUAAGUUUGGUUCAGUAAAAACUUGUUCUAACUUGAUUUAUGAAUUAAUCAAACAAAGUUUGAACAUCAUUUUGUGUUCAAUUAACUUUUAAACUCUAUUUAAUCCUGGUACAAUUAGCAUAAAACUUGAUUUUAUAAGUAAAAAAUUCAAGCUAUUUGAGCUCAACUCAAAUCUGGCUUGAUUAAAGUCAACAUUAAAUAUAAUUUCAAAUUUGCUAAAAUAAUUAAACAAAAUUGAACGCUAACUUGUCCUCAAUCUUACUAUUGUCCUUAAAUGCAGCCAUGCUGCAAAAUACCUAUGCAUUAUUAGUUGGCCACUUACUUCGACAUCUUCUUAUCCUCAACUUCUUUUGCCUUUCUUUCCUUUUUUGUCUUCUUUUGUUUUUAUGUUACAGUACGGUACACCUACAAAAUUAUUUUGCUACCCACUUUACCCCGCUAUACAACACGGAUGAAGGUUACUAAAUACAAAUUAGGGACAUGAGACUUAUGAAAUAGAGGCCGUAGAAAACAAAUGGGAGAACAAGAAAUCUAUAUUCUUUCUGUCAACUUGCAAUACUCAAUCUCCUUCAACUUCAAUUUCCUUCAAAGUUUCUUUUAAUUUUUUCUUGGUGCUUUAAACAUGACACAUUUCCUACUACCUUUUCUUUAAAAAAAAAAAAAAAAAAAAAACAUUGGCACGUGAAGUUGGCAAUUGGCACUUAUCAUACAAGUGGCUCCGGAUGUGCGGUAUCGUUUGUUUCUUUUGUUUCCUGGGGAUGAGUUUUUGGACUUGGACCACUCAUAAAUAAAGUUGUUUCCUCCUGUGCGGUAUUUCUUGUCAUGGUUGCUCUUACAAUACAGCCAGCCAAUGAAAGUGAAUGUGACAGAGAGAUAUACGCACGGAGACAAAGACAAGGCUGCUCGUGUCUCAUCGUACGAUCCAAUAAUUUGGGAAUUCGAAAAAUCUAAAACCAAAGGAGAAAACAAAUGUAAAUGUGUAAAUUUACAAGUAACCAGUAUUGGUGUAAUCAAUGCAUAAAUGUGUACAUUACAACUGAUAACAUGCAUAAACAAGAUAAACUCACAUUUAACGAGACUUGACUCAACGGUUAUGAUUGUUGAAUCUCAACCUUGAUUUUCUAGACGAACAUCUCGCUGUACAAAUUAUUUAAAUUGCUAUUUUUAAAAUUUUUGUAAAAAAAUAUAUUAUAGUGAUUUGAUAUAUGUGAAAUAAAAGGGUGAUUGAAAAAUUUAUUUAUAAAAAAUCUAAAAAAUUAUCUAUAGAAAAUAGUAAUGGAAGCAAAGGUUUUUGAAUUAUUGGAGCACCCCUAAAUUAGGAAGGACGAAAAUUCAUUAUCACAUCAUAGGACCAGCUAGUCUAUUAUUCUACAAGGUGAGAUAAUUAUGAAAUUGACAUGAAGAAAUACUUCCCACACGAGUCAUGAAUCGAUCAGAUGUGGGACUGGUGGCGGCCGCCAUCUCAAAAAUUAUCAUACGACAAGACGUGUUUCAACACCAUAAGUUGCUUUCGAAGAAUAUUAAAAAUAAUGUUCUGCACAAUAUUUGGACAAGGUCACAAGAAUGGCUCAAAUCACUGAAUCAAAAAAUCCUUUAGCUGCUCAGCUUGAGUUUCACUAAAUAUUUUGAAUUGCAGAGACCUAGUCAAAAAUCGAGUUUGAUCAUGAAAAACAAGGAAAAAAUAGAAAAGUUUUUCAUUUUUUGGUGAACCAUUUUCUUUUUUCUAUUUUGUUAAAGUUUUCCAUAAAAUAUGUUUACCAUAGUUUGAUGGGUUAGAUGCAAAACUUAGCUCUUAAUUAUAACAAAUUUUGCACUUUACUCCUUAAAAUUAUCUUAUUUUGACUUUACUCCACUAUUAGUCAACUCAAACAUUAUAUACCCAUAACCUGAAAAAAACAUUCAUCCUGAGGGUUAAUGACAGUAAAUCCCCUCAAGGUAUUGCAUGUUUUAUACUUUACUCUAUAAAGUCAUCUUUUCUCAAUUUGUAGGUUUGUCCCAAGACCAUUAGUUAACUCCAAUAUUCUGUAACACCCAAGAAAAAACAAUAGCUAAGAGACAUUUAUAUCCUUGACAGGAUAGUGAACUGAAUAAUAUUUUAUGGAUAUGAGUCUAGUUAAAUUUCAUCUCGUAAUUACACUUUUUUAAGACAGGGGGAAAUUUCUCGAUCAUUUUAUGCCUUAAGGAGGAAAAAUAAACAAAAUAUUAUUUAAAAAUAAAAUAUGAAAACUGAAAAUAUUACUAAAUUUGUAAAACCCGCUUAAAAACUGUCAAUCUCUCUUUUCAAAUGUGCAUAUAGGUUUGCUUUUCAUUUAAUGGCUACAUUUUUGCUUUGCAUAAAAAAUAUACACUUUUCGUUGUUAGUAACACUACAAAGGGGCAAAAACAUGAUGGAUUUGGCAUUCCAAAGCUUUAUUGUCACUUGUGCUCAGAGCGCACCCGACGUGUGUACAAUCAAAAAAUAUAUAAUAUUAAUAGUCAUAUAUUUUAAAUAAAAUUUUUAUUACUAAAGCAAAUUUUAAUCUUUUAAAUAUUUUUCAUAAAAUAAUUUUAUAUUGGUAGUUAUGUUGAAUACAUAUACUUAAAAGUAAAAAUAGUCAUGGGUGGUUAUAGAUAGUUAAAGUAAAAGUAAUUUUUAUAAGGGCAAAAAAGAAAGUUCAUAAAGUGACGAUAAAAGUUAACCCUAAUUUUAACCCCAAAUCUCUUUGUCAAGCUUUACAUAUAACUAGUGCCAAAGGCACACCCACAUGUAUGCAAUUUAAGAAUAAAUUAAUUUUUAUGAAAUUUUCUUUAAUGAAUUGAUAGUUAGUAUUUUGGUAGUUAUGUCAAUUGGUAGUUAUCUUGGUAAUUAAACUUUUUUUCAUAAUAAAAAGUUUGGAUGUUUAAAUUUUAAACAUAUUGGUAGUUGCAACAAAAAUUAUGUUGGUUAUAUAUAAUUGGAUAGUUAGGAUAAAAUUUAAUUUUGUGAGGAUAAAAAUGGAAGUUUAAAAAGUGACAAAAGGUAUUUACCCCACCCUUUCAUUUCCUAGAGUAAGUAAGGGUAAAUUUGAAAACACACAAAACUAACACCAAGUUAACUACCUACACAUGUUUUAUUAUUUUAAAGAUAUAGAUUUUGUAAUGCUAAAAGGCACUUUUCUCAAACUUCAACGGUUUACUACAGAGGCAUUUUUUUUACAAGUGCUCAAUACACACCCAAUGUGUGUGCAAUCAAAAAAUACAUAAUUUUUAUGGUCAUAUAUUUUAAAUAAAGUUUUUAUUACUGAAGCAAACUUUAAUCUUCUAAAUGAUUUUCAUAAAAUAAUUUUAUAUUGGUAGUUAUAAUGUUUAGGGGUAGUUAUGUUGAAAACAUAUAUUUAAAUAGUUGAAAGUAAAAAUAAUCAUGAGUAGAUAUAGGUAGUUAAAGUUAAAGUAGUUUUUAUAAGGGUGAAAAAGGAAGUUCAUAAAGUGAUCAUAAAUGUUAAUCCCAAAGUUAACCACAAACCCUUUCCUUAGACUUUAUAUGUAGUAUAGAUAUUGGUGAAUUUAACUAAUGAGGGAACAAAGUGAUAAAAAGAUAAUAAAAUUUGGAAUUCUAUGGGGGAAUUCUUAUAAAUAACCCGAGUUUGAUACUAAAAAAAUUAAUGCCUUGUUUAGAAAGAGAUUUUUUAUCAAAAAAUCUAUACGUUUUUCAUAAACACAUUUUUUAAUCACCUUUUUACCUCACAUAUAUGAAAUCGCUACAGUUUAUUUUUUACAAAAAUUUCAAAAAAUUGCAAUCCAAACAUAACCUAAACUUUUAUAGUGCGCCCAUGGAUAAUUAGGAAACUGUGAUGAUCUAAUAAAAGUUUUCCAGGGUUAAAAGUAAUAAGCCCCCAAAACUUUUGGGAUGCUUUGCACUACAGUCUCUAACGUUGAUUUUGUGCCAUUUAGUACUUUUGUUUUUUUAAAUGAGAUGUCUUAAAUUCAAAACUUCAUACUUACAAUUCCUUCCACCUCACCACUUAACCAUACCCUCCACCCCAAACUCCAAUUUUAGUACUUGUGUUAGUCAACCUCAACAUUUGCCGUUAAAUGGUACUAAUUUCUAAAAUUACCCUGAUUUCUAUGACAAAAAUACCUGUUGUCCUAAAUACAAUAAAAAGAUCUCCACAAAACCCUGCAAUCCUUUUGUUUAAUAUAAAAAAGUUUAAAAAAAAAACCGCAAGCAUUUUGACAGUGCCAAUACAACAAAACCACAAUCUUCCUUUAAUUAACUUAAAUGCAGCGAAGUAUUUCUUCCAAUCUUCUACUCCAUAGUCUUUUUUUUUUUUUUUUUGGAUUAACCGUAGGAGAGCGAAGUACUUUUGUCCUUUUUCUCCUUUUUAUCAAUCUCACAGCUGACAAAACAAAAAUUUUCAAAUAUAUCUAAACUAGCAGUUCCGUCUCUCACUUAUCUUUUUGCUUUCAACAGGUUUUGUACCUAAACAUUAUGUUUUUUUUUUCCCGCAAAAUUAUGUGCUAAGUACAUUCAUUUCCAGAAUAGACAAUUAGAAACAGCAAUGCUAUUAUUCAUGUUCAACUCGUUUGAAUUUGGAAAAGGUUUAAUCACAGAAUAAACAAAUAAAACUCGAAAACAAGAUUGAUUUGGAACCAACACACAAAUUUGGGUGCAAGCGGAUUGAAUAUGUUAUUGAACCCCACAAAAAAUUAUAUUGUUGCCCCACUUUGCCCCCUUAUUCUCCUUACCAGUAUUGCAACUAGAGGUGUUAAAAUGGAUGAUUUGGACGGGUUUGGAUUGGCAAAAAUGGAUAAUAGGUAUAAGUAAGUCAACCCAUUUAUACCUAUUUAAUUAAAUGGGUAUAAAUAGGCAAGCCAAAAAUGAAUUGGAUAACCCAAUUACUCAUUUAUAACCCAUUUAUUUUAAUUUUUUAUAAACUCAUUUAAAUUCAUUUUGCAAACUAGGUUAUCAAUUUAUACCACCCUUUACACCCAUCAUUAGUUUUAAAUAUUUACUUAUAAUGCUCAAUAAGCCUAUUUACCAAAUUUUUUUCCAUCCGUACUCUAUGUCGUAAAAUUACAUGCUAUUUAAUAAUUGAACAAUCAGAAUAUAAAAAUUUGAACUAAGUACUAUAAAAGUUAAACAUAAAAAUUUAAUCCAAAAAUUUUAAACUCCUAGCAUUUUUUUCAUGUGUAAAUUUAAAAUUUCAUUUUGAAAAAGUAGGAAAAGAGGCUAAAACUUGUCAUAAAUUGGUAACACUAAAGAGUAAGUUAACAAACUAAGAGAAAAAAAAAUGAUAAGAUAAAACCAACCAAUGAUAAUAAUAAUGAAACAAAAAUAGUUAACAUCAUAACAAAAUGAAGAAUCUGAAAAAAAAAAUGGGUGGGAGAAGAGAGAAUGCUUGGGGGAAGAUAAUUCUAAAUGGAUUAAUUGGAUUUGAUGGGUUAUCAAUAAUACCCAUUUAUUUAAAUGGGUAUUAUUGGAUAAUCCAUUUAUACCCAUAUGCAAAAACUUAAGAUACCCAUAUCCAUAUAUUCAUGGGCGGGUAUGGGUAAAUUUAGUUAAAUGGAUUCAUUUGCCACCUAUAAUUGCAACCAAUGCAAGUAAAAAUUGCGAUACUUGUUUACUACAAAAUAAGGACGUGAAUUUAUCAAAUAGAAAGUGGAGAGAAAAAAAAGGGCAAAAUACACUUAACUCUCUUGUGAUUUAUUGAUUUUUUACAUAACCUCCCUAUAGUUUCAAAUACUAUAUAUAACCCCCUCAUAAUUUGCAUUAAAGUUUCAAAGUGACAAAAGUGAUUAUUUGCAAUGAAACCCAUGAAAAUAUCGAAAUUGCCUUUGUUUAAAACCUAAAAUGACUGAACUGAUCAAAAAAUAUAAAUAUAAUAUGCAUGACACUCUAACAUCGUAUAGUUUUAUAUUUUACUAUAUAGUCCCCUUAUAGUUUAGUGUUUUACCAUAUAAUCCCCUUAUAAUUUUUAAAAUAUAUACAUAAUCUUUUAUGGUUAUAAAUAAUUUUUAACUUUACAUAAGAGUAUUUUUAACAUUCUAGUUGACUCCAUUAUGGAAUACAAAUUCAGUUAUUUUAAGACUUUAAUUCAAAUCAUGAGAGGGGUAUGUGUAUCUUUUGAAACUAUAGGAGAAUUAUGUGAAAAAAUAUUAAACCAUAGGGGGUAAAGUGUAUUUUUCCAAAAAAAAAAAAGGAAAAACAAGGAGUGAGACCAUUUUCUCAUUUUAUAUGUGCACUUUAGUAAAAUAGUUAAUCAUUUUUCUUCUUUUAAAUUGUAAAACUCAACCUCUUUUAAUUUAAAAUUUCAUUCGAAUGUUAUUUUAAUUUUGAUCUUAGUUCUUCAAAAUUGGCAUAUUAAUUUCCUACAAUUUUUGUAAGGAAAAAAAAAGCAUAAAACAUGGCACUUGAAGUUGGUUGUCGGCACUUAUAGCUUGUAUCAUUUGUUUGCUGGGUACAAGUUAUUGGACUUAGACAACUCAUGGAUAAUUAAGUUGAUUUCACCAGUGGGGUUUAUGGUGGCUUAUCUCCUUCUUAUCAUGUUUGUUCCGACGAUGCAGCCGGCCAAAGAAAUAGGAUGAGAAAGAGAAAUGGGCGCAUGGAGACGAAGGGCCGGCGGCUCCUUUUGAUAUAUCAUCGGUCCCAAUUGUUUGGGAAAUCUAAAAGCGAAGGAGAAAACAAAUGCAUGCAAUUAUGCGAAUCGGAAGAGAUCUGAAUUUUUUUGGAUCAAUUCAAGAACUCUCUAUAUUAGAAAGGGCAAUAAUGCAAUGUCACAUCCACAGGACCAGCUGGUCGUUUGUCAAUUAUUUUACAGUGGGAAAUUAUGAAAUUCGCAUAGGGAAAUACUUUCCUGCUCAUGAGCCGAUGAAACAGUGGAGUGGCGGCAGCCGCCGCCCUUCGAAAAUUUAAGUUUGUUUUUGGAUUGUAAUUUUUUUUAAAAAAAAUUCCUACGUUUUUUGUGGAUAUAUUUUUCAAUCACUUUUUUAUUUUACAUAUAUUAAAUCGCUACAGUAUUUCUUUUACAAAAAAUCCAGAAAAAUGCAAUUCAAACAAAGCUUAAAAUUUUAUUUAUAUCAGAUUUUUUUUUGUAAAACAUUAUAAUUUUAUUAAAUUUUGUAUUAAUGGCAAAAGUUACAUCAUCUGAAAAGUGGAUACUAUAGAUAUGAAAAACAGAUAAAAAUUACACUGUAAAAUUCUAAAAAAUAGUUUAAAAAAUGAGAUAAAAUAAUUGUAACCUCACGAAUAUCUAUGCAUGCUUGUGAUCGUCAAAUCUAUUGAUUAAUUUUUUCAAUUCUGAAUAUUAUGGUGAGAUUUACCAAAUAAACUCAAGAAAUUCCAAAUUUGAUAAAUAAAAUCUAAAAAAAAAGAGUUAGAUCGAAUAAAAGAAAAUAAAAAAAACUACCUAAAGCAUUCAUUAGAAAUCUCUAGGAAAGAAGAAAACUCUCACUAGGUAACACUAAGAGAGGAAAAAAUUCUCACUAGAAAAUUGUAAGAAAUUUUAUUUGUACAAAUGAAAAAAAACUAUAGAUAAAGCUCCUCCUAUGGAGAAAGAUUGAAAAAAUGUGAUUUCUCACCCGAAAGAAUUGAAUGAAGUUUUGGUUAGAGAAUUUUCCUAAAGAGAAACUAAUUCUCUCUUUCUUCUCUCAAGAAUUGGUGGGAGGUUUUUUUUAUGUCUUAUACAGUUCUUUCUUAUUUAUAUCAGAAUUAAGAGAAUGGAAAGUGAUAAUUUGGAGAAAAAAAUUUGAUCAAAGCCUUGAUAAUUGUAAGGUCCAAUUAAUAUUCUAGAUCUUGGCCAUAUUAGCUCGAGCUAAUCUAGGUCAUCCAUCUCUUUUCUAAAGAAAAUUUAUAUUUUUUUUUUGUUGUAAAAGUUAAUGGCCAGAUUUGGACCACAUCAGCAAAACUUGAUUUGAACCAUUAAUUGUACGUAUGCCAGGCAAUCGUGCAUUCUCCUAAAAGUAGCCAAUUGCCAUGGAAGGUUGUAAAUGACCAUCUUAAUCCCUGAAUUAAGAAACAGUCAUCCCAUAAAUCCUCUUCCUCCUUCCACAUUCGAAGACCGCCACCGCAGCUUACUCCACCCUUCAUUCACAAACCCAGUCAACAAUUUUUGCCUACAUAUCAAUCUUGAUUACCUUGCUAUAUCCCCUUACUCUUCCCUUCACGCUAUCUUCUUCCCAUAUUGAAGAAGCAAAACCAUGAUGAAAUAUUGUUUUGGGACAGGAAUAUGUCCAAAAGGGUGAUUUUAGGGCUAUCAAUGGGUCCGGACCCAAAUCUGAUCCAAUAUGCUCGUUUGUUCGAACCUGACCAAAUCCAAAUUAUAUGCAUUCUAAAUGGAUCGGGUAUGGAAUGACAUGUUCCGAUUCAUUCGGAUCCGAUCCAAUUAAUUGGACAUAUAUAAGUAAUAAUUAUAAUAUUCAUUAUAAAUUGUUACUAACCCACAUGUUUUCUCUUUGAAAAAAAAAGGAGGUACUCUAAGAACCAAAUAAUCUUUGGAAUUUUUCUCAUUGUGUAGUUACUAUUUUAUUAACAAAAUUUGUGUAAAAAUAGAAUUCAAAAAUUAUCAAAAAUUUUGUUAUACUAAAUUGAUUUUAUGGAUUGGAUAUAUCCGAAAUAGAUUUGAAUCCAACAGAAACUGGAUCCAGAAAUACAUAUUAAGACUUCAUUAGGUAAAUGGAUUGGGAUCCAAAAUAAUUAUUACCUGUCGGAUUUGUGUUAGCAGUUAUCAAUUUUACCCAGAAUCAACCCGAUGAGUUCUUAUUUUGUUUCUUUUUGGGCAAAGCUCAUACUAAUGGAGAGGGAUGCCAGUCCCAAAUUUAUUACUAAUAGAGAAAGGAAGGGCCAGGCAUUAAUCUAAACUCUAAUACAAGAAAAAGAAGCUAAUGAAAUGGAAAAAGGAGUACUACUCCCGUGCCGAUCUUAAUCUAAUGUUUGGCAAACUAAUACUAUCAACAGAAAUAAUAGCUUUUACUGUGAAGCAUGGUUCAAAGUCUCGGCCGACUCGUCACCGUCUCAGACCCUUCGAUACGUCACUGUGAACGGUUGAAACGGUCGAGUUACACUGAAUCACUCCGAGUCAUCCUAAGUCAACUCGAUUUUUUAUUAUUUUUACUAAUUUUUUAAUUAAUUUUGUUUACCAUAUUUUUUAUAAAUUUUAGAAUAUUAAAUAUUUCAAAAAUUCGCGUCUCACCGAGACUGCAUGCCAAGAUCGAUGUAGAACGGUCUAGGCCGCGACCGCGACUUUGAACCAUGCAGUGAAGGCAAUUCCGACGUAGAAGUGUAAAUCUGCUGCCGAGAGAGAGUUAAAGAAACAAGAAAGUAAACUGAAAAACUUGCUCCACCAUAAAUGUGAUGAACAAAAACCCGAUAACACCUUGAAGCAAAUGACGAAUUUGAACUAGGGCACUACACAUUGGCCAAUUAGCUAAAGCAUUGGUUGAUAAAGGUGCACAGGUAGCUUAGCAUCCACCUGUACCAGUACAUCAUCAGUAGUGCAUUAUUUUCUACCAGCAAAAAAUUUGCCUUGUCAAAUUCUUCAUAAAAUACAAAGACAAUCCUAUCAAUAUUAUGAUGCUAAAUGAGAAAUUUUGGGUUCGAGUCCUUCCAUCUAAAUUAUUUUAAAAAAAGCAAAAAAAAAAAUCCAUGAUGGUCUUGUAGAAGACUCUCUCGAGAUGAAGUUAACCUUUUAGUACUGGUAAUGGUAUUGAGUUUAUAAUGCUUUUCCAUGGUGGAAACCAUCAGACAGCCAUUACCGAUGUCCUCAUGGAAGUUUCUAGCCUAAAAAACUUUGCAGUAUAAGUAUUCUAAUCACUUAUUACAUAAAAUCCUAUCACCAAGGAACGUGCUCCUAACACAGCAAGACAAUUAUCAACCUUCAAAAUAAUCUUAAAAGCGAGCGAAGAGAUUCUUUGAAAAUGUGUUUCGUUCUUUCCACACCAUGAAAACCACAAAGCUAAUAUAGGUAAAAUACAUCUAAUGUGAUCAAGAGGUGCUUUAUCUAGAGACAAAUUAACAAGAAGACAUCAGCAAAGAAGAGAUACAUGUAUGAGGCUAGAAGGGAAUUCUGAAAACUGGGAAGUAAUGCCCGGCAAACUUGAACUGGAAUCGAGCCUUCUGUUAAAGUAUGCGGCAAAGAUGUUGUAAAAACUUGAUAUUUCAAAAGAUUUUUCGUUUGUUUCGGACUAGAGCUUUAUCUGAUAAUAUUUCAUCAGAUAUGGUUGUUUCUAUUUUGAUGGAGAAGUUUUCAAAGAUAAGGUUUUGACUAAAAGGCAAGUUCAAGUGCUAGAUAGGAAGUUAAGCUUCGGAUGGCCUUUUUUCAAAUGACUUGACCUUUUCCAAACUUAUCACCACAGAGGAUAGACCUCUGACUACUUCAAAAGAUAAAGUCUGGCACGAAGCAAGCCUAUUCUCACGGAAAAUUAGCUUUCAAAAUUCUAUCUUCUUCCGUCCCGUGAAGCUUAUAAAUAGAACCAGUUGCCAGGCUCAUUUCGCACUGCAAAAACGAAGUCUACACUUUAAAACACUCUCUACCUCCUCCUUUGUCUAUCCUUCACAACAUUCUUGCUUUUCUGCUGGGUUAGAAACAAGAUUUUUUUUGCUGGUUCUAUGUCCCUCUCACAAAGUAGAGGAAAACUUGUUUAAUUCUGGGGAAACGUUUCAAUACCCUGAAAUAGUUUCUUAGGACAGUGCUUUCUAGCACGACUCAAGUAUCCACGUGUUGACAUUGUUCGGGCCGCUUUAUCCAACAAUCUAAGAAACUAUGGCAUCUAACAAUGUUAGCACCCCACAGCCUUCAUCAGCAACUGUUGCAGUGGCACUACCAUUCGCCAAGCUCUUUCCGGAUGUAUCCAAAAUUGAAAUUUUCGCCAAUGAAAAUUUUAAAAGAUGGCAAGAACGUGUGCACUCUCUACUUGACAUCCAUGGAGUAGCUUAUGCGCUCACUGAAUCUCAACCUUCUGCAACUGCGGAUGCCAAGAGUCAAGAAGCAUGGCAAUAUGCCAAUAAGGUAUGUCGACACACUAUCCUUCAAACACUCUCUAAUGAAUUAUUUGACGUCUACUAUAGCAGCAAAGAAGCCAAGGCAAUUUGGGAAGCCUUGGUAACAAAGUUUACUGCCGAAGAUGCAACCAAGCAAAAAUUCGUCGUAGGAAAAUACAACCAAUGGCAAAUGACUGAUGACAAGGAAAUGAAAAUUCAAAUCACCGAAUAUCAAAUGCUGCUAGAGGACUUGAAAAAUGAAGACAUCAAUCUUCCUGAGAAAUUCGCUGCAAGCAUGCUGAUUGAAAAACUACCAGAGUCAUGGGCCGACUAUAAAAACAACUUGAAACACAAGGAGAAAAAUUAUACCAUGGAUGAGCUCGUGAAGCACAUCCUCAUUGAAGAUUCAAACAAAAGGGAGUUAAGAGCUACCAAGGCAAAGGAGACGGCUUUCAAAGCCAAUCUGGUACAAGGUAAUAAUAAAAGGUACGCCAAUAAAUCCCAGAAUUACAAGCCCAAAAAUUUUAAUUUCAAGCCUAACAAUCCCAACUUUAAGAAAAGGAAAGGCAAUUGAUUUUAUUGUGGAAAACCAGGACAUCAUGCAUUACAAUGCAGACAUAAUAAAGGUGACAGAGCAAAUGGUAAUCUUCCUAAGGUGCACUUAACCGAAGGAGAUGAUAUAAUUGCUGCUGUCAUCUCUCAAGUGAACAUUGCAGCCAAUGUCAAAGAGUGGGUGGUAGACUCUGGGGCUACUCGGCACAUAUGUGCAAAUUGAGAAGCAUUUUCCUCCUAUACUCCUAUAGGGGAUGAUGAGGAAGUUGUCUACCUUGGUGACUCACGAACUGCUAAUGUUCUGGGUAAGGGCAAAAUAUUCUUGAAACUCACUUCAGGAAAAACUUUGGCUCUCAAUGAUGUACUGCAUGUGCCCAACAUUCGGGCAAAUCUGGUUUCCGUAGGAUUGCUAGGAAAAGUUGGAGUGAAAGUGUCAUUUGAAUUUGGAAAGAUCAUAAUGACCAAAAAUAAUGUAUUUGUGGGCAAGGGCUAUUGUAAUCAGGGACUCUUUGUACUUAACAUUGCCAAUGUGAUCAAUGAGAAUGCUUCUUCUUCUGCUUAUAUUAUUGAUUCAAUUUCUUUAUGGCAUGCAAGAUUAGGACAUGUUAAUAUGAGUUAUAUAAAGAAAAUGCAAUCUUGUGGCCUGAUUUCUGGUGUUAAUGAUAAAAUGGAUAAAUGUGAGAUAUGUGCAGAAACUAAAAUGACAAAGAAGACUUGUAUAACUGUUCAAAGAGAAACUGAACUAUUAAAUUUAAUCCACACAGAUUUAGGUGAUUUAAAACAAACUAUGACUAGAGGAGGAAAAAGAUAUUAUGUCACUUUUAUCGAUGACUACUCUAGAUAUACUAAACUUUACUUACUUAGAAAUAAAGAUGAUACUCAUAAUGCCUUUUUAUCUUAUAAGUCUGAGGUAGAAAAUCAACUUAAUAAGAAGAUAAAAAGAAUUAGGUCUGAUAGAGGAGGCAAAUAUUUAGCCCUAGAUAAAUUUUGUGAACAUGAAGGCAUAAUACACGAAACAACACCUCCUUAUUCGCCAGAAUCUAAUGGAGUAGCUGAAAGGAAAAAUAGAACAUUAAAAGAAAUGAUGAAUUCUAUGUUAGUUAGUUCUCAUGCUCCUGAUAAUUUAUGAGGAGAAUCUAUUUUAUCUGCAUGUCAUUUACAAAAUAGGAUACCUCAUAAGAAAACUGGCAAAACUCCUUAUGAGUUAUGGAAAAGUUAUAAACCAAAUUUGAAAUAUUUAAAAGUAUGGGGAUGUCUUGCUAAAGUAUUGUUGCCUGAACCUAAGAAAAGAAAAUUAGGUUCUAAAACUUCUGACUGUAUGUUUAUUGGAUAUGCUGAACAUAGUGCUGCAUACAGAUUUCUUGUUUUAAAAAGUGAUACGCUUGAUUGUAAUACAAUUAUUGAGACAAAGAAUGCUGAAUUCUUUGAACAUAUUUUUCCAUUGUCGAGUAAAAUUUCUCAUGCACCUGUUGAAAUAAAUAGAGAAAUAAUUCCGAAUGAGGAAUUAAGAAGGAGUAAAAGGCCAAGAAAAGAAUUUUCUUAUGGAAAUGAUGUUCAAACUUUUCUUGUUGAUAAUGAUUCUUUAACAUACUCCGAUGCUAUUUCUUCCCCUGAUUGUAAAGUUUGGAAAUAAGCAAUUAAAUCUGAAAUUGAUUCUAUCUUGUCAAAUAAAACUUGGAUUUUGGUGGACUUACCUCCUGGUGCAAAACCUAUUGGUUGCAAAUGAAUUUUUAAAAGAAAAUAUAACUCUGAUGGCUCUAUAGAAAAGUACAAAGCUCGUUUAGUAGCAAAAGGAUUUUCUCAAAAACAAAAUAUUGACUAUUUUGAUACAUUUGCACCAGUAACAAGAAUUGCGUCUAUUCGAGUUUUAUUUGCUUUAGCUUCUAUCCAUAAACUUGUUAUUCAUCAAAUGGAUGUCAAAACAGCAUUUCUAAAUGGUGAUUUAGAGGAAGAAAUUUAUAUGUUUCAACCUGAGGGGUGUAUUGUAUCUGGACAAGAAAAUAAGGUUUGUAAACUAAUUAAAUCUCUUUAUGGCCUAAAACAAGCUCCUAAACAAUGGCAUGAGAAAUUUGAUCAAGUAUUGAUAAAAGAUGAAUUCUUGUCUGUAGAAGUGGAUAAAUGUGUGUAUGUCAAAAUUAUAAAUGAUCAAUAUGUGAUAAUCAGCUUAUAUGUGGAUGACAUGCUUAUAUUUGGUACUAGUCUAGAUAUUGUAAAUAAUACUAAAUAUUUUUUGUCCUCUAAUUUUGAUAUGAAAGACUUGGGUGAAGCCAAAAUGAUAUUGGGUGUUAAAAUCAUAAGGAGAGGUGAUGGUAUAAUGUUGUCACAAGAACAUUAUACAGAGAGACUUCUUAGGAAGUUUGAAAAUUAUGAUGUGACACCUGUGAGUACUCCUUAUGACGCUAACAUUCAAUUGAGGAAAAAUAAUGGCGACCCAAUUGCUCAGUCUAAAUAUGCUCAGAUCAUUGGGAGUCUGAUGCAUCUGAUGAAUUUCACUAGACCGGAUAUAGCUUAUGCUGUAUGUAGACUGAGUAGAUAUACUCAUAAUCCCAAUCGUGAGCAUUGGUUUGCAUUAGUCAGACUAAUGAAAUAUUUGAGAGGUACCAUGAAUUUUGGUAUACUAUAUAGUGGAUUUCCCACUGUAUUAGAGGGUUACAGUGAUGCUAACUGGAUCUCUGAUCCAAAUGAUACAAAAUCCACUAGUGGUUAUGUGUUCACCCUUGGUGGUGGUGCGGUAGCAUGGAAAUCAGCCAGACAGACAAUUAUUGCUCGGUCAACUAGGGAAUCGGAGUUCAUAGCUCUGGAGUUAACUGGCUCUGAGGCAGAUUGGUUAAGAAAUUUCUUAGUCAAUAUUCCUCCUAUUAAGGAUCUGUUGUCUCCUGUGUCUAUACACUGUGACUGUCAAGCGGCUAUUGCUAUUGCAAAAAUAAAUCUUAUAAUUGUAAAAGUCGACACAUGAGAUUAAGACAUGAUGUCGUAAAGCAGCUGCUUAGAGAUGGAAUUAUUUCCAUUGAUUUUGUGAAGUCAGAGUUGAAUUUGGCCGAUCUUCUGACUAAACCUGUAGGAAGAAAAUUAAUUCUUCAAACUACAAGGGAGAUGGGACUUAGGCUAACGGUUGUCAAUAGAGAUGGUAACCCAACCUAUGUGAUUAGUGAUCCCAUGAAAUAGGUUCAUAUGGGUAAUAACAAGUCGAUAUUGACUGUAAAAGCACUUGAAAUUUAAGUCCCUUCAAAAUUAAGUGCUUUGACUGCCAAUAAUUGUGAGGCUGAGUUUAAUACUCUUAAUGAAUUUAUAUUCCUUCAGGAAGGUGUAUUUAGGGCAGUAUACACUUGAUAAAUUCACCUAUAUGUGAGUGGAGUGGGGCCGCUCCUAUAAGAUUUUUUGGCCGAAUCUUUAGAGCUCUCAUGAACAACCAGGCGGGCGCACGACCUAAAUGCGCGAAACUGCAUUGAACAGCAAAAUUAUGGGUUAUAAUGUGAUUGAUAAGAUCUCUGUCAUACAAUAAGAAUUAUUGGUUCAUAGAAAGAUAUGUUUUCACCAAUAAUUCUGUAAGACAUAUUUUAUCAAUUUAAGUUUGGUUCAUAGUCCAAAAGACACCAAACUCAUUACAUUGAGCUCAGACAAAUCCAGCAGAUGUUUAUACUCUUUUGUCCAAAAUCUUUUGAAAUAGGUGGGAGAUUGUUGUAAAAACUUGAUAUUUCAAAAGAUUUUUCGUUUGUUUCGGACUAGAGCUUUAUCUGAUAAUAUUUCAUCAGAUAUGGUUGUUUCUAUUUUGAUGGAGAAGUUUUCAAAGAUAAGGUUUUGACUAAAAGGCAAGUUCAAGUGCUAGAUAGGAAGUUAAGCUUCGGAUGGCCUUUUUUCAAAUGACUUGACCUUUUCCAAACUUAUCACCACAGAGGAUAGACCUCUGACUACUUCAAAAGAUAAAGUCUAGACGAAACAAUCCUAUUCUCACGGAAAAUUAGCUUUCAAAAUUCUAUCUUCUUCCGUCCCGUGAAGCUUAUAAAUAGAACCAGUUGCCAGGCUCAUUUCGCACUGCAAAAACGAAGUCUACACUUUAAAACACUCUUUACCUCCUCCUUUGUCUAUCCUUCACAACAUUCUUGCUUUUCUGCUAGGUUAGAAACAAGAUUUUUUUUGCUGGUUCUACGUCCCUCUCACAAAGUAGAGGAAGACUUGUUUAAUCCUGGGGAAACGUUUCAAUACCCUGAAAUAGUUUCUUAGGACAGUGCUUUCUAGCACGACUCAAGUAUCCACGUGUUGACAUUGUUCGGACCGCUUUAUCCAACAAAAGAUUCAAUCGAAUAGCUACUAGCCAAAUUAUCUGAACAAGAAGAGCAUUAUUUGGAAACCAAAAUAAUACCAUGGACAUGAAUAUCCUCAUCUCAACGGCUAGAGGGAAUUCCAUGUGAUCUUCAAAACAAUGGAAGAAUUCUUCUUCUUUCUCACCUCCCCCCUCCCAAGCCGAAGCUAGAGUAAAACAACCAAAGGUAAAUAGCUGCCACACCAACAUAUCUUCUUGAUUUGAUCAAACCCUUAACUUCAAAAUUGCAGCCACUAUACGAAGAGGAAGCCGGUCAUUCAGCCGAGCAACAUUCCAAUCGAAAUUCAUAAGAAAAACUCAGCUACUAGACAAUAUGGUGGAUAAUCCAUAUCACAAACAACAGCAGAGGGUUCAUCCAAGACCCAUCUAUCAAACCAAAAAUCUAUCAUUCUCUACUCUACGCACCAAUCGAUAUUCACUUCAGCAACUCCUUUAAUGUAAAACAAAUGUUUUCAAACAACUUAACCCACGCAAGAUUGAACUUGCGUUGGAUGAAGAGCAUGAAGAUAUUUCCGCUACGUAAACUUUGCUUAAACUGUUUUUUUUUUCUAAAAUUCUAUCGUAGCUUAAUACUGAAAGCAUGGAUCUAAUCCCUUGACUUUCUCUACUAGAAAACGUAAGUUUUCCCAAGAAGACCAGUGAAUAUGCCUCGAAUUAUCUUUAACAUCUGACAGAAAGCUAUUAUACGUACAUUCAAUAGUUCUAACCACCACUUUUGGAGGAGAUAGCACUUGCAACAAGUACAUAAGAAUUUAAGAAGGGACAUGUUUCAGUAUAAUUAUUUUCCCACUAGCUGAUAAGAAUUUAGAAUGCCAACCAGAAUUCUCCCUCUGAUUUUCGAUACAAUGCUUCAAACAUUACUCUCUUUGAUCUACUCUCAUAUAAAGAAACUACCAAAUAGGAAAAGGGGAGACAUUGAAGUUGAAAUCCCAAAUAGAACAUACCAUACACAUCUAGCAGUCAAGAUCUUAUCGGAACAAAUAAAUAAGCUAUUUGCAACCUUGAUCCACUGAUCAGAUUAGUAGUGAGAAAGAAAGUACUUUAUCGCCUUCAAACACCUCUUCAAGCAAUGUGUAAAAAUGAUUGUAUCAUUAGCAAAAGCAAGAUGCAAAACUUGACCUCCUGAUAAUGUAAAAAACAUCCUCCUCCCAUUUUCAAAUAAAUCAAUCAAUCCAUGACCAAGAUAUUCAGCAGCUAUCACAAAUAAAGUUGGUGAUAAUGGAUCUCCUUGACGACGAACACCACGAAAGGACUUUAAGAAUCCCACAACUCCACUAUUUAAACUAAAUGAAAACCAAUUGUUGGAGACAAUGCGAAACACAAGAUCAUUCUUGUAUUCGCUAAACCAGAAAUCUCAAUAUUUGCAUAAUGAGAGACCAAUUCGCCUAAUCAUAUGCUUUCUCUUAACACAUUCAGUUCCUGGAGUUUCUUAUCAAUCUCAGCCACAAGCUCUUGAGCUAACAACAUGAAAUCAUUAAUUCGUCUUCCCAGAAGAAAUCCCGUCUGCAAUGGGGACAGAAAGAUAAUUUAUGGGAGAAUUGUUGGGUUUGUGAGUCCAACCCAUUUGUUGGGCCAAGUCACAAUUAGAGCCCAAAGCCCAUGGUCAUUUGGUUUCCGAGUCAAUAUUUGACUUGAGAUUAUAGGAAGUGACUAGUCAAUUAACUAAAACUUGAAGUCGCACAAAAGGGAAUAAAUAUCAACCUAUGAGAUUAAUUGCAACGUUAUUAAACUCGAACGGGAUAGCGACUUGGCUAAACUAUUGAAUCAAGGGUCAACUAGUCGGAUCGGUUGGACCGCUUUUAAAAACCCGCUCAUGUCAACAUGUCGUCAUAGUUAUUUUAUUUUUUUUUAUAAAUUAUAGAAAUAUAGAAAUUAACUUCUUAGUUAUAUUCGAUCAAUCAUAGAAAAUGUUCCAAAAAUAUUAGACUUGCAAUCAAAUAUACACCUAAUAAUUAUAUAUAAAAAUGUAAAUUCAUGGCUAAAAUAUGUCCAUUCUCCAAAACUACUUGAAAAACUAAAUUAAAACAAAUUAAUGCAAGUUGGAAUCACUGAUGCUAAAAUGAUAAGAUCAUAUGGAUGAAAACAUUUUGAUUUAGAGAUCAUUCAGGAAAGGGAAUGAUUUUUGUAUUUACACUAAGUGGAUGGCGUUUUCUUAUUCCUAUUAAUAAAUAAGACUCAAAUUAUGUUUGGGAAAAAGAAGCAAGAAAAGUUUGAAAAUUAGGUCAAUCAGUUGAACCGGGUCACUGGUUUAGUCAAUUUUUGACGGUUUUGACCAAAGCGAUUUUGUACUACAAACUAGCUCGGAAAGAUGGUCGAUUCAUAGUCGGACAGGUUGUCAGGACAGAAGAAAUAAGCUAAAUUUAAGAAUACUUUGUAACGGUGACGUUUGGGGAAUAAUUGUAGUGCAGCGAUGACGUUUUGUGAAAUGUUAGUAAUAAAAAGGGAUAAGUGGAACGGUGUCGUAUGAAAGGCUGAGUUAGUUAGAACAGUCACGUGGGUUGUGACAGAAAUUGGGUAGCGGUAGUUAAUUCAUCCUAUUUGUACACGUUUGAUUGGCUAAAGAGGCAUCAGAGAAUAACAAUUGCAUUUUCCCUCUUUUCCUACUUUCUCUUUCUACUCCCCUUACUCUCUGCAACUUCUUUUCAAUCUUCUCUCUCACGAAGCUCUUCUGAGCUUCUCUCCUUUCUCCAAUUCAGGGAUAUGGUCGUAGGAGCCUGACAAGUGAUAUCAGAGCUUGUCGAAUCCUUGGAAUUGAACAGCAAUGGCGGAGAGUACCAGAUUCAAGACUCUGGAAGAACAGAUCAAGAAAUAAGAUUCCAAGCUCCAGGAGGUAAUAGAAAGUCUGUAGGCUUCGCACCACCAACAACAGCAGCUUCGCGAGGAGCUGCGAACAGAACUCGAGGAGAACAACCAGAAAAUGGAAGGUCUGGUAAUAAGAUUGAAACAAGAGUUCAGCGCCUUCAUGAAGAUGAUGCUGGAAAGAGAGAAACUGAAUUAUGAACCAGGAAGAACCCUGAGUGAUCAACCACCUCUGCUGCCAACACCACCGCCUAGUCAGAGGCUGCAAGUUGGACUCGAAGGUAUCAAGAUUGGGAGGAGAGAAACAAACAAGGCACUGAUUCCAAAUCCCCCAAAAAUUGACUUGCCUCUAUUCGCUGGGGAAAGUCCAAGGGAAUGGAUCAGGAAGUGCAACAAGUAUUGCAUAAACUACCAAAUUCCUAAGGAACAGAAGGUAAAGGUGAUCGAGAUGUACUUGGAAGGGAAGGCGGGCAGGUGGUUCCAGGGAGUUAAGGCGGAGAAACCUGAAAUCACGUGGCCAAUGUUUGAAGAAUUAUUGGGCAAAAGGUUCGAUAACAAGGCAGGUAAGGAUAUUGUGGAGGAAUUUAACAAAUUGCACCAGACAGGGAAGGUGGAGGAGUAUCAGGAAAGGUUUGAGGAGCUCAAGGUCCUCAUGACAAUGAAGAAUCCGCAUCUGAGUGAAGAAUAUUUUGUAUCCAGCUUUAUCAGUGGAUUGAAAGAUGAAAUCAAGACUAUGAUCAAAAUGUUGAGGCCUACCUCUCUGUCCGAGACUUUUGAAUUAGCAGUAUUGCAGGAGAAUGCACUGAACCUUGUGAGGGCCUCAAAAUUUAUUAUUUUAAUAAGAAUAUUAUUAUUACUAUUUCAUUUAUUUAUUUUAUUGUUUUAUUUAUUUUAUAUAUAUAUUUUUUGAAAAGUUAAAUAAUAAAUGUGAAUACAAUUAUAUUAUGUAUUUAUAUAAAAUUACAUGAUCUUUAUGUGCAUAGUUCGCAUUUUCAUAAUUAAAUUAUUUUCAUUCGAACAAAAUUCCAAUGUUUGACUGACUAGUGCUAAGUUCAGUUUUUAAGCCGUGUCGAGGAAUUUAACUUUGGUGAAAGAUUAGUCUAUGAGUAGCUUUAAAAGAAUUAUAAAUGAGAUAGAACUAAGAUAGAUAAGAAAAGUGUAGUGGACAAAUUUAAGUGGAACAUAAGCAUUGGUCAAAGUUGGACAAUUUCCGCUAAAACUAAGUUUUAAUCUUGCCAUUGUUUCUUCCAUUUAAUUUCCUCCAAUUCACUUCAAUUUCUUUUCCUUUCUUCCUUAUUAUAGUCGAGAAUCCCCCUCCCUCAUUAGCCAAGAUAAUCACUUUCAUUCCCACUAAAUUUACUCUUAAGACAUUAAUAUGUAAGAGGGGACAUGAUCCUUAAAAUAGGGCUUUAAGUCCUAUCCUUCUCUUCCCAAUAUAAUGCUCCCAAUUUUUCAAACAUUUCAUUCCUUUUCUUCUUCCCUUAUCAGCCGACCACCCUCACACACUCUCUCCCUCUUUCUAGCCAAAGCUCUAUCUUCUUCUUCCUCAACUCAAACUCCAUGACCAACCAACUUCUAGCUUCACUCCAUCUCCUAUUUUUUUUUCUUGUUGUUCUAGCCGAGAGAAUGAGAGGGAGAAACCGAGAGGAGCUCUUUGUGGUGGCUGGCCAGAUUCUUGGAGAAGGAAAGAGAUCUCUUCGUGGUGAAGAUUGGACAUCCUAGCCUUGGGAAAAUCAGCUAGAACCUGAGGUAGUUCUCUAACCCAAAAGCUAGAGCUUUCAUGUUAUCUCUUGAAGAGUGAAUCUUGAAACUUCAUUGGGUUGAAUUCUUGUUGGAUUUGGUUAAUGUACGGGUUCUUGGGAUUCCCACAAAUGUAUGAUCUUGGUUGCUAGCAUGAUUUUUGAUUGGUAUAUGUGUGAAUAUUUGGAGUUGUGGCUUGAACUUUGGAAGGGAAGAACCUUAACAGAAAUCGGGAGAAAGAGGGGGAGAGAGAGAGAGGGGGGACCAAAAUGGUUUCUGUUUUCUCUAUUUUUCUUGGCUGUGUUUUCACAAAUUUAAAGAUUGAUUUGGGAGCUAAAAAUUUAAGCUUUAAGCUGUCAUUUUCUCUUACAAAAAAAAAAAAAAAACCCCUUCAAAUGGCGUUGCAAAAUGGUUCCAAAAGAAGGUUUCAAACCUGGAAAUUUCAAAUGAGAGUACGGUCCGAAAUUUCUGUGAUUAUUCGAAAAUGUUUGGGGCUCAAUUAGCCUUAGCACAUAACAUGAAAGUUGUAGAGAAUUGAGUUUAAAUUAUGCCUGUAAAGUUUCAGCUCAAUCGGAGCUGGGUAUCCUGUGAAAUGACAAAAUUGCCCCUGCUACCCUGUUUCUAUCAGAAAUGAUAAUCAGCCUCUGUAAUUGGUUAGUUUGACCGGGAAUAUUACUGAAUUGGUUGUCAAUGUCUUCUUAAGAAUUGUAGCCUUGUAUCUUAGCUUUGAAAUGGCUUUGGAAUCACCUGAAUCGGAGUUGUGUGUGCUGAGUUAAGAUUAACUGAAUCAGGACUAUCAGUAAUUGUGUCAGUGAGAAUUGAACCAAGAAACUUGGGCUAUUUCGGUAAAUUUGAUCUAGUUAGGGUGAGAACUGGGUUGAGAUGUCUUCACAAGAAUGGUAGAUCUAUGUCUUAGCUUCGAAACGGUAUAUUUUUUGUUUCAAUCCGAUAAGUGUAGCUCGAGUUGUGCUUAAAUUCCUAAAAGGAUUUGGUAAAUGGAUUUACGAACUGUACUUUCUUAUUAGGUGAGUGUGUACGUUAUCACACUCGCCAAAGGACAUGUGACUUUUCACUAUUUGAGUGACCUAUUUACCAAUGUGUUUAUGUGGUCAAUGUGGUUACUGGACGCUUGGUUUGAGGUGAUUAUUGUGAUUAUUGUGGCUGAACCCCUUGAGCAUUUGUUCGGGGUGACUAGCUUGAGGAUUUUAAUUGCUUUCUUGUUUUUGGCUUGAUGAUAGGUAGAGGUCUGGAGGUAUAUUGAGCUUUAGAUGCAUAUAUGUGAUAAAUCUUGCUUUAUUACAUGUUUGGCUUGUUAAUUAUUGCCAGAUAUUCCUUUAUUUGGAUAGAUGAACUUGUGUGUGUUUAAGUAUAGCAAGAGGAAAAAUUUUUGUUUUGAAUCUUUCAUGUUGGCCGAAAUUUUUGGGACAAAAUUUCAGAUUUUUGGAGCUUUUAUUUGAGUUAAAGUUGUGCCAAAAUAAUGGAUUCUAAGUGUAUUUGGGUUGAUUAAACCGAUUGGCUCUUCAAAGGAAAAAAAAGGAGUGAACUUGCUAAAGUGAAAACUGGAAAUCUGCUUUCUGGAACAACAGACCAGUUUCGGAAAAAAAAGUUAUAUUUUCAUGUAUACCACUCCAAAUCGAGUCCCAUUUGUUUUUUUUUUUUGAAACUAGACACAUAAGGUUACAAAUCAUGUAAAUUUCAGGGGCUAACUCAUUUUCUGUGAUUUUUGGUGUUUUUUUAAAGUCCGUUGGAAAAACGGAAUUUUACCUGCCCUGCAUUUUACUGUAGCAGUCUAUUGACGGAAACACUGGGCAAAAUUCGUAUGGAAUGUCAUCAAGGUGUCUUCUACAAAGUUUUAGCCCUUUCAAUUAGGUUUCCAACGGUAUCAACUAUGCAAAUUUUGGACUCGUAAAUAUUAAGUUACGAUUUUCUAAAGAUUUCUACCAUAAACCUCCAGUUUCCUGAUUUUUACAAUAAACAUGAAAACGACUUGAUAUUUUUGCUUGGCCUUGAAUAUGCACGUGAAUGAUCGUGAUUAUACAUGUCUCAGGUGAAUACGAGAACUCCGAAGAACCCGUUUAGCCGCUUAACUUUUUCUCUCUCAUGACUUUUGGUGAGUGUCAAAUGCAUGUUAAGUGUUUAAAUGAAAUGUUUCUCGUACUUGCUAGUUCAUGAGGGUAGAGUGUACUUUACCGCCCUUGUCCUCUAUUUCAUGAAAUUGCUUGCUUGAUAAGUGAUAAGUGUUACAUGUGAAUGUAAAUGAAAGUGUUUUCCGUGAGCAUUGAGCAGCAGAAUGUAUCACACCCUUUUAGGGUUGGAGGUACCGCUCAUCCCGUCUCAAUGCUAUGACCAAAUCUUGUCGAUUGGAGAUUCGUCUCAUCGACCCAAAAGUGAAUGGGGGGGGGAUGCCCCAACCCAUUGGCUAGCCUUGUAACUCGAGCCGGCAAGGGCUUGGUCGAGAAACUUGGUGAACCUUAGGCAGUGUUAUAACUUGAUCCAAAUAAGAUGUCUUGCUAGGUAUCCUUGUUAAGUGAUACCACCUACAAGCUUGUUUGGUUACGGAUCCAAGAGGGUGUCAUGGUGGCUGGAGGUAGUAAGUGGAGUUCUACAUGGAUAACUGUAAAAGUUGACGGAGGGUCAACUACCUGAGCUUGGAUAGCGCGUGGAUUAGCUCCUGAGAGCUCUCGUAUCCUUUUAAUUGUGAUUAAAUUCCUUACUUGCUAAAUGUUUCGAAGUUACUUGUUACUCAAGUUAUUGCUUUAUAUUGUGUCUUUGCUCGCAUGCUUGCAUGUUUUUCCCUUGGCCUCAUUGAGCGUCAGCUCACCCCAAUUUGUUUUCCUUAACAGGUUUGGAAGUGGAAGUUCUGAGGCUUAAUUAGUGACAAUCCCUUUGGGUAGAACUAGUCGUUAUCUUUAAUUCUGGGACUCCAUAGUGUAAAACUUAUGAUUAUUUUGGGCUUUCGGUAUUGUAAAAGUACAUUGAAAAUCUUGGAUGUAAUAUAGAAGCAUGAAUUGUUCUUUUAUAUUUUAGAGUACAUGAAUGUUUUAGUGGAGUAUUUCAUGUGAUAUUGGAGUUUAAUUUGUAAUUUACUUGAAGAUUGUAGUGAGUCCCGGCGAGAGUUGGGCAGGCGGUCUGCCGAACCCUUUGGUUCGCCUUAGGGGGAGGUGGGGUCGUCAUAGUUGGUAUCAGAGCUCUAGGUUUCAGAUCUCUGUAGUGUAUCCUAAGUUCUAAAAGUUGAGGAUGCCACACAGUGGGAUUCGGGUUCGUUUGAAUGUUAAGUGAAAAAGUGAAGUAGUGAGCAAUUGUGGUUUCGAUGGUUAUUAAGAUUCAAUAAUUGAGGAUUAUUGUGCUAGACUAGCAAGAGAGAAGAAGAUUGUAAGAGAUUAAACACUAUUUAAAAGAUAGUAAGUAAAUUUCUUGAAUAAUGGCAUUUGCUAGGAGGCGUUCUUGAUUUAAGGACUUAUGGGGAAAUAAAUGAUUAAUUUGUUUGGGAUAACCUUUAGUGCUUGAUCGUUGCCACUAGAUAUAUUUUAGAGUUGAUAUACCUUGUUCUUGCCUUGGGAACAUGACUGCAAUUAUGUCUUGGAAUUUGGAAGGCCUACCUUUUGUAGUACCUAGUUAAGUAUGUGGUGACUCGUGCUUGUUAAAGGAUAGAUAUUAUGAUGGAAUGCGGAACUUUAAUUGAAAAGAUAGUUGAUGUAGCUCUAAUGUUCAAAAUGAGGUUGGCCUUACCUAAGGGAAUUAAGCCCCCUCGCUCAGUUGCAAGCUAGACUAUGGAGCACGACCUUUUAUACCUUUUGUUUAUGAUAGUUGGGGUGAUGCUUGUGCUUUGGCCUGUAUAUUUUGUUAAGCAUGAUAUUUGUUCCCUUUUGAAGUAUUUGAAUGCUAUAAAUUCUAUACCUGAUCAUGUUGACUUGUUAAUUUGUUUGGUAGUACACAUGCAAAGUUUUAUUUUCAUUAUCGACUCAUGCAAUGACAUGCUCUCAUUUUGGUUGAUUGUUCUCCCUCUUGUAUGACCUUGUUCAUAAAAAAAAAAUUUGAUUUGUAUGUCAUCUGAUCUAUUGACUGUUCCUGUGAAAAUAUGAAGUGUGCUUUGAUUGCUUUUCAAGUUUUAAAUUCCAUUUUUCCUUCAUUGGACAUAUUUAGAUUUAUAUAUUUAUAUAUUUAUUCAUUUACUAGAGUUAUCCAUCUAUUAGUUAUUUAUUUAUUUAUUAUUUUUGGUCCUCCGUAAGAAUUAGAAAUAAAGGGUAGAAAGGAUCGAGACUGUGGGCCAGAGGGGCCAGGCAAACCCCAAAGCGUGGAAGAUAAUUGGGAAAUAAAGUUGAGGGUUAGUGAAUGAUGACAAAGAGAUAACUAGUGGAGUAUAUAUUGAAUUAUUAUAAUUAAAGAAAAAAAAAAGAGUAACUGCAAGGAGGUAAACUAGUGGAUAAGAUAAGCUGUUAUUAAGAAGUUUCAUUUAGUGCGAGUGUGACAAAAUUUAUGGUAAACUUUGGAGAUCUAAGACUUGUUAUAAUUAGGGUUGGAGUUUUGGAUGAGAUAGGUGUUUGAACUCAUUAGAUUUACAAGUUUAUGGUUAAAUUCAAUGAUUCCCGGUUAAUUGAGCUUGGGUUAUGGAAGAUAUUCCUUGGACUUUGAUUACUAGGCUAGAUGCCUCGGGAAUUCUCUAUGCUUCAUAGUGUAAAAUUGUGGUGAAUCUUGGCGGAUAAGAUAAGAGAGCUUGAUAUAUGUUGAUUAUUGGAUAUUGUGGUUAAUUCAUGAGAUUGAUGAAUUAUAAUAGGAAAGUGAUGAUAGGAUCGGUGAAAAUUUUUGGUAGUAUCUCUGCUGGCCGAACAUGUUUAGUUACCUUUAGCCCUGUUUUCUUACAAAUCAUUGGCAAAAUUUUGCUUAAUAUUUUAAACGUUGAUUCUUGAAAAUGAAAUUUGAAGUUGAAAGGAAAUAAUUUUUAAACCUGGUUUUGCUAAAAAUUUUUCCAAAAAGGAACACCGUACAGUUUUAAAAUUUGUGAUGCAUUGGUGUAAUAUAUAUAUAUAUAUAUACACAUAUAUACAUAUACAUAUAUCAUAAAAAAAAUCCAAAAUUUAGUUUCGUUUAUUAGAUUUAAAAGUUGACAAUGGCUCUUUUCACCGUGUAAAAUUUUCAAAUUUUCUUAAAUUCUAUGAGCAUCGGAAAUUUUCCUACGAUAAAUGAAAUGUCAAAUCCAUUCUUGCUUUUCCUAUUUGUUAAAGCUGUAGUUUAAGGUCAAGAUCCAUUUAUUUACAAAUUUAAUCUUGAAAGGAUGCCUUUUGGGACAAAUGUAGAACUUUUGAAUGGUAUAGGACUGGUGAUUUUUGGAUUUAUGGAACUUAAAAAUACAGACAAUUUUAGUUUGAAAUAAAAGUGUCCUUUUAAACCUUACGACCUUAAAUAUGAAAAUAUUGAUCCGAUUUGAACUUGAAAAGAGACACGAGAAAAAGUUAAGAUUAACUCGUCAAAGGAUAUUAAUGGUUCGAAACCGUUAAAAGAGUUAUACAGAUAAUAGAAGGAGAGAUUGAUAGAUAGUUUUGUAUAAUCCAAUGGGAUCCUAGUACUUGAUCUAAGUCGAAACCGAACGAGGAGAUGAGAUCUAUUGGUAUUUUGAUGGAUUGACCUAGUUGAGUAACUAGUAAGGUUCUCCCUUGUGAACUUAAUGAUUACUUUACAUAUAUCUUGUGAUUGGCCCUAUAGGCAUGUUUUAAACUUGUACGAAUAUUUGAACUUCCAAGUUUUGUAUUCAUUAUUUGUGGUGUGACCUGGAUGGAAUGAAAGUCCUUUCAAUUUUUGCUUAACCAUUACUGUGUAUAUAUCCAAUUACUUGUUGUUCCUUUUUACAAAAAAAAAAAUAUUUAUACAAAUGUAUAUACUCUGAACUCGCAUAAAAAUUGAAAAUCAGGCAGAGUUUGGGUUUGGACCUUUUCUUAGAAAUAAGAAUGAAUAUUGGUCGUGAAUUGGAGAGUAAAUAGUUAAGUUUUAUGUGGCAUAAAAGCUAAUUCUCAGAUUAGGUGUGAAGAGUAGAGGCGUUGGACCGAAGUUUAAGUAAAUAUGAACCUGCAUGUCUGCUUAUUUUCUUAAAAGCAUUUUAUUCUCAAAAGUGAUUUGUGGGGUUAAAUGAUUUUUCUUGAUCAAACGUCCAAAUAACAAAUGUUAAACUUCUUACCAAAAGUCGAAUGCAUUUAGAAAUUUUGACUAUCAAGAUCAGAACCAAUUUCUUUUCUUCUUGUCUUCCAUUCGAAUAGCCAUUUUAUUUAUAUAUAUAUAGACCACAAUUUUUCCAAAUGUGUAUUUGAUAUCCUGUUAUUAGUUUGGUUACGAAAGGUACGUGAAAAAGCUUUCCUCGAACAAAUAAGAUUUUCAGUUGGCCGUUUUGGGACAAAAGAAACUGGAUCAUUUCUAAAAUUGUUAAUUUUGAAAAUCGAAUACUAGUAAAUAAUUUUGGACAAUUUGAGUACAACCAUUUGGUGAGUGAAACCUUUUAUAGAAAAUAUAUCUUUGUACUCGAGUUUUGAACUACAUGAUUGAGUCAUUUGAUUUAGUCGAGAAAAAACAAAGUAAAUUUCGAGGACGAAAUUAUUUUAAGGAGGGAAGGAUAUGAGGGCCUCAAAAUUUAUUAUUUUAAUAUUAUUAUUAUUAUUACUAUUUCAUUUAUUUAUUUUAUUGUUUUAUUUAUUUUAUAUAUAUAUUUUUUGAAAAGUUAAAUAAUAAAUGUGAAAAUAACUAUAUUAUGUAUUUAUAUAAAAUUACAUGAUCUUUAUGUGCAUAGUUCACAUUUUCAUAAUUAAAUGAUUUUCAUUCGAACAAAAUUCAAAUGUUUGACCGACUAGUGCUAAGUUUAGUUUUUGAGCCGUGUCGAGGAAUUUAACUUUGGUGAAAGAUUAGUCUAUGAGUAGCUUUUAAAGAAUUAUAAAUGAGAUAGAACUAAGAUAGAUAAGAAAAGUGUAGUGGACAAAUUUAAGUGGAACAUAAGCAUUGGUCAAAGUUGGACAAUUUCCGCUAAAACUAAGUUUUAAUCUUGCCAUUGUUUCUUCCAUUUAAUUUCCUCCAAUUCACUUCAAUUUCUUUUCCUUUCUUCCUUAUUAUAGUCGAGAAUCCCCCUCCCUCAUUAGCCAAGAUAAUCACUUUCAUCCCCACUAAAUUUACUCUUAAGACAUUAAUAUGUAAGAUGGGACAUGAUCCUUAAAAUAGGGCUUUAAGUCCUAUCCUUCUCUUCCCAAUAUAAUGCUAUCAAUUUUUCAAACCUUUAAUUCCUUUUCUUCUUCCCUUAUCAGCCGACCACCCUCACACACUCUCUCCCUCUUUCCAGCCAAAGCUCUAUCUUCUUCUUCCUCAACUCAAACUCCAUGACCAACCAACUUCUAGCUUCACUCCAUCUCCUUUUUUUUUUUUUGUUGUUCUAGCCGAGAGAAUGAGAGGGAGAAACCGAGAGGAGCUCUUUGUGGUGGCUGGCCAGAUUCUUGGAGAAGGAAAGAGAUCUCUUCGUGGUGAAGAUUGGACAUCCUAGCCUUGGGAAAAUCAGUUAGAACCUGAGGUAGUUCUCUAACCCAAAAGCUAGAGCUUUCAUGUUAUCUCUUGAAGAGUGAAUCUUGAAACUUCAUUGGGUUGAAUUCUUGUUGGAUUUGGUUAAUGUACGGGCUCUUGGGAUUCCCACAAAUGGAUGAUCUUUGUUGCUAGCAUGAUUUUUGAUUGGUAUAUGUGUGAAUAUUUGGAGUUGUGGCUUGAACUUUGGAAGGGAAGAACCUUAACAGAAAUCGGGAGAAAGAGGGGGAGAGAGAGAGAGGGGGGACCAAAAUGGUUUCUGUUUUCUCUAUUUUUCUUGGCUGUGUUUUCACAAAUUUAAAGAUUGAUUUGGGAGCUAAAAAUUUAAGCUUUAAGCUGUCAUUUUCUCUUACAAAAAAAAAAAAAAAACCCCUUCAAAUGGCGUUGCAAAAUGGUUCCAAAAGAAGGUUUCAAACCUGGAAAUUUCAAAUGAGAGUACGGUCCGAAAUUUCUGUGAUUAUUCGAAAAUGUUUGGGGCUCAAUUAGCCUUAGCACAUAACAUGAAAGUUGUAGAGAAUUGAGUUUAAAUUAUGCCUGUAAAGUUUCAGCUCAAUCGGAGCUGGGUAUCCUGUGAAAUGACAAAAUUGCCCCUGCUACCCUGUUUCUAUCAGAAAUGAUAAUCAGCCUCUGUAAUUGGUUAGUUUGACCGGGAAUAUUACUGAAUUGGUUGUCAAUGUCUUCUUAAGAAUUGUAGCCUUGUAUCUUAGCUUUGAAAUGGCUUUGGAAUCACCUGAAUCGGAGUUGUGUGUGCUGAGUUAAGAUUAACUGAAUCAGGACUAUCAGUAAUUGUGUCAGUGAGAAUUGAACCAAGAAACUUGGGCUAUUUCGGUAAAUUUGAUCUAGUUAGGGUGAGAACUGGGUUGAGAUGUCUUCACAAGAAUGGUAGAUCUAUGUCUUAGCUUCGAAACGGUAUAUUUUUUGUUUCAAUCCGAUAAGUGUAGCUCGAGUUGUGCUUAAAUUCCUAAAAGGAUUUGGUAAAUGGAUUUACGAACUGUACUUUCUUAUUAGGUGAGUGUGUACGUUAUCACACUCGCCAAAGGACAUGUGACUUUUCACUAUUUGAGUGACCUAUUUACGAAUGUGUUUAUGUGGUCAAUGUGGUUACUGGACGCUUGGUUUGAGGUGAUUAUUGUGAUUAUUGUGGCUGAACCCCUUGAGCAUUUGUUCGGGGUGACUAGCUUGAGGAUUUUAAUUGCUUUCUUGUUUUUGGCUUGAUGAUAGGUAGAGGUCUGGAGGUAUAUUGAGCUUUAGAUGCAUAUAUGUGAUAAAUCUUGCUUUAUUACAUGUUUGGCUUGUUAAUUAUUGCCAGAUAUUCCUUAAUUUGGAUAGAUGAACUUGUGUGUGUUUAAGUAUAGCAAGAGGAAAAAUUUUUGUUUUGAAUCUUUCAUGUUGGCCGAAAUUUUUGGGACAAAAUUUCAGAUUUUUGGAGCUUUUAUUUGAGUUAAAGUUGUGCCAAAAUAAUGGAUUUUAAGUGUAUUUGGGUUGAUUAAACCGAUUGGCUCUUCAAAGGAAAAAAAAGGAGUGAACUUGCUAAAGUGAAAACUGGAAAUCUGCUUUCUGGAAUAUCAGACCAGUUUCGGAAAAAAAAAAGUUAUAUUUUCAUGUAUACCACUCCAAAUCGAGUCCCAUCUGUUUUUUUUUUUAAACUAGACACAUAAGGUUACAAACCAUGUAAAUUUCAGGAGCUAACUCAUUUUCUGUGAUUUUUGGUGUUUUUUUAAAGUUCGUUGGAAAAAUGGAAUUUUACCUGCCCUGCAUUUUACUGUAGCAGUCUAUUGACGGAAACACUGGGCAAAAUCCGUAUGGAAUCUCAUCAAGGUGUCUUCUACAAAGUUUUAGUCCUUUCAAUUAGGUUUCCAACGGUAUCAACUAUGCAAAUUUUGGACUCGUAAAUAUUAAGUUACGAUUUUCUAAAGAUUUCUACCAUAAACCUCCAGUUUCCUGAUUUUUACAAUAAACAUGAAAACGACUUGAUAUUUUUGCUUGGCCUUGAAUAUGCACGUGAAUGAUCGUGAUUAUACAUGUCUCAGGUGAAUACGAGGACUCCGAAGAACCCGUUUAGCCGCUUAACUUUUUCUCUCUCAUGACUUUUGGUGAGUGUCAAGUGCAUGUUAAGUGUUUAAAUGAAAUGUUUCUCGUACUUGCUAGUUAAUGAGGGUAGGGUGUACUUUACCGCCCUUGUCCUCUCUUUCAUGAAAUUACUUGCUUGAUAAGUGAUAAGUUUUAUAUGUGAAUGUAAAUGAAAGUGUUUUCCGUGAGCAUUGAGCGGCAGAAUGUAUCACGCCCUUUUAGGGUGGGAGGUACCGCUCAUCCCAUCUCAAUGCUAUGACCAAAUCUUGUCGAUUGGAGCUUCGUCUCAUCGACCCAAAAGUGAAUGGGGGGGGGGACGCCCCAACCCAUUGGCUAGCCUUGUAACUCGAGCCGGCAAGGGUUUGGUCGAGAAACUUGGUGAACCUUGGGCAGUGUUAUAGCUUGAUCCAAAUAAGGGGUCUUGCUAGGUAUACUUGUUAAGUGAUACCACCUACAUGCUUGUUUGGUUACGGAUCCAAGAGGGUGUCAUGGUGGCUGGAGGUAGUAAGUGGAGUUCUACAUGGAUAACUGUGAAAGUUGACGGAGGGUCAACUACCUGAGCUUGGAUCGCGCGUGGAUUAGCUCCUGAGAGCUCCCGUAUCUUUUUAAUUGUGAUUAAAUUCCUUACUUGCUAAAUGUUUCGAAUUUACUUGUUACUCAAGUUAUUGCUUUAUAUUGUGUCUUUGCUCGCAUGCUUGCAUGUUUUUCCCUUGGCCUCCCUGAGCGUUUACUCACCCCAAUUUGUUUUCCUUAACAGGUUUGGAAGUGGAAGUUCUGAGGCUUAAUUAGUGACAAUCCCUUUGGGUAGAACUAGUCGUUAUCUUUAAUUCUGGGACUCCAUAGUAUAAAACUUAUGAUUAUUUUGGGCUUUCGGUAUUGUAAAAGUACAUUGAAAAUCUUGGAUGUAAUAUUUAAGCAUGAAUCGUUCUUUUAUAUUUUAGAGUACAUGAAUGUUUUAGUGGAGUAUUUCAUGUGAUAUUGGAGUUUAAUUUGUUAUUUACUUGAAGAUUGUAGUGAGUCCCGGCGAGAGUUGGGCAGGCGGUCUGUCGAACCCUUUGGUUCGCCUUAGGGGGAGGUGGGGUCGUCACAAACUUACAGUCCAGAAAUUCUAAGGAAAAUGUAAGGACUACCUCAGAGAACAGGUUUGGAAUCUCUAAAAGUUCAUCUCAGCAGUUGAACCACAUUUCACACUACAAAGUAUCCCCUAUUAGUUCAUUCAGAAAUACUCAUUUCAAAGGUAGACCUGUUUCAACUACUGAAGCAGAACCUAGAAGAAUUUCAGCACAAGAAAUACAAUAUAGAAGGAACCAUGGCCUAUGCUUCAAGUGUGGAGAGAAGUUUGGGCAGGGACAUCAAUGCAAACUGGGCCAUCUGAACUUCCUGAUCAAUGAUGAGGGAGAAGAAUCUGAAUUCGAAGAUGCACUGGGAGAGCAGGAUGAAACCACAGGGAAUCCAGGGCAGAUCAUGGAGAUGUCCUUACACACACUGUCCGAGGCACUUAAACGAAAAACAAUCACACUGGUAGGAAGACUAGAUGGGGAAGAGAUGCUGAUACUGGUAGACACAGGCAGUUCUGAUAGUUACAUAAGCAGUGAGAAGGUAAUUGCCUUUGAUAUUCCUUAUAAAUUAGUCAAUCCUUUUUCUGUGGUUUUUGGGAAUGGGGCUUGUGUAACCAGCAAGGCCAUAUGUCCUAAGGUGGUAUGGGGAAUUAAUCAGCAUAGGUUCUGUUAUGACCUCAAAGUGAUGGAUCUAAGUGGAUGGGACAUAGUGCUUGGGGUGGACUGGAUGACUCAGUUCAGCCCUAUCACUUUUGAUUUCCACAAGCUGACUAUCUUCUUGCAAGAUCAAGGGGAAGCAGUGCACUUGCAUGGCCAAGCUGAAGACUGUGACUUAGAUCUAAUCAGAGGAGGCGACCUGAGGACAUUCAUUGAAUACAAGAGACAGUUGUGCAUGUCCAUGAGAUUGGGACAGGGUGAUCUGAUGCAGGGAAAUGACAUUCCUGCAGGAGUCCAGGGCAUCAUUGAAGAAUUUACAGAUGUGUUUGUAGCACCCUCUGAGUUACCACCAGCAAGAAGUAUAGAUCAUGAGAUACCACUAAAACCUGAGGUUCAACCCUUCAAGAUGAAGCCGUACAGAUACCCUCACUCCCAAAAGAGGGAAAUUGAACAACAGGUUAAGGAUAUGUUGCAGCAUGGAAUCAUAGUGCACAGUAACAAUCCUUUUGCCUCCCCAGUUCUGCUUGUCAAGAAGAAGGAAGGGACCUGGCAUUUUUGUGUAGACUACAGGAGACUGAACGAGAUGACCAUCAAGGACAGGUACCCCAUACCUAAUGUAGACGAACUGAUCAAUGAGCUAGCAGGAUCCAAAUACAAAUCAAAGUUGGACCUCACUUCAGGCUACCACCAAAUCAGGGUCAAGCCUAAGGAUACAUACAAAACUGCAUUUCAAACACACUGUGGCCACUAUGAGUUCUUGGUAAUGCCUUUUGUGUUAAGAAACGCUCCAGCCACAUUUCAGUCCCUCAUGAAUCAGAUAUUCCAGCCUUACCUGAGAAAAUUUGUUCUAGUUUUUUUUGAUGAUAUCCUAAUCUAUAGUCCUACAUUAGAGCUACACCAGCAACAUCUGAGGAUAGUCUUGACAGUAUUGAGGGAACAUAAGUUGUUUGUAAAACGUUCCAAGUGCUCGUUUGCACAGUCAACAGUGGACUACCUUCGUCACACUAUCAGAGAGAGUGAUUCAAGAAUAACCACACAAUGAAACGUAAUUUACCACAAACUUCAGAUACCAAAAGUAAUCAUGAAAUGCUUCAUGAUCCAAUCAACGCGAGAAUAAGUAAUUUUGACAGAAUAAUUAUUGACUUUCUUCAUCUCUUUAGUAUUAUUUAUUUUUCCAAUUUAUUGUUUAGAACAAAAAAAAAUAAGUCAAUUCAAGAUAUGAACAUAUGAAAGGCUCAACAGCUGGAUAAUACUCAUUAACGACAGAGGCUAUUAAUCCAAAAGGACUAAAAUGGAGUAAACUUUAUAUUCCAAAAGGCAUUUAUGGUGGGGGAAAAAGAUAGAAUCUAAUAUGGCAUUAUACGUCCUUUCAAACCUUAAUAACGAUUACAAAUAAUUCAUAAAGACGCCAAGACUUUUGAAAGGAUUUAGAUUUCGUUGCAAUUUAGCCUUUACUCAUGAAAGGGAUGGUUGGAUAGGAAUUCUGUAGCAUGCCGGUAGCAGCCAUCCAAAAAGAACUAGUCCAUUUGUGCACAAAAUAAAGUGAAUAUAAUGUGUGUGUGUGUGUGUAUUAAAAAGUAAUCAAUUGGGUUAGAUUUGAUGAUUUGUGAUUACAGUGUAAUCUUUUAUAUAUAUUUUGUAACUCUAUUAAAUCUAAUAUUUUUCAAAUCAAAUAUAUCUGUGACAUAUUCAAUGUAUUUUUUGACAUUGGUGCAGAUUACUUUGUUAAACAAAUCGUGCUGGAUGAUGUAAUGGCUGCUUCAGCAAGAAAUGAAGAGGGAGUUAGCAGAAAGGGAAAGAUGGGAGAGAGACUUGAGAGGGAAGAUAGAAAAUGCGGAAAAUGAGAGAACUGAAUUUGUUGUAUCUGAUAGCAUGCCCCUCACGUCUUACCUUUAGGCUUAUUCAUACAGGAUUCAUCCUCUAGAUCCUUCCAUGCCUUAGCUAUAACAGAAUGCUUAACAGAACGAUCACGCAUGCAUGCAUGCAGUGCAGUAACUAACUAGCCAACUAACUCUCUGAUAUGCUAACUGACUUCCAGAAAUGGAAACCAUGGCCACUACAUUAUUAGCUAUAAAUAACUAGGGAAUAUCUAAAAUAUCUAGAGGAAAUAUCCAGAAUAUCUAGGAUCAUUACAAUACCUCCCCCUCAAGAAUCCUAGUCACUAGGAUUGAGUUGGAAAUCUGGAAAUUGUGAUUGUAUCACUGUGAUAUCCUCCCAAGUUGAGUCUUCAGUGCCUAGGUUCAACCAUUUGAUCAACACUUGAGUUACCUUGUGUCUUUUCCUCAUGAUUUCACGAGUAGCAAUAACACUUUCAAGGGCAAUUUUAACCUGUCCAUCCGUAGUAGUCAAAGGUAGUUCUUGAGUAACUACAUGAUUCUUGGCUGAGGGCUUGAGUAAGGAGACAUGGAAGGUAGGGUGAAUCAAGGAGCCAGCAGGUAAUUCCAACCUAUAGGCUGCAUUUCCCACCUUCUAAAGAACUUUGUAGGGUCCAUAAUAUUUUGAAGACAAUUUCAGAUUCUUUUUGACUGCCACAGACGAUUGUCUAUAAGGUUGCAGUUUCAAAUAGACCCAAUCUCCCACUUGGAAACUCCUUUCACUCCUGUCCUUGUCCGCAAACUGUUUCAUUCGAUUUUGUGCUUUGAUUAAAUUCCCCUUCAGCAGCUCGUUCCAUUUUCUUCUGUCCCCUAGCCAUUGCUCCACAGCCGCUACUGGAGUCCCCAAGGCAUUGAUGCCUAGUUGAGAUGGUGGAUAUCCAUACAGAGCCUCGAAGGGAGUCAUUUUUAAGGCUGUGUGAUGGUUGGUGUUGUACCACCAUUCAGCAGCAGCUAGCAAGGACUUCCAUUUAUGGGGUUGCUGGAAACACAGGCACCUCAAAUUUGUCUCCACACAUCUGUUCAACCUUUUUGUCUGUCCAUCUGUUUGGGGAUGGUAAGCAAUAGAGUAGUGCAGCUCCGUGCCUAACUUCCCAAACAACUCCUGCCAGAACAAGCUGGUAAAUAGCCUAUCCCUAUCAGAUACAAUGCUCAGGGGUAAUCCAUGUAGCUUAUAGAUGUUUUCAAAAUACAUGUUAGCCACCGACUGUGCAGUAUACUUCGAUGGUAAUGCUAGGAGGUGAAAGUACUUGGUGAACCUAUCAAUGACAACUAGCAUUCCCUCAUACCCCUGAGAUUUAGGUAACCCCUCAAUGAAAUCCAUUGAAAUAUGCUGCCAUGCUUGUUCAGGAAUAGGUAGAGAUUGUAGCAGUCCUGGUGUCUUGCAAUUUUCUACCUUGCUCCUCUUGCAAACAUCACACUGUUGUACCCAUUGUUCUACUUCUCUUUUCAUUCCUGGCCAGAAGAAUGGUCCCUUUAAUCUUUGGUAGGUCCCCAGGUUGCCUGAAUGACCCCCAAUGAGAGAGUCAUGAAAGCAGGCUAUCAGUUUCUGUCUCAAGUUCCCUGAGGAACCAACGUACAUCCUGCCUUUAUACCUGAGUAAAUUCCCAGCAAAAGAAUAAUUUGGGAGAGAAUCAGGUGAAGUAGUCAGGCCUUCAGUCAACUUAGUCAUAGAACCAUCCCCUUGGUAACUCUCUAGGACUUCAGACAGCCAUGCCGGUUUCAUGACUGAGAUGCUAUGUGUAAAGCUGUCCUCUUCAUAGCAUCUUCUAGACAGUGCAUCAGCCACCAGGUUUUCAUUUCCUUUCUUGUACUAUAUUUCAUAAUCUAGGCCCAAUAACUUAGUGAGCCAUUUCUAUUGUAGGGGAGUAGUUAUCUUCUGUUCCAAUAGGUACUUUAAGCUCUGGUGAUCUGUCUUGAUGAUGAAGUGGCUUCCCAACAGGUAAUGCCUCCACUUGGACACAGCUGUAAUAAGGGACAACAACUCUUUUUCGUAUAUGGACAGUCCCAAAUUCUUAGGUCCCAGAGCUUGACUGAGAUAGGCAAUAGGCCUCUCUUGUUGCAUUAGGACUGCACCAAUAGCCUUCUGACUAGCAUAUGUUUCUAGAGAAAAAGGUAAAGAAAAGUUAGGAAGUGUUAGGACUGGUGUGCUACUCAUCAGCUACUUCAGUUUUUGAAAGGCUAGCUCAGCUUGUUCAUUCCAGUGGAAGUUUUCUUUCUUCAAUAACUCAGUGAGUGGUUUGGCAAUGAGUCCAUAUCCCCUCACAAACCUCCUGUAGUACCCUGUGAGUCCCAAAAAUCCUCUCAAUGCCUUUAGUGAUGUAGGGGUAGGCCAUUCUACCAUGCUCUUGAUUUUUGAGGGAUCUGCCUGCAUUCCAUCUCCACUGAUAAUAUGCCCCAAAUAUUCUAGUUGAGACUGUCCAAAGAUGCAUUUGGAAAGCUUGGCAAAUAGGGAGUGAGCUUUGAGUGUUUCUAGGAAAGUUUUGAGGUGCAAAAGGUGAGUGUCUGGAUCUGAACUGUAUAUGAGGAUGUCAUCAAAGAAAACUAACACAAACUUCCUCAGGUAAGGUUCAAAAACAUGGUUCAUCAGGCUUUGAAAUGUUACAGGUGCAUUGGUAAGACCAAAUGGCAUAACAGUGAACUCAUACAAUCCUAGGUAAGUUUUGAAGGCAGAUUUUGGGAUGUUAGUCUGGAGCAUUCUGAUCUGAUGGUAUCCAGCCCUUAAAUCAAUCUUGGAGAAGAUCUUAGCUCCAAACAGUUCAUCGAGUAAAUCAUCAAUGAUAGGUAUUGAAAAUUUAUCUUUGAUAGUCAGGUCAUUUAGUUGUCUGUAAUCAACACAAAAUCUCCAAGUUCCAUCUUUUUUUAACUAAUAGAACUGGAGAGGCAAACGGGCUAUGGCUAAACUGAAUAAUGCCACUACUGAGCAUGUCCUUCACUUGCCUUUCUAUUUCAUUUUUUUGGUUGUGAGGGUACCUAUAAGAUGCUAGCUUGAAUGGUUUGGCAUUUGGCACUAAGGGAAUUUGAUGGUCAUAGUUUUUGGAAGGGGGAAGGGAUUGUGGUUCUCCAAAUACAUCUUUGUAGUCUUCAAGUAAAGCACUUAGGGACUGUUGAAAACCAAUGUCUAGAUGAGUUACAGUGUUUACCUGAGUUCCCUUCAUUUUCAGUCUGCACGCGUGUUUCCAGAUUCUGGUGCUCAACCCCUCCUUCUCAGUACUAUUACUAGGAAGUUUGAGAACAGUCUCCUUAGACUCUCCAUGUAACAAGAUCCUCUCCCCUUUCUCAUCAAAGGACAUGUUCGGCUGCCUAAAGUCAAAGGUGAUGGGGCUGUGUGCAGCCAUCCAGUCUACUCCUAUAAUCACAUCAUAUGGCUCCAAGUUAAUGACAAACAUAUCAUGAGUGAACUGUUUACCUUGCAUUUCCCUGCUCAUAUUCGGAAUCAUCUUGUGACAAGUCAAGUGCUCCCCAUUAGCCAUCCUGACCCUGAAAGGCUUGAUAGAUUGGACCAGUUCUGGAUAGAGUUGUGCCACUGCCCCUUUGAUAAAAUUGAGUGCUUCCCCCAUCCACCAGGAUUGAUAGUGGAGUUUCUUUGAUCCUCCCCUGUAGCUUGAUGGUGUUGUAAGUCAUCUUCCCAGUCAGCGCAUGUAUCUCCAUUUCUACCCCCUUGGCCGACUGUGCUCCUUGGUACUCGAUCAUCUCCCCUUCUACCAGAUCCUCAGGACUAUCUUCUACUGCUACAAUCAGGUGGAUUUCCUUUUGCUUGCAUUGGUGGCCUGGUCCGAACUUUUCCCCACACCUAUAGCAAAGAUGGUGCUCCCUCCUGUACUGCAGCUCUACUGGUGUGAUUUUCUUGAAGUUCUGAGGAGUCUGUUUCUUUACAACAUUGGCAAUAAUAGGUUUGGUAUGUGGAAUGGUGUACUGCGCAACAGACUGUGGAGUAUUCCCCAAAGAGAGGGAUUUCGGAUGAUGUUUGUGCUUCUUGUGGUAGGCUUCAAAGGCAUUCUCUUGCAACCUGGCCAACUCAAAUGCUUUGGAUAAUGUCUUGGGGUCAUGAGUCUUCACCAUUGAUCUCAAUUCAUCUAGUAGUCUACUCAAAAAACAUGAAAUGUAAUAGUUUUCUGGAAGGUGUGGGGCUCGAAUCAUUACCUCUGAUAGUAGUUCCUCAAAUUUUUCUUGGUAGGCUAGGACUGUGGAGGAGAGUUGUAACUUAUUGAAUUCCUCCAUUGGAUCCAUUUGUCCCAAUGUUCCAAACCGCUUGCACAACUCUCCAGAGAACUCCAUCCAAUCCAUCUUGUUACCCCUAGUAGACUUGAAUCCCUGAUACCACACUUCAGCUUUACCUUCUAAAUGGAAUUCUGUCAGCUCCAUCCAUUGCUCCAUAGGAAUAUGCAGAAGCUGGAAAUACUUCUGAAGUUUUCUGAUCUACUUCCUAGGAUUGUUUCCUCUGAACACUGGUAUUUCCAGCUUAGGUGCACUAGCGUAGAAUGAACUUCUGACAUUCCUCUCUCCUUGCUCUCGAGUCACCAUAUCUGAGCUCCUGGAGUGACUUCCCUCUGGCGAUCCCAAUAUUCCUUUCUCAGGAUUUCCUCGGUUCAAACUGGAGAGCUGUUGAGAAAUGGCUACCAUGAAUGCAUCUAACUUAUUGUUCAGCUCCAUGCUUACUGCAUCCAACCUUUCCUCCAUGAUCUGUUUGUUUGCGGCCAUGGAUUCCAAAAUUCCUUGGAGUCUGCUGUCUUGCUUGCGUAGCUGUUCCUCCAUGGUCUUCAUUCGAGUUUCAUCUGCCAUUGUUAUAUUGAUUUCAGCUUCUUAGUCCAAGGACCGGAAGCUCUGAUACCACUUGUAAUGGCUGCUUCAGCAAGAAAUGAAGAGGGAGUUAGCAGAAAGGGAAAGAGGGGAGAGAGACUUGAGAGGGAAGAUAGAAAAUGCAGAAAAUGAGAGAACUGAAUUUGUUGUAUCUGAUAGCAUGCCCCUCACGUCUUACCUUUAGGCUUAUUUAUACAGGAUUCAUCCUCUAGAUCCUUCCAUUCCUUAGAUAUAACAGAAUGCUUAACAGAACGAUCACGCAUUCAUGCAUGCAGUGCAGUAACUAACUAGCCAACUAACUCUCUGAUAUGCUAACUAAUUAACUUCCAGAAAUGGAAACCAUGCCCACUACAUUAUUAGCUGUAAAUAACUAGGGAAUAUCUAAAAUAUCUAGAGGAAAUAUCUAGAAUAUCUAGGAUCAUUACAGAUGAUUUCUAACUAGUUUAUUAAUAAUAUUGACUUCUUUUUUAUAAAAAAAAAAGUAAUCAAGGAAAAAUGGGGAAUCUAACAGUCUAAUGCUUGCUUGCUUCUUUUUAUUGUUUGAAGUGAUUUUGGUGUCUUGCUAGUUUGUAAUUGAUUCAAGGUGGAUAGAAAGAAAUUGUUCAGAAAUGUGAAAUAGGGUAAGUAUCCCAGUUUGGUUUUGGAUUUUGAAAGUUAUAAAAACGAAAAUGAUGUCAGUGAUCCUCUUCAAUUUUUUAUCACCAACCAAAGCAAUGAUUUUUAAGAAUAAAAAUAACAUUUGAAAUCAAAUCACAAUCUUUAAAGAGAGGAAAUAGAUGGUUGAGGGCGAAAUGGCCAUGGUGAUGAAUUGACAUCAUGGAAAUCAAACUGUGCUUAGUAACGCCAAAACGUCACCAUAACUCACAAAUGAGUGACUAAUGUGAUGCCACAUUAAGGCUUCAAUCUACUAUUACAAGUUUUACUAUGGACUAAAUUGUGUGGUAAAUUUAGUACUACUAAUAUUAAGUUUAUGUUUAAAACAAGUAAAUUUCAAUAAUUUAGGUAACUUACUCUUUAAAUAACAAAUUUUACUAAAAUUUUAACAAAAAUUGCCACUUUUUCUUCGAAACUUACCAUUUUCUAUAUAAAACUUGCUAAUUUUUCAAGUAAAACAUAUGAUUUUAUUAGCAAAUCAUACCACUUUUUUUAGUAAAAUUCACUAAAUGGUAAGUUUUCAAAAAAAAACUUACCAUUUUUAAUGCAAAUCUUACUACUUUUUUCAAGCAAAAUGUAUGAUUUUAUUAACAAAUGUUACCAUAAUUUUCGUAAAGUUUACUAAAUCAUUAACAAAUCUUACCAUCUUUCAAGCAAAACUUAUCAUUUUCUAUACAAAACUUACUACUUUUUGGAGGCAGAACUUAUGACUUGAUUAUUAAAUCUUACCUUUAUUUAGGAAUAAUUUUGGAAACCUCCCCUGAGCUUUAUGCUAAUAUCACAUAACACUUCUAAAUUUUAAAAAUAUCACUAGCCUUCCCUUGAGUCAUAUUUUUUUGUAAGAAUUUGACCCCUAUAUCAAAAAUAAAUACUCCUAACAUAAUUUUUUAAAGGAAAAUAGAUAUAUUUUUCUUCUAGUUUUACACUUUUGUGUUGUCUUAUUUUUUAAUUUUCUGCCAAAUUGAUUUUAAGAUAAGAUUUGAAUGAGAAAGACUUAAAAUGAUUUUUUUUAAGGGGAGAAGGUGUUAAGUGCUAAAGCAAUUGCCAGAAUAGCGAUUUUUUUAUUUUUGGUUUAUCCUAGAUUUUUUCCUAAAUAGUUAUUAGAAUAACAAAGAAAUUAAAUUUAAUAUAAGAUUGGUAUAGGAAGAUCAAAGAAGGCAGAGAAGACAGAUAUUUGAAUACAAAACUAAUGGUUUUAGUAGGCAUUUCUAUGAAUUCAGAUUUAUUAUCUUCUAAUUUUUGUGGCAUAAAUAAUUAUUUGAAUAACAAUUAAAAUUUGAGAUAAGGUUGCCAUAGGAAGCUUGGGAGGGGGAGAAGGGUAUUAAAGGCAAAAAAUGAUUAUUUUAGUAGACUUUUCUUAAUAAUUUCCUUUUGUUCAAAUUUUUUUGCACAAGUAAUUGUUAAAAUAGUAAAGUUAAAUUAAUAAAUGCUUGGCAUAAUACUACAAAAUAAAGGGGUGUUUAAGUGAAAAUAGUAAUUGAUAGAGCAAUGUUUGGGCAUCUUAUGCGCUGUUAUGUGGUCAUAAUUUUGGCUACUUAUUAUGCUAAGUAUUGAGGUUUUGUUCAUGUUUGAUAUUUGUGUAAAUUGUAGGCAGUUGGUGUCAAAAAGUGAUCUCUGAAGGUGAAUUUCCAGAAGACUUUUAUUUCAGGGCGUGCCCACGCCAAAAACUGUUCAAGAGACGCCUCAAAGUCGGACCAUGGGACUAACUAACUAACUAAACUCAUCCUUAUUCCUGCGGGAUGCGGUUGGAAGUGCGUCAAAACAAAAAGGCAGCAAUUUCCAGUGGAUUUGGUAACAACCAAUAAGGAGGAUGCGGGGAAUUGGGGAAAUAUUUGGAAAAGCUACUAUUUUCUCGUGGGCCAAGAAGGGUGUAACAGACAAGUAGUUUUAGUCUUGCAGAUAGCUUUUUAGUUUCUUACGUUUUCUUUGGAGGGCUAUCUUCUGGGAACUGGCAAAAAGCCAGAUUCAUGUGGGAUUAGGAAAUUAUCUUUAGUUUUGUUAUCCCUUGGUAGAGGAUUUGCUCUCUGUUUUGUUAUUACAAUUUUCUUUAGACCUUUGCUUUACUUUUUCCGAAUGGACACAAAACAAAAAAAGAAGCAAGACAUUUUCUUUUGUUUCUUCAUCACUUCAUCUUUCCCAACUCUCUUGUGAUUGUGUGGAUGGAAUCAAUCAAAUCCCGCGAGAUUGAUAUGAUGAGGAGCGGUUAGGUUUCUCUUCUACCCAAAGGUCGACGCGAAGGCACGGUCCAUAACAUCUGUGAGAUUUAAUCGAACUUUCACUAGUUCUUCCAGUCCGUUACUAUUCGUGUGUUUCCUGGAUUAACUGUUUAUGAUUAUUUUAUUAAUUGAGUAUCAACGGCAGGACAUUUAAUUUAAUCUAAUAGCCUACUGUCACGUUAACUAAAUUGAAUCCGUAAUUAUUCGUUUAGUUGAUAACUAGUGACAACCAUCAUAAUUGGCUUUAUGUUAGGGAAACGUAAGAUCUAGUUUAAAUAAACCCUCUUAGCGUGUUUAUUGGUUAGGGUUGGGUUUUUCUAGUUUUAAUGCAACCGGAUAAUUAAAUUUAUUGGUUAGGGUUGGGUUUUUCUAGUUUUAAUGCAACCGGAUAAUUAAAUUCCUACGAUCGUACCUAAAGCUGUUUUCUAGUUAGAGAAACAGUCAACGGUCGUACCUUGGCUGUCGAAAAAGUAAGGAAGAACUGGCUGUCAGAGCUUGUUGAUAGCUAUAACUAACCUAGUGACGAAUGAAUGAAAUAUCUUUGUAUCGAUGAUCAUUUAAUUGGACCGCGCCUAAAAAGUUGAUCCUUUGGGUAGAAUUUUACUAAUUGCUAUUUUUAGUGAAUUGUACUUGGUGAGUUAGCUUUUGAAUUUUGUUUAUUCUAUUUUCUUUUUCAGUCCAUUAAAUAUUCCCCAAUUUUGUUCUAUUGACUUGGAAAGAAACAAGUUCCUACCCGUUCCCUGUGAAAUCGACCGUACUUGCCAUUGUAUGCAAAUUUAAUAUUUUUGUAGACAAAUCUUGUAUAUCGAAUCAAGCAUACUCUUUGGGGAGACAGGGUGAAUAUAGUAACCCAUUGCACAUCUAGAGUCACUGCUCCAGUACUUAGAUUUGUUCUAUAAUUAAUUAUGGUAGUAAUUAGGACUUUUUAGUAAUUAUUAUUGCACAGGUUCGACACCUGUCAAUUUUUGGCGGCAUUGCUGGGAAGAAAGUGUCGACAAACUGGUGAACAUGGGAUUCUGGCUUACAAGGCAUGCCCACGCCUUGCAAGACGCCCUUUCAAAAAAAAAAAGAAAGACAAAAAGAGAGAGAAAAGAGUUUCGACACUUGCGCAGUAGGUAUAGCAAAUGGAAAUGCCUUGCUUGUGGAAUUUCUCCAGUAAAGCGUUGAGGUUAUGUAGUAGAUAUCGGACAUUCUCUUGACAUAGUGCACCCUCUCUUUACCUCCUUAUCCCGCCUUUCACCCAAGCCCUAUUACAACCCUAUUAAAGUCCCUUUGAUUUAUGUAUUGAGUUCACUUUUGAGUGGUGGAGAUGUGAUAAAUGUGCAAGCCUAUGGUAAUGUCAUUCCGUGGUGUUGAUUUGAGCGUUCCUGGUAUCUAUACAUUUUCUUGAAAGUGAUGAGUAUUACUACUCAUACUCUUUGGAUAACUACCUAUCCAGUGUGCUCUAACUUUGGCGACAUUGUCAGGAAUGCAGGAUGCUUGUGUUAGUGUAGAUCACCGCAUAGUAGUUCCUUUCGUGAUUGAACUUCUGAGCUUCAAAAUGCUUGAGGACAAGCAUUGCCUAGGUGUGGGGGGAUUUGAUAGAGCAAUGUUUGGGCAUCUUAUGUGCUGUUAUGUGGUCAUAAUUUUGGCUAUUUAUUAUGCUAAGUACUGAGGUUUUGCUCAUAUUUGAUAUUUGUGUAAAUUGUAGGUGGUUGGUGUCAAAAAGUGAUCUCUGAAGGCGAAUUUCCAGAAGACUUUUUAUUUCAGGGCGUGCCCACGCCAGAAACUAUUGAAGAGACGCCUCAAAGUCGGACCGCGGGACUAACUAACUAACUAAACUCAUCCUUAUUCCUGCGGGAUGCGGUUGGAAGUGCGUCAAAACAAAAAGACAGUAAUUUCCAGUGGAUUUGGUAACAACCAAUAAGGAGGAUGUGGGGAAUUGGGGAAAUCUUUGGAAAAGCAGCUAUUUUCUCGUGGGCCAACGAGGGUGUAAAAGACAAGUAGUUUUAGUCUUGCAGAUAGCCUUUUAGUUUCUUACGUUUUCUUUGGAGGGCUAUCUUCGAGGAACUGGCAAAAAAGCCAGAUUCACGUGGAAUUGGGAGAUUAGCUUUAGUUUUGUUAUCCCUUGGUAGAGGAUUUGCUCUCUGUUUUGUUUUUACGAUUUUCUUUAGACCUUUGCUUUAUUUUUUUUGAACGGACAUGAAACAAAAAAAGAAGCAAGACUUUUUUUUUGUUUCUUCGUCACUUCAUCUUUCCCAACUUUCUUGUGAUUGUGUGGAUGGAAUCAAUCAAAUCCCGCGAGAUUGAUAUGAUGAGGAGCGGCUACAUUUCUCCUCUACCCAAAGUCGACGCGAAGGCGCGGUUUAUAACAUCUGUGAGAUCUAAUCGAACUUUCACUAGUUCUUCCAAUCCGUUACUAUUCGUGCAUUUUCUGGAUUAACUGUUUAUGGUUAUUUUAUUAAUUGAGUAUCAACGGUUGGAUAUUUAGUUUAAUCUAAUAGCCUACUGUCACGUUAACUAAAUUGAAUCCGUAAUUGUUCGUUUAGUUGAUAACUAGUGACAACUAUCAUAAUUGGCUUUAUGUUGGGGAAACGUAAGAUCUAGUUUAAAUAAACACUCUUAGCCUGUUUAUUGGUUAGGGUUGAAUUUUUCUAGUUUUAAUGCAACCGGAUAAUUAAAUUCCUACGGUCAUCCCUGAGGUUGUUUUCUAGUUAGAGAAGUGGUCAACGGUCGUACCUUGGUUGUCGAAAAAGUAAAGAAAAACUGGCUGUCAGAGCUUGUUGAUAGCUAUAACUAACCUAGUGACGAAUGAAUGAAAUAUCUUUGCAUCGAUGAUUAUUUAAUUGGACCGUGUCUGAAAAGUUGAUCCUUUGGAUAGAAUUUUACUAAUUGCUAUUUUUAGUUAAUUGUACUUGGUGAGUUAGCUUUUGAAUUUUUGUUUAUUCUAUUUUCAUUUUCAUUCCAUAAAUAUCCCCCAAUUUUGUUCUAUUGACUUGGAAAGAAACAACUUCCUACCCAUUCCCUGUGGAAUCGACCUUACUUGCCGUUGUAUGCAAAUUUAACACUUUUGUAGACAAAUCUAGUAUAUCGGAUCAAGCACACUCUUUGGAGACAGGGUGAAUAUAGUAACCCAUUGCACAUCUAGAGUCACUACUCCAGUACUUAGAUUUGUUCUAUAAUCAAUUAUAGUGGCAAUUAGGACUUUUUAGUAAUUAUUAUUGUACAGGCUCGACACCUGUCAAUUUUUUGCGUCGUUGCCGGGGAACGGUGUUUUGGUUAAUUUUGUUUCUUUUCAAGUUAUUUUCUUUGGAUUUGUCUGGCACUUUUCUAGUUUAUGCCUCGUUUUUCUCGUACAUGUGAAUUGAUUUUCGACCUGGAAGUAAAGAAGAUUGCGCGCCGAACUAGGAAAGAAACUAAACAGCUCAGAGAGGAGCAAUCUAGCAUUGCAUCUCAGAUGCUGGAUCCAGAGGUUGAGUCAACAGAUUCGAGUGGUGAUAAUUCAAGUGACUCAGGCCAAGAGGACAUCCCUAUGGCGAAUCCAAGAACACUAAAGGAGUUGGCUGCUCCGGAAUUGACCCAGCAGCUUUUGUGCAUUACAUUUCCAACUCUAGCUGAGAAUACCUCCUUCGAACUGAAGUCAGAGUUAAUUCAUCUCUUACCCUCAUUCCAUGGCCUCUUGAGUGAGGAACCCCAUAAACACAUCCAGGAGUUCGAUGUGGUAUGUUCUAGUAUGAAACCUCCAGGGAUUACUGAAGAGCAGAUCAAACUUAGAGCAUUCCCUUUCUCCCUCAAGGAUGUAGCGAAGGAUUGGUUAUACUACCUACCUGCAGGUAGUAUCAUAACAUGGGCCCAACUGAAAAAGAAGUUUUUGAAAAAAUUCUUCCCGGCAUCCCGGGCUGCAAGUUUGAGAAAAGAGAUAUGCAGCAUUAAGCAGUAUCCCAGGGAAUCCCUAUAUGACUAUUGGAAAAGGUUCAAUAAGUUGUGUACUAGAUGCCCACAGCAACAAAUUAGUGAACAACUAUUGAUCCAAUACUUCUAUGAGAGACUUCAGUCAUCUGAUAGAAAUAUUAUUGAUGCUGCAAGUAGGGGAGCACUGGCAAAUAAGACACCGAGAGAAGCAUUGCUGCUUAUUGAAGCAAUGGCAGAAAAUUCUCAACAGUUUGUGUUAUUCUUGGUUUUGAUGAUCACAAAAGUUCGUUGAAAUGUUUAUACAGACCAAGAAAGUGAACACUUUGAUCAGGCCUGAUGGAACAAAGUAAGCAUAUGUUCGAUUAACUCCAGACUACGAUGCUUUGGAUGUGGCAAACAAGAUUGGAAUAAUAUAAACAAAUUUAGUCAUUGUUUUGUUCCGAUCAAAGAUACUGUCUUUUAAGUAUGACAAUUUUGUUAGUCUUGGUUCCUUGAAAUGUUUUAUCUAACUUUCUUCAAAUAUAAGUGUUGUUGCCUAUCAAAGAAUCAGGUACGAAUAUGUCGUGAGCAAAAACAGGACACUCAUGUCGGACGGCCGAAAGGAAUCUGUCGGACGUCCGAAGGGAUGAAGAACAUCAGGAAGGAGUUUCUGUCGGACGCACAUCGAUCGUGUCGGACGUCCUAAAAAUUCCACAAAGCUUUGAUGACUCUCUGCCAAGACACUGUCGGACGCUCGCAAGGAAGCAUCGGACGUCCUGAAGGAUCGGACGCAUGCUUCGGACGAACAUCAAUAUCAUUGGACGUCCUAAAAAUUCCUCGAAGAUUUGAUAACUCUCUGGACGACGUUCGAACACUGAAGCUCGGACGAUAAAAUUCCAUCGAACGUCCGAACUUCAAUUUGGCUGUUUUUCGGACGAUUGGUUCGGACGAUAAUUUGAUCGUCGGACGUCCGAAAGCCCCAACGGCUAGCUGACUCUUCAUCUGCCUUCUAUCCGUUGGAAGCUUUAAUGAAGCCCAUUUCUGUUCCCCUUUAAAAACAAACUGUUCUGAACGAAGUAAGAACUUUUGCACACUUGGUCUACAAGAUCUCAAGAGAUAUUUUAGCUAGAAAAUAGUCUCCAAAGUUAGAUUUGUUCUCUAAGUGGUGUGAACUUCUGGUGAGCUUUUCUCUUGUGGUUGAAAGUUUCAUUAGUGUAGCUUUGUUGAGGGUUAUCUGAGUGUUUGUAAAACUUCUUAGCUUGACUAAGUGAGGUUUAGGGCAAGGAGGAAGUGCUCCCUCCAUUGUACAUCUAGUUGAUCAUAUUUCAUCAAAGAGAAGUUGCUCAACCUUGUGAUUGGUCUUCAAGUUUAAGGAAAGCUUGGUAGACAAUCGGUUUGAUUUCCUAUUUUACUUUUUGUUUAAUAAAAUUCUCAUUGCUUAUAUAUACUUAUUUUUCUGAUCAAUAUUGCUAUUGUCUUCUAAUCUACUUGGUUGAUCUUUACUAGAAAAGAAGGUAAAUUUUUAUUAAAGAAAAAGUGCAUAAAUUUGGUUAAGGUUUUAAUCAACCCAAUUCACCCCCCCUCUUGGUUGUCUUUGGGACUUACAAUUGGUAUCAGAGCUUGGUCUCCUUGAGAUUAAGCUCUAACGGCUUGGAGUAAAGAUGACAACCAGUCAUGCUAUGUUUGUUGAGGGGCAAUCUGUUACUAGGCCUCCCAUGUUCAGUGGCUCCAACUAUGUUAGCUGGAAAGAACGGAUGAUUAUCUUUUUGUAAUCUAUUGAUAUUGAACUAUGGUUUAUUGUGAGUGAAGGACCGCAUGAAGCUAACUUUCUUGAUGCAGAUACAGGGUUGCUUCGGCCAAAAAUGAGAGCUGAAAUGAAUGCUCAAGAUAGGACUAACCUCACAUUGAAUGCCAAGGCCAUGAAUGUUCUUUAUAGUGCCCUAGAUUCAAAUGAAUCAAUUAGAGUAAAAGGCUGCAAAUCGGCCAAAGAAAUGUGGGAUAAACUAAGAGAAAUCCAUGAGGGUGGUGACAACGUGAAAGAACAGAAAAAGGCUAUCUUGGUCACAAAAUAUGAAUCAUUUAGAAUUGAACCUCUUGAGGAUAUUGACAAAAUGUAUUGCAGGUUCACUGACUUGAUCAAAGAUCUCGAGGUGUUGGGCAAAGAGUACACCUUGGGAGAGAAGAACAGGAAAAUUCUCAAUGCGUUGGGCAAAGAAUGGGAAAAUAAAGUGACUGCAAUAGAGGAGGCUAAGGAUUUAAGUUCUGUGGCUAUUGAAUCUAUCAUUAACUCACUAACCUCUUAUGAGUUGAAACUGAAAUCUAAAGUGCAGGAGGAAGAGGAAGCUAGAGCAAAGAGAAACAUUGCUCUAAAGACUACUCAAGGUGAAGAUGAUACAGCUCACUUGGAUGAUGAAGACUCGGAUGGUGAUGAUAAUGAUCUUGCUCUCAUCACCAGAGGUUUCAAGAGAAUCUUGAAUAAAAGAAAGUUUAGAAGGGGAGGACCUAGCAAUCAAUUCCAGAAUCAGCCAUCUAUCGCAAAGUACAAAGGAAAACAGGAUUUCAACAAGAAACAGUUGGACAAAUGCUUCGAAUGUGGACAGCUUGGACACUAUGCAAAUGAAUGCCCCAUGAAGAAGAUGAAAGAUGGAAAAGCUGAUCGGAAGCCAAGAUUCAACAACUUUCAGAUUACUUGGAAUGAAUGCAACUCCGAAGGGGAAGUAGAAGAAGAAGAAGAAUCAGCUCAAAUGGCCUUCAUGGCUAUUGGAAAUAAUGAGGUAACUUCCACACAUUCUCAAUCUGAAAGUGAUGAUGAUGAAGAUGAUGAUCUUGAAUCCUUUGUUGAAAAACUGCAUAAUGCCUUGAAGGAAUCUUAUGAUAAAAACAAGCAGUUAAAACAGAAAAUGGCUUUUCUCAUUCAAGAAAAUGCAAGUCUUUUUCAACAAAAUAAACAACUAAAGACUGACAAUGAAAGUCUUGUAAGAGCCGGAUGUAAUGUUCAAAAUGAGCUUGAUAGAAAGACAAAUAUUUGUGAAAUGCUGAAGGAAAGACAUGGUGAUUUGAAAAAAAGAAUGGACAACUUGGAUGAGACUUUGAAAGCAAGAAAGCAGGAGUUUAUCAAAAGGAACAUGUCAUCUACACAUCCUACUACUUUUCAAAGAACAUUUGCACACAACAAAAAUGCACAUGGUUUCACAACAUAUAGAAGAGGUGGAUUGAGAUAUGUCAAACCAGUACAUGUUAAGGACUCUUCCAUUAUGUGUGGUUUUUGUUGUCAAAGAGGGCAUUUGAAAGGUGAUUGCUAUGUGAAAAGAAAUCUGAACAAAGGGAUGAAAUGCAUGUGGUUAGUUAGAUACAAUGCUAACUAUUGCGGACCCAAAAAUUAAAAUGGGUACCAAACACUUUCUCUUUUCAGGAAAAAUGCUCAAACAAGUCCAAAUGGUUUAUUGAUAGCGGUUGCUCAAGGCAUAUGACCGGUGAUCCCUCUUUGUUCAUAAAGCUGAAAUCAAAGUCAAGUGGAAAAGUGACAUUUGGUGAUGAUGUGAAAGCUAAGACAAUUGGAAUAGGUGAUGUUGGUAAGGAUGGUGAUACUUUUGUCCAUAAUGUGCUCUUAGUUGAUAACUUAAGUUAUAACUUGCUUAGUGUUAGUCAAUUGUGUGAUAAAGACUUGAAUGUGUUGUUUAAAAAACAUGAAUGCAUUGUGCUUGAUUCCAAAUAUAAUAUUGUGUUCAAAGGUAAGAGAUUCAACGACAUAUAUAUUGUGGUUCUUGAUAAAAUUGAUUCUUCUAGCUUAAAAUGUCUUAAAGCUUCAAAUGAAGAUCCUUGGUUGUGGCAUAGAAGACUUUGUCAUUUUAACAUGAAUUUACUAAAGGAAAUUUCGAAAAAGGAGUUGGUUAGAGGCUUGCCAAAAAUCAGUUUUGAUAAGGACAAAAUAUGUGAUGCAUGUCAAUUUGGGAAGCAAACAAAAAAUUCCUUUAAACCUAAGAUGUGUGUAUCUACUUCUAAACCUUUGGAACUCUUGCAUCUUGAUUUAUUUGGUCCCACUCAAAUUACUAGCUUGGGAGGUAAAAGAUAUUGUUUUGUAAUUGUUGAUGAUUAUUCUAGAUACACUUGGGUGAUAUUUCUUGCUCAUAAAGAUGAUGCCUUCAAGAAUUUUACUUCAUUGUUUGCUAAAAUGCAAAAUCUGCUUGGGUUAAAAAUUGUUAGGAUUAGAAGUGAUAAUGGGACGGAAUUCAAGUAUUGUGGUUUUCCAGAAUUUUGUGAUCAUAAUGGUAUAACACAUGAGUUCUCUAUUGCAAGGACUCCACAGCAAAAUGGUGUUGUAGAAAGGAAAAACAGGACUCUUCAAGAGGCUGCUAGAACUAUGUUGAAUGAAUGUAGGUUGCCUAAAUAUCUUUGGGCUGAAGCGGUAAACACUGCAUGUUAUGUGAUGAAUAGAAUACUCUUGAGACCUAUUUUAAAGAAAACUCCUUAUGAGCUGAUUUUUGAUAAGAAACCUACGGUUGGUUAUUUCAAAGUAUUUGGUUGUAAAUGCUUUAUUUUGAAUCUAAAGGAACAUCUUGGUAAGUUUGAUAAAAAAUCUGAUGUAGGAAUAUUUUUGGGGUAUUGUGAGAAUAAAAGACGAUAUAGAGUUUUUAAUAGAAGGACUCUUGUGAUUGAAGAAGCUAUACAUAUAACAUUUGAUGAAACCAAUGAUGAUAAUUCCAAAAGUUCGUGUGAGGAUGAUGAUGUAGGUGUUCGAGAAGCAAUGAAAAACCUAUCAAUUGGAAAUGAAGGAAGCUCUAAACCAGCAGCAACUGAAAUGGAAAAUGAAGUUCAUAAUGAUCAAGAAGAGGAAGAUGAAGACAAAAAUGAUGAUCCACUCAAAGAUCUUCCCAAGGCUUGGAAAUUCAGCCAAAAUCAUCCAAAAGAGCUUAUAAUUGGUGAUCCAUCCGAGAAGGUAAACACUAGUUCCUCAUCUAGAAAAUUGAUUGACAAUUUUGCUUUAGUUUCUCUUUUUGAACCCAAAAAUAUCAAUGAUGCUUUAAAGGAUGAAAACUGGAUUUUGGCAAUGCAAGAGGAACUUAAUCAAUUUGAGAGAAAUGAAGUUUGGACACUUGUUAAUAGACCUCAAAAUCAACCUAUCAUUGGCACAAAGUGGAUUUUUAGAAAUAAGUUGGAUGAUAAAGGUGUUGUUGUAAGAAAUAAAGCCAGAUUAGUUGCUAAAGGAUAUGCACAAGAAGAAGGAAUUGAUUUUGAUGAAACAUUUGCUCCCGUAGCAAGAUUAGAAUCUAUUAGAAUGCUUCUUGCUUUUGCAUGCUUUAAAGGCUUCAAAUUGUUUCAAAUGGAUGUUAAAAGUGCUUUUUUAAAUGGUUUUAUUGAUCAAGAAGUAUAUGUGGAUCAACCCCCCGGUUUUGAAAAUACAAAAUUUCCAAGUCAUGUGUUUAAACUAUCUAAAGCUUUAUAUGGUCUAAAACAGGCUCCAAGAGCUUGGUAUGAAAGACUAAGUGGUUUUUUGAUUGAAAAUGGUUUCAAAAGGGGUGUUGUGGACACCACACUUUUUACUAAGCAAGUGUUGAAUGACCUUCUUAUUGUGCAAAUAUAUGUUGAUGAUAUUAUUUUUGGUGCUACUAAUGAGUAUCUAUGUAAGGAGUUUUCCACCACUAUGCAAAGUGAAUUUGAAAUGAGUAUGAUGGGAGAAUUAAAUUUCUUCCUUGGACUUCAAAUACAUCAAGCUCUUGAGGGAAUUUUUAUAAAUCAAGCAAAAUAUACCAAGGAAUUGUUGAAAAGGUUUGGCAUGGAGGACUCAAAGCAAGUUGGAACUCCAAUGUGCACUUCUACAAAGCUUGACAAAGAUGAAGAAGGUAAUCAUGUGGAUGAAAAGCAUUAUAGAGGUAUGAUCGGAAGCCUACUCUAUUUAACCGCAAGUAGACCUGAUAUUAUGUUUGCUGUUUGCUUGUGUGCUAGAUUUCAAUCUUGUCCAAAAGAAUCACAUUUGAAUGCUGUAAAAAGGAUUUUUAGGUAUUUGAAAGGUACAUUAGACUAUGGUCUUUGGUAUGCUAGAUCUAAUGAGUUUGCACUAUAUGCUUAUUCGGAUGCUGAUUUUGGAGGUUGUCGUGUGGAUAGAAAGAGUACUAGUGGAACUUGUCAUUUUCUUGGAAAUUGUUUAGUCUCUUGGUUUAGCAAGAAACAAUGUGCAAUCUCUUUGUCUACAACCGAAGCGGAAUAUAUUGCCGCUAGUGCAUGUUGUGCUCAACAUUUAUGGAUGAAGCACACCUUGAAUGAUUUUUGAUUGUUGUAUGACUGCAUGCCUGUAUUCUGUGAUAAUACUAGUACUAUAAAUUUGACCAAAAAUCCUAUUCAUCAUUCUACGACAAAGCACAUAGAUAUAAAGCAUCACUUUAUUCGUGAUCUUGUUCAAAAAGGUGAAAUAUGUGUAAAUUAUGUUUGUUCUAAAGAUCAAUUUACGGAUAUUUUUACAAAAGCUUUGCCAUUAGAUCAGUUCAUUCAUCUAAGAUCAAAAUUAGGAAUAAUCGAAAAAUCAUCUUAAUUUUUGGGUCUUCGGACGUCCGAAAGAAGAUGAACGGACGUCCGAUGAUGUUCUUCAGCCAUUUUCCAGAUUGCGCCUGUUCGGACGCAGCUGUCGGACGCACAACGUCGUUCGGCCGUCCGACAGUGCAACGGAUCAAUUUUUUAAAUAACUUUCUUUCUCAUUUGCUUCAGACUCUUCCUAUUCUAUUUCCUCUCGGACGAAAACUCUCUCUUCCCUCACUCUCAAAUUCGUACCAUUUUGAAGCUCUCAUUCUCAAAUUGACUCAAACAAAACUUUUUCUGACUGAUUGCGAUUCAUUUCUCCUGAUCAUUUUCCCGAAUCGCAUAACAUUUCACAAAUUCCCAAAUUUCCUUCAAAACCCUACUUUCUCAUAACCGCUCUGCCAAAUCUUGUUUAAGGCCUUUUUGUCCCAAAAUUUCUGUGCAAAUCACUUCCCUACCACUGUGUGCAUCAUUUGCAUUCUUCAUUCCACACAUUUCACACAAUGGUGAAUCUGAGAGGAGGAAAGGUUACUGCCGGACGCAAGCAUCCACUCAGGGAUGAGGAUGAGGAUCUUCCUACGGUCAAACGUUCAUCCAAACGCUUCAAGAGAGGAGCCAUAAAGGGUCAAAUGUCACGGCCUACUCCUCAACCCACCUCUCAGCCUGAAUCUGGACAGGGAACCUCUGCUCAACCGCCUCCAAAAUCAGCCCCUCCCCCUACAUUCUUUGAUGAUACAGCAAGAGACAAACACUCCUUGAUAUCCCAGAAAGGUGUCAUCCCUCAACGUACUGUAAACCCUUCUGAAUUUCGUCUCAUAGGUUUAGAAACCAUUCUGAAGUUAUUUGCUUUUCAGAAAUGGUCGCAUAUCAUUUCUAUGCCAAAUGUUUACUAUCCUGAAAUGCUGCAUCAAUUUUUUGCUAAUCUUAGAAAAGGGUCUGACCAAACUGAAAUCUUUUCCAGGGUUAAUGGGGUAGACUUAAUCUUUGACUCUGAAAUUGUGAAUUCCAUUUUAAAUACUACCAUUGAACGUGGGUGCAAGGAUAAAAUUACAAAUUUCUUUUCCUAUGAAGAGCACCCUAAUGCUGAUAAUCAUUUUGAUGGGGCUAAAAUGAUGACCUAUUUUAAAAGAAGUUUUUCCUCCCCUGCUGAUGCUAAACUGAAUGAUCUUGCCCCUGUGAAUUUAAUUGCUUUUUCUAUCAUUUCAAACCUGCUUGUGCCUACUGAUGGCCAUAGAACUGAUGCAAACAAAAUGGAGUUGUACCUCUUUUAUUAUUUUCGAGAAAAAAUUUGGAUUGAUUUUGGUUUUGUCAUGUGCAAGUUUUUACUUCGCUAUACCACUGACUCUCGCAGAAAACUAUCCUAUGGAAAGUUUCUUCAAAAGAUUUUUGAGUUUUUCAAAGUUCCAAUUUUAGGUGUUUGUCCCAAAGAAGCAUCUUCUUAUGCCUUUACCAAAGGAUACUUUGAAAGGAAAAAUCUUGUUUUUAAAGAUAAUAUGUGGUCUUAUAAAGAGGCAUCGUCCAGUGAACGUAGGUCUAAGGCUGCACAUGAUCCUUCAUCUAUUCCACUCACUCCCAUUCAUCCUAGGAAAUCUGCCACUAAGGCAUCUUCCUCCUCCAAUGAUGGAGUGAUUGAGCUUCUUCAUGAACUCAAACAGCAUGUUCUUCUUCUAGAACAUGGCCUAAUGCUCACCAUGUCCUCUGAGCAACAAACUGCCUUUCUAGACAAAAAGAACCAUCUCUUUCCCCCACCUGUGGUUGAGGAAGUGUCCCAUGACAAAGAGCCACACCCCACUGAUCCAAGCUCAUCAAUUCCAGACCCUGGUUCAUCAACUCCUGUGACUCCUCAUGGUCCUUCCACAGCAGAUAAAGGCAAGGAACCAGUUGAAGUGGAUGCUGAAGCUGAUGAAGAAACUGAAGAGGAGGACCUCUCCCAAUAUCAGCUCUCUCGAAGAACUCCUGGAUCCACACAGUUCACUACUUAGGACAUUUGCAUUCUGUUUGUCUAUUUUAUGUGUUUGUAAUGGUCAACAUUUGUAACCUUCUUUUAAUGUUUCUCUUGUUGGUACUGUAUGUUUAUGUUAAGUAUUUUGAAUGAUGACUGUGUUUAUGGAUGUUUAAGUAUUUUGGUGCAAUGAAUUUGGUUUUCAUUGAUGAAUGUGUUUGUGGAUGUGUUGAUGUGAUUGGUUGCCCUUUUGUGAUGACAAAAAGGGGGAGAGGACUGGAUUGAUGAUUGAUGAUUGGUGUUGAGGACUGGAUUGAUUGAUGAUUGAUGAUUGGUAUUGAUUGAUGAUUGAUGAUUGGUGAUGUUGGAUAUGUUGGAUUGAUUGUUUAAAUUUGGAUUGGCUGAUAUGCUUAAUUGUCAUAUUUUUAGAAAAUUGUUUAACUCGGAUGGGCAGCCAAGUGAGGGGGAGCUUUUUCAAAAUUUUCAAAAUUUUAUGAUUCACUAAAUAAGGGGGAGUUCGUGAGAAAGGGGGAGCUUAUAAUGCAAUCAUCAAAUUUCAUUUCAAACUUUUGUUUUGUCAUCAUCAAAAAGGGGGAGAAUGUUAUUCUUGAUUUUGAUGAUCACAAAAGUUCGUUGAAAUGUUUAUACAGACCAAGAAAGUGAACACUUUGAUCAGGCCUGAUGGAACAAAGUAAGCAUAUGUUCGAUUAACUCCAGACUACGAUGCUUUGGAUGUGGCAAACAAGAUUGGAAUAAUAUAAACAAAUUUAGUCAUUGUUUUGUUCCGAUCAAAGAUACUGUCUUUUAAGUAUGACAAUUUUGUUAGUCUUGGUUCCUUGAAAUGUUUUAUCUAACUUUCUUCAAAUAUAAGUGUUGUUGCCUAUCAAAGAAUCAGGUACGAAUAUGUCGUGAGAAAAAACAGGACACUCAUGUCGGACGGCCGAAAGGAAUCUGUCGGACGUCCGAAGGGAUGAAGAACAUCAGGAAGGAGUUUCUGUCGGACGCACAUCGAUCGUGUCGGACGUCCUAAAAAUUCCACAAAGCUUUGAUGACUCUCUGCCAAGACACUGUCGGACGCUCGCAAGGAAGCAUCGGACGUCCUGAAGGAUCGGACGCAUGCUUCGGACGAACAUCAAUAUCAUCGGACGUCCUAAAAAUUCCUCGAAGAUUUCAUAACUCUCUGGACGACGUUCGGACACUGAAGCUCGGACGAUAAAAUUCCAUCGGACGUCCGAACUUCAAUUUGGCUGUUUUUCGGACGAUUGGUUCGGACGAUAAUUUGAUCGUCGGACGUCCGAAAGCCCCAACGGCUAGCUGACUCUUCAUCUGCCUUCUAUCCGUUGGAAGCUUUAAUGAAGCCCAUUUCUGUUCCCCUUUAAAAACAAACUGUUCUGAACGAAGUAAGAACUUUUGCACACUUGGUCUACAAGAUCUCAAGAGAUAUUUUAGCUAGAAAAUAGUCUCCAAAGUUAGAUUUGUUCUCUAAGUGGUGUGAACUUCUGGUGAGCUUUUCUCUUGUGGUUGAAAGUUUCAUUAGUGUAGCUUUGUUGAGGGUUAUCUGAGUGUUUGUAAAACUUCUUAGCUUGACUAAGUGAGGCUUAGGGCAAGGAGGAAGUGCUCCCUCCAUUGUACAUCUAGUUGAUCAUAUUUCAUCAAAGAGAAGUUGCUCAACCUUGUGAUUGGUCUUCAAGUUUGAGGAAAGCUUGGUAGACAAUCGGUUUGAUUUCCUAUUUUACUUUUUGUUUAAUAAAAUUCUCAUUUCUUAUAUAUACUUGUUUUUCUGAUCAAUAUUGCUAUUGUCUUCUAAUCUACUUGGUUGAUCUUUACUAGAAAAGAAGGUAAAUUUUUAUUAAAGAAAAAGUGCAUAAAUUUGGUUAAGGUUUUAAUCAACCCAAUUCACCCCCCCUCUUGGUUGUCUUUGGGACUUACAGUUUGGCUCCCGCGAGAGUAACCCUACCCAUAGGGUUAACGAGGUAAAGACGUCGUCCAUUCAGCAGCAGCUAUCGGAGUUAACAUCUUUUGCUCAGCAGUUAGCUGUGGGGAAUAUGCAUCAAGCAAAGGUCUGUGGAAUUUGCACAAACAUGGGCCACCCCACUGACUUAUGCCCUAUUUUGCUAGAGGAUGGGGCUGAACUAGUAAACAUGGUUGGGGGCGUGCCCACGCCCCGUAGGUAGUACGAUCUAUACUCGAACACGUACAAUUCGAGUUGGAGAGACCACCCCAACUUCAACUAUGGGAACAGGCCACAGAAGUCAUUCUCAAAUCGUCCAGCAACCAUGGCAACCAAAGCUUCAACCUUCGUCCUCCAAUUCAGGAGGCUCUUUGGAGGAUAUUGUCAAGAGCCUGGCCACGAGUACUACUCAGCUCCAGCAAGAAACUAGAUCCUUGGUCACGAGUACUGCUCAAUUCCAUCAGGAAACUAGAUUAGGCAUGAAAAAUCUGGAGACUCAAAUAAGUCGUAUGGCAACUGCAAUUAAUCGGUUAGAGUCUCAAGUUUUUGAAAAAUUGCCAUCGCAACCCGAGGUAAAUUCCAAGAAUGUAAGUGCCUUGACAUUGAGGAAUGGCAAGGAAGUGGAGGGGCUUAAGGCCACGAACCUAAAGAGUAAAAGUGAAGAAGAGAUCGAAAAGGAGAUUGAAGAAGAAGGACGCAUUCGUGGAGACCCUAAGGUAACUCUUACUCCAUCAAUUCCCAUUGAAUCUAAUUUACCUCCUUUUCCAUACAGGUUGGAAAAGACAAAGAAGGCGGAGAUGGAAAAAGAAAUCCUAGACGUAUUCUGAAAAGUAGAGAUCAACAUUCCCUUGUUGGAUGCAGUUAAGCAGGUACCAAAGUACGCAAAUUUUUUUAAGAAUUUGUGCACCUAUAAGAGGAAGUUGAGACGGGACAAAAGAGCAGCAGUGGGAGAAAAUGUAUCAGCUAUACUCCAAAGAAAACUCCCACCCAAGUGUGGAGAUCCAGGUAUGUUCAUGAUCCCAUGCAAAAUAGGAAAUACACCGAUUAGAAAAAUAAUGUUGGAUUUAGGGGCAUCAAUCAACGUAAUGCCAAGCACCAUUUAUGUUUCUUUAAAUCUUGGGCCACUAAAAGAAACAGCCAUCAUAAUCCAACUAACUGACCGCACCAAUGCUUAUCCAGAGAGGCUAGUUGAGGAUGUCUUGGUUCAGGUAAAUGAGUUAGUUUUUCCAACAGAUUUUUAUAUCUUAGGUAUGGGAGAUGAAAAAUUGUUAAAUCCGUCACCUAUUUUGUUAGGUAGGCCAUUUCUUAGCACUGCUAGGACUACAAUAAAUGUGAAUGAGAGUACUUUAUCAAUGGAGUUUGAUGGCGAAAUUAUAAAUUUCAAUAUUUUUGAGGUGAUGAAGUAUCCGGAGGAAUCUAACUCAGUCUUUGCAUUGAGUGUUAUUGAACCUAUUGUAUAGGAAACUUUCGAAUUAGACUGUGAAGACGCAUUGGAAGUGGCCUUUAUCAAGCAUCUUGAAAUGGAUGUAACUCUUAAUGUGGACAUGAGGGAUGAGUUGCACCAUACAGUUGAAGCAUUACAUUCACUUCCAACCAUUCCUUCGAGGUAUGAGCUUACCUCUCUUUUUGUGCCAAAAACUCAGACAAAGUUGUUGCCUUCAGUUGCACAGGCACCGGAGUUAGAGCUUAAGACUCUCCCGAAACAUUUAAAGUACGCAUUCCUGAGAGACUAAGAGACGCUUCCGGUGAACAUUUCUGCACACUUAUCUCCAAGUCAAGAGAGCAAACUGGUGCGAACCCUUAGGGAUCAUAAGGAAGCGAUUGGGUGGAGUAUAGCAGAUAUCAAAGGAAUAACUCCGUUCUUAUGCAUGCACCAGAUACGGCUCGAAGAUGAUGCGAAACCGGUAAAACAGGCGCAGCGGAAAUUGAAUUCGCUAAUGAUGGAAGUAGUGAAAAAGGAGAUACUUAAAGUCCUGGAAAUAGGAAUUAUCUUUGCUAUCUUGGACAGUCCUUGGGUGAGUCCCGUUCAAAUAGUCCCAAAAAAAAUAGGAGUGACUGUAGAGGAAAACCAGGAGGGUGAGAUGGUUCCAGUCAGGAAAGCUACAGGUUGGCGCCAGUGCAUUGACUACCGGAGACUAAACGCUGUGAUGAAAAAGAACCAUUUUUGAUGUGAAACCCCGGUCUAGACAACCAAAACACCAUGGCUUAGGCAGCGGAAAUUUGACCCAACUAAUCCCUAGAAGUCACGAACAAUUUUGAUAUUAUCUCAACCCGUAACUACUCGAAUUAACGAACCAAAUUGGAGGUAGUAGAACGCCACAAUCAAGGAGAUACUCGAUUGAUAAGUUCGGGUGAAUAACUUGAGAAGAUUCUCAAGUAUUCAAAGGCAACUCUCUUGCCAAAGAGAAAGUGAAAACUCACUAAUUGUAUUUAAUAGCCAAAAACUCGUCCCAAAACAAAGAGGAAGUGAGGCAAUUUAUAGCCCUUACAAGCAUUAACCCUAAUCCAAAAGUUGACCAAACUACCCUACAUACUUAAGAAAGAUUUUGGGCCUUACUUACUAACAAAUGGGCCGCAAUUAAACUAUCUUAAUUACCUAGAUUUUUAAAACAAGAAAUAACCAAAAUCAACGAGAAAAAUCAAAUAAUCCUACUAAACUCAAGCAUUCGUGCAAUCAACUAGUCUUCACUUGAAUCUUCCAAUUCCCCGUGUGCUUGAAUGGGCCUUGGUCUUUAUAUUCUCAUCAUUCCCCUCCUCUUAAAAGCAAUUUGCCCACAAAUUGAAGCACGAAUGGUGACAAGACGAGUUACAUGCCUUCGACUCAAUCUUGUUAUGAUGGCUACAGAUGGCAUCCAAUGCAAAACCCAUGUGCUAAGUUGGAAAAUAACCCUCGUCGAACCUUGAAUCUCACAGACCAUCUUCAAUGUAUGCUCAACUUUAUUGUUUGUGGUCAUGAGAUAAGGGUCCUCAAAGUGGUAUGAAGUGUAUCCCGUGAAAUCGAACUCCGGCUCGAACACACUUGCAAGGUACCAAGGCGGAUUUGGUGAUGUUGGAGCUUCAUGUGGACUAAGAGCAAGACGAAAAGCAUAAUGGUCAUUGAGGUACUUGUUCUUUAAACGAACCCUUGGUACACAACCAUUCCUAAAAUAUGGAGUGUUCCCUUCAAGAUGAGCUCGAAUCAACUCCCCUUUGGUGUGGACUGAUUUAAGUUGACAUUGUUCCAUGAAUGGAUACCAAGGGGGUUUAACUCUUGGAGUACCAACUCCAUGGAGGCUUGCAACGUCUACAAUUGAUUUUGGAAUGGAACACACCAAGAUCAGCUCAACUUGCCUUUGCUUGAUCUGUAUAAAAGAAGAAACACUAAACAAAGCAAAGGUAAGUUUGUUAAGAAAAUAAUAGGCCUUCACCGGGUUGCUCAAGAUCAGCCCACUUUCUCUUCUUUCUUCCUUUUUACCACCAAUCUCAUUAGAUUUUUCCAUCUCUUUUCCUAGUUCAACAGCUGACCCUUUUAUCUCAUUACUUUCAACUUCCUCGGGUUUUACCUCUGCAGGCACAAUUCCCUCAUCUAGCUUUUUCUCCAUUCUAUAACGCUCAAACUCACUUUUCAUGCAUGCUAGAUCAAUACAAAGUUGGUCAUAAGUAAGUGAUACAAGUGCAAGACGACGACUAUUAAAUAAGAAGGAAUACUUAUUAGUAUGUCCAUCAAUUUUAACUUCUCGCCUCGACAUCCAUGCUUUGCCCAACAACACAUGUGUCACUUGAAUUGGGACUACAUCACACAACACCUCAUCCACAUAUUUGCUGAUUUGAAUAGGUACAAGUGUGUGCUUAGUAACCCAAACAUCCCUAUGAGUGCUCGUCAACUUGUAAGGUUGAAGAUGAUCAAUGGUUGGAAGAUUUAAUUUCUCAACCAUGAUAGCACUUGCAAGAUUGACUUCACAACUACCAUCAAUGGCCAAGCUACAAAUUUUAUCUUUGACACCGCAACGAGUAUAAAACCAACCAAGCAACUGAGAUUUGACGAGGUCCAAUUGCUCAUCUACACCACGUAAUGCCACUUCUUUGACUCCCUUAGGAUCAGGAAGACAAUGUUGUGGGCUAGCUUUUAUGUGUCUUAUACUCGCCAUGACGUAUGAGGGAACCUGCAAAAAGUUAGCAACGAAACCGAAGAUAUUGCCUUUCACGCUCCCUUACGUGUAUCCACUCGCACUCGUGUAUAUGGAUGUCACUCUAAUGGACUUACCAAAUACCUUUACCUGUUGGGUUAGGUAGUUGAGAAAUGCUGCUCAAGUCCAACAACCGUUACCAACCUUUCCACAAGUGUAAUCACAAGAAUGUAGGAGAAAAUGUAUGAAAGUGUUCCUAGAAUCUAGGAAGAGAAUAUAGGAGAGUUUCAUAAAGUGGAUGAGAGAAUAUAGGAAAGGUCCUAAAAAUGGAUGAGAGAAUUUUAGGAGAGUUUCCUAAAAAAUGGAUGAGAGAAUUUAGGAAAGUUUCCAAAAAAAUGGAUGAGAGAGUUUAGGAAAAUUUCCUAAAAAGGUAGGAGAGAGAGUGUCCAAGUGAGUACAAAGAGUUAUCCAAGUGCUUUACUUAGUUUCCUAAUUGAUUUUGGAAACAAGUUAGUUUUUGGAAACCUUUUGAAAAUCCUCUUCCUCUUGAACAACUUUUGGUAACCUUCUUGAAACAACUUUUGGUAACCUUCUUGAAACAACUUUUGGUAACUUCCAAAUUCUACUCCAAGAAAGAUUGCACAAAUCAGAUUUGGUUCUCUAUUCAAAACAAUUCGGUUGCCCCUUUCUUUCCUUGCCUUUUUUUUUUUCUCUUGCCAACCAAUUCCUCUUUUCUUUCUUCUUUUUUUUUGUCUUUUUUUGACUACAACUAUCAACCACGACACAAAACAAGGAAGUCCACAAAUAAUAACAACCAAGAACUCCAAGAUCUUUCAAGAACGUUCAAGGAAGUUGUCAGGAACUUCAGAAAUUUCAAGAUUGUGGUCAAGAAUUCAAGAAGCUCAAGAUUAUUGUAAGUUCUCUUCACGAUUCACAAAAUUCCAACAAUUUUUGCCAAAAUUCAGAUUUGAAAACCAAGUAAACAAGUUGGAUAACACAAACAACAAGGCUGGACAGAUUUGUAUUCGGAUGAACAGAACCCUAUGAACAGUAUCAGUGAACAGUGUCGGUGAACAGUAACGAUGAACAGUAAUAUUUUUUUUUUUUUUUUGGUUCUGAACAAACGAACAGAUUGGGAUAAACACAUAUGACUCGAAAUAAACGAAAACAAAAAAAAAGAUAUAACCUGGUGGUUGUCAACUAGCUCUGGUACCAACUGAUGUGAAACCCCGAUCUAGACAACCAAAACACCAUGGCUUAGGCAGCGAAAAUUUGACCCAACUAAUCCCUAGAAGUCACGAACAAUUUUGAUAUUAUCUCAACCCGUAACUACUCGAAUUAACGAACCAAAUUGGAGGUAGUAGAACGCCACAAUCAAGGAGAUACUCGAUUGAUAAGUUCGGGUGAAUAACUUGAGAAGAUUCUCAAGUAUUCAAAGGCAACUCUCUUGCCAAAGAGAAAGUGAAAACUCACUAAUUGUAUUUAAUAGCCAAAAACUCGUCCCAAAACAAAGAGGAAGUGAGGCUAUUUAUAGCCCUUACAAGCAUUAACCCUAAUCCAAAAGUUGACCAAACUACCCUACAUACUCAAGAAAGAUUUUGGGCCUUACUUACUAACAAAUGGGCCGCAAUUAAACUAUCUUAAUUACCUAGAUUUUUAAAACGAGAAAUAACCAAAAUCAACGAGGAAAAUCAAAUAAUCCUACUAAACUCAAGCAUUCGUGCAAUCAACUAGUCUUCACUUGAAUCUUUCAAUUCCCCGUGUGCUUGAAUGGGCAUUGGUCUUUAUAUUCUCAUCAAUUUUCCUCUCCCUUUUAUUGACCAGAUGAUAGAAAGAUUGGCUGGUCGUGUUUACUAUUAUUUUUUGGAUAAUUUUUCAGGGUACUUCAGAUCUCGAUAGCACCGGAGGACCAGGAAAAGACCACAUUCACCUGCCCAUUUGGUACUUUUGCGUACCGUAGGAUGCCUUUCGAUCUUUGCAAUGCUCCAACAACUUUUCAAAGGUACAUGGUAAGUAUUUUCUCCGAAUAUGUAAAAAGAUUAUUGAUGUGUUCAUGAAUGAUUUUAGUGUAUACGGGGAUAGCUUUGAUGAAUGUUUCGAUAAUUUAGCUGUAAUUUUGAAAAUGUGCAUAGAGACGAACUUAGUUCUUAAUUGGAAAAAAUGCGCUUUAUGGUAGAGUAUGGUAUUGUCUUAGGGCACGUUGUGUCGGCUAAGGGAAUAGAGGUAGAUAAAGCAAAAAUAGAUCUAAUUUCUACUUUGCCUUACCCUGUAUGUGUACGGGAAGUACGUUUCUUUUUGGGCCAUACAGGAUUUUAUAGGAGGUUCAUCAAGGAUUUCUCAAAGAUUGGAGCACCCCUAUUCGAGUUGCUGCAAAAGGACGUGACAUUCGAUUUCACCAAUGAAUAUAAGGUGGCUUUUGAUAAAUUAAAGGAGUCGUUGACAUCGCCGCCCGUCAUUCAACCCCCAGAUUGGAGCCUACCGUUUGAAAUAAUGUGCGAUGCGAGUGAUUAUGAGGUAGAAGCAGUGUUGGGCCAAAGGAUUGGCAAGGUGGCGCAUGCAAUUUACUAUGCGUCGAAAGCAUUGAGUGGAGCUCAACUUAACUACUCCACGACGGAGAAAGAAUUACUAGCCGUUGUUUUUGCACUAGAAAAAUUUAGGUCAUAUUUAUUAGGUGCAUGUAGACACCAAAAAUUUCAUCGAUUCAGUUUUAGCUUUAUUCAUUCAAUUUUGACUUCCUUUGAUUCAAUUUUUAGUUUUAUUAUUAUUAUUUAUUCUUGUCUCAUAUUUAUUAUUUUUAAUUGAUUGGAGGUUGCAAAUGGUAAUUGAUGUUCAUUCUUAUUUUAAAUGCAUUAAAAUUCAUCAUUUUCUUUUUAAAGCAAUUUUACACUAAAUUUUAGGAAAAUCCCGAAUAAAGAUCCAUUUUAUCUUUUUAAAAUUUGAUUUUUUCUUGCUAAGGCAUUUUGCAAGGUAAUUUUUAAAAAUUAAGCAUGUUAAACAAGUGUGUCAAUUGCAUGUUGAACAAGUGUGCAAAUAAGCAUUAGACAAGUGGUUGAGGAAUGGUAGGACAAGUGUAUAGGGGGUAGCUGUCAAGGACACUUGGGGGGUUUUUUGGGGGGCAUCGGAAAAAAAAGGAAGAAAAAACCCUCGAAGAGGCUUGAAAACAGGGGGAAGAGAAAAGAGCUAAAAACAGGGAGGGGGCUUCGGAGGAAAGGGGAGAGGAAAAACGAAAUCGAAAAAGGAGGGGAGAGUAGGGAAAAAUCUGGGGAGAGUCUGUGGGCUAAGAAAAACAGCGGAGAGAUAGCGGAAAAAAAGGAGAAAAAGAACGGCUGAGGGGAAGGCUAAAAAUCUGAAAAGAGAAGAAGGCUUCGGCUGGGAGAAGCUGGAGUGGAAAAAAUAGAAAAAGGGAGAACGGCUGCGGUUGAGGGCCGAGAGAGUGGAGAGCCGAGGAGGAAAAAUCAGAAAAGGAGGAGAAAAAUCAAGGGCGGCGGAUGAAGGGAAAAGCUGGGAAAAUUAGAAACAGAGAAAGAGAGGAUAGCAGCGGACAAAGAGCUUGCGACUGAGGAAGCAGAGCAGCUGGAACUGCCGUUCGCGGGAAGCUGUUGCCGCCCUCUUCCGUCACGCGCGACGCCAGCUUCAUCGCUUCUUCCAUCAUAGUUCAAGCUCCGCCCUCUGCCGGCACAAACAAGUGGCCAACCGCCCGCCCAAGCAACCAAAUCCGAGAUCAGCACCCGCAAAAUUUUACCAAGAAACAAACGGUAAGCCACCAUCAUCCUUCAAAUUUCAGUUUUCAUGUAAGUUUUCGAAGCGUGUUUUAUUUUUCACGUUGUGGCUUGUAGCCAUUUCUCUGUUGAAUUAUUCACUAAUUGGAAGUAUGUAUGCUUUGAAUGUCGAUUGGACUGGAGUUUUCUUGCAUUUGAUGAAAUUUUGGGUGCUGAUUCAUGUCAAUUGAGCGAGAAAUUGGUGAAGUUUUUUAAUGGCUGUUUGUUGUUCGACAGAAUGCUUCAAUGAAAGUUCGGCCUGAAGAAUGGAUUAAUUUCUGAUUUAUAUACGUUCGACUGUUUCAUGCUUGUCAAAAUAAUUGAUUCGAAUGGGUUUGUUUGGGCGUCCGUUUGUUUUGGCAAUCUGCUCCGCUUCUCGUUUGUUUGGUGUUCCUCUUGUAUGGAUUUAAAUUCAUGACAUAAAAUGGCGUGCGAGGGGAUUCAUGUGAGAGUCAUUUGUUUUGCUUUUGUUUUGUUUUGUUGAUUGGAGUCCGAAGUUGAAUUUUCUGGUUGCAAAGAGGAAUGAAAUAGCAGCGAACGUUGAGCCAAUUUGGGAAGAAGAGGAUUGCUUGAUUAAAUUCAUGAUUCCAGUCCCUCAAUUUCCCUUUCCAUUAUGAUUUAACCCCAGAAUUUUAGGACUUCAUAAUUUUUCCUCCAACACCUUCAUAAGUCCUUCAAUUAGGUCCCUGCUCUUGUUGCAUUUUAACCCCUCAGCUUCCCCUUGUUCUGAUAUGACCCGAAAAGUGGAAAAAGUGCGUUUGUUUCUCCCUUCUAGAUUUAAAUCAUCUUCUAAUAAGCAUGAAUAGUCCUUUUACUAGAUUAAUUCUUGUUUGUAGGUUCUAAUUGUGGUUCAAUAAUUUAUUUUGAUUUUAUCAUGUUGGGUUUAAUGAAACAAGUGCCUUGGGCUAAGAGGUUAUUUUUGUUUGGGUUUAAGAAAGUCGUUUUAGUUUAUUUUGUUUGGUUUUUUGGUUCGGGCUAGAGGGUCAAGGCCCAUCUAUUUGGUUGGCUAAUUUUUGGGCCAGGAUAUUAUACUAGCCCACUUGUUUUCCUUGGACUUUCGAUUGGGCCAAGUUAUCUUGGCCCAAGAAAGGUGAAGAUGGCCCAUUCCCUUUUUGUUUUGGAUUUUCGGUUGGGCUUGUAAGGCUUUGGCCCAAACAAAUAAAGGAAAUGGCCCAAUGGCUUGGUCCAUUAAGAAACCAGAAAACGAUUUUGCAAAUCAGUCCCUGAAUUUCUCCCUAAUUGUAUUGUGGCCCUGGACAUUUUCAACUUCUUUCAAUUCGGUCCUUGCUUUAAUUGCAAAUAGGUCCCUGAACUUUAUUUUUCUUUAAUUUUGACCUCCAAACUUUGUCAAUCUUUGCAAUCAGGUCCUUUCUUCUCUUGACUUCUUAAAUGUGAAUUGUCGACAUGAUUUAAUUGAUUCAAAUUCAUGCUUAUUUUUUAUCCUUUGUGAUUAUUUGCCAAAUAAAUUGGUACCUUGACCUUUUUAUUGUUUUGAAGCUAAUAUCUCAUUUACUCGAUUUCCGUUGCGAGGGAGGUAACUUCUAUAUUUUUGAGUUUAUUUUUUCCUACGUGCUCCUACGUGUUAUGUGAAUAUGCCUGUCUACUUUGCUUUCUUUGCCUUUCUUUAAUUCUUUUCAUUUUUUUUUACUUACUUUUGCUUUUUAUUUAAGUUAUUCAUUAUGGGGUAUGUGUACACCUCUUGGCUUGUAAUAGUUAGGGAUUUAAUUAUUUUAUUCUUUUCCCCCUUUUAGAUUGUAGUGGGGUCUCCCUAAUGUAAUAGAUAGGGUUUGGAGGAGCAUUCAAUGAAGACCUAUCGAAGACUUGUGCCUAGCUAGCAAAUGUAAUAGUUAGGGCUUUAAUUGUCUCAUGUGCCUUGCAUGCUUAGUUGCUACGUGUUAAUUUGCUUUGCUAGGGCCUUGCAUCUAGUCGAGCAUGCAAAAUGUUAUGUGCUAUGUGUUUAUAAGUGUUUGGCAUGUCUACUCGCUUUCCAUAGCCUGAAUAAAUGUGAUGGAUGAAUGUACGUCACCACACUAGUCCAAUGCUAGUUGUGGCUCAUUAUUUCAUUAGGAAUUCAUAGAAAGGGCUAGUCCAACGCUAGACCCAAUAGGAUUUUUCCUUUGUUUUUCAUUAAUGCAUUAUUUGCCUGUUCACUACAUAUCAUGCAUUUUUCCUUAGUUUUAUCAUCUGGCAUGCUCCUCGAUUCCCCUUUCCCCUCACUUUAGGAUUUUUGCAUUUCAUGCUAGUUAUAGGGUUCAUUUGCCUGAAGAGUCCCCUUCUGAUAAGGGAAACGAGCGAGUGUGGCUACUCGAUAGCCUUAGCACGCUAGUUUCGCCUUCUAAUCAAAGGGAAGAUUAAGUCACAAAGUUAGGACUCCCCGUUCCCGUCUUGAUGCAUUCCUAUAGGAUUCAUGCAUUCUAUUCAUUCACUAUCACAUACACUUACUUUAUAUUCUAACCCUUUUUCCACAUUCUCACUUCACACUACUUUUACACGUUUUCAUUUAACUACUCACACUCUAUGCCAUAUCACUCGCACACAUGCACUUUAUAUUAUUUUCACAUUAUCAUUCUUUACUCACCUUACCUUGUAAAUACAUUUGCACACCUCCACUUUUCUCACUUCACAUAAACUUACAUUUUCACAUGACAUGCACCCCAUUCAUUUUUACGUCAUUUAGGAUUACGUGUGACCUCUCCAAAGGAUCAUUAUUGGGCUUCACAAUUAAUGUGAUUGGCACCACUCAACCUUUGAAGAGAAAUUUCCCCCAAUACCCCUAGGUCUAGGGUUUUGCAUUCAUAUAGACAUAUCCAACACGCGAUACAUACCUUGGGUAGAAAAAUUAGGAAAAAUUGGUUUAAGUCACGCAACUAGCCUUGGCUAGGUCGAAGGGGUGCCUUGGAUUUUUUAUCCUUGCCUUCCCCUUCGUCAAAUGUGACCCCCGAUCCCUCUUUUUGGUUACGUAGACCCAAAAGUUCUUUAAAAGGGUUUAUUUACUUUUUUUAUUCAAAAACAAAAAACCAUUUUUUGGGUGACUUGGUACACCCUAACCCUAUACCAAGUGGCGACUCCAUUUUUGAUACAAAAAACCCUUUUUGAACUUUAUAUGGCCAAACCGUCGCAUUAUCAAGUCCCAUGGCCUUUUACUUUUCAUUUACACACGUUCACAUUCCAUUACACCACUCACAUCUCACACCACACACACACCACAACUCAUCAUCUUCGAAAAGUGGGGCGCGACAGUUGGCGACUCCACUGGGGAAGCUCCUAAGUGGGUCCGAGCAUUUGACUUAGCCAUUCGUUUCCUUUUUCUACCCUUUUUAUGCAUUGCACUUGGAUAUUAGGGUUGCAUUUUUUUUAUUUUAGGCCUUUUUGCCUCGUGCGCGUAUCCAACUAUUCCCUCACUCACGUACGUGUGAUUGGUUGAUUGGAUGUAUGUUUACUUGUUUAUCUCGCGCUUGCAUUGCAUUUGGGAGGGGGCGUGUCACCUUUAGAGCCUCACGUUGGUUCUCAACCCCUUCCCUCAAAAUAGGGGAGCACUUCAUACGUGCACGUUUACUUGCUUUUAUCCCAUUUUAUUUUGUUUUUCGUGGGCGUUUCCCACACCGCCUUGUAGGAUUAGGAUCGAUUGCCUUGGGUAGGCGGCUGGUGUGCUCUGCGCCCAUAACGCUACCUAAGGGAUCACUCGAGCCACCGAUCAAAGGCCUUGGGAGUGAUGACCCUUUGCCUUUAGGUCUGAAGGCUUGGGAGCCGAAGCUUUAUCGAGUCUAGGCAUUAAUGAACCAAACCUCAUGCAUCCAUGUUAGCAUUUGCCUAGGGUAGAGUCAGCCUCACCCUUUUUAAGCACAAUUAGGCACGAGGGAAGGGGUUCCACCCCUUUUUAUUGGCUUUUAUUGUAUUUCUUUUUCUUAAUUGCUCCCAAUAUGUUAUGUGUAUUACCAAUUGCACUAACCAUUCUUUUGUUUUCUUGGCUUGCAUUCAUAUGCCCUAGCAAUAAGAGGCCCUUUUGGCACUCUUUUAGUGACCUAUCCACUAGAUAACUCACAUGUUUAAAUUUCAGUCAUUAUACUUAAUAAAUACAUUUCAUUUUAGACCUUUUUUCCCCCGAUGCAUUAUUUAUGUCCCUUAGGUCAUAUUUGUCACAUAUUUACAUCGCUUUAAUAAAUGACAUCAUGCAUAAACCCUAGAAAGGGAAUGCCAUUUAGGGGAUCCCGUGUCAGGAAUAAGCCACCUUGUGUCUCGGAUACUUAAUCCAGUGAGACUUGCACGUUUACAUUUUGUACCAUCCAAAGGGGGUAGUGCACAAGGUAAGGUAGGAUCCGAUCAUUUUCAUAGAGUGAUCUUUGGGAUAUGAGCAUCUAAUAAUCACUUUUUGGCCAUUUUAUCAAAAAUUGGUAAAAAUUCCUUGCGUGAAGGACAGUAAUUUGAAGAAAUUCACAAAUGAUUCCUUCUAUUGAGACGAUAAAUAAAUUGAGGCCAAAAUUUGAUUUUUAGAAGCUCAUAGACUAAUGCAUCUCAAUCAUUUUGAAAUCACCAAUGGCCGGACAAUUCAACCAAUCCAUUUUACCCAUUCAUUCAAUAAAUCAUCAAUUCAUUUGAUCAAUUUACCCUUUUUAGGGUCAUCCGGUCGAUUUUGAAUAAAUCGUCAAUUCAUUUGACCAAUUUACCCUUUUUAGGGUCACCUGGUCGAUUUUCAAUAAAUCAUCAAUUCAUUUGAUCAAUUUACCCUUUUUAGGGUCACCUGGUCGAUUUUGAAUAAAUCGUCAAUUCAUUUGACCAAUUUACCCUUUUUAGGGUCAUCCGGUCGAUUUUGAAUAAAUCAUCAAUUCAUUUGACCGAUUUACCCUUUUUAGGAUCGUUCGGCCGAUUUUUGAACAAGUCACUAAUUCAAUUUCAUUCAUUUGGCCAAUUUACCUUUUUUUAGGGCAACCGAGCCGUUUUUUGACCUGUUUCCCUUCUAGGGUAAUCCGGUCGAUUUUCAAUAAAUUGUCAAUUUCAUUUGACCAAUUAGGAUUUCAAUGUCGAAUUCCAAAUUGGGAAAUCUAGUCAAUUUUGAAGAAAACCGUCCAUUGCAUCCAAUCACUUGAUCAAUUAGGGUUUUUGACCCGUAAUUCACUGAGAAAUUUUAUCAACGAAUUCCAAUCUCUUCGAUAGGAGUUCGUCAAGGUCAAACCCAUGCGUUUUGCAAAUCAAAGGUGAUCAAUCUAUUCGGACGUUGUCCUCAUUUUGACAAAUCUCUUGCCACUCCAAUGGCCAAAUUUUUCAAAUUAUUUUUCACUCAAUGAGUUGAUCAGAUCCGUCAGGUAUGGUAUAGUGCUUCCCUAGAGGAUUGCAUUUUCAUGCUAGGCCUACCCUUGGCAUAAAAAGGGUUCCCCCAUAGGACAUGCAUACCGAUUUUUUUUUAUUCUUACUUACUGACUCUGGGUAUUUUUCUUUUUGUUUUCCCCUCCCCCUGCAUUUAUAAAAAUGUUUCAAUAAGGCGAGAAUAUUCUUCUAUAUCUGAUAAUUUUGAUCCAAUAAAGCUUGAAGAUUACAAGUAUUACUUGAUUUUUAGGUAGACAUUGCCGCGAAAGCAUAAAGGGGAAAUUCUAUUUAUUUGAUUUGUUAAUACAUUUUGUUCCAAAAGAAAAGGAGACAAAAAGUGUAUGUGUUGAGCUCUUUACGAGUUUCUCUCUUCUCAUUUGUAUCAUAAUUGAUUGAGCAAUUUUGUUUCAAACUUUUUCAACAAUAAAAUUUUUUGGAUAAUUUUUGUUUUGUGUAUAUUUAUGUACAUUUCAUUCUUUAUUCUUACUCAUUGGAGAUUUCAUGAUGAUUUUUGAGAAAUAAGACCCAAUUUGAGAUUUUUCAACCUAUAGCCUGAAUUUCACAAGUGUGUGCUUCCUAAAAUCCUUACACUCGAUUGGUGUUCCAACCUGUACAAUAAGAGUGCUCAGAAAGAAAGAGAGUGAACGGUCACUCAAAAGGCCCUAUGAGAUACCUUUCUCCUUCACUUAAUUCCAAAAUAAAAUCAGUCACAUUGAUUGAUAAAUUGUAAAUUGGGGUAACUUUUGCUUGAAAAUGUUCAAGGCGUCUAAUCUGGUUCAAUCACAUCUAAGUGAAAGCAAAAAUGUGCAUUAUUCUUAUUUGUUUGGAAAAUUUGGAAUGAUACUUCAAGCAUUCGUUUCAUUACCUGUACAGAUUUUUAUCAUUUGCUCUCCCAUUUGAGCUUCUAAAAGAAUAAUUUCGUUUCAAAUAAGGGUCUUAAUGAUCACUACCCGUCAUUGAAAAAUUUUCAAAUAUCAAAAGAAGAAUGGGUUUUCAAUGACCAUUUCGCUACUUCGGUUGUCAUGAGGUAUAAGAAUGAUACUUUGGCCGUCAGUUCUACAAUCUAAACACUGAUCAUCCCUUGCAUCCUCGUUUGAGCUAAAUUGGUGGUUCUUUUCGAGUGCACAUAUGAUCGCACCCCACAUUGGGGAAGGAGAUUGGGAAAUUUUGAAAAAAGGGAAAAGAAAAGGGGAAAAGCAAAAAAUGCUAGAAUAAGGAGGGAACCGCAAAUUUGGGGAAUUUGAUUCCACUUGGGUUCCAAUUUUGAAAAAAAAAAAGAAAAGAAAAAGAAGAAAACAAGUUCUAUCCGGUGGAUCACUUAUGUUUCAUAGACAUGAAUGAGCAAGGGUCUUCCUCAGUCAGUUAAUUCAGAUACAUGCCAAAAAUUUCCCAUUAAUGAAAAUUUCUUUUCAGAGUUAAUGUAAGGAACGGAAUACAAGUCAGGCCAUCUUCUUUUCCGAUCAAGCAUCUAUCCCUAGUUAUCCCUUUUGAGCAUUCAGAAUGAAAUACUUCGUUUGGCAACCCCUGAGAAUCGCAAACCCCACACUGGGGCAAGUUGGUUUGAAAAAGGAAAAUUUCAAGAAGCGGAAAAGUGAAAAGCCACAAAAUCAAAAGGCAAAGGAAGAAAAGAGAACCUCAGUUCAAAAAUAAACUGGGGCAAAUUUUGUGAAAGUUCGAAAAAAUGGCCGAAGGCCGAAAAAUCAAAAGAAAGAAAAUAAAAGUGAAAAAGCCUCAAUUGAGCAAAAACUGGGGCAAAUUCUGAUUUUACCCUAAAAUAGGGUUGACGCAACAAUGCGAUUUCAGAUUCUUCAAACCACUUUUGAAAUCCGCUUUCAAGCCUUAACUUUUCUAAGCACCCCACCUGACCCCAUUACAAAAGCCAAAAGUCCUGACUUCUGUUCUUUGCAAUGGCCCUGUCAAGAAAAUUUCUGAUGCCGGAAAAUUUUAGCUGUAUUGCUGAAUUGCUUGAGUAUGAGGUUGGCGCUACUCAUGUGAAAACCCAUCAGCUCGAGGGAAAAGAAAAGAGGCAAAAAGCAAAGCAAGAAAAGUAAAUGCAAGGAAAAUGCAAAAAGACUUGACGCUGAAGUCCCUGGGGAAUGAUGAGAAAAUCCAAACAAAGUCUGAAAUCUUUUGAGUUCAAAUAGGGGCAAUUUUGGAAAAAUGUGAUCUUCGGUGCAAUGUCCUUGAAAGUUUUAUUCUUUAGCUAUCGUUUUUCAAGCCAAAUUACAAGCUAAGAAAGUCCAUCGUUGACUUAUUCCUUCAUGACAAUCCAAAGUGAGGAUCAUACUCAUAAGAAAUUCAUCAAAUCAUUUGUGAUCAUAAGGGUAUAACCCGUUUCCACAUGUUUAGCUAUCACUUCUGUCCAUACGUUACAAGCCUAGAAAGCUGGUAUGUUGACUAAGUUUUCUUGAAAAAUAAGGGUGACAAACUCUUUGCUUUCACUAAGAUGUGACAUUGAAUGGAUUACAUACAAUUGGGGCACAAAAAUGAGACAGAUUCUGACCUCUCAUUUUCCUUCAGCCACUUCCAAAUCAAAAAUAAAGUCACUUGAUUGGUCCUGAAAAAUGAGCCAACCAGAAGUGGUGACCCGUUACCCUAAACACCAAUGCUAAAAGUGAGGAAGAAAUCUUCUUGAAUUUGGUGUUACUUCGAGGAAUUCAUCAUGAAAUUUCUGCAUGAGUUUCAAACUUGACGUUUAAAGUUUCUUCACAUUGUUGUAUAUGUGCACUCUUUUCUAAAUUUUAGAAAGUGCGGUUUUUCUUUGUUCAAAUCAAUGGGAAAUCAUCUGAACAAAUUUUUGCAAUUAAGGGAGCCCACACUGGGGCAAAAAUUUUAUUUGUGAGAUUUCAUGAAAUAAGCCCAUACUGGGGCAAAUUUUUUGUAAUACAUUUGAGAUUUGUGUCCAAAAAUCAAAUAAUAACAUUUUUCGAAACAAUCCCGCUGCUCUUUUCCUGGAAUUUAAGUGCAUGUCAUACUUUGAUGAACCCCUUGUACAGGUAUUCAUGAUUCAAAAUGACGAAAGGCAUCCAGUAAGGCGGAAGGCCGAUACUGCAAAGAGAAGCAAGAAGAAGGAGGAAAAAUGGACACUACACUUGGGGCAAAUUAUUUUUUUAAAAUUUUUGAAAAAAGGGAAAAAAGAAGGAAAAAAGAAAAAAAGAGAAAAAACCAAAAAUCAAAUCAAAAAGUCAAAAAUCAAGUUCAAAUUCUUGUUUCUUGAAAAAUCAAAUUUGAUUUCUUGUGGGCGAAGCUCCAAUGCACGCCGCGCAUCAUUCUGUUCCCCCCUUCUCUUGACAUUCCAAAUCAAGUUGGGCCUGGAUUUCGUGCCACCAACAUCAUUUUAUCACGUUGGGCCUGGACUUGGUGCCGCCAACAUCACUUUAUCACGUUGGGCCUGGACUUGGUGCCGCCAACAUCACUUUAUCACGUUGGGCCUGGACUUGGUGCCGCCAACAUCACUUUAUCACGUUGGGCCUGGACUUGGUGCCGCCAACUUCACUUUAUCACGUUGGGCCUGGACUUGGUGCCGCCAACAUCACUUUAUCACGUUGGGCUUGGUUUUCGUGCCACCAACUUCGCUUUGUCACGUUGGGCUUGGAUUUAGUGCCACCAACAUUACAAAAGUCACAUUGGACCGGGUUUUAUCCCGCCAAUCUCGGCAGGACCGGGUCUAAUCCCGCUGACCGCUUACAGGACCGGGUCUAAUCCCGCUGACAGGCAGGACCGGGUCUAAUCCCGCUGACCGCUUACUUCGGCAGGACCGGGUCUAAUCCCGCUGACCGCUCACCUCGGCAGGACCGGGUCUAAUCCCGCUGACCGCUCACCUCGGCAGGACCGGGUCUAAUCCCGCUGACCGCUCACCUCGGCAGGACCGGGUUUUAUCCCGCUGACCGUCCACACCCCGUCGGCCUCAGAUGUUAUCCCACCGACCAAUUCAUCACACUGGGGCAAAUUUUUUAGAUAAUUUUUCAAACAAGUCCUAUACAGUUCUCUAUUUAAUUUUCUGUUCGGGUCUAUCCCAUGGGUCUGUCCCAUCUACAUUUUUAUCCGAGUCUAUCGCAUUUACAUUCCUGUCCGGGUCUAUCCCGUUUACAAUUCUGUUCAGGCCAGUCCCAUGUUUGAAAUUCCUUGUUUAGGUCAGCCCUCCGAAUAGGGGCAACCGAAUGGUACAGGUAAGCAUUUGGUGUCUACUUCUUUGUCUCAAGUUUUUUCAAAACUCAGACAAAGAGGGGCAAACUGUAGACACCAAAAAUUUCAUCGAUUCAGUUUUAGCUUUAUUCAUUCAAUUUUGACUUCCUUUGAUUCAAUUUUUAGUUUUAUUAUUAUUAUUUAUUCUUGUCUCAUAUUUAUUAUUUUUAAUUGAUUGGAGGUUGCAAAUGGUAAUUGAUGUUCAUUCUUAUUUUAAAUGCAUUAAAAUUCAUCAUUUUCUUUUUAAAGCAAUUUUACACUAAAUUUUAGGAAAAUCCCGAAUAAAGAUCCAUUUUAUCUUUUUAAAAUUUGAUUUUUUCUUGCUAAGGCAUUUUGCAAGGUAAUUUUUAAAAAUUAAGCAUGUUAAACAAGUGUGUCAAUUGCAUGUUGAACAAGUGUGCAAAUAAGCAUUAGACAAGUGGUUGAGGAAUGGUAGGACAAGUGUAUAGGGGGUAGCUGUCAAGGACACUUGGGGGGUUUUUUGGGGGGCAUCGGAAAAAAAAGGAAGAAAAAACCCUCGAAGAGGCUUGAAAACAGGGGGAAGAGAAAAGAGCUAAAAACAGGGAGGGGGCUUCGGAGGAAAGGGGAGAGGAAAAACGAAAUCGAAAAAGGAGGGGAGAGUAGGGAAAAAUCUGGGGAGAGUCUGUGGGCUAAGAAAAACAGCGGAGAGAUAGCGGAAAAAAAGGAGAAAAAGAACGGCUGAGGGGAAGGCUAAAAAUCUGAAAAGAGAAGAAGGCUUCGGCUGGGAGAAGCUGGAGUGGAAAAAAUAGAAAAAGGGAGAACGGCUGCGGUUGAGGGCCGAGAGAGUGGAGAGCCGAGGAGGAAAAAUCAGAAAAGGAGGAGAAAAAUCAAGGGCGGCGGAUGAAGGGAAAAGCUGGGAAAAUUAGAAACAGAGAAAGAGAGGAUAGCAGCGGACAAAGAGCUUGCGACUGAGGAAGCAGAGCAGCUGGAACUGCCGUUCGCGGGAAGCUGUUGCCGCCCUCUUCCGUCACGCGCGACGCCAGCUUCAUCGCUUCUUCCAUCAUAGUUCAAGCUCCGCCCUCUGCCGGCACAAACAAGUGGCCAACCGCCCGCCCAAGCAACCAAAUCCGAGAUCAGCACCCGCAAAAUUUUACCAAGAAACAAACGGUAAGCCACCAUCAUCCUUCAAAUUUCAGUUUUCAUGUAAGUUUUCGAAGCGUGUUUUAUUUUUCACGUUGUGGCUUGUAGCCAUUUCUCUGUUGAAUUAUUCACUAAUUGGAAGUAUGUAUGCUUUGAAUGUCGAUUGGACUGGAGUUUUCUUGCAUUUGAUGAAAUUUUGGGUGCUGAUUCAUGUCAAUUGGGCGAGAAAUUGGUGAAGUUUUUUAAUGGCUGUUUGUUGUUCGACAGAAUGCUUCAAUGAAAGUUCGGCCUGAAGAAUGGAUUAAUUUCUGAUUUAUAUACGUUCGACUGUUUCAUGCUUGUCAAAAUAAUUGAUUCGAAUGGGUUUGUUUGGGCGUCCGUUUGUUUUGGCAAUCUGCUCCGCUUCUCGUUUGUUUGGUGUUCCUCUUGUAUGGAUUUAAAUUCAUGACAUAAAAUGGCGUGCGAGGGGAUUCAUGUGAGAGUCAUUUGUUUUGCUUUUGUUUUGUUUUGUUGAUUGGAGUCCGAAGUUGAAUUUUCUGGUUGCAAAGAGGAAUGAAAUAGCAGCGAACGUUGAGCCAAUUUGGGAAGAAGAGGAUUGCUUGAUUAAAUUCAUGAUUCCAGUCCCUCAAUUUCCCUUUCCAUUAUGAUUUAACCCCAGAAUUUUAGGACUUCAUAAUUUUUCCUCCAACACCUUCAUAAGUCCUUCAAUUAGGUCCCUGCUCUUGUUGCAUUUUAACCCCUCAGCUUCCCCUUGUUCUGAUAUGACCCGAAAAGUGGAAAAAGUGCGUUUGUUUCUCCCUUCUAGAUUUAAAUCAUCUUCUAAUAAGCAUGAAUAGUCCUUUUACUAGAUUAAUUCUUGUUUGUAGGUUCUAAUUGUGGUUCAAUAAUUUAUUUUGAUUUUAUCAUGUUGGGUUUAAUGAAACAAGUGCCUUGGGCUAAGAGGUUAUUUUUGUUUGGGUUUAAGAAAGUCGUUUUAGUUUAUUUUGUUUGGUUUUUUGGUUCGGGCUAGAGGGUCAAGGCCCAUCUAUUUGGUUGGCUAAUUUUUGGGCCAGGAUAUUAUACUAGCCCACUUGUUUUCCUUGGACUUUCGAUUGGGCCAAGUUAUCUUGGCCCAAGAAAGGUGAAGAUGGCCCAUUCCCUUUUUGUUUUGGAUUUUCGGUUGGGCUUGUAAGGCUUUGGCCCAAACAAAUAAAGGAAAUGGCCCAAUGGCUUGGUCCAUUAAGAAACCAGAAAACGAUUUUGCAAAUCAGUCCCUGAAUUUCUCCCUAAUUGUAUUGUGGCCCUGGACAUUUUCAACUUCUUUCAAUUCGGUCCUUGCUUUAAUUGCAAAUAGGUCCCUGAACUUUAUUUUUCUUUAAUUUUGACCUCCAAACUUUGUCAAUCUUUGCAAUCAGGUCCUUUCUUCUCUUGACUUCUUAAAUGUGAAUUGUCGACAUGAUUUAAUUGAUUCAAAUUCAUGCUUAUUUUUUAUCCUUUGUGAUUAUUUGCCAAAUAAAUUGGUACCUUGACCUUUUUAUUGUUUUGAAGCUAAUAUCUCAUUUACUCGAUUUCCGUUGCGAGGGAGGUAACUUCUAUAUUUUUGAGUUUAUUUUUUCCUACGUGCUCCUACGUGUUAUGUGAAUAUGCCUGUCUACUUUGCUUUCUUUGCCUUUCUUUAAUUCUUUUCAUUUUUUUUUACUUACUUUUGCUUUUUAUUUAAGUUAUUCAUUAUGGGGUAUGUGUACACCUCUUGGCUUGUAAUAGUUAGGGAUUUAAUUAUUUUAUUCUUUUCCCCCUUUUAGAUUGUAGUGGGGUCUCCCUAAUGUAAUAGAUAGGGUUUGGAGGAGCAUUCAAUGAAGACCUAUCGAAGACUUGUGCCUAGCUAGCAAAUGUAAUAGUUAGGGCUUUAAUUGUCUCAUGUGCCUUGCAUGCUUAGUUGCUACGUGUUAAUUUGCUUUGCUAGGGCCUUGCAUCUAGUCGAGCAUGCAAAAUGUUAUGUGCUAUGUGUUUAUAAGUGUUUGGCAUGUCUACUCGCUUUCCAUAGCCUGAAUAAAUGUGAUGGAUGAAUGUACGUCACCACACUAGUCCAAUGCUAGUUGUGGCUCAUUAUUUCAUUAGGAAUUCAUAGAAAGGGCUAGUCCAACGCUAGACCCAAUAGGAUUUUUCCUUUGUUUUUCAUUAAUGCAUUAUUUGCCUGUUCACUACAUAUCAUGCAUUUUUCCUUAGUUUUAUCAUCUGGCAUGCUCCUCGAUUCCCCUUUCCCCUCACUUUAGGAUUUUUGCAUUUCAUGCUAGUUAUAGGGUUCAUUUGCCUGAAGAGUCCCCUUCUGAUAAGGGAAACGAGCGAGUGUGGCUACUCGAUAGCCUUAGCACGCUAGUUUCGCCUUCUAAUCAAAGGGAAGAUUAAGUCACAAAGUUAGGACUCCCCGUUCCCGUCUUGAUGCAUUCCUAUAGGAUUCAUGCAUUCUAUUCAUUCACUAUCACAUACACUUACUUUAUAUUCUAACCCUUUUUCCACAUUCUCACUUCACACUACUUUUACACGUUUUCAUUUAACUACUCACACUCUAUGCCAUAUCACUCGCACACAUGCACUUUAUAUUAUUUUCACAUUAUCAUUCUUUACUCACCUUACCUUGUAAAUACAUUUGCACACCUCCACUUUUCUCACUUCACAUAAACUUACAUUUUCACAUGACAUGCACCCCAUUCAUUUUUACGUCAUUUAGGAUUACGUGUGACCUCUCCAAAGGAUCAUUAUUGGGCUUCACAAUUAAUGUGAUUGGCACCACUCAACCUUUGAAGAGAAAUUUCCCCCAAUACCCCUAGGUCUAGGGUUUUGCAUUCAUAUAGACAUAUCCAACACGCGAUACAUACCUUGGGUAGAAAAAUUAGGAAAAAUUGGUUUAAGUCACGCAACUAGCCUUGGCUAGGUCGAAGGGGUGCCUUGGAUUUUUUAUCCUUGCCUUCCCCUUCGUCAAAUGUGACCCCCGAUCCCUCUUUUUGGUUACGUAGACCCAAAAGUUCUUUAAAAGGGUUUAUUUACUUUUUUUAUUCAAAAACAAAAAACCAUUUUUUGGGUGACUUGGUACACCCUAACCCUAUACCAAGUGGCGACUCCAUUUUUGAUACAAAAAACCCUUUUUGAACUUUAUAUGGCCAAACCGUCGCAUUAUCAAGUCCCAUGGCCUUUUACUUUUCAUUUACACACGUUCACAUUCCAUUACACCACUCACAUCUCACACCACACACACACCACAACUCAUCAUCUUCGAAAAGUGGGGCGCGACAGUUGGCGACUCCACUGGGGAAGCUCCUAAGUGGGUCCGAGCAUUUGACUUAGCCAUUCGUUUCCUUUUUCUACCCUUUUUAUGCAUUGCACUUGGAUAUUAGGGUUGCAUUUUUUUUAUUUUAGGCCUUUUUGCCUCGUGCGCGUAUCCAACUAUUCCCUCACUCACGUACGUGUGAUUGGUUGAUUGGAUGUAUGUUUACUUGUUUAUCUCGCGCUUGCAUUGCAUUUGGGAGGGGGCGUGUCACCUUUAGAGCCUCACGUUGGUUCUCAACCCCUUCCCUCAAAAUAGGGGAGCACUUCAUACGUGCACGUUUACUUGCUUUUAUCCCAUUUUAUUUUGUUUUUCGUGGGCGUUUCCCACACCGCCUUGUAGGAUUAGGAUCGAUUGCCUUGGGUAGGCGGCUGGUGUGCUCUGCGCCCAUAACGCUACCUAAGGGAUCACUCGAGCCACCGAUCAAAGGCCUUGGGAGUGAUGACCCUUUGCCUUUAGGUCUGAAGGCUUGGGAGCCGAAGCUUUAUCGAGUCUAGGCAUUAAUGAACCAAACCUCAUGCAUCCAUGUUAGCAUUUGCCUAGGGUAGAGUCAGCCUCACCCUUUUUAAGCACAAUUAGGCACGAGGGAAGGGGUUCCACCCCUUUUUAUUGGCUUUUAUUGUAUUUCUUUUUCUUAAUUGCUCCCAAUAUGUUAUGUGUAUUACCAAUUGCACUAACCAUUCUUUUGUUUUCUUGGCUUGCAUUCAUAUGCCCUAGCAAUAAGAGGCCCUUUUGGCACUCUUUUAGUGACCUAUCCACUAGAUAACUCACAUGUUUAAAUUUCAGUCAUUAUACUUAAUAAAUACAUUUCAUUUUAGACCUUUUUUCCCCCGAUGCAUUAUUUAUGUCCCUUAGGUCAUAUUUGUCACAUAUUUACAUCGCUUUAAUAAAUGACAUCAUGCAUAAACCCUAGAAAGGGAAUGCCAUUUAGGGGAUCCCGUGUCAGGAAUAAGCCACCUUGUGUCUCGGAUACUUAAUCCAGUGAGACUUGCACGUUUACAUUUUGUACCAUCCAAAGGGGGUAGUGCACAAAGUAAGGUAGGAUCCGAUCAUUUUCAUAGAGUGAUCUUUGGGAUAUGAGCAUCUAAUAAUCACUUUUUGGCCAUUUUAUCAAAAAUUGGUAAAAAUUCCUUGCGUGAAGGACAGUAAUUUGAAGAAAUUCACAAAUGAUUCCUUCUAUUGAGACGAUAAAUAAAUUGAGGCCAAAAUUUGAUUUUUAGAAGCUCAUAGACUAAUGCAUCUCAAUCAUUUUGAAAUCACCAAUGGCCGGACAAUUCAACCAAUCCAUUUUACCCAUUCAUUCAAUAAAUCAUCAAUUCAUUUGAUCAAUUUACCCUUUUUAGGGUCAUCCGGUCGAUUUUGAAUAAAUCGUCAAUUCAUUUGACCAAUUUACCCUUUUUAGGGUCACCUGGUCGAUUUUCAAUAAAUCAUCAAUUCAUUUGAUCAAUUUACCCUUUUUAGGGUCACCUGGUCGAUUUUGAAUAAAUCGUCAAUUCAUUUGACCAAUUUACCCUUUUUAGGGUCAUCCGGUCGAUUUUGAAUAAAUCAUCAAUUCAUUUGACCGAUUUACCCUUUUUAGGAUCGUUCGGCCGAUUUUUGAACAAGUCACUAAUUCAAUUUCAUUCAUUUGGCCAAUUUACCUUUUUUUAGGGCAACCGAGCCGUUUUUUGACCUGUUUCCCUUCUAGGGUAAUCCGGUCGAUUUUCAAUAAAUUGUCAAUUUCAUUUGACCAAUUAGGAUUUCAAUGUCGAAUUCCAAAUUGGGAAAUCUAGUCAAUUUUGAAGAAAACCGUCCAUUGCAUCCAAUCACUUGAUCAAUUAGGGUUUUUGACCCGUAAUUCACUGAGAAAUUUUAUCAACGAAUUCCAAUCUCUUCGAUAGGAGUUCGUCAAGGUCAAACCCAUGCGUUUUGCAAAUCAAAGGUGAUCAAUCUAUUCGGACGUUGUCCUCAUUUUGACAAAUCUCUUGCCACUCCAAUGGCCAAAUUUUUCAAAUUAUUUUUCACUCAAUGAGUUGAUCAGAUCCGUCAGGUAUGGUAUAGUGCUUCCCUAGAGGAUUGCAUUUUCAUGCUAGGCCUACCCUUGGCAUAAAAAGGGUUCCCCCAUAGGACAUGCAUACCGAUUUUUUUUUAUUCUUACUUACUGACUCUGGGUAUUUUUCUUUUUGUUUUCCCCUCCCCCUGCAUUUAUAAAAAUGUUUCAAUAAGGCGAGAAUAUUCUUCUAUAUCUGAUAAUUUUGAUCCAAUAAAGCUUGAAGAUUACAAGUAUUACUUGAUUUUUAGGUAGACAUUGCCGCGAAAGCAUAAAGGGGAAAUUCUAUUUAUUUGAUUUGUUAAUACAUUUUGUUCCAAAAGAAAAGGAGACAAAAAGUGUAUGUGUUGAGCUCUUUACGAGUUUCUCUCUUCUCAUUUGUAUCAUAAUUGAUUGAGCAAUUUUGUUUCAAACUUUUUCAACAAUAAAAUUUUUUGGAUAAUUUUUGUUUUGUGUAUAUUUAUGUACAUUUCAUUCUUUAUUCUUACUCAUUGGAGAUUUCAUGAUGAUUUUUGAGAAAUAAGACCCAAUUUGAGAUUUUUCAACCUAUAGCCUGAAUUUCACAAGUGUGUGCUUCCUAAAAUCCUUACACUCGAUUGGUGUUCCAACCUGUACAAUAAGAGUGCUCAGAAAGAAAGAGAGUGAACGGUCACUCAAAAGGCCCUAUGAGAUACCUUUCUCCUUCACUUAAUUCCAAAAUAAAAUCAGUCACAUUGAUUGAUAAAUUGUAAAUUGGGGUAACUUUUGCUUGAAAAUGUUCAAGGCGUCUAAUCUGGUUCAAUCACAUCUAAGUGAAAGCAAAAAUGUGCAUUAUUCUUAUUUGUUUGGAAAAUUUGGAAUGAUACUUCAAGCAUUCGUUUCAUUACCUGUACAGAUUUUUAUCAUUUGCUCUCCCAUUUGAGCUUCUAAAAGAAUAAUUUCGUUUCAAAUAAGGGUCUUAAUGAUCACUACCCGUCAUUGAAAAAUUUUCAAAUAUCAAAAGAAGAAUGGGUUUUCAAUGACCAUUUCGCUACUUCGGUUGUCAUGAGGUAUAAGAAUGAUACUUUGGCCGUCAGUUCUACAAUCUAAACACUGAUCAUCCCUUGCAUCCUCGUUUGAGCUAAAUUGGUGGUUCUUUUCGAGUGCACAUAUGAUCGCACCCCACAUUGGGGAAGGAGAUUGGGAAAUUUUGAAAAAAGGGAAAAGAAAAGGGGAAAAGCAAAAAAUGCUAGAAUAAGGAGGGAACCGCAAAUUUGGGGAAUUUGAUUCCACUUGGGUUCCAAUUUUGAAAAAAAAAAAGAAAAGAAAAAGAAGAAAACAAGUUCUAUCCGGUGGAUCACUUAUGUUUCAUAGACAUGAAUGAGCAAGGGUCUUCCUCAGUCAGUUAAUUCAGAUACAUGCCAAAAAUUUCCCAUUAAUGAAAAUUUCUUUUCAGAGUUAAUGUAAGGAACGGAAUACAAGUCAGGCCAUCUUCUUUUCCGAUCAAGCAUCUAUCCCUAGUUAUCCCUUUUGAGCAUUCAGAAUGAAAUACUUCGUUUGGCAACCCCUGAGAAUCGCAAACCCCACACUGGGGCAAGUUGGUUUGAAAAAGGAAAAUUUCAAGAAGCGGAAAAGUGAAAAGCCACAAAAUCAAAAGGCAAAGGAAGAAAAGAGAACCUCAGUUCAAAAAUAAACUGGGGCAAAUUUUGUGAAAGUUCGAAAAAAUGGCCGAAGGCCGAAAAAUCAAAAGAAAGAAAAUAAAAGUGAAAAAGCCUCAAUUGAGCAAAAACUGGGGCAAAUUCUGAUUUUACCCUAAAAUAGGGUUGACGCAACAAUGCGAUUUCAGAUUCUUCAAACCACUUUUGAAAUCCGCUUUCAAGCCUUAACUUUUCUAAGCACCCCACCUGACCCCAUUACAAAAGCCAAAAGUCCUGACUUCUGUUCUUUGCAAUGGCCCUGUCAAGAAAAUUUCUGAUGCCGGAAAAUUUUAGCUGUAUUGCUGAAUUGCUUGAGUAUGAGGUUGGCGCUACUCAUGUGAAAACCCAUCAGCUCGAGGGAAAAGAAAAGAGGCAAAAAGCAAAGCAAGAAAAGUAAAUGCAAGGAAAAUGCAAAAAGACUUGACGCUGAAGUCCCUGGGGAAUGAUGAGAAAAUCCAAACAAAGUCUGAAAUCUUUUGAGUUCAAAUAGGGGCAAUUUUGGAAAAAUGUGAUCUUCGGUGCAAUGUCCUUGAAAGUUUUAUUCUUUAGCUAUCGUUUUUCAAGCCAAAUUACAAGCUAAGAAAGUCCAUCGUUGACUUAUUCCUUCAUGACAAUCCAAAGUGAGGAUCAUACUCAUAAGAAAUUCAUCAAAUCAUUUGUGAUCAUAAGGGUAUAACCCGUUUCCACAUGUUUAGCUAUCACUUCUGUCCAUACGUUACAAGCCUAGAAAGCUGGUAUGUUGACUAAGUUUUCUUGAAAAAUAAGGGUGACAAACUCUUUGCUUUCACUAAGAUGUGACAUUGAAUGGAUUACAUACAAUUGGGGCACAAAAAUGAGACAGAUUCUGACCUCUCAUUUUCCUUCAGCCACUUCCAAAUCAAAAAUAAAGUCACUUGAUUGGUCCUGAAAAAUGAGCCAACCAGAAGUGGUGACCCGUUACCCUAAACACCAAUGCUAAAAGUGAGGAAGAAAUCUUCUUGAAUUUGGUGUUACUUCGAGGAAUUCAUCAUGAAAUUUCUGCAUGAGUUUCAAACUUGACGUUUAAAGUUUCUUCACAUUGUUGUAUAUGUGCACUCUUUUCUAAAUUUUAGAAAGUGCGGUUUUUCUUUGUUCAAAUCAAUGGGAAAUCAUCUGAACAAAUUUUUGCAAUUAAGGGAGCCCACACUGGGGCAAAAAUUUUAUUUGUGAGAUUUCAUGAAAUAAGCCCAUACUGGGGCAAAUUUUUUGUAAUACAUUUGAGAUUUGUGUCCAAAAAUCAAAUAAUAACAUUUUUCGAAACAAUCCCGCUGCUCUUUUCCUGGAAUUUAAGUGCAUGUCAUACUUUGAUGAACCCCUUGUACAGGUAUUCAUGAUUCAAAAUGACGAAAGGCAUCCAGUAAGGCGGAAGGCCGAUACUGCAAAGAGAAGCAAGAAGAAGGAGGAAAAAUGGACACUACACUUGGGGCAAAUUAUUUUUUUAAAAUUUUUGAAAAAAGGGAAAAAAGAAGGAAAAAAGAAAAAAAGAGAAAAAACCAAAAAUCAAAUCAAAAAGUCAAAAAUCAAGUUCAAAUUCUUGUUUCUUGAAAAAUCAAAUUUGAUUUCUUGUGGGCGAAGCUCCAAUGCACGCCGCGCAUCAUUCUGUUCCCCCCUUCUCUUGACAUUCCAAAUCAAGUUGGGCCUGGAUUUCGUGCCACCAACAUCAUUUUAUCACGUUGGGCCUGGACUUGGUGCCGCCAACAUCACUUUAUCACGUUGGGCCUGGACUUGGUGCCGCCAACAUCACUUUAUCACGUUGGGCCUGGACUUGGUGCCGCCAACUUCACUUUAUCACGUUGGGCCUGGAUUUGGUGCCGCCAACAUCACUUUAUCACGUUGGGCCUGGACUUGGUGCCGCCAACUUCACUUUAUCACGUUGGGCCUGGACUUGGUGCCGCCAACAUCACUUUAUCACGUUGGGCUUGGUUUUCGUGCCACCAACUUCGCUUUGUCACGUUGGGCUUGGAUUUAGUGCCACCAACAUUACAAAAGUCACAUUGGGACCGGGUUUUAUCCCGCCAAUCUCGGCAGGACCGGGUCUAAUCCCGCUGACCGCUUACUUCGGCAGGACCGGGUCUAAUCCCGCUGACCGCUUACUUCGGCAGGACCGGGUCUAAUCCCGCUGACCGCUCACCUCGGCAGGACCGGGUCUAAUCCCGCUGACCGCUUACUUCGGCAGGACCGGGUCUAAUCCCGCUGACCGCUCACCUCGGCAGGACCGGGUUUUAUCCCGCUGACCGUCCACACCCCGUCGGCCUCAGAUGUUAUCCCACCGACCAAUUCAUCACACUGGGGCAAAUUUUUUAGAUAAUUUUUCAAACAAGUCCUAUACAGUUCUCUAUUUAAUUUUCUGUUCGGGUCUAUCCCAUGGGUCUGUCCCAUCUACAUUUUUAUCCGAGUCUAUCGCAUUUACAUUCCUGUCCGGGUCUAUCCCGUUUACAAUUCUGUUCAGGCCAGUCCCAUGUUUGAAAUUCCUUGUUUAGGUCAGCCCUCCGAAUAGGGGCAACCGAAUGGUACAGGUAAGCAUUUGGUGUCUACUUCUUUGUCUCAAGUUUUUUCAAAACUCAGACAAAGAGGGGCAAACUGUAGACACCAAAAAUUUCAUCGAUUCAGUUUUAGCUUUAUUCAUUCAAUUUUGACUUCCUUUGAUUCAAUUUUUAGUUUUAUUAUUAUUAUUUAUUCUUGUCUCAUAUUUAUUAUUUUUAAUUGAUUGGAGGUUGCAAAUGGUAAUUGAUGUUCAUUCUUAUUUUAAAUGCAUUAAAAUUCAUCAUUUUCUUUUUAAAGCAAUUUUACACUAAAUUUUAGGAAAAUCCCGAAUAAAGAUCCAUUUUAUCUUUUUAAAAUUUGAUUUUUUCUUGCUAAGGCAUUUUGCAAGGUAAUUUUUAAAAAUUAAGCAUGUUAAACAAGUGUGUCAAUUGCAUGUUGAACAAGUGUGCAAAUAAGCAUUAGACAAGUGGUUGAGGAAUGGUAGGACAAGUGUAUAGGGGGUAGCUGUCAAGGACACUUGGGGGGUUUUUUGGGGGGCAUCGGAAAAAAAAGGAAGAAAAAACCCUCGAAGAGGCUUGAAAACAGGGGGAAGAGAAAAGAGCUAAAAACAGGGAGGGGGCUUCGGAGGAAAGGGGAGAGGAAAAACGAAAUCGAAAAAGGAGGGGAGAGUAGGGAAAAAUCUGGGGAGAGUCUGUGGGCUAAGAAAAACAGCGGAGAGAUAGCGGAAAAAAAGGAGAAAAAGAACGGCUGAGGGGAAGGCUAAAAAUCUGAAAAGAGAAGAAGGCUUCGGCUGGGAGAAGCUGGAGUGGAAAAAAUAGAAAAAGGGAGAACGGCUGCGGUUGAGGGCCGAGAGAGUGGAGAGCCGAGGAGGAAAAAUCAGAAAAGGAGGAGAAAAAUCAAGGGCGGCGGAUGAAGGGAAAAGCUGGGAAAAUUAGAAACAGAGAAAGAGAGGAUAGCAGCGGACAAAGAGCUUGCGACUGAGGAAGCAGAGCAGCUGGAACUGCCGUUCGCGGGAAGCUGUUGCCGCCCUCUUCCGUCACGCGCGACGCCAGCUUCAUCGCUUCUUCCAUCAUAGUUCAAGCUCCGCCCUCUGCCGGCACAAACAAGUGGCCAACCGCCCGCCCAAGCAACCAAAUCCGAGAUCAGCACCCGCAAAAUUUUACCAAGAAACAAACGGUAAGCCACCAUCAUCCUUCAAAUUUCAGUUUUCAUGUAAGUUUUCGAAGCGUGUUUUAUUUUUCACGUUGUGGCUUGUAGCCAUUUCUCUGUUGAAUUAUUCACUAAUUGGAAGUAUGUAUGCUUUGAAUGUCGAUUGGACUGGAGUUUUCUUGCAUUUGAUGAAAUUUUGGGUGCUGAUUCAUGUCAAUUGAGCGAGAAAUUGGUGAAGUUUUUUAAUGGCUGUUUGUUGUUCGACAGAAUGCUUCAAUGAAAGUUCGGCCUGAAGAAUGGAUUAAUUUCUGAUUUAUAUACGUUCGACUGUUUCAUGCUUGUCAAAAUAAUUGAUUCGAAUGGGUUUGUUUGGGCGUCCGUUUGUUUUGGCAAUCUGCUCCGCUUCUCGUUUGUUUGGUGUUCCUCUUGUAUGGAUUUAAAUUCAUGACAUAAAAUGGCGUGCGAGGGGAUUCAUGUGAGAGUCAUUUGUUUUGCUUUUGUUUUGUUUUGUUGAUUGGAGUCCGAAGUUGAAUUUUCUGGUUGCAAAGAGGAAUGAAAUAGCAGCGAACGUUGAGCCAAUUUGGGAAGAAGAGGAUUGCUUGAUUAAAUUCAUGAUUCCAGUCCCUCAAUUUCCCUUUCCAUUAUGAUUUAACCCCAGAAUUUUAGGACUUCAUAAUUUUUCCUCCAACACCUUCAUAAGUCCUUCAAUUAGGUCCCUGCUCUUGUUGCAUUUUAACCCCUCAGCUUCCCCUUGUUCUGAUAUGACCCGAAAAGUGGAAAAAGUGCGUUUGUUUCUCCCUUCUAGAUUUAAAUCAUCUUCUAAUAAGCAUGAAUAGUCCUUUUACUAGAUUAAUUCUUGUUUGUAGGUUCUAAUUGUGGUUCAAUAAUUUAUUUUGAUUUUAUCAUGUUGGGUUUAAUGAAACAAGUGCCUUGGGCUAAGAGGUUAUUUUUGUUUGGGUUUAAGAAAGUCGUUUUAGUUUAUUUUGUUUGGUUUUUUGGUUCGGGCUAGAGGGUCAAGGCCCAUCUAUUUGGUUGGCUAAUUUUUGGGCCAGGAUAUUAUACUAGCCCACUUGUUUUCCUUGGACUUUCGAUUGGGCCAAGUUAUCUUGGCCCAAGAAAGGUGAAGAUGGCCCAUUCCCUUUUUGUUUUGGAUUUUCGGUUGGGCUUGUAAGGCUUUGGCCCAAACAAAUAAAGGAAAUGGCCCAAUGGCUUGGUCCAUUAAGAAACCAGAAAACGAUUUUGCAAAUCAGUCCCUGAAUUUCUCCCUAAUUGUAUUGUGGCCCUGGACAUUUUCAACUUCUUUCAAUUCGGUCCUUGCUUUAAUUGCAAAUAGGUCCCUGAACUUUAUUUUUCUUUAAUUUUGACCUCCAAACUUUGUCAAUCUUUGCAAUCAGGUCCUUUCUUCUCUUGACUUCUUAAAUGUGAAUUGUCGACAUGAUUUAAUUGAUUCAAAUUCAUGCUUAUUUUUUAUCCUUUGUGAUUAUUUGCCAAAUAAAUUGGUACCUUGACCUUUUUAUUGUUUUGAAGCUAAUAUCUCAUUUACUCGAUUUCCGUUGCGAGGGAGGUAACUUCUAUAUUUUUGAGUUUAUUUUUUCCUACGUGCUCCUACGUGUUAUGUGAAUAUGCCUGUCUACUUUGCUUUCUUUGCCUUUCUUUAAUUCUUUUCAUUUUUUUUUACUUACUUUUGCUUUUUAUUUAAGUUAUUCAUUAUGGGGUAUGUGUACACCUCUUGGCUUGUAAUAGUUAGGGAUUUAAUUAUUUUAUUCUUUUCCCCCUUUUAGAUUGUAGUGGGGUCUCCCUAAUGUAAUAGAUAGGGUUUGGAGGAGCAUUCAAUGAAGACCUAUCGAAGACUUGUGCCUAGCUAGCAAAUGUAAUAGUUAGGGCUUUAAUUGUCUCAUGUGCCUUGCAUGCUUAGUUGCUACGUGUUAAUUUGCUUUGCUAGGGCCUUGCAUCUAGUCGAGCAUGCAAAAUGUUAUGUGCUAUGUGUUUAUAAGUGUUUGGCAUGUCUACUCGCUUUCCAUAGCCUGAAUAAAUGUGAUGGAUGAAUGUACGUCACCACACUAGUCCAAUGCUAGUUGUGGCUCAUUAUUUCAUUAGGAAUUCAUAGAAAGGGCUAGUCCAACGCUAGACCCAAUAGGAUUUUUCCUUUGUUUUUCAUUAAUGCAUUAUUUGCCUGUUCACUACAUAUCAUGCAUUUUUCCUUAGUUUUAUCAUCUGGCAUGCUCCUCGAUUCCCCUUUCCCCUCACUUUAGGAUUUUUGCAUUUCAUGCUAGUUAUAGGGUUCAUUUGCCUGAAGAGUCCCCUUCUGAUAAGGGAAACGAGCGAGUGUGGCUACUCGAUAGCCUUAGCACGCUAGUUUCGCCUUCUAAUCAAAGGGAAGAUUAAGUCACAAAGUUAGGACUCCCCGUUCCCGUCUUGAUGCAUUCCUAUAGGAUUCAUGCAUUCUAUUCAUUCACUAUCACAUACACUUACUUUAUAUUCUAACCCUUUUUCCACAUUCUCACUUCACACUACUUUUACACGUUUUCAUUUAACUACUCACACUCUAUGCCAUAUCACUCGCACACAUGCACUUUAUAUUAUUUUCACAUUAUCAUUCUUUACUCACCUUACCUUGUAAAUACAUUUGCACACCUCCACUUUUCUCACUUCACAUAAACUUACAUUUUCACAUGACAUGCACCCCAUUCAUUUUUACGUCAUUUAGGAUUACGUGUGACCUCUCCAAAGGAUCAUUAUUGGGCUUCACAAUUAAUGUGAUUGGCACCACUCAACCUUUGAAGAGAAAUUUCCCCCAAUACCCCUAGGUCUAGGGUUUUGCAUUCAUAUAGACAUAUCCAACACGCGAUACAUACCUUGGGUAGAAAAAUUAGGAAAAAUUGGUUUAAGUCACGCAACUAGCCUUGGCUAGGUCGAAGGGGUGCCUUGGAUUUUUUAUCCUUGCCUUCCCCUUCGUCAAAUGUGACCCCCGAUCCCUCUUUUUGGUUACGUAGACCCAAAAGUUCUUUAAAAGGGUUUAUUUACUUUUUUUAUUCAAAAACAAAAAACCAUUUUUUGGGUGACUUGGUACACCCUAACCCUAUACCAAGUGGCGACUCCAUUUUUGAUACAAAAAACCCUUUUUGAACUUUAUAUGGCCAAACCGUCGCAUUAUCAAGUCCCAUGGCCUUUUACUUUUCAUUUACACACGUUCACAUUCCAUUACACCACUCACAUCUCACACCACACACACACCACAACUCAUCAUCUUCGAAAAGUGGGGCGCGACAGUGCAAAAAUAAUUAUUUUCUCUGAUCAUGCAGCCUUGAGGUACUUGUUAGUGAAGAAGGAUGCAAAACCAAGGCUCAUAAGGUGGGUUUUACUUCUGUAAGAGUUCAAUUUAGAGAUUAAGGAUAAGAGUGGGGCCGAGAACUUGAUGGCUGAUUAUUUGAGGCGUUUUCUUACGAAUAAGGAAGAUCUGUCAUUGAGAGAAUUGUUUUUCGAGGAGCAGUUACUAGCCAUUAAUUCGUCAGUACCUUGGUAUACUGAUGUUGUCAAUUUUUUGGUAACAAAUCAAUUACCUGCAGAUUGACCAAAGGCUAAGAGAGAUAAAUUGAGAAGUGAUGCCAAAUACUAUAUUUGGGAUGGCCCUUACCUGUGGAGGCAAUGCUCGGAUCAAGUGAUAAGAAGGUGUGUAAGUGCAGGUGAGUUCCAUUCUAUUUUAACUUUUUGUCAUUCAUUUGUACGUGGAGGGCACUUUAGACCAAAGCGAACAGCUCGUAAGGUGUUGGAGAGUGGUUUUUAUUGGCUUACUCUGUUUAAGGAUGCAUAUUUAUUUUGUAAAUCUUGUGAUAGGUGUCAAAGGGUGGGGAAUAUUUUUCGUAGAGACCAAAUGAUUCAAACUCGCAUGUUGUUUGUUGAAAUUUUUUAUGUCUGUGGUAUAGAUUUCAUGGGUCCCUUUCCCUCGUCUUUUGGUUUCUUAUACAUUUUACUUUGCUGUCGAUUAUAUUUCUAAAUGGAUGGAGGCAAAGGUCACCCGGACUAAUGAUUCGAGAGUGGUUGCAGAAUUUAUAAAGUCUAACAUUUUUUGUCCGCUUUGGAAUGCCUAGAGCUGUAGUUAGUGACAGGAGCACUCAUUUUUGCAAUAAAACGAUCGUUGCCUUGUUCCGUAAAUAUGGCGUACUCCACCAAAUAUCCACACCCUAUCAUCCGCAGACGAAUGGUUAGGCCGAAGUGUCGAAUAGGGAGAUUAAGUCAAUUUUGGAGAAGAUGGGGUGGCCUGAUAGAAAGGAUUGGAACUUGAAGUUGGAAGAUGCUCUAUGGGCUUACCGCACCGUGUAUAAAAUACCAAUUGGAACGUCCCCAUACAGAUUAGUCUUCGGGAAGCCGUGCCACCUCCCAAUAGAAUUUGAACACAAGAAAUUUUGGGCAAUUGAGCGGUGCAACAUGGACCUUGUGGAUGCCGGGGGACAUAGAAAGCUCCAAUUACAAGAGUUGGAAGAAUUAAGGAAUGAAGUCUAUGAGAACGCAACAAUUUAUAAAGAGAAGAGCAAAGUCUUUCACGACUAACAAGUCUCAAGGAAGUCAUUUGUAGUAAGGCAAAACGUCCCCCUAUAUCACUCGAGAUUUAAGUUUUUUUCCGGUAAGUUGCGUUCGCGUUGGAUUGGUUCAUUUGUCAUUUCUAAUAUUUUUCAUUAUGGUGCAGUGGAAAUCCAAAGUUUGAAAAUUGAGAAGAAGUUUGUGGUAUAUGGUCAACAUUUUAAACCCUAUUAUGAGAGGUUUAAUAGUGAGCAAGUGGAUGUCAUAUAUGUUGAUGAUCCAAAUUGUGUGGCUUAACUAGCUAUUACUGUGUCUAGCCAAAAACAUUAAAGAAAGACGCUACUUGGAAGGCAAUCCAAGGAUUUCAAUUGUGUUUUAUUUCAUAUUUGUGUAUUCAAGAUCAGUGGAUUUAGGUUCCUAUUGACAAACAAUCUGUAUUGUACGUCAUGGGUGUUUCUGUGCAGUUUUAUUCUAGGUUGGGGGCACAAAUUUGUGGGCAAGAGACUUCAUGUUACAAGGCGUGCUCGCGCCUUGUAUUCACCGCACAUGGACAUUUGUAAAAUUUGGUGAACAGAGGACUUACACCCCCAAGGCAUGCCCACGCCGCACAGCAGAUCGUGUCGAACAUAUUACAAUGGGAUGGGCAGACAGAGUCAAACGUGACCAGGACCUUCUCUAACCCCACUUUUCUACUUUUCUCUUUUCUUGUCUUGACUGGUCUUUUCAUUUUUUUUUGUCUUAGCCUCCCCUAGUUUUCUCCCAUCUUUGCUGAAAUCUCAGAGGCCACCGCCACUGCACACCUGCUCCGUUGAUGCCGCUGUCUCCACUAUCUGCGGUCAAGCUCCGGCCGCCAUCAUGCACGCUGUCCGGGCGCACAUCGGCAUCGCCAUAUGCGCCUCGCCGACGCUGCUCAUGCACGUCUCAUGCCGCACGCCAACGCCUCCGUACUUCCCUUCCUCGCCGUAGCGCGCCACCACCGUAGGCGCCAUCAGCUCUACCUAGGGCGCCACACCAAUCAUCGACCGCUCGCGCCCCGCGAUAUCUCACUGUUCCCCGCCGUCGCGACUGCUGCCCUCCGCCAUCGUCGUCAUUGAGGCUCCACUUCUUCCUCUCUGUGCACCACCAACGCUUGCUCCUUCCACGCCACCGCGCCGACCGCCGACUCACCCCUGACGCCCUUGCAGUCGUACCGACCGUCGCUUCCACCGGGGUCCCCUCCAGCAUGACAAAGUGGUACCCCUAAUUCAUUUCUUGCCAUUACUGCUUAAAAUCUGAAAUUGUUUCUAUGCGAUAUUACUCUAUUGUUUGAGCUGAGCUUGCUGAACCUCUGAGACUUUCAUAUGUGUUCUUUGCUUCGCGGUUGAAUUGCUGUGAUUGGUUGUUGGUGUUGGUGUAGAAUUGUUGUGGGGUGCUGAGGUUGUUGUUGUUUAUUUUGCUUUCGAAUUGGUUGUCGAGGGUUUGAUAGGUGAAGCACGUGGCGCAGUAUCAAUUCUGGUUUAAUGUUGAGUGCAUUGUUGACCAGUUAUUUUAGGAAUCUGUUUGUCUUUUUGCCUUGUUGUUGUGGUGGUGGGGUAAUUAUAUUUUUCUUUGCUAUUGGACUGUUGACUGUUGAGUGACACCUAUUGACUGUGGUCCCCUGUCCCCAUUUGGUGGUUGCUUCACUGUUUCUGUGCUUAUUCGUAUUUGUCCUGUGGCCUCCAAAUGCCUUCGAAAAAGCGCGUGUUCAGACACCCACUUCAUCUGGUCCAUCUAAGUCCCAACCUCGUAAGAGGCGAGCCCAAUUCAACCCCCCACUCGAUCCCGUUUAGGUCUCUCUAAAAGUACUAUAUCUCCUGGGACAUGGGGGGAACCUACCACUAACCUUACACAGGAACAAAAGGACCGAUUGACUAGCUUGAUGCCACGUCCUUUUGCUCCGUGUAAAUGUUUCCAUGCCCCAACCCUGGAUCAUUUGCAAAUUGCACGAGAAGUUGAACAGUUGUUCUCAGCAAUUGGUUGGCAGUGGUAUCUGGUCAUCGACUAUCCUACAUUUGAGGAGCUAUGUUAUGAAUUCUACUCCACUUUUGAGUUCAAUAAAAAUGAAUUCAUCACUUUGGAUGAGCGGGGGUGAUUACAUUUAGAUUAAGGGGUACCCCACAAGAUUUGUCCAUUAAUGACUUUAAUCUGAUUUUGGGGUUUUUCAGUGAAGAGACCCUUUCCUCCGGGACGUAUAUCAACAGUGCGUGUGAUUAUACCAGACCCUUUGCUAGUGAAUAUAUUGACAUAUGGAGGGAGUAGUUCACGGACCCUCAACUCUAUGAUCCGAGUCAGUCCAAGGCCUCUCAUCUUAAGAAUCCGAUCUUGAAGGUUAUCCACAGGUUCUUGGCCUACAAUUUCUCGGGUCAGAAGAACUCUUCCGGCACCCUUGCCAAGGUUGAAUUCUAUUUUCUUUGGUGUAUGCGCAACAAAGUACAUGUCGACUUUGGGUGUUGGGUGACCACUCAAAUGCAAUCCGUCAUUCAAAAGCGACAUAAGUAGGUGAUUAUGGAUUCGCUCAUUACUCACUUGGCCGUUCGGUUGGGAUUGCUUGACCUCGACAAAGAACACAAGUUCGCUCUAACUUGCGAGAUUGAGCCAUUGGAUUUGCGUAGCUUAGAAAGGAUGGGGGUUAUUUUCAAAGUAGGAGAUGUAUAUCAGAUGACGCUUCCUGGCGAUGGCAGGCUACAACCCCGGGUUCCUCCUACUAUUCCCCCUACUGGUUCACCAACCCGCACAGAUCAAGUGGGUCCGUCCUCCUACCAUGCUCCCCCUGCUUGGGAUUUCCAAUACCGUGCCCUCCAAGAUUCUAUUCGUGAACUAGGCGAGCUAGUUGUGGGACUGGAUGGCCGUCUUGCAGCGUUGCAAGUUUUUUCCCGUAUUCAGACAAAGAAUCAGGCAGCUUUCUUUGCUUAGAUUGGAUUCUAGCUGCCUCAUCCUCCUCCCCCUUAGUGUUUCGCUGCGUCGUCUCGGCUGUCAGGGAAGUUUCACCCCUUUACACUUACACACUAUUUAUUUUUGCUACAUUGAAGACAAUGUCGAUUUUAGGUGUGGGAGGGAUGGUUUCUAUUAUUUCUUUUUUGCUUGAAAAGAGAAAAAAAAGAAAUAAAAAAAAGAAAAAGAAAGAGAGGAAAAAAUGAAACAAAAAAAAAAGUAUAGUUAGUUGACUUCUUUAGUUCUAUAUUUGUUAAUUGCUAGAGCAUGUUGCUAUGAUGGAUUGCACAAUCAAGGUGCACGUGUAUGUAUCAUUUAUGCUAACUAUGUACUCUACUUUUCCUAGCCAAUGUAGCUGAGUGAUGAAUAUGCUGGACUUGACCCAUUCUUGAAACUUUUGGGAGUUUUUGAGCAGUGCACGAGCACAUUACUCUCGUUUGCUUCGUUUGUGUUGUUGAGUGGGUAUCACACAUGGUAUUAACAUUCUAGAACUUGCUAUUUUAUACAUGUCAAAGCCACAUCUUGUUGAACUGGAUGCAUUUGAAAUGAUAAAGGCAUUUAGGAUUUAACUUUCUUUAAUUUUCUACAAACCAUACCUUCAUCUUGUCUCCCAAUAGUGAAUCAAUUUGAGCUUUUAUUCUUCUCCUUUGUUUGUUAGCCGUGUUUGAUAACCCAGGACUUUUUUUUUUGACUUUCUUGUCCAACCUUGUGUCGUUAAGAGAUGUCUGAAUUUCAUUGUUUGUGCAAGGCAAAUAAAUUUAGGGUCGCAAGUGUUGUUAGAAUAGAAGUUGUAUGGUGUUGGUUCUGUGCAUCUGAGAUCGAAAAGAAAAAGAAAAAAAAGACGAGAAAAAGAGAAAAAAGAAGGAAAAAAAUGUCUACAAACUGGUGAGCAUGGGAUUCUGCUUACAGGGCGUGCCAUGCCUUGCAAGACGCCCUUUCAAAAAAAAACAGAAAGAGAGAGAAAAGAGUUUCGACACUUGCGCAGUUGGUAUAGCAAAUGGAAAUGCCUUGCUUGUGGAAGUUCUCCAGUAAAGCGUUGAGGUUAUGUAGUGGAUAUCGGACAUUAUCUUGACACAGUGCACCCUAUCUUUACCUUCUUAUCCCGCUUUGUUGGCCUAAUCAGCAACAUCCCUCAGAUUCCGGCUCGAAGGGACUAACCGCCCAACUCGUGGCACCCAGGGGUGCAGCCCCUCAUGCUGGCCAAGCGUGGUACGAUGCUUUUCGCUGCUAUUGUGGUUAAGGAAAUAAAGUUACAUCUUCACUAACAGCUAUAGCUUUUGGUGCAAUGGUAAGCGCUUGAUCCUGACAAGUGGUAUCGGAGCGAGGUCGCAGGUUCGAGUCUCCCUGGUUAUUGUUGGGGGAGGAAAUGUUGGCCUAAUCAGCAACAUUCCUCAGAUCCCGGCUCGAAGGGACAGCCCGUGGCACCCAGGGAUACAGUCCCUCAUGCUGGCCGAGCGUGGUACGGUGCUUUGCGCUGCCAUUGUGGUUAAGGAAAUAAAGUUGCGCUUUCACUAAUAGCUAUAACUUUUGGUGCAAUGGUAAGCGCUUGAUCCUGACACGCUUUUCAUCCAAGCCCCAUUACAACCCUAUUAAAGUCCCUUUGAUUUAUGUAUUGAGUUCAUUUUUGAAUGGUAGAGAUGUGAUAAAUGUGCAAGCCUAUGGUAAUGUCAUUCCGUGGUGUUGAUUUGAGCGUUCCUGGUAUCUAUACAUUUUCUUGAAAGUGAUGAGUAUUACUGCUCAUACUCUUUGGAUAACUACCUGUCCGGUGUGCUCUAACUUUGGCGACAUUGUCAGGAAUGCAGGAUGCUUGUGUUAGUGUAGAUCACCGCAUAGUAGUUGCUAUUGUGAUUGAACUUCUGAUCUUCGAAAUGCUUGAGAACAAGCAUUGCCUAGGUGUGGAGGGAUUUGAUAGAGCAAUGUUUGGGCAUCUUAUGUGCUGUUAUGUGGUCAUAAUUUUGGCUACUUAUUAUGCUAAAUAUUGAAAUUUUGCUCAUAUUUGAUAUUUGUGUAAAUUAUAGGCGGUUGGUGUCAAAAAGUGUCUCUGAAGGUGAAUUUCCACAAGACUUUUUAUUUCAGGGUGUGCCCACGCCAGAAACUGUAGAAGAGACGCCUCAAAGUCAGACCGCGGGACUAACUAACUAACUAAACUCAUCCUUAUUCCUGCGGGAUGCGGUUGGAAGUGCGUCAAAACAAAAAGACGGCAAUUUCCAGCGAAUUUGUGAUAGGGUAUUAAUUGUUAGUAAUUUUAUUGUUAAUUUUUUCCUUUGUCCUUACCAAAUAUUGUUUUAAAUUGUUAAUAUAUACUUGUAUUUGGUAUUUGGACCUAUCUACAGGAAGUGGAACUAAAAAGUGCUAAAAAGGGGGGACCUUUUGGAGAGAAUUGCUCCACACGUGGGAGACUUCAAAAAGCUUCACGAACCUGGCCCACAGGAUACUAAGCAACGGACUUCCUUUUCUUUUUGCUGAUAAAGAGUUGCUGACUAGGAGUCUUCCUAUCAAAAGGAAACGAAAAAAGUGGAAUUCGGAGAGCUUUCUUUUUGUACCUUUUCUUUCAAUUCGGCAGGGACAACGUAGGGAGCAUUAGUCAUUGUUUAAGAGACAGUUUAGUUUUCUUUCUUUUCUUUUUCAUGCGUAAGUCUUGUUCGAUAAAAGUCUCGACUGGAGAAAUAUCGUUUAUUUCUUGAUUAUCUAGUGAAAAACGUGAUGCCUUUGCAAUUAAUUAAUUUGCGUGGAGAUUUACUGAUGCGGCGUGGUUAAGUUUUUCAUCUAGUCAAGGAUCAAUGCGACAAUGCAAUCCCUAAUAUCCGUGAGAUCGAAUUAAUUUUCAUGCAUUCCUUAAUUUGUUAAUAUUUGCACGUUGUCUGCUUGAAUUUUCAUGGGAUUAUUUUGUUAAUUGAAUGUCAAGGGCCCGAUGUUCAAUGCGACUUAUUAAUCUCCUGUCAAAUUAGUUAAUUAAAUCUGUAAUUAUUUAAAUUGAUUGAUAUCAGUGGCAACUAACGUUUUUAUACACUAGGGGAGCGUUCAAUCUGUUUCAAAUAACUCUCGUAGCAUGUUAUUGAUUAGGGUUAGACUUUUCUAGUUUUUAAUGCAAUUAGAGAAUUAAAUCCUAUGAUCAUACCUAGGAGUGUUUCCGGGUUAGGGGUAAUCAACGGUCGUACCUUGGUUGUCAAUAAAUUAAGGAAAAGCUGGUCGUCAGAACUUAUUGGCGACUAUAACUAACCUGUUAAUAAAAUUAAGUAAGCCUCCCUUGCAUCAAUAAUCGGAUGAAUGGACUGUGUCGGUGAAGUUGUAUCCUUGGCUCGAACUUGUCUAUUAUUUAUUUAAUUCCUAUCUACAUUCGUGUUAGUUAAUCGUUUACUUUUGGUUGAAUUGCUUAAUUAUUUUUAGUUUCAUUCCGAUAAAAUCCCCCAUUGUUAACUUGAACUUUAGUAAGAAACGAAUUACUCCCAAUCUCUGAGAAUACGACCCUACUUGCCCUGUUUUCAAAGCAAUAAUUAUUUGUGAAUAAGCAAUCCCAUUCUGGUAUAUCGGGUCAAGCAAACUUUUUGGAAACAGGGUGAAUCAAGUAACCUAUUGCACACCUAGAGUCCCUACUCCAGUACUUAGAAUUGGAUUUUGAUUACUCCGAUUGGCAACUAGGUUUAUUUUUAUUAUUGCGCAGGUUCGGCCCUUGUCAAUUUUUGGCGCCGUUGCCGGGGACUGGCAUUAAUUAUUUGUUUCUUUUUAAGUUCAAUUUUGUUCUAAUUUUCUGAUAUUUUUCUAGUUUAUGCCUCGUUCUUCUUGGACAGACGAAUUAAUUUUUGACCCUGAAGUAGAGAAGACCGCGCGUAAAAAGAGCAAAGAGACAAGACAGCUUAGAGAGGAGUUGUCCAGUGUUGCACCUGAGGGACUUGAUCCAAAGGUUGAGUCAACAAAUUCGCAUGGUGAUAAUUCGAGUGAUUCAGACCAAGAGGAAGUCACCAUGGCGAAUGCACGAACAUUAAGGGGGUUAGCUGCCCCAAAUUUAAAUCAACAACCCUUAUGCAUUACUUUUCCGCAUUUAAAUGAUAACACAUCUUUCGAGUUAAAAUCUGGCCUGAUUCAUCUUUUACCAUCUUUUCAUGACUUACCAGGUGAGGAGCCCUACAAGCACUUGCAAGAGUUCAAUGUCGUUUGCAACAGUAUGAAGCCCUCGGAAAUUACAGAAGAGUAGAUAAAAAUGAGGGUCUUUCCCUUCUCUUUGAAGGACUCCGAGAAAAAUUGAAUGUACUACCUACAACCAGGUAGUAUCACCACGUGGGACCAGCUGAAAAAAAAAUUCUUGGACAAAUACUUUUCGGCGUCUCGAGCUGCAAGUCUAAGGAAGGAGAUAUGCGGUAUCAAACAACACCCAGGCGAGUCUCUCUAUGAGUACUGUGAGAGGUUUAAGAAGCUGUGCAUCAAAUGCCCUGAGCAUUAGAUAAGUGAGCAACUGCUCAUCCAAUAUUUCUAUGAGGGGCUACUCUUCAGGGACAGAAGUAUAAUCGAUAUUGCAAGUGGAGGGGCAUUGGUGAACAAGAUUCCUCGAGAAGCAUGGGAGUUGAUUAAAGGGAUGGCUGAGAAUUCACAGCAGUUUGGUUCAAGAGAGGACAUCCCGACGCGUAGGGUGAAUGAGGUAGAAACAUCCUCUAUCCAACAAUAGCUCUUCGAAUUGACAUCUUUUGUACUACAACUAGCUGUGAAAAAUGCUCCACAAGCCAAAGUAUGUGGAGUAUGCACUGCUUUGGGUCAUUUUAUGGAGAUGUGUCCACUAGUUCAAGAAGAAAGUGCAGAGCAAGUGAACAUGACUGGUCACGCGCCCGCGCCAAGAAGGCCAUAUAACCCGUGUUCGAAUACGUACAAUCCGGGUUGGAGAGAUCACCCUAACUUUAGUUAUAGAGGAAAUAGGCAGUCCAAUUUUGCACCAAAUAGAGAGCAAGGGCAUCAACAGCAGUACCAGUCUCGCCCACCACCACCCCCUUCGAACUCAAGUCCGUCCAUGAAAGAGAUGAUGAAGCAAUAAAUUGCUAAUCAACAAAAGACGGAUUCAGAGUUGUAAAGUAUGAGAAAUCAAUUGGGACAGAUGCAAUCAUUGCAAAAUCAAAUAAAUCAAAUGGCCAUAACGAUCAACCGCCUGAAAUCCCAAGUUCAAGGGAAGUUGCCAUUUCAACCUGAGUUGAAUCCGAAAAAUGUAAGUGCACUGACCUUGAGGAGUGGCAAGGAAGUCCAAGGAUCCGAACCGGUGAUUCUUAGGACAAGGACAAGGAACGAAUUGAGAAAGAGUUGGAAGAAGAGGGCAGAGACAACAAAGAUCCAAAGGUAACCUCGGACCAAUCAUUACAGUUAGAACUAAUCCACCUUCCUUUCCUAGCAGGUUGGAGAAACCAAAGAAGCAAUACAAAGAAAAAGAGGUCCUGAAGAUAUUUCGCAAGGUGGAGAUCAACAUUUCCCUACUGGACGCGAUUAAACAAGUACCCAGUUACGCAAAGUUUUUGAAGGACUUGUGUGUCAACCGAAGGCGGUUAAAAGGAGAUGAACGAGUUAUAGUGGGGGAGAACGUGUCAGCAAUUCUACAAAGGAAACUUCCCAUCGAAAUAUGGGGACCCAAGUAUGUUACUAUUCCCUGUAGGAUCGGUAAUACCUUGAUUGGAAAGGCCAUGUUAGACCUAGGAGUUUCGAUAAACGUCAUGCCAAAGUCCAUAUAUGCUUCUUUGAAUUUAGGUCCUUUAAAAGAAACGGGGAUAAUAAUUCAAUUAGCUGACCGAACUGCCCUGAUGGGUUGAUUGAAGAUUUUUUUAGUAAAAAUUAAUGAAUUGAUUUUUCAACUGAUUUUUAUGUGCUUGAUAUGGAUGAUAAAUACUCCCACGACCCCUUACCUUUAUUGUUAGGUAGACCCUUUUUUAGCACAGCCGAACCAAAAUUGAUGUUAACAAGGGUAUCUUGUCUAUGAAAUUUGAUGGUGAUAUUGUUCACUUUAACAUUUUUGAGACCAUGAAAUAUCCUUCAGAUUCAAAUGUCAGCUCUGUUUUCUCUGUAAAUGUUAUUGACCCUGCGGUACAGGAGGUUAUUGAAAUUGAAGGCAGGGAUGAGCUGGAAGUCGCCUUGACCAGGCACUUCGAGUCAGAGACGACCUCUGAGAUAGAGUUGAGUGAAGAGCUCAAAUGUGUGAUUGGAGCGUUGCAAUCAUUGUCAAUCACGAAAACAAGGUAUGGGCUUGCACCCAUUUUCACACCUGAACCUCACCAACGGUUACUUUCAUCUGUGGUGUAGGCACCUAUCUUGGAACUGAAACCCCUGCCGAAACAUCUAAAGUAUGCAUACUUGGGUGAAGGGGAGACUCUCCCAGUGAUCAUCUCUGCUAGUUUAUCGGAGGUCCAAGAAGACAAACUAAUUCGAGUUUUGAGGGAACAUAAGCAGGCGAUAGGAUGGACCAUCGCCGAUAUCAAGGGAAUUAGCCCCGCGGUAUGUAUGCAUCGCAUUCGACUCAAUGAGGGUUCUAAACCCGUGCGGCAGGCUCAGAGGAGACUAAAUUUCCUCAUGAUGAAGGUAGUGAAGAAAGAGAUCCUGAAACUGCUGGAUGUGGGGAUAAUAUUCGCAAUAUCAGACAGCCCUUAGGUAAGUCCAGUAUAGGUGGUUCCGAAAAAGGCAGGGGUGACGGUGGAAUCAAAUUAAGAGGGUGAGCUCAUGCCAGUUCGGAAGCCCACCGGAUGGCAACAGUGUAUCGACUAUCGGAAGUUAAACGUCGUCACAAAAAAGGAUCAUUUUUCCCUUCCUUUUAUUGAUCAGAUGGUAGAGCGAUUAGCAUGUCGAGCUUAAUAUUAUUUUUUGGAUGAAUUUUCAAGUUAUUUUCAGAUUGCUAUCGCACCCGAGGAGCAGGAGAAGACCACUUUCAUGUGCUCGUUUGGAACAUUUGCAUACAGGUGAAUGCCAUUUGGAUUGUGCAAUGCACCUACUACCUUCCAACGUUGCAUGGUAAGCAUUUUUUCGGAGUAUAUUGAGAAGAUUAUUGAGAUUUUCAUGGACAAUUUUAGUGUGUAUGGUGAGAGUUUUGAUAACUGUCUAGAUAACCUGAAACUAAUCUUAGUAAGGUGUAUAGAAACUAAUUUCGUGCUUAAUUGGAAAAAAUACCACUUUAUGAUCGAACACGGGAUAGUUUUGGGUCAUGUAGUGUCGUCUAGGGGUAUUGAGGUUGAUAAAGUGAAAAUAGACAUUAUAUCUACUUUACCUUACCCCAUGAGUGUGCGGAAAGUGCGUUUUUUUUGUCACGCAAGUUUCUAUAGAAGGUUCAUCACAGACUUCUCGAAAAUUAGAGCACCCUUGUUCCAACUUUUGCAAAAAGAGGUGCCCUUCGAAUUUGAUGAAGCGUGUAAGAGGGCAUUUGAUAGGUUGAAGGAGCUAUUGACCUCGUCAUCUAUUAUACAACCUCCUGAUUGGAACCUACCAUUCGAGAUCAUGUGCGACACCAGCGAUUAUGCAGUGGGCGCGGUGCUGGGUCAGAGAGUAGGAAAGACAGCCCAUGCUAUCUACUACGAGUAUCAAGCCUUGAACGGAGCUCAAUUGAACUGUUCAAUCACCGAAAAGGAGCUUUUGGCGGUUGUUUUUGCUUUAGAGAAAUUCUGGUCUUAUUUACUAGAUACCAAAGUUAUUGUCUUUUCAGACCAUGCAGCGUUGCGGUAUCUGUUGACCAAGAAAGAGGCAAAACAGUGACUGAUAAGGUGGAUAUUAUUGUUACAAGAGUUUGACCCAAAGAUCAGAGACAAGAAAGGGGCAAAAAAUCUGGUAGCAGAUGUAGACACCAAAUUUUUAGCCUUUCUUUUUCUUUUUAUUUUAUUUAUUUAAUUAGUUGAUUUUGUUUUAAUUUUUGCUAAGAAAAUUGUUUUACUAUUAUUAAUUAAUUCAUUGAAAAAAAGAAAAAGAAAAAGCUAUUCCAUGUGCAUGUGCUUGGCACGUGCGCCAUUUUCUUUUCUUUCAUGCAAAAAAUGCAAGCGGAAGGCGAAAAUAGGGACAGAAAUUUGCAGCUGCAUUUUUUUAAUCCCAGCCUCAUCUCAAAAAUGCCAUCCAAUGGCUCAAGUUUUCAGUAGAAACCCACCCUUCAUCCUCACCUUUGAGGUGAGGGUUUUAGGGACCUGGGGUUUCCUAUAAAAGAAAAAAGAGCAGCGGGGACAAAGGGUAAGAGGAGUCGGCAGCUGGGGCUGAGUAGAAACAACGGAGGAAAAAAGCAAAAAGGGGGGGUUCUUGGGGAGAGUAGUUGACGGCUGAAGGAAAGAGUGAAUGGAGAGUCUGAGGGCUAGAGAGAGUUUUGGAGAGGGUGACGGCCGAAAGAAAGAAACCAAGCGAGAGGAAACCAAGGAAAGGAGAAGCGACUUCAUCAAUGUAAAGGGCAUUUCGUGGGUCUUCGUUUCCAGAAACAACGUGUUUGUCCUGAGACUGGUAGAGAAACGAAUCAAGAGUCUGAGGAAGACACAAGGGAGGAUCGGGGAAUAAGCAAAGGAAAUCUGCAAAAUCUUGAAGAAGGCUUCGAAGCUGAGAGCGAGGGAAAGAGGACUGCUCGACGAGGUGGCAACUUCUGCAGCAAAAGUUCCCGAUCGCGUUCCUGGGAACCCGUAUGCGUUUCCGGGCAGAUCCCAAGGCCGCUCAACCAUGCUAGCAUUCUCAGGUAAAAAUGCCUCUUAUUUGGUGGAUUUUAACAUGUUUUUAUGAAAGAUAAAGCCAUCGGAUGUGAAUCUUUUUGUUUGCUAUUGGGUCAAGCUCUCGCUGGUUCUAUGAUUCUGCCAUUUUGCUCGUUUGCUAAGAUCUGAUUCAGUAGGAACCUAUGAGAUGAGUCUGAUUAAGAACAUGGGGUUUAGGGUUUUCUGUAGUGGUCACCUGAUGAAUCCAUGAGUUCUUUGCUCGAUGUUUAUGGUCAGUCUUUGUGUGCAUGAAUAAGCAAACCCAGAAAAGUGGCGUAAAGCUUCGGACAAGUCUGUUUUGAUGUUUCCUUGAUUGCUGCUUCUCCAUUUCUUGUUGUUUGUGUAAUAUUUGAUAUCGGGUUUCAGUGUUAAAUGGAGCAAAUGGUGAGUUUUGGUUGUUGGCUUGGAGAUUGAUCCAUCGGAUCCGAACAUUUGAUAAUAAAAAUGGUAGAAGGUUUUUUGAAUGCACCUGGUUCGAUGUUAGUUUUGUACUUGGGUUAUGUUAAUAAGGGUGAUUUGGAGAUUUAUGAGAGUUCUAGUUCACAAACAAAAUAAGUUUCAUUGAUUUCUUUUCAUAUAAUAUCAGCGUGGGUUGAGCUGCAAUUUUGCAGUAGAAAGUUGCGGCAGAAGAAGAAUGUUUUUUUCAUAUCAGGUUGCAUGAUCCUUUUGUAUGAGUGUCGGGUGCUUAAAUAUAAUGGUUUUAUGUUAGAAAACAGAGGGGGGAAUGUUUAAUAAUCCUGUUGCCUGGCUUCAGUUUGCAUUGCGCUUAUAGUUUGCGCAUAAGAAUGCUUGUUGCAGCGGUAUGGACGAAGUUCUGUUUUUUCCUUUUCCUGUUUCAAGUUCAAGUUUUGACUGUGGAAUAUGUGUGUUUUGUUGCUCAAUUUAAGUUGAAGUCUAGGUGAAAUGUUUUGGAUCAAGUCUGGAAUCCUUAUUUGAAAUGAAAGGGCAACAGCGUGCGUUUGUUCUUGAUUGCAGAAGCUUUAAGCUUCGGGAUUGUGCAUGGACUUGCAUGAAUAGCUUUCAAAAUUUGCACUUUGCUCCCCUUAGCUUCUAUCUAUGCUACAGAGGCCCAAUUAUGUUCUAAUUUCUUGCAAUUAGGUCCUAAAGUAAUUGCCAUUUGAACCAUUGCUUGACCUUUCCAUUACUUAUGGGCCUUUGAAGUUCCCAAAUAUUUUAAUUGGGCUUGAAUGAUUGGUUAAGGCUUGCUCUUGGGUCCUUAGUAGUUUUUUUCUAUUUUAGGAACUUGAUUGACAAUUUACCUUCCUUGCAAUUAUGCAUUAUUUGAUUACAUUCAAUUUGCAAUUGGGAAGGAUUAGGUGAUUUGUUGGUUUAACUUAUUUUGUGCUUUUGUUUAUAUGGUUAUUCGUGAUGCCUUGACUUUUUCUUUUAUUUUGGAGGGUAAAUAAGUAAUCUCACUCCAUUAGGGCCCCAAUUCAAGGAAGGUACACCCUAUCUCUUAUUUCUUACUUUAUUUGACUUUACGUGCCCUAUGUGACUUUACGUGUUUGAUUGCAUACCUCUUGAAUGUUUUUUUUAUUAUUUUAUUAUUUAUUUAUUUGUUUGCUUUAUUGACUUUAGUUUUGUAUAUCUAUUUUAGUUCAAUUUUGAUCAUUUGAAAGGCAAUUUAAUGUCAAAGUUGUAAUAACUAGGUUAUGAUUUUAUUUAUUUAUUUCUUUCCCCCUUAAAUUGUAGUAGGCGUUCCCUUUUGUAAUAGAUAGGGCUUGGGUGUGCCUACAUGCCUAUGUGUUUAAUUGCUUUCCCUAGGCUUCUGCAUCUAUAUAAGCAUGCUUAUGUGCUACGUGCUAUGUGAAACUAUGUGCUUUGCAUGUCUAUUUGCUUUAGUAUUAUAUCUGAUUAUGUGGAUGGAAUGCACGUUACCGUGACUAGUCCAAUGCUAGUCAUGAUCUUCCCCUCGAUCACUCACAAGUCCAAUGCUAGAUCCAAUAGGACUGUCCCUCACUAGUACAUACUUGCAUGCCUUCACUACAUCUUCAUUCAUUUUUUUCCCUUUUAGUUUUACAUUUUUGCAUGAUCCUUCACUCCCUUUCCCGCAUUUGAAACAUGAUUUUUAGGAUUUUGUAUUUCAUUCUAGUUAUUAGGGUCAUUUGCUUGAUUAGGUUAGGGAGUCACCCUUCUGGUAAGGGGAAUGGACGAGUGUGGCUACACAUAGCCUUAGCACGCUCAUUCUUUUUCUAAUCAAAAGGCAAAUCGUAAGUCACGAUUUAGGGUCUCCCCGUACACGUUUUGCUUGCAUUCCUCUAGGUCUCAUGCAUUUCAUUUUGCACACACACACACACUUUACACUCUCUCUCAUUUGCACACGUACACUUUACACUCUCUCUCAUUUGCACACGUACACUUUACACUCUCUCUCAUUUGCACACGUACACGUUACAUAUUCAUUUGCAUCCUUACACUUUAUACACUCCCUCAUUUGCACACAUGCACUUCUCACUAUCACUUUACACUCUUCCUCAUUUGCACACAUACACUUCACAUUAUCACUUUGCACACUACCACCUUACACUUUCUCACUACACACCCGUUCAUAUUGAUCACAUUUGCAUCCAUUCAUCUCACUCGAGCAUUCAUUUGCAUUUAUUCGUGGCCUCUUUGAGGGUUCACCAUUUGGCUAUCACAAUUCAUGUGAUUAGGACCAAUCGAGCCUCAAAAGAGACAUUUUGUUCCUUUCGAACCAAUAAUUAGAUUUAGGUUUGCAUUCACAUUAGACACAUCCAAAAUGCGAUACAUCUUUUGGGUAGAAAUUAGGAAACUUGUCACUAAAUCACGCAACUAGCUUAGGUUAGGGUAAAAGGGUGCCUUAGACUUCGUUUUUGCCUUCCCUUUUAUCAACCGUGACCCCCGAACUCAUCUCUUUGAUUUUCGUAGAUUAGGAGUCAUCUAAAAAGGUUUUUCACCUCAUUUUUCAAAAACUAUUUUUUGGGUGACUUGGUACACCCCAACUCAAUAACAAGUGGCGACUCCUAUUUUUCAUGUUAAAAACCCUUUUAGAUUAUCGUUUUGGCCAAACCGUCGCAUUUAAAAGUCCCAUGGCCUUUUCCUUUAAUUCUCAUAUUCACACACUUCACACACAAUACACAUUAUGACUUCAAAACAAACUUUCACUUUUUUCUUUAUAUUUUCUCAAAAAAUGGGGCGGGACAGCUUGGCGACUCCACUGGGGACUUCCUAAGUGGGUCCGAGCACUUGAUUUAGUUAUUCUUUUCCUUUUUUACCCUUUUCAUGUAUCGCAUUUGCGUGUUUAAGGUUGCAUUUUUUUUCUUUUUUAGGAGUUUUGCAUUCCGCGCGUAUCAACUCACUCCCUUACUCAUUUGCGUACAUUUGAUUUGAUGGAUGGAUGAUUUAUUUAUGUUAUCCCGCGCUUUGCAUUGCAUUUGGAUGGGGGGAUAUUACCCUAGAGCCUCGCGUUGGUUCUCGAUCCCUCCCCUCCAAAUGGAGCACUAGCAUACGUGCAUACGCUUUAUUUUUUAUCCCUCAUUUAUUUUUCUUUUUAGUGGCUUGUCACGCCACUCCACCCUACUAGGAUUAGACGACCCAUUUGGACGUGUGAUCGCGACACGAUGUGUGCGUAGCAUGAUCCAAGGGGUCACUCAAUCUUCCAUUUUAAACUUUGGAUUGAUAACCUUUAGUUUUUAGUCAAAGGUUGAGGAUUUUUGAUAGAUUCACUCAGAUAUGUAGCCGUGACACGAUGUGUGCGUAGCAGUGUCUGGAGAAUCGCUCGAGCCACCGACAAAGAACCUUGGGAUUGAUGACCUUUGGUUUCCAAGUCUGAAGGCUCGGGGACCUAAAACCUAUCGAGUCUAGAUGCAUUAGUGAGCCAAUACCGCAUGCAUCCAUGAUAGUUUACUUAGGGUAGAGCCUGCCUUACCCUAUUAGGAACACUAUUCACGAGGGGAGGGAUCCAACCCCUCUUUUCCUUUUAUUGCUUUAUCUCUUUGUAUUGCUUUGCUUCAAUGUGUUAUGUGUAUUUAUCUGAUUGAACUAACUUUUCUUGGUUUUUGUCUCUAUUGCAUUCAUAAAUCCUAGAAAAUAAGAGUUCUGGCAUGGUACUCUCUAGGAACUUACCCUAUUUGAUGUGACACGUUUAAAUUCAAUGCUUCGCAUUUGUAACAUGAAUACAUUUCAUUUUAGGCGUACCCCGGCAUACAAAAGGGGGUUCCUUUAGGUCACGUUUCAUUUGUAUACUGCAUAUUUAGUUGCUUUGAUAAAUUGACAUCAUGCAUGAACCAUAGAGGGAAUGCCAUUUAGGGGAUCCCACGUUAGGAAUAAACCGCCAUGUGUCUCGGAUAUACAAUCCAAUGAGACUUGCACGUCUAUAUUUCUUGUACCUUCCAAAGGAGUAGUGCACAAGGUAAGGUAGAAUCCGAUCUUUUUCCAUGAUUAUAGAACAAAUUUUGCACAUUAGAAUAUGAACAUCUAACAAUCAUUUUUUGGUCAUUUAUCUGGUAAAAAUCCCUUGCGUAAAAGGCAUUAAUUUGAAGAAAUUUACAAACGAUCCCUCAUUGUUCAGACGAUAAAUAUAUCGAGGCCAAAUCUUGAUUUUAGAAGACUCAUAGACUAAUGUAUCGCAAUGAUUUUUUUUUGAAACUACCAAUAGGUAGACAAUUCAAUAAAUCAUCAUUUUCAUUCAAUUCGUUUGAUCAAAUUAUCCAUCAAAUUCUUCCAAUCUAUUUGGUCAAUUCAUUCAUUUUAGGACAAUUCGGUCAAUUUUGAAUAAAUCAUCAUUUUCAUUCAUUCGACCAAUUUACCCUUUUUAGGGUGAUCUGACCAAUUUUGAAUAAAUCAUCAAUUCCAUUCAAUUCAUUGGAUCAGUUUAUCUAUUUUUAGGGUGAUCUAGUCAAUUUUGAAUAAAUCAUCAAUUUCAUCCUAUUCAUUUGACCCGCUUAUUCCGUUUAGGGUUUAACUCUAAGGUUCACUAAAUAAAUUAGUCGACACAUUGCAAUCCUUUCAAGAGUAGACUCUUUUACACAUCAUUUUAUGUGUUGAUCAAAACAAGCAAUCCAUUCGGACUUUGUCCUCAUUUUUAGGACAAAUGUCUCUUCUCACUCCAAUUGACCAAAUUUGUUAAAAUUAUUUUUUCACUCAAUAAGUUGAUCGGAUUCAUCAGGUAUUGUAUAGUGCCUACCCCAGAGAAUUGCAUUUUCAUGCUAUGCCUACCCUUGGCAUAAAAAGGGCACCCCCAUAGGACAUGCAUACCGAUUUUAUAGUCUUGCUUACUAACUCGGGGUAUUUUUCUUUUAUUUUCUCCCCUCCCCUGCAUUCAUAAAAAAUGUUUCAAUAAGGUGAAAAUAUUUUUUCUAUAUCUGAUAACGAUUUUAUCUAAUAAAUCUUGAAAAUUACAAUUAAUAUUUGAUUCUUGGAUAGACCCUACUAUUUGAAGAAUCUAUCUGGAGGCACAAGGCUAAAACACCUAAGAGACUUCAUAAUUGUUUGUCAAAGAAAAAAUUUUGUUUAUUUGAUUUGUUAAUACAUUUUGUUCCAAAAGAAAAGGAGACAAAAGUGUGUAUAUGUGGAGUUCUUUAGAAGUUUUUCUCUUCUCAUUUGCAUUAUGAUUGAACAAGAAAUUUUGUUUCAAACUUUUCCAAUAAUAAAGUUUUUUAUUUAGACAAUUAUUGUCUUGUAUAUAUAUUCAUCUAUAUUUCAUUCUUUAUUUUGCUCAUUGGAGAUUUCAUGAUGAAUUUUAAGAAAUGAGACUACAUUGAGAUUUUUUCAACCUCUAGCCUGAAAAUUCACAAGUGUAUGUUUUCUAAAAUCUUUGCAUACACUAGAUUGGUGAUCUGAACUAUACAAUAAGAGUGUUCAGAAUUAAAAAGAGGUCACUCAAAAGACCCAAUGGGAUACAUUUUUCUCCUUCACUGUACAAUUCAUAUUUUUGCCCAUUUCUAUUAGCCCCCCAAAAUCAGUCACAUUGAUUGAUAAAUUACAAAUUGGGGCAAUCUUUGCUUGAAAAUGCCCACUGUGUCUAAUUAGAUUCAAUCCACAUCUAAGUGAAAACAAAAAUGUACAUUAUUCUUAUUUGUUUUGAAAGUUUGGAAUGAUACUUCAAGCAUUCGUUUCUCUAUCUAUACAGAUUUUAUCAUUUGCUCUCUCAUUUGAGCCUUUAAAAGAAUAAUUUCGUUUCAAAUGAGAGCCCUAAUGAUCACUACCCCAUAUUGGAAGAUUUUUCAAAUAUCAAAAGGGAGUGGAUUCUCAAUGAGCAUUUCGUUACUUUGGUUGUCAUAAAACUUAAGAAUGAUGCUUUGGCCAUCGUUUCUACAAUCUAAACAUUAUUUAUCCCUUGCAUCCUCCUUUGAGCUAAAAUGGGUGGUUCUUUUUAAAAGCAUUUAUGAUCGUACCCCACACCGGGGAAGGAGAUUGGAGGAUUUUUCAAAAGAAGAAAAAAAGGAAGAAAAAGGAGGCAAAAAAUGCUAAAAUUCAAGAAGAAGAGAGGGAAUUGCAAAUUGGGAAAAUUUGAUUCUAUCUGGGAUUUAAUUUUGGAAAAGAAAGAGGAAGAGUUUUGUCCGGCGGAUCACUUAUGUUUCACAGAUAUGGAUGAACAGGAGUCUUUCUCAAUCAAUGAUGCGAGACGCGGAAGCAAAGACUGGAUUUCAGAGGUACACGUCGCGAUUGACGGAAUGGAACCCGACUUGGACCACUCAAGGACGGAUUCAACGGUAGAGGACGCCACAAUCAAGUGUGUGAGCUUGAUUGAUAAGUCAAUAAAACAGCCUAGGAACCACGCUCGGACAUUCAACUUAGCCUUCACAAGCUAAAGGAAUUUGCCACAACCAAUGGACGAAAUUCUGGAAUUUUAUUGAAUAAUAUCGGAAAACUGAAUGUAAAACAUGAUUUAAGGCUAUUUAUAGCCUUGACUAAACCCUAAUAAAGCUUGGAAAAUACAAAAGAAAAUUCGGCCAACCCAUUUCCUUCACUUGGCCGAAUAUUAACCCAACAACCUAUGGCCCGUAACUCAGCGUAGGUACUUAACUGCGGCCCAAUCAGCCGUUUGAAGCUUGACCACUUGCAUCCUCAACUGUAAGCAACACUUUAGUAGUCUCGCCCGGAUCUUCCAACUCAAUCCCUUCAAUGGGCGGUUUCUCUUGGGUUUGGACUGUGACGGCCCCACAUCUCCUUAAGGCGAACCAAAGGGUAUCCGCGGGACGCCUGCCCAACUCUCGCCAGGACUCAAGCAAUUCCAUUCCUCUUAAAACCAAACCGAACAUUUCGAAGAGAGUAACAUGAGUACAAAUAAUGCGGAAGCGUUCAACUUAACAAGUCACUUAACAUGUAACCAGUACAUCGGGUAAACAUAAUACGACUUAAAUUCUAAUUACACGUCAGGGCCCAAAUUUUACAUUUCAAUUCCAAAAGUACAGUCCAAACCAGGGCCUAGCCAAAAUAUAGAAGAAAUCCUAAACAAAAGUACAACGAAGGGUUUCUCCAUACUUCUCCGAGAUUCGGUCCUGUUAAGGAAAACAAAACUAUGGGGUGAGCUAAAUGCUCGUGAGGCCAAGAACACAUAUUCAAGCACAUUGUUCAAAUAGCAAUCCUAAAUUUAUUAAAUAAAACCGUGAUAUUUCAAUAAUCAACCAUUCGAGCAGGAAAAGUAAUCAGAAACAAUUCAAGGAUAUAGUAGCUCUCAGGAGUUAAGUUCCACUCGCUCUGCCGAUGUCAUUCGUAUACCUUCCCGCGAUGACCCUCCGUCAACCGGGUCGGUAUUUCCAUUUCCGUAGAUCACCACUUACUUCCCUCCGUCCACCGUACACCUCCAGGGCCCACAAGUCAUUUAUAAGGCGAUACUCCACGAGUAUGCCAAGCAAGACCUCUCAUUAGGUCAAGCUUAUAUAUCUCAUGGCUCGCCCAGGUUCCCGACCAAGCCCAUUGCCGGCUCGAGUCCAAGGUCGGCCUAUGAGUUUGGGCGUCCCCCAUUCAUUUGAAAGUCGAGGAGAUUCACUCCAACGACGUAUGUAGUUAUAACAUACCAUUGCAUUUCAUUCAUUCAUUCAAUACAUUUCAUUCAUUCAUUUGAAAUUAGAACGAGUGUGAUAAAAUACACACCCGCCCUUAUUUUUAAAAUCUCCAACAAUUACCACAAAUAAGCAAGUAUCAAGGAUUCACACACUUGACACUCACCGAGCAAUUCAAUAAGAAUUAUUUUCUGGAAGUUCAAGUGUCCACUGUAAGAUCCUCUUGAAGGUCUCCUUGUGCGCCUGGCAAUUAAUAGUGGAUAAUCACUCAAAUAUCAAAAUUAUCAAGGAAGAUUGUACACUAGUACAAUCUAAAGAAUAUUUCACAAAAAUGAACCUCAAUUACUCGUAAAUCGAGGUUCAACUUGCAUUUUAUUAAGUACAAUAUUAUUUGAGUUUUUAUCAUGAAAAUCGAGGGCAAAACGUUUGAAUAAUACUAAGAGAAUUAAGAGUUUUGGAAAAACUCCUUUGCCUUGAAAAUUGAAAAUUUUCAGUUUUAUUAUAAAUCUUUGAAAAUUCGUAUCUCUCUCGAUAUAAGUCCAAAAUUGGAAAACUUUAUCCCGUUGGAAACCUUUUGGAAAGUGUUAAAAGUUCGUAGAAGACACUUUUCCAUGAAUCUAAGUGGAAAGUACUUAAAAAUGAGCUUGAAAUCACUGUUCCAGAAUGUUCAGGAUUGAGUUAAGGUUGGUUUUUUUUGCUAACUUUGGAAAUUUGGCAGAAUUCACUCGUUGCAAGCUAGCCCUUGAAAUUUAUAACUCAAUUAGAGGUGUAAGUAAGGUUUAGGGCAGAACAAGCGGAUUGAGAAUUGGAGUUUCGAGCACCGAGAUACGGUAGCUCGAAGUUGGGAAAAUUCAAGUCUGGUGAACAAUUUCCAGAUUUGAGUUUCCAAAAAUUGGAACCUUAGCUAAGUGUCAAAACGAACUUGGAUUGGUAUAAACUUUUGUAGUAUGUUACUCCUAUAUGAAAGGUAUCUCUCUAUCAAAUUUCAGGAAAAAAUACCUUCGGAAAGAUAGUUAAUUAAUCAUCCAAAGUUCAGGAAAAUUUCUAAGGCAACCUGUCUUUUGACUUCAUUUCCCAAUUCAAAUCGUUUAAUCAACAAAGCUAUCCAACCAUGGUUCAUUUAUGAAAUAAAGGUCUAAGAUACAUCCAUGAUACCUUUGGUAGGUGUUUAGCAUCAAGAACUUCAAUUAAUAAGAUCACUCCCAGGUUUUGUCCCAAACCAGUCCAAGUAUUACGGUUUUUCCAAAACAGUGCAGUCCUCUUGUUUCGGUCACAACUCAGUCAAUUUAACUCAGAAUCGAGCAUGGUUUAUGUCGUUGAAAAAUACAUUCAUAGGGCUAUAAUAUCACAGAAGAAAUCAUUUCAAAAUUUGGUGCCCAACUAGUUCAAAAUUGGGCAUCAAUUUGCUGCCUUAUCACUUCAUUCCAGUUGAACAGAGCAACAGGACAGCGAUCUUAAAACGUUUGGUUCGGCUCACUCACAAAGAAUCAGAACGUGCAUUUUAUCUCAAAUUAAAGCCUGAAAUGUCUAGUUUCCAACGCCACCAACGGCACAUGAUUUCGACAUCCGAGGACGGAGUUAUGGCCGAAUCACCACCGCUGGUCAGAGCCAUACGUGAACAGUUUCCAGAUUUGCUAGUUUCACAAAAAAAAUUCGUUUGCCCAACCAAACCUCAUUAUUUUUCAAUGAAAUUUUUCACACAUCUAAUACGUCAUAUAAACAUCAAAUUCAAGCCAUUAGGUCAUUAAAAAUUGGCCUUAAAAUGGCCGAACAAGGCAGGGGCAAAAUCGGAAACUUUUGCUUCUUGCACCCAAUGAAGUUUCUAUCAAUUUCACACCAUUAAUCCAUCAUUUUAACCACUAAACCAACAAUAUAUCCACCAUCAAUCAUCAAAUCAGCAACAACCCAAGAGUGGGAGUUCAUAGAGCCCACUUUCACAUUUUUCCAACAAUAUCAAGUCAUCUACUUAUAUGCAAGUACUUAGAGAUGCAUAUCUACUACUAUAAAUCAAGUUUAAGGUGAUGGAUCAUGUUAUACCUUCUUAAUGUACUAGAACAGAAUUUUUGGCCCUUGAAAUGCUCCAAGAAAUCGUGAUUUCCAGCACCCUUUUUGCAGCUCAAAAUGAUCUCCUAGUGUUAAGCUAAGUGUGGUGCAAGUUUGGUUGAAUUUGGAGAUGUUUUGGUGGUGGUUUGAGUAAGCUUUGUGAAGUAAAAUGAAGAACAAUGAAGCUUAAGAGAGAGAGAGAGCUAGUCGGCAGUCUUGAGAAGGAAGAGAGAGAGAGUGAUCAGAUUUUUAAGCUUCCAAGAGAAGAUACUAACUUGUGGCUACAAAUCACCCAUUAGUCAACUCACAUUAGGGGGCAUUUGGCGCGAUUAGGGCUCGUUUUCACGCGCGUUUGGUUCACUAGUGCACUAAGUCUCUAAUGCACUUAUUUUCAUGUAAAUAUUAUUCACUCUUAAUUGUCCCGAAAUAAGGGUCUAAAGUCCCUCAAAUAAAGUCGCGCGUAUGAAAACGCGUACCGUCAAUUUUAACGCUAUAACGCGAAACCUCCGAGAAAUUCUUAUAACAACCGUGCUACUAACUAUCACUUGAGUAUUUAUUCAUAAGAUUACCUAUUUUAGGACCAUAGUACAAGUCUCCAAUAUUCCAAACUUAUUGUGCUCCCACGCGGUAAAAUCUCCGAGCACUGUUCACUAUUUUUACUAAACGCACUCCAGGAAAUUAAUUUUUGAGACGAGUCACUUUAAAAAUAUAACGAAGUUAUAUUAUCAUGUAUUUAGGUCUAAUAAGACUAGAAAAUAUUUCUCGUGGUAAAAAUCCAAUUAAAUAAUUUAUUAAGCCAUAAGUUAGGCUAAAAAAAAUAAUAGUUUUUACGAGUCCUCACAUGGACGGCAUAAACCAAGGCUUGAAGUGACUCCUUGAAUCUCUUAACUCGUGCUCGUGUCACUGGGCCUUGGGGCACCUUUACAGGGUCUACUUGAGCACCAUGGGCCUCGUCCGCAUCAAUCAAUUAAUUCAGAUACAUGCAAGAAAUUUCGCAUUAAUGAAAGUUUCCUUUCAGAGUUAUUGUAAGGAACGGAAUAAAAAGUUAGGCUCUCUUCUUUUCCAAUCAAACAUUCUAUCGCUAGUUAUCCCUUUCGAGCCUUCAAAAUAAAAUACUUCGUUUGGCAACCACUGAGGAUCGCAAACUCCACACUGGGGCAAGUUUGAGUUGCAAAGGGAAGGAAAGUUUCAAGAGGUGAAAAGUGAUAAAGUAACAAAAGAAAAAGAGAAAAUGAAACAAAAGAGAACCUCGGUUAAGCAUAAACUGGGACAAAUUUUGAAAAGUUCAAAAGAAUGGCAAAAGGCCAAGAAGAAAAUAGAGAGAAGAAAAUGAAAGAGAAAAGAGCCUCGGUCGAGAAUAAAUUGGGGCAGGUUUUGAUUUAACCCUAAAAAUAGGGUUGGCGCAACAAUGCGAUCUCAGAUCAUUUAAACCACUUUUGAAAUCCGCUUUCAAGUUUUAACUUUUCUAAGCACCCCACCAGACCCCAUUACAAAAGCCGAAAGUCCUGACUUCUGUUUUUUGCAAUAUCUCUGUCAAGAAAUUUUCUAAUUGGCAAGUGAUGCUCAUAUAUUGAUGCCAAGGAAUUUUUAAAUAUAUUUGAAUUGAUUAGGCGUGAGGUUGACACUGCUCUUCAUGUGAAAACCAGCAAGGGCACUUUUGAAAAAAAGAAGGAAAAAGGAAAAAGCAAGCGAAAUAAAUGCAAAAGAAAAAUGCAAAAAGAUUCGAUGCUGAAAGUCCCUGUUGAGUGAUUAUAAAGUCAAACAAAGGUCGAGAUUGGGGCGAUUUUUGGGAGGAAAUGCGAUCUUCAAUGCAAUGUCCUUAAAAUCUUAUUUAUUUAACUAUCGUUUUCAAGCCACAUUACAAGCUCAUAAAGUCCAUCGCUGACUUAUCUUUCAUGACAAUUCGAAGUGAGGAUUAUGCUUCUAAGGAAUCCAUUAAUCAUUCAGGAUUAUAAGGCAAUAACCGGUUUCCACAUGCUUAACUGUCAUUUCUACCCAUAUGUUACAAGUUUAUAAAGCUUAUAUGUUGACUAAGUUUUCUUAAAAAAUAAGGGUGACAAACUAUUUGUUUUCACUAAGAUGUGAUAUUGAAGGGAUUACAUACAAUUUGGGCACAAGAAUAAGACAAAUCCUGACCUCUAAUUCCCCUUAGCCCCCUCAAAAUAAAAAAUAAGAUCACUUGAUUGGUCCUGAAAGAUGAGCUAACAAAAAAGAGGUGACCCAUUACCCUAAGUCUCGAUGUUAAAGUGAGGAAGAAAUCUUCUGUAAUUUGAUAUUAUUUUGAGAAAUUCAUCAUGAAAUUUUUUGUAUGAGUUUAAGCAAGAUGUUUAAUUUUCUUCACAUUAUACGUUAGGAAACAUAGUUUCUUACUUUGUUCAAAUAAAUGGAGAGUCAUCGAAACAAAAUUUUUGCAAUUGAAAGGGCCCACACUGGGGUAAAUUUUUGUAAUGCAUUUGAGGAUUUCGUCCAAGAGUCAAAUAAGAUAUUUUUGAAUCAAUCAUACUGCUCUUUACAUGAGUAAUAGGUGCAUCAAUCAAAAAAAUAAUAAGAAAUUUAAGUGCAUGUUGUACUUUGGUAAGACCCCUAUACAGGUAUUCAUGGCUGAAAUUGAUGAAGAAACAUUUAGUGAUGUGGAAGGCCGAUACCGGAAAAAGAGAAGAAAGGAAAAGAAAAAGGGCUCUACACUGGGACAAAUUAUUUUUUGAAAAGAAUCUCUCAAUCAAAAAAAAAUCCCAAAAAAAAUCAAAAGAUCAAAAAUCCAAAAAAAAAAAAUCAAAAGAUCAAAAUUUUAAAAAAAAAUCAAUCAAACAAAAAAAAUAAAAAAUAAAAAAUCAAGUUUAAAUUCUUGUUUCUUGGAAAAUCAAAUUUAAUUUCUUGUUUCUUGAAAAGUCAAAUCUAAUUUCUUAUUGGUGAGUCUCAGCGUCCGCUGCGCACCCUUCUACCUCAUUUCUGGACAACCACAUUUAAUUCACUGACUUCUACCACCGUUAGCAUCGAGUCUAUCUCACUAACGUGUGCGUUUUUAUUCAACUACCGUUAGCAUCGAGUCUAUCUCACUAACGUGUGCAUUUUUAUUCAACCACUGUUAGAAUCGAGUCUAUCUCACUAUCGUGUGCGUUUUUAUUCUACCACCGUUAGCAUCGAGUCUAUCUCACUAACGUGUGUGUUUUUAUUCUACCAUCGUUAGCAUCGAGUCUAUCUCAUUAACGUGUGCGUUUUUAUUCAACCACCGUUAGUAUCGAGUCUAUCUCACUAACGUGUGCGUUUUUAUUCUACCACCGUUAGCAUCGAGUCUAUCUCACUAACAUGUGUGUUUUUAUUCUACCAUCGUUUGCAUCGAGUUUAUCUCACUAACGUGUGUGUUUUUAUUCAAAUACCGUUAGCAUCGAGUCUAUCUCACUAACGUGUGCGUUUUUAUUCUACCAUUGCUAGCAUCGAGUCUAUCUCAUUAACGUGUGCAUUUUUAUUCAACCACCGUUAGCAUCGAGUCUAUCUCACUAACGUGUGCAUUUUUAUUCUACCACCGUUAGUAUCGAGUCUAUCUCACUAACGUGUGUGUGUUUUUAUUCUAUCUUCGUUAGCAUUGGAUUCAUCCCACUAACGUUAUUCUAUCUCCGUUAGCAUUGGGUUCAUCCCACUAACGUGCCUUUCUAUUUUCGAUUUUUUCGGCAGGCUCGAGUGUUAUCAUACUGACCGACUAUCACGGCAGGUUUGGGUUUAUCCCACUAACCGAUUCUCAAGGCAGGCUCGGGUGUUAUUCCACUGACCGAUUAUCAAGAUUAUUAAGGCAGGUUCGGGUUUAAUCCCACUGACUGAUUAUCAAGGCAGACUCGGGUUUAAUCUCACUGAUCGAUUGUCAAGGCAUUUCAUUCAUCACUGCCACUAAACAUGGGUUAGUCCCACUAGUGAGCACUUCAUUCAUCAUUGCCAUUAAACACGGGUUAAUCCCACUAAUGUACAUUACAUCUUAUCGUUAGACAUGGGUCAGUCCCACUAACACUUCAUUUCACUUCACUUCACUUCAUCCCGUUGGGUUUGGAUUUUGUGCCACCAACCUCGGCAGGCUUGGGUUGUAUCCCACUGACCGAUGUCAUAGCAGCUUCGGGUCAGUCCCGUUUUAAAUUUCUUGUUCGGGUCAGUCACGUUUUAAAUUCCUCAUUCAGGUCAGUCCCGUUUUAAAUUUCUUGUUCAGGUCAGUCUCGUUUUAAAUUUCUUGUUCGGGUCAGUCCCGUUUUAAAUUUCUCGUUCGGGUCAGCUCCAUUUUAAAUUCCUUGUUCGGGUUAGUUCCGUUUUAAUUUUCUUGUUCGGGUCAGUCCCGUUUUAAAUUUCUCGUUCGGGUCAGUCUCGUUUUAAAUUAUUUGUUUGGGUCAGUCCCAUUUUAAAUUUCUUGUUCGGGUCAGUCCCGUUUUAAAUUCUUUGUCUGGGUCAGUCCCAUUUUCUAAUUUUUUGUUAAAGGGGUCAGUCCUCAUUUUGAAAGCGUCAGUCAUUCGAGUAGUUUGCAGCAGAAUAACCACAGGUGAGUAUUUGGUGUCUACGUCUUUGUCUCAAAUUUCUUCGAAACUCAGACAAAGAGGGGUAAACUGUAGACACCAAAUUUUUAGCCUUUCUUUUUCUUUUUAUUUUAUUUAUUUAAUUAGUUGAUUUUGUUUUAAUUUUUGCUAAGAAAAUUGUUUUACUAUUAUUAAUUAAUUCAUUGAAAAAAAAGAAAAAGAAAAACUGUUCCAUGCGCUCGUGCUUGGCACGUGCGCCAUUUUCUUUUCUUUCAUGCAAAAAAUGCAAGCGAAAGGCGAAAACAGGGACAUAAAUUUGCAACGGCAUUUUUUUAAUCCCAGCCUCAUCUCAAAAAUGCCAUCCAAUGGCUUAAGUUUUCGGUAGAAACCCACCCUUCAUCCUCACCUUUGAGGUGAGGGUUUUAGGGACCUGGGGUUUCCUAUAAAAGAAAAAAGAGCAGCGGGGACAAAGGGUAAGAGGAGUCGGCGGCUGGGGCUGAGUAGAAACAACGGAGGAAAAAAGCAAAAAAGGGGGGUUUUUGGGGAGAGUAGUUGACAGCUGAAGGAAAGAGUGAAGGGAGAGUUUGAGGGUUAGAGAGAGUUUUGGAGAGGGUGACGGCCGAAAGAAAGAAACCAAGCGAGAGGAAACCAAGGAAAGGAGAAGCGACUUCAUCAACGUAAAGGGCAUUUCGUGGGUCUUCGUUUCCAGAAACAACGUGUUUGUCCUGAGACUAGGAGAGAAACGAAUCAAGAGUCUGAGGAAGACACAAGGGAGGAUCGGGGAACAAGCAAAGGAAAUCUGCAAAAUCUUGAAGAAGGCUUCGAAGCUGAGAGCGAGGGAAAGAGGACUGCUCGACGAGGAGGCAACUUUUGCAGCAAAAGUUCCCGAUCGCGUUCCUGGGAACCCGUACGCGUUUCCGGGCAGAUCUCAAUGCCGCUCAACCGUGCUAGCAUUCUCAGGUAAAAAUACCUCUUAUUUGGUGGAUUUUAACAUGUUUUUAUGAAAGAUAAAGCCAUCGGAUGUGAAUCUUUUUGUUUGCUACUGGGUCAAGCUCUCGCUGGUUCUAUGAUUCUGCCAUUUUGCUCGUUUGCUAAGAUCUGAUUCAGUAGGAACCUAUGAGAUGAGUUUGAUUAAGAACAUGGGGUUUAGGGUUUUCUAUAGUGGUCACCUGAUGAAUCCAUGAGUUCUUUGCUCGAUGUUUAUGGUCAGUCUUUGUGUGAGUAUUGGAGCAGGGACUGAAACCCGAAUUGCCAUCUCAACCUGAAUUGAACCCGAAGAACGUAAGCGCGAUGAGUACUGGAGCAGGGACUCUAGGUGUGUAAUGAGUUACUUGAUUCAUCCUAUUCCCGAAGUGUUUGCUUGACCCGAUAUACCAGAAUGGGAUUGCUUAUUCGCAAGAAACUAUUGAUUUGUAAACAGGGCAAGUAGGGUCGCAUCCUCAGGGACUGGAAAAAAUUCGUUUCUUUUCAAAUCCACAAUAACAAGGGGAUGUUUUUGGUAUAAACGAUGACAAUCAAAGGAGUUUAAAUAAAGAUAAAUAGCUAACUAGGAAUUAAAUGACAAUUUACUAAAAUCAGAGUAAUAAUAAUUAAAGGUCUAGCCAAGAAAUAACUUCAGCAAUGGUUCACCUAAUUGAUCAUCGAUGCAAAUGCAAUUCCAGUUAUUUACUAAUAAAUAGGUUAUAACUGUCAAACAAGCAAUGACAGUCAACCCCUUCUUACUGUGUCGGUGACUAAGGUACGCCCGUUAAUCACUACUCUAAUUGAGAAAUAAUCCUAAGUACGCCCGUAAGAUUUAAUUUUCCAAUUGCCUUACGUAUUAAAGAAGCCCUAUUCUAACCAAAUAACACACUACCAGGGUUAUUUUAGAUUAGCCUGCGCAUUCCCCUGACACAAACCCAAUCAUGCCAGUUGUCACUAUUUUAGGGCAAUUAAACAAUUACGAUUUAAUGCUCUAAUUGACAAUAGGUUACUAAACUAAUUCAUUAUCUGGAUCCAAGACAAUCAAUUAAUUAAAUAACCAUAAGUACUACAAUCAGGGAAUAUGCAAAUACCAAUAAAUAAGAGGAAAAGAUAAAUUUAAAUCGAUCUCACAAUUUUUAGAUGAACCAAAACCUCCGUUGUUUCUUGACCAGAAAAGGGAAUUUAAUUCAUCCCGGAUAGGAAAGACCCACACAAAGUUGCAGCAAUAGUUGCGGCCAUUGUCUCCAAGAAUUGGGAAAAUUCAAUUCGUUCGAAUCAAUAAGAAAAGCAAGCUACAGAAAAUAAUUACUGGUCUUCACUUUGUCUUGACAUACGAAGAAGGAAAACUACUAAGAGCCCACAAGAAGAAAAGUCAAAAGCUAAAACUAAAAAGUAGUGCCCUCUUGUUUCUCUCUAUUCCUAUCUAAUGCCCCCUGCUUUGCAGCUGCCCCGCGGCAGAAAAAGAGAGAGUCCAGCCUUGUUCCGUCUCUUCCUUCUUCGGUAAGUACCAAAAGGGGAAAAGUUCCCCUUUUCCAAAAAUGCCACUGGGAUGAGGGCUGCUACUUGAACUCCUUUCCUAAUGACUAUCAAAUUGGCACUUGUUGUGGUAUUUUUGUUCUACUCCCUGUAAUAAAUGUAAAUUUUCAAAAGUGAGUAGAAUCUAACAAUUAAUCCACAUCAGGUCAAGUAAUAAGAGAAAUUAAUAAUAAAAGAAAUGAUAAAAUUGCGACCUAUCAAAAUGGGAUGGAUGUUUAGAUAGGAAUUCUGUAGAGGGCUGGUAGCAGCCAUCCAAAGAGAACAAGUCCAUUUGUGGACAAAAUAAAGUGAAUGGAGAAUAUAUAUAUAUAUAUAUACGCUACAUGAAUAUUCAACAUAUACAAAAAUGUGAUCAAGAAAAAUGAGGAAUCUGACAGCCUAAUGCUUACUUGCUGCUUUUUAUGGUUUAACUUUAAAGAGACUUUGGUGUCUUGGUAGUUCGUAAUUUGAUUCGAGGUUGAUAAAAAGAAAUUUUUCAGAAAACGUGAAAUAGGGUAAGUAUCCUAGUUUAUUUUAGGUAUUGAAAGUUAAUAAAAAUGGAAAUUAUGGCAGUAAUCCUCUUCAUUUUUCCCCACCAACCAAAGCAACGAUUUUUAAGAAUACAAACAAGAUUUUAAAAAAUAGUUGUGGAGAAAACUUUUAACAAGUUUAAAAUGCAAAGUGUCCAUCAUAAUGUAGAAGAGCACAAUAAUUAGAACUCCCACGUUGGCUAAGCAAAAAUAUAUGUUUGCUCUAAUAACAUAUUACAUAUUAAAUUAUUUUACUAUGAGGUAGGGUACAUUUUUUUUAUAGUUUAGCAAACUAGAACAAAAUUAUAAUAAUUUUAAAUUAAUAUAGUUGCGUGGUGAAAUAUCAUCUGCGGCAAUAUAUAUAUAUAUAUAUACACACACACAUGCGCACGCACACUACUUAUUCAGUUGAAAAAAAUACAAGAAUUUGACAAUAUUGGUUAAUCAAAGAGCACCUUUAGUGACAUGAGAAUGAAAAUUGCUCCUAGAAUAUCUUCCUGAACUUUGUCAUUGAACGAUUGCUCAAAGAGUCUGUAAGAAAUUUAAUUCAUUCUAAUUUUGUCAGUAUUUAAGAAAGUAAGGAUGAUUGAAUUUGACUGCCAUUGUUUUCGAAAGAAUGACUCCACUCAUUAAAGAAUCAAGCCAAAAUUGAGACAAGUAUGAACAAACAAGCAAUUAGUAAUUUAUAUUGUGGUAAUACAAGUUUAUACAAAAAAAAAAGUAGGCACAGUGUAUUUUUUCUGCACCUGUUGUCUAAUAAUAUUAUCACCUUCCAAACUUUGUGGGUUUGUAAAAUGCAUCAAUUAUGGAUCUUGGAGUAAAGAUAUUAAGUAUUAACUAAAUUAACUAAUUAUUGAACUUAUACUCAUGGAAUAAUAAUUUUUUUUUGUAAUGUGCUAAUCUCUAGAAUAUUUGACUUUUAAUAUCCAGGUCUCCCAAUGGUGUGGAAAUUAAGUUGUUCUUCAACAUGCAGCUUCGUGGGACUUCAAGCAUGCCAAGAGUUUCUGGGAAAGAAUAGGUCAAGAUAAGUGACUUGGAGGAAUCUUCAAAAUCAAUACACUUUGUUGAAAUUGAAACUCUUGGAAGUAGCUUGACUGCAUUCAUACCAAAAAGUAAUUUAACAUAAUACUUAUGGACUUUCUCCAUCUCUUUUGUCAUUUCUUUUUCGAAAUUUAUUGUUUAUAGGAAAAAGAAAAAGUCGAUUCAAGAUAUGAAUCUAUGAACAGUUCAACAAUCUAGAUAAUAUUACUCAUUAACGAGAGAGGUUAAUCUAAAAGGACUGAGAUUCGUAGACCAACUGGUCACUACUCAUUACUCAUUAAUAUUCUAAUGUUUGCUUGCUUCUUUUUCAUGGUUUAACUUUAAAGUGAUUUUGGUGUCUUGCUAGUUUGUAAUUUGAUUCAGUCCGGUUGAUAGAAAGAAAUUGCUCAGAAAAUGUGAAAUAGGUUAAAAUAUCCCAGUUUGGUUUGGAUAUUGAAAGUUAUAAAAAUGGAAAUUAUGGCGGUGAUCCUCUUCAUUUUUCCCCACCAAUCAAAGCAGUGAAUUUUUUAAGAAUACAGACAAGAUUUGAAAAAAUAGUUAUCUAUAAUAAUGUAGAAGGGCACAAUAAUUAGAACUCCUAUAUAUGUUGGCUAAGCAAAAAUAUAUUUUUGUUAUCAUAAGAUCUUACAUACGAAACGAUUGUACUAUCAGGCAGGGUAGAUUUUCUUUAUAGUUAGCAAACUGGAACAAAAUUAUAAUAAUCUUAUUUUAAUAAAAUUGCCAAAUGAAAUAUCAUUUGCAAUGACAAUGUAUAUAUUACUAGUUUAAUUGACAAAAUAUAAGGAUUUGACAAUGCUAAUUUGAUUAAUCAAAGAGCACUUUUAGAAGAUAUUACGUUUACACGUAAAACUUAAAAGCCAAUUUAUUUAUUUUUUUUUGCUUUUCUAAAUUUAAAUUCUUUUUGCACGUGCUUCCACUAUUAUCUUGCUCUACAUUUGAGAAGAACUUCUUACAACUUUCUUCAAAUAAAUACCUUUUCCAUACAAAUCCCGCGCCUUUAUAUAAACAAUUACGCUGGUUACAAAGUUUAUCAAGCAAUAAUGAAGAGGCCGAUAACAUUUUAUAGUACCUUACUUUUCUUCUUUCUUUUACAUCCUGAAGAAGUGAUCACUUUCACUUUCUUGGAAGAUCAUUUGUGCCAUCAUGAUGAGGCUCUUGCACUGCUUCAGUUUAAGGAAAUGCAUAGCACAUCAACUGAUGCUUCUCAUGAUUGCAAUUAUUUUGGUCAGUACUCAUAUCCAAAGACAACACAUUGGAAACCAGAUACAGAUUGUUGCAAUUGGGAUGGUGUCACAUGCGACAACAUCACCGGUCGUGUAAUUGGGCUAGAUCUGAGUUGUGGCCAGCUUCAGGGAGUCAUCCAUCCAUACGCUACCCUUUUCAAUCUUUUCCAUCUCCACAGUCCCAACCUUACUUUUAAUGAUUUCACCGGCUCACGGAUUUCAUAGUGAUUUGACUCGCUAAAAAGUUUGAUCCACCUCAAUCUCUCAAAUUCAAAUUUCCAAGGUGAGGUUGCUUCAGAAAAUAUCACACCUGUUCAACCUAAUUUCACUUGAUCUCUCUUUCAAUCUCUUGUGUAAUUCUAUGGGUUGCUCAUAUCCAAGAUAUGAAUUUAGUAAUUUUGAAGCGAUGCUUCAAAACAUAACCCAUUUAAGAGAGCUAUCACUUUCGUCAGUGAACAUCUCAUCCGAGUUAAGGGUGAAUUUUUCUUCAUCUUUGACAUAUCUAGAUCUCUCAUAUACUGGAAUAACAGGUAAUCUACUAGGCAAUGUUUUUCAUCUACCGAACAUGCAAGUUCUCUCGUUAGAUAGCAAUGAGAAUCUUACUGUUAGUUUAUCAAACUUGAACUGCAGCAUUUCUGAUUCUCUGAGGCAGUUGGACCUAUCGGCGACAAGUCUCUCUGCUGCACUGUCAGAUUCAAUUGGGUGCAUAAGGUCCUUAAAUUCUUUGGAUCUAGGAACUUGUCAAAUUUCUGGUGUCAUUCCUGAAUCAAUUGUCUUCGGAAGAUAACUAUCUUCUAGGGAAAAUUCUAGCUAAAUUUUCCUGUUCACAAAAGCUAAGUAGACUAUCACUUGGUCUUUUUAGAUCUCUCUAGUAAUCAACUAAGCGGUUCACUUCCUCCAACAAUUUUUACUAUUCUGACUCUAUCUUAUCUUGACCUUUCUUCAAACCAUUUUGCUGGGGUUGGGCAAGACGUAUUUGUGGACUUCAAUAAGCUUCAAAAGAACCCUCUUGAGAAUGAAGCCCCACGGAACACUAAAAACAAUGUGAGCAUUUCCUAUCCAGAUUUCUGGCACUUGGGAUUGUCUUCUUGCCAGAUAAAGGAAUUUCCUGAGUCGCAUAGAAAUUCAAAGAGCUUAAAAUUUCUGGACCUCUCAAAUAACAGGAUUCACGGCGAAAUUCCAAGCUGGUUCAUGUUGAAGAAAAGGGUUCAGAUUGGGAAAAACUUCAAGCGUAUAUUACUGAUUGCAAUAGUCUGCUGAUAUAGUUACAAGAAUUUGACAAAAAAGGGAAGAUACAAUUAUUCCUAAAAUCAUGUAAUGGAAAGCUAAAACUACUCCUACAAUCACGUCAUGACAAAAACUUAUAUGGUAACAAUAUAUACAGCUAUAUGAUUGAAUAUCUCAACACUCCCCCUCAAGUUGGAACAUGGAGAUUGCGAAUGCCCAACUUGCUCAACAAAUGGUGGAACUGAGCUUUCCCAAGUGCUUUGGUGAACAAGUCGCCAAUUUGAUCACAUGAGCGAACGUGAGCAGUCUGCAACUCGUUACUUAGUAUGCGAUCACGAAUGAAAUGGCAAUCAAUUUCAAUGUGCUUUGUACGUUCAUGAAAAACUGGAUUUGCAGCAAUGUGUAGAGCAGCUUGGUUGUCACAAAAGAGAGACAUGGGUGAUGCUAAUGAAACUUUCAAAUCUGCAAACAAAGAACGCAGCCAGAGGAGUUCACUAGUAGCAUUGGCCAUUGCCCUAUACUCUGCUUCAGCGGAUGAGCGGGAAACUGUAGUUUGCUUUUUGGACUUCCAAGAAACCGGGCUAUUACCGAGGAAAACGAUAUAACCACUAGUCGAUCGUCGAGAUGUUGGGCAGCUGGCCCAAUCUGAGUCACAAUAAGCAAUGAGUUGCAGCAAACUAGCAGAUGACAAGAAUAUACCUUGGCCUGGUGCCCUUUUGAGGUAGUGAAGGACUCGAUAAGCUGCAUCCAAGUGAGGAACACGUGGAUCUUGCAUAAAUUGAUUGAGAACUUGUACUGGAUAGCUAAUGUCAGGUCGAGUUAUCGUCAAAUAAAGUAGCCUUCCAAUGAGACGACGAUAUUGACCAGCAUCUUUAACUACUGCACCAACUCCCGCUGCCAAGUUGUGUCGUUGUUCCAUAGGAAAGUCAGCAGGACUUGCGUCGAGAUGACAAGUCUCUUCAAGGAGGUCUAGAGUGUAUUUUCGCUGGCUAAGUACAAUUCCUUCCUUAUUACGAGCCACCUCAAUACCAAGAAAAUAUUUGAGUUGCCCAAGAUCUUUGAUGCGAAAAGCUGAAUCAAGAUGAUGCUUCAUAUGAUUGAUGGUGGUUGAAUCAUUUCCAGCCACAAUAACAUCAUCUACAUACACUAACAAAGCAGUAAAGUGUGCUCCACUGGUGAAUGUAAAAUGUGAAUUAUCUGUAGCAGAUUGACUAAAACCAAUACUCUACAAGCAACUAGAAAAUGUUUGAAACCAAUUUCUAGAGGCUUGUUUAAGGCCAUAAAGGGACUUUCGAAGUCGACAAACCCGAUUGUCACCUGGUUUUGCAAAGCCUUGUGGUAUUUUCAUGUAUACCUCUUCACGUAGAUCUCCAUGCAGGAAGGCAUUAUUAAUGUCCAGCUGAUGUAAUUCCCAAUGUCGUACUGCAGCCACAACUAAUAGACAACGUAGAGUUGUAAGCUUUGCAACUGGAGCAAAAGUAUCAUGGUAAUCGAGUCCUUCAACCUGUGUAAAACCUUUAGCAACCAAACGUGCCUUAAACCGCUCAAUUGUGCCAUCAGACUUGUACUUGAUUUUGUACACCCACUUGGAAUCAAUGGCAUGCUUACCAGGUGGUAGAUGCUCUAAUGUCUAAGUUUGAUUCUCCUCCAGUGCCUUAAUUUCUUGCUGCAUAGCAAGUCUCCAACGAUGAUCCCUAACUGCUUGGGAAAAAAACUUUGGUUCGUCUAAUGAAGUGAUGGAGGCCAAAAAAGCUUUAUGGGCAUCAGUGAAAUGAGAAUAGGACAAGUUAUGAGAGAUAGGAUAAAUUGUACCUGAGUUUGCUGAUGGAGGGGACUCCCGAGAUGGUUCCAAGGAGGGUAACAACUUAUAAUCAAAACCAGAAAGCUUUGUGGAUACAUGCCUUACUCGAUGUGGACGCUGCAAGGAAGGAAUUAUAUUUCCACUAGGGCUGCCAGUAUCUGGUUGUAGUGUAGAAUUAUCUUUUUCAUGUUGGGUUUGUUGGGAAAAUGUAUGUUCAAUAGGAGAUGGUGUGGUGUCCAUCGAAGUGGAGUUUAUAGGAGGUGGAAUUGGGUCAGAUUGUGAGUAAUCAUGCUGAUCUAUAUGGGGUUGCACACUCCACAUUGAAGGUUUAGACUCGUUAUUUCAUUGAAAAGGAAAUUCUGUCUCAUAAAAUAUCACAUCCCGUGAUACAAAUACUUUUUCUCUUUCCAAAUCAUAGACUUUAUAGCCCUUUUGUCCAUGGGGAUAACCAAGAAAAAUACACCGAUAGGCUCUAGUAGAGAAUUUAUCUCGGUGUUUGUCAUGAUUAUGAGCAUAACAAAGUGAUCCAAACACCUUCAAAUGAUUGUAGUUGGGUUUACUUUUGAAAAGUACCUCAUAUGGGCUCUUGCCUUUGAGAGUGGGAGUGGGCAUCAAAUUGAUAAGAUGAACUGCUGUCAAAACACAUUCUCCCCAAAAUUUCAAAGGUAAAUGGGCUUGAAAACGCAAUGCUCGCGCAACCUCAAGAAUGUGGCGAUGUUUGCUCUCCACUCGCCCAUUUUGUUGUGGAGUAUCAACACAAGAGGUUUGAUAGUCAAUCCCUUGACUAGCAAAAAAAUCUCUCAUGGUCCUGAGACAAAUUCACUCCCAUUAUCACUUCUCACAACCUGUACUGGGUAACCAAAUUGAGUUUGUGUAGAUUGGCAGAACAUGGUUAGAAAAUCAUAGGCCUACAAUUUAUUUUUCAAAAGAAAGACCCAAGUACAUCGUGAAAAAUCAUCAAAAAUAGUUAAGAAAUAAUGAGCACCACUAAGUGAUAAGACAGAAUAUGCUCCCCAAAGAUCAACAUGAAUCAAAGCAAAAGGUUUAACACUUUUCUUAUUGCUGUUUGGAAAAGACAAUCUUGUUUGUUUGGCCCUAUGGCAUACAUCACAAAUGUGAUUAAAAUUGCUAGGAAAAGGAAUACUAGAAAUUAAUUUUAAUCGGCUAAAGGAAGGAUGACCCAAGCGCAUGUGCCACAAGGUAGCAUCAGAUUCAGUAACACUAAGACUUGCGAGCCCGUGGCCUCCUUCUAAUUGAUAAACCCCAUCUCGGAGCCUACCCACUCCAAUCAGCAUCCUCGUACACAGGUCCUGAAAAAAAACAAGAAUCAGGAAGAAAGGUUGCUGAGCAGUUUAAUUCCUUUGUAGCUUUGGCAAUAGAGAGGAGAUUGAACUUGAAACCAGGCACACAAAUAACAUUUUUCAAAUUGAUAUUUGGUGUUAGGUAGGCAUUACCAACGUGAGUUACAGGGAGACUAGAGCCAUUUGCGAUUCUCACAUUUGGAUAUGAAGAGAUGCAUUUAACAUUGUCAAGUAUACUUUUGUCUCCAACCAUAUGGUUAGAGGCACCAGUAUCCAAAAUCCAUGAGUUAUGGAAUGAAUUGCAUUUACCUGCAAAGUUGGCCAAGGCCUCAUUAUCAUGAUUUGGUGGUCCAAGGAUUUGCAUGAGUUUGUUGUACUGGUCCAUUGUCAAUCCAAGAGGUUGUUGUGACUGUGACUUCUCACUUGGGUUGAUAAAUUGGUGGUCAGUUGCUGCUAUGUUGCCAUAGAUUUGCAUCUGCCCUGAAUUGUUCUUGCCUCCACCACAAUUGCCACCUUUGCUUUGUUGAUUAUUCUUCCAAUUUGCUGGAUACCCUAUUAUCUCAAAGCAUUCUUCCUUGAGAUGUCCCAUUUUCUUGCAAUGUUCACACCUUUUACUUGAUCGACUUCUUGGGGCUUGACUCCUGGUAUUUUCGUUGCCCCUACGAUCAGUUUUUGCUGCAAAAGCCGCUCCUUCCAGGCUGUGUGAUGUUUGUUCAUUUACUUGUACAAAGGAUUGCUCUUCUUGUAAAGCCAAGGAAAACAGUUUACUGAGUGAAGGUGUAGGUUCCAUGGACAGCACAUUAGAUCUCAACCGAUCGAAAUUUCCAUUCAAUCCCAGUAGAAAUUGAAGGGCUUUUUCUUUUUCUCGGCGUAAUAAGUGAUCCUUGGCUGCCUCGCAUUUGCAAUAAGGCAAUGGAUCAUAGAUUUACAGUUCUUGCCAUAAGGUUUUGAACUUGGUAUAAUAUUGAGUUAAAGGCUGCCCAUCUCCUUGUAACAUGUUGGAAAAUUAUUUUUUUAUUUUAUAAAGUCGAGGUGCAUUACUUUGUCCAUACCUUUCACAAAUCUCAGUCCAAAUUUCUUGUGCCGUGCCGGUGUAGACAACGCUCUCUUGUAUGUCCUUGGCCAAGGAAUUCCUCAGCCAUGCUCUAACCAUUGCAUCAUUCUUCUUCCACCGUUGAAAGUCUGGUGACUUUAGAUCUGGCACUUCUAGACUGCCAUCAAUGAAACCACCCUUGCCUUUGGCAUAUAGGGCUGUUUCCAUGGUGCUUUUCCAUGCUGCAAAAUUUUCUCCUGCGAAUGGUGUGGAGACAAAUUGCAGCCCUGGAUGAUCUGAAGGUACAACACAUAGGGGGAGUCAUCAUAGAUUGUAACCUCUCCCCCUUUCGUUGAAUUCUCUGGAGUUGACAUAUUUUAUUGUCAACAAUUGUUAAGGCUCAACCUGCUCUGAUGCCAUGAAGAAAAGGGUUCAGAUUGGGAAAAACUUCAAGCGUAUAUUACUGAUUGCAAUAGUCUGCUGAUAUAGUUGCAAGAAUUUGACAAAAAAUGGAAGAUACAAUUAUUCCUAAAAUCAUGUAAUGGAAAGCUAAAACUACUCCUACAAUCACGUCAUGAUAGAAACAUAUAUGGUAACAAUAUAUACAGCUAUAUGAUUGAAUAUCUCAACACAUGUCCAAGACUUGGGAUAAUUUGCCCUACUUGAAUCUUUCGCAUAACUUUUUGACUGGUACCAUAGACCAACUACGGUGCAAACAUCUGUUGCAUCUAGAUAUGAGUUUCAACUCACUUCAGGGUCAAAUGCCUUCUUCUAUCUGUAACUCAACUUCUCUUUUCAUUCUUGAUUUGUCAUAUAACAAUUUGGUUUCCCGAAUCCCUCAAUGCUUGGGAAACUUCAGCCAGAAGCUCUCCGUUUUGGAUUUGGGAAAUAAUGGACUUUUUGGCACCAUUCCCACAACUUUUUCACAAGGUAACUCUCUGAAUAUUCUUAUGCUGAAUGACAAUCAACAAGAUUGAUGAUAGAUUUCCAAUUUGGUUGGAAUCUCUACCUAAUCUACAGGUUUUCAUAAUCGAUUUCACGGAGGAAUUGGUAAUUUUCAAACUGAAAGCCCAUUUCCGCAGCUGAGAAUCAUCGAUGCAUCCUGCAAUGAGCUCACUGGUGUUCUACCUACAGAACUCUUCAAAAGCUUAGAAGCUAUGAGAAGCUUAAAGGAUCACCCUGGGCAAUAUAGGUCAGAAACUGGCUAUGAGCUUGAUUAUUACAUCCAUUCCUUGACUUUAGUAAUCAAAGGGACGGAGUAUAGUCUUGAAAGAGUCCUGAUAGAUCGAACAGCCAUUGAUUUCUCAAGCAACAGAUUUGAAGGACAAAUUCCAGAAAUUAUCGGAACCCUUCAUUCUCUUCUUAUACUCAAUUUCUCUCAUAACAAUCUCAGUGGUCAUACUCCCCGGGCAUUAGGGAAUUUGAAUAAGCUUGAAUGUCUAGACCUCUCUUGGAACCAGCUUGAGGGAACUAUUCCUGUGGAGCUUCUGAAUCUGACAUUCCUUGAAUUCUUACACCUUUCAGAAAAUCAUCUGAUUGGACCCAUUCCUCGAGGAAGACAUUUUGAUACAUUUGGGAAUGAUUCAUGCAGAGGGAACUCGGCCUUGUGUGGAUCACCAUUGACUAAAGAUUGUGGAAAUACAGGGGCACCACCACCAGCCUCGCCAUUCGGAUCUGAGCAACAAUAUGAUCCAGAGUUCUUUGAUGGAUUCACCUGGAGAGCUGUUGUUCUGGGAUAUGGUUGCGGAUUAGUGCUCGGACUAACCAUGGGAAGUCUCGUGUUCUUAACUGAAAAACGAAGAUGGUUCAUAUAGAUUGUUGAAGAGUCGUACAAUCUGUGAAAAAGAUCGAGGAAAUAUGUCCACAUACGAACUUGAGAACAGCAAUGCAAUUUACAAAAUUGGUGGGCAAAACAUACUCUCUUCUGCAGCUGUUGUCUAAUAAUUUUACUUCCUCUGCAUAAUUUCCAUUUUCAUAAUCAAAUAUCCUUGGAAAUGAUAACUUUUUUCUAUGGCUAAUCACCAGAAAAUUUGACUUUUUAUGUCCAGGCCUCCCAUUGGAGUCGUAACUAGGAAGGAUCAGCAGUAAAACUGGCUUUGUUUCAGUUCCAGUUGUAUGUAUCUGCUAUGCACGUUUUAAGGUUCUAAUAGUUGCUUCUUUUUAUGAUUGUCAAGUUCCAGGUGCAAAGAGAUUCUGAUUCCUUGCAACUUUAUCUUUUGCUUCAUGGUUAAAAAUGAAAUCAAGAACAUGUUCAGAAAAUAUGAAAAAAGGGUAUAUCCCAGUUUGGUUUGCACAUUGAAAGUUGUUCGAUGAAAAUUAUGACAAUAAUUCUCUUCAUUAUUCCCCACCUGCCAAAGAAGUUAUCUUUGAGACUACAAACUAGGCUAGUGUGCUUUAAAAUGCUUUACAUUGACUAAUCAACAACGAAGAUGUUCUUCAACUUGCACCUUUGUGGGACUUGAUUUGGAACAGCUUUGCACCAUUCGAACUUCAAUCGUUUACUGCCACAGCUGGUAUGUGUGAACAGAGAGAGACUAAUCCAAGCCACUUUUCUUGACUUUGUGGAAAAGAACAAGUCAUCCUCAGUCUUUUGCAAUAAAUUAUAGAUAAGUGAAGCCUAGUCUUCAUCCAAAAUUGUCAAAAGUGAAAUUCAUGGAUGCAACUUGAACAUAACUUAUUCUUCACUGGACCUGAAAAUUAGAGCACCAGCGACCAGCUUAAUCUUAAUUGGCUUUGGAGCUUCCACGCCAAAUGGUACGACAAUUUUGAGAAAAGGGAAGGGAGAGUUAUAGAUUUCAAGAGAAUGAUCUUUUUUCACACUACCAAAUUAGGGUCUACUAACAAAAUUUAUAGUGAAGUUCUUCAAAUCAAAUGAUCAAUCCACGAGACAAAAUCUAAUAGCAUGAACUAACUCGAAAAUAAGGUUGAGAUCUCUAUUUUAAAUACAAAAGACAAUUCACAUAUCCGAGAUAAUGAGUCAAGGAUAACCAUAUAAUAAAGCACAUACAACCACAAACUUCAAACAGCAACAAGUAACCAUGAAAUGCUUCAUGAUCCAAUUAACACAAGAAAAGCAAGAUAGUUAAGUAAUCUUAACAGAAUGCUUAUUGACUUUCUACAUCUCUUUAAUCAUUUCUUUUUCCAAUUUUUUUUUUUGUUUUACAACAAAACAAAAGUGAAUUCCAGAUAUGACCCCAUUACAGGUUCAAAAGUACAGAUAAUACUCAUGAACGAAAAGGAAUGAGAUGGGUAGGCCACUUUGGCCCCAUAGCUGUGACAAUUAGUGGACUCGUUGAUCCAAAGGCAUUUAUGGUGGAAAUGAAUUUAGAACGUAAAUGUAGUUUCUUGGCAUUACAAGUCUUUACAAGCCUAAUGAAGAUAGCAAAUAAUUCAUAUGGAUGCUACGACUUUUCAGAGGAGCUAAGGCCCAUUCUAAUUAGCCAUUACUCAUGAAAGGGAUAGUUAGAUAGGAAUUUAGUAACAUAGUGAUAGAAGCCAUCCAAAGAGAACCGGUCCAUUUGUGCACAAAGCAAAGUGAGUUUAGGAUAUAUAUGCUACACCAACAAUCUGCACAUACAAAAUUUGAUCAAGCAAAAUGAGGAAUCUAAUAGUUUAUACACUAGUGCUCCUUUCUUUGCAAUCUCGAGAAAUUACCAGUUUGUCUUCCUUUUUACCUCAUUUGUGUCACCAUGAUGAGAGUCUUGCUCUACUUCAGCUUAAGCAAAUGUUUCAAAAAUCAACAGAUGCUUCUGCCUACUGUGAAAAUGCAUAUCCAAAGAUGAUAUCAUGGAGCAAAACUUCUGAUUGCUGCACCUGGGAUGGGGUAACAUGCCAUAGAGUUACAGGUCAUGUAAUUGGCAUAGACCUUAGUUGCUGCCAACUUCAAGGAUCCAUCUAUGCUAAUAGUAGCCUGUUCAAUCUUUCUCGCCUCCAAAAGCUUAAUCUAGCUUACAAUGACUUCAAGAAUUCACCAAUUUCUCAUGGCAUUGGUGGCUUGACUAGUUUAACAAACCUCAAUCUCUCCAAUUCCAAUUUCUACGCUCAAAUUCCAUCCCAAAUAUCUUUACUGUCAAAUUUAGUUUCACUCGAUCUCUCCCAAAAUCCUAUUGAGUUUGAACAUCAGGAUUUCCAACUGCUUCUUCAAAACUUAACUCAGGUUAGAAUACUUUCUCUUUCUGACGUUAGUAUCUUCUCCGAGUUCCCUAAGAACUUUUCUUCAUCUUUGACAAUUGUGGAUCUUGGUCAAACUCAAGUUUAUGGUAAGCUACCAGACCAUAUUUUCUAUCUAGCAAAAUUGCAACAACUCAUACUAAAUGGAACUCAAGUCACUGGAAGUUUACCGAACUUGAACUGCACUGCUUCAUACAUGUUGUCGUACUUAGAUCUUGCUUACACAAAUUUUUCUGGGGAACUUCCCAACACAUUUGGCUGCUUGAAGUCCUUGAACGCCAUGUUGCUCGAUGGAUGUCAGUUCACUGGUCGCCUUCCUGAGUCAAUUGGAAACCUUUCUCAGCUCACUACGAUGUCUCUGACUCAAAACAGUUUCAGUGGGCCUCUUCCAUCGGUGAUCUCAAACCUUGUCCAACUGGAAGUUUUAGACCUUACAGGCAACCAAGUGCAAGGCCAAAUACCAGAUUGUUUCACAAAUCUCCAAAAAUUAACUCAAUUGUCAUUGCGAGACAACCAUUUGGUUGGGCCUUUCCCAUCCACCAUUGCGAACCUUACCAAUCUCCAGACGCUAGAUCUACAAUCCAAUUCGAUAACAGGUCCUCUUCCAUCAAACGUGAGUGGCCUUCAGGAAUUGUCUUUUCUAUAUCUUUAAAACAACUUGCUCCAUGGCACAGCACCGACAUGGUUAUUUAGCCUGCAGUUACUCACAACUUUGCUUCUCAAAAACAAUCUCCUAACAGGACAAAUCGAAGAGCUCAAUGGAAUGUCACUGAUGAAAAUUGAUUUGAGUAAUAACCAAUUAUAUGGUCAAAUUCCUAAAUCAAUUUCAACACUCCCAUUUUUAGAUUUCCUUGACCUCUCAUCAAAUAAUUUGAGUGGCGUGCUUGAACUAUCCAGUGAUGGUCUUGAGUACCUUGUUCUCUCUAAUAAUCGAAUAUCAUGGAGCACCAGCGGAAAUGUCAGCAACUCUUUACCAAACCUUUAUCGUUUAGAGCUAUCUUCUUGUGAGAUGAAGGCUUUCCCAGAAUUUCUCAGAAGCUCAAAGAAGUUAGAAGUUCUACAGCUCUCUGACAAUAAGAUUCAAGGUCAGAUUCCCAGCUGGGUGACAUCCAUGCCUUGGGAUUCACUUCUGUAUCUAAAUCUAUCUUAUGACCACCUUUCUGGGAUGGAUGCAUUACCUUGGAAGAAUCUAAGGGUUCUAGAUGUUCGAUUCAACCAAAUCCAAGGACAAUGGCCUUUUUUCAUUUGCAAUUUGAAAGCUCUAGCAAUUCUUGAUUUGUCAAGGAACAAAUUUACUGGUGCAAACCUCGGUGUUUUGGGAACUUUUCUAGUUUUGUGGUCCUGAAUUUGGAAGGAAAUGGCCUGCAAAGGACCAUUAAUUCAAUGGUAUUUGCAAAAGAUAUCAGAUUGAGAUAUCUUGGUCUGAAUAGAAAUUUCUUGGAAGGGCCGCUGCCAGAAACUUUGGCCAACUGCAAGUCCUUGAUGUGGGGAACAACCGUCUGAAAGAUAUAUUUCCUGCAUGGUUACAAAAUCUUACGGAGCUCCAAGUUCUUGUGUUGAGUUCUAACAGAUUCUUUGGACCCAUAAGCAUUUUCAAGGCUAAGAGUCCAUUCCAAAAGUUGCAAAUCUUCGCCCUCUCUUGCAAUGAGUUCAGUGGUGUUCUAUCUACAGAACUUUGGAAAGCUUCAGGGCUAUGAUGAGCUUACAAAGCAACAAAUCAGAAUCUAAAUACUUGCAUGCAACCGGUAAUACAACAAAUUAUCUAUACUCUGUCAGCAUGACAUCCAAAGGCCAUGAGAUUGAGUUCACCAAAAUCAUUAGAACUCUCACAACCAUUGAUCUGUCAAGCAACAUGUUUCAUGGGAGGAUCCCAGACGUCAUUGGAAAUCUCUACUCCCUCAAGUUGUUGAACUUAUCCAACAAUAACUUUUCUGGCCACAUUCCACCAGCUAUUGGGAACCUGAAAUUUCUUGAAACAUUAGACCUUUCAAGAAACCAAAUUGGAGGAGAGAUUCCAAUGCAGCUAACGAAUCUUACAUCUCUUGAAGUCCUAAACUUAUCAUGCAAUCAUCUUAUUGGGCAAUUCCUCAAGGCAAUCAAUUGCGCACACUUGGUGAAGAUUCAUACAGCGGAAACUCAGGAUUAUGUGGAUUCCCAAUAACAAAAAGCUGUGAAGAAAUGCAUGUGCCACAAGCGCCCCCAGAUGAGGCAUUGGAACAAGGCGAGGAUUCGAGUUUCAUGGGUGGAUUUACAAGGAAAUCAGUGCUCAUAGGAUAUGGUUGUGGACUUGUUCUUGGCAUAGCUUCUGGUUUUCUAAUGUUUGCUACUGGAAAACCAAGAAGAUUGGUAAGAUUCAUUGAAGAAGAAGCAUAUAGUAAUAGUGUACUCUUGUUUGGAAAGAGAAAAACUGUAUAAUCAGCUGAAAAAACCAAUAACAUGUCACGAGCGCAUGGAAGAAGAAACUAAAUAUCCAGAUAAAUGAGGUAACUAGAACAUACAUUCUGUGAUUUUAUAUUGUUUCCUUGUACAACUUUGUUAUCUAUAUCAUCAAAUGUUUACAUUCUUAAGAUAAACUGUACUUCUUACAGUUGCCCAAUUUAUAUUCAAGCACUUACUAUCUUUGUGCUUAAUAAGCUAUUAUUCAUACAGCGGGUCUGGUUUUAUAUUUGUAUAGCUGAUAUCAAAUUUUUGGAGCAUGUCUCGUUGCCCCAUUAUUCAAAAAUAACAGCUUUAAGAUCUCCAGUCUAUGAACCAAGAUAUCACUCAAGGCCAUAACCAAAAGGAUGACCUCACAGGAUCCAAAGCCAUUUCUGAUAAUUAGUGAGACUGAUAGUUUCUUGGGUUUUCACUGAAUUUCUGAUUCAAUGAAUUAGAAUAGACAGCUUUAAGGAUAUGAUACCUUUCUUUUUAUUAUUCUCAUUUAUUGAUUUGAUCAAUUCAUCUAAGCAAUCACCAUUGUUGUAGUUUAAUGUGCUUACCUUUCAUUUUUGUAGGUGGAGAAAUUUGGGAAAGAGAACUUUUCAUUCCACGUUAGAUGUCUUAAGUAUUUGUGUUAGACCUAUUAACCUUUCACGGUUCUUCAAGUGCUGUCAAUUACUAAACUCAUAGAAAUCAAAAUCCGCUUCAAAAUUUCUCAUAUUAUGUCCUUUGUUCUUUUCAUGUGUGAAUCUUAGUGUGGUUUUGUAACACUUUGUAGAAGCUCAACAAUUGAUUACUAGAUUCAGGUUUCUAAAAGAUAGUCUCCAUUAAUUAUAUGAUUUAGGAAACCCAAAUUAAUGGUGAAAAUAAUAAUUACAUUUUUCAGAAGCUCCUAAAGGUAGGAACUAAUAUUGAAAUUCACCUUUAUGAGACGGUACAGACUCUAUACAUUGGCACAUCCCAAAAUUAUUCUGAAAAUGAUCCAGCUUUGUGUCAAAGUUCAUUAAGGGUACACAAGAAUGUCCAACCACAAGCUAAAAAUUAGUUUUACUAGAACUAAUUUUUAUUAAACUUCAAAACAUAAGCUAAAUUAUUUAACAACAAAAUAGCAAUGAAUUGAGAACAUAGGAUUUGUAAUUCAACAAAAAAGAGGAAAUUAAGGAUUAUGUGGAUUUGCACAAGUACAUGUAACUUGAUGUUACUGUUGGAUCUUUUAAUUGGAAAUAAAGGAUGGCUUACCUAAUUAAAUUUACCACUACCAGGUCAACCUUCUUGCAGUUUCAGCAUUGUUUUUUCAAUAACUCAGCUUCCCCAUGGAUUUUGCUGCAUUCAAAUAAUUUUGUCCUCAGCGUCAGAGAGAAGUCAUAGACAAGUAAUUUGAUUGAUAAGAAACCAACAUGUCAGGCCAUUCAAUUAACUUCUUAAUCAUGUAACUCACCGUUGUGCACAGAAAUAUGAGACUCUAAAAGACAAACCUUGAAAUAGCAUUUCUCCAUUCACGUUUAGUUUGAUUUUAUGAUCUAAAGUAACUGCUGGUGUACUUGCAACACAAAAUGAGAAGACUAACGUGCUUUGUGCAUCAGUUGAAUGAAGCUAAAGGAAAGCACCAACAAAGUGCCCUGCGUCUGGUGAACAAAAGCCACAUAUGGCAACACGAUGAACAUCUCCAGCUCCACGACAAACCUAGUUGCAAAGUUACCCAUUAAAGAACAUAAAAACGAAAGUUGAAAACUUUCUGAUCGAACAUCUUUAAAACCAACAGAACAAUCUUCCAGAAGGAGCAAGUCAUUCUGAUUCUUGUGCAAUCUUUUAUCAAUCCCACAAGGGUGGAACAAAACCUAGAAGUGGAUUCAAUUAAUAACUCUAUGGUGACAAAUUGUCAUCAAAAGAUUUAAGCUCUGAAGGAAACAACUAUAACCAAAAUUUUAAUUGUGGUAUAUACAUCUAAAUGAAAGCAAUUUCAAAGUUUGAGGAGCCAAAAACAUCAGCAAGAAUGAUGAUUGCUACCCAUAAAAGGAAAAAGAAAAAAAAGGAUAAGAUCAGCAGCUCUACUCAGCCACCACUCAAACUGAUUGCAACAUAGCUAGAACAUGUUGACACUCUGCCUAAUCUAAUUAACGAGAAACUGGCAUGUCAUACAAAUGCACUUCUGGACACGCAAUUGCGAGAAACUGGCAUGUCAUACAAAUGCAAUUGAUAUAAAUUUCUGCUGACAUGGGAACAAAAUGUUGAUCUCAGCAUCCUGGCAGUAUACUUCAUGGAUGGAAUAGUUGGAAAAUUGUAUUCAGCAAGUCAUGGAGCCUGAUGUUUCCAAGUCACUCUCUUCACUCCCAGCAAAUUUAAUAGAUCUGCCAAAAAGAGCCAUCUUCUCUGACAAAUUACGAAGAGCAUCCUGCCUAUUAGCCAAUUCCAUAAGCACCUUAAUCCUCCUAAAUGAAACAUUACUUGGUUUUUGCCCUUUCUCCACCAUCUGCAAGAAAGACCUCUCAGCCUCAUCCAACUUCCCCAUGUCACAAAGCAAAUCAAACAAAACGUCAGAGACCAAUAUAUAAGAGCCAUACCCCAUCUCCACCAUAUCAUUCCAUAGCUCAAGUCCCAUUUCAACCUUCUCGUGCCUUCUCAACAACCUGAUCAAAAACAUACAAGAUUGAGUGUUUGGUAGACACCCUGUUUCCCUCAUUCUCAGGUACAAGUUCCAUGAACUUAUCAAAUCAUUCCACCAAUAAAAGUCCUCAACAAAAUAUUUUAAGUAGUUGCAUUUGGGCUCAACACCUUCUUUACCAUCUCAUUCAUCAAACCAUAGGCAUCCCCAAUCCUCUUUGCAAUACAGAAAUUUCUAAUAGCAGCAUUGUAAGCUGCCACAUCAGGAUAGCAUCCAUACUCUCUCAUCUCUUCCAAAACAUCCCUUGCCUUAUCAGGUUGCCCCACAAGCCCCAAACCACCAAUCAAACUCGUAUAUGUAAUCACAUCUGGACUAAUAUCCCUCUCCCUCAUCUCCUCCACCACCCUAUACGCCUUAUCCAUUUCUCUCGUCUUACAAUACACAUCCACCAAACACUAUCAGGUUCAACCCCCAUUUCCCUCGUCUCCUCAAAAAAGCCCUCGGCCUCAUCAGUUGACUUCCAACCAGCCAACAAUAUAUUAAAAGUCUGCAAAUUCGGCCUAAAUUCAUGCUUCAAGUUAUGAUACACAUUCCUGGCAUCACUCAUCCUCUUCUCUUGACACAAUGUCCUAAACAGUGCAUUGUAACAACUAGUAUCAAACUCCAAAACAAGCCUUCGAAACCGCUUAAACGAAAUCACAGUCUGCUUAACUGAACAAACCUUAGCAAUCCUAGCUAAGACAACUUGAACAGUUCUUGAAGUGAUCGAAGAUUGAUCCUUUUUCUUCGCUUCCACCAAAACCUCCCAAAUAUUAUCAAAUUUUCUGCUCCUACCCAAAACAUACAGCAUUGUAUCCAAAGAAAAUGCAGAAUGCAAAAACCCCUUUUUCCUAGAUGUAAACUUAAAGAAUUCCAAAGCCUGUAAUGGAUUAGAAUGAGAAAAUCUGACCCUUUUCAGAACAUUAUCAAUUAAGUCAUUUGAGAAAGGGAUUGAAGCUGCUGCUGAUCUCAGUGACUGUCUGAGUUCAACUGAGGUUCUUGAACUUGUUAGUAUCCGAAAAACAGUCUCAACAUCGUCGUUUACAGCAGGGGAGGAAGAAGUAAAAGGCGGGAUUUUUUCAAUUUGGGGAAUGGAACUAAAGAAAAGAAGUGAAUUUAAACAGGCAUACCUUACUGUUGCCGUUGAUGAUGUACAAGAGUGAAGAAAAAUGGGAUUUCUGAUAAAAAGAUGGAGCAAUUUUUUUGGGAUGAAAUCUGAAUGAAGACAAGAACCAAAUAUUCAGACUCUAUGCUACUGCUGCUCCUGCAGGUUUUCCCUCAAGUAUUCGAAUGCAUGAAAUUUUUGGGAUUUUUGUGAUUUUGGGGUCAUUUUUUAUGCUGUGGUUUUGCCGCAAAGCGAUUCUUCCAGCUGAAUUGAAGUGAAAGUUACACUUCAGGGAUGCACCUCUGUAUUCUUUUGUUUUCCUCUUUUUUGCCUUUUUUUUUCCAUCGGCGAAAUAAAAAGAGAAAAAAAAAGUAGGCUAAUACCAUAAAAAUGACCAUAGUUUUAGAACCAUCAGAUCCAAUUACUUUUAAAGGUCAAACUAGGAGGGGAACACCGCGCGAUGCGCGGUGUAAUUUUCAAGUUUGCCCAGAAACGUUCAAUUAUUCAAACUGGGAUAUUCAAUAUAAAAAGUUACAUGAAGGUGCAUCCAAAUGUUUGUGAUUAUUUUUUAUAAUUUUAUUAUGCAAUGAAGAGAGCCACAAUUUCAGUCUAGUUGCUAAAUGACAGUCAUUUUUGGUAUGCUGACUAAUUGGACAGCAAUGGCAAUGUCAUUAGUUUGAAAAUAAUAUAACACUGUGUAAUGCUGCCUUAUAUUUUUUAUGUACACCAAAAUCUGUGACUUUGUAGCUAAAAAAAAAAAAGAGAGAGCAGUGUAGUAUUGCAGCAAGGCUUAGCCUUAUUUUUAGACUCUGAUACAACCAAUCCACUAUUUUCGUAAUUGCAUCAAAUUAACCCAAAGACUGAAAGAAAGACCUAUUACUUUGUAGUACAAUAACCAAAAUGGCUUCAUUAGCUUGUAACUUCAAGAAAUCUACGGAAAGCAAAAGAAUUGUGCUCACAUAUCAACCGUAGUGAGAUAAACUGCAUUUGACCAAAAACGGAGGAGGAUUACCUAAUGCAGGUGUAUCUUCUCAAUACAUCAAUAGUAUAGGGGAUGGUCAAGUACUCAAUACACAAAAAAAAAAGAAAAAAGGAAGUUUCACAGGCCUCGAUGCAAUUCUACCUUUGAUCAUUUGAUGCAUGUCAACAACCAGAAUCCCGUAAAAGGAAAGACAAGUACAUGAGAUAAUGUAAAAGCCUGCAUUUAUGAAACUUACUACCAGUAGACUGCAUUCCAGAGGUUCUCAUUACACAUCAAAGCUGUUCCAGCUCAAAAAGGAAUAUAAGAAAAAGAAGAAAAAAGAAAUGCACAGUGUGCAUCAAGCCUUUUCCUUGUUAUUAGAAUCAUACACUUCAAAAUAACCGAAAGACCGAAAAAUGCAUUACUUUGUAGUACAAUAACUAAAAAGGUUUUUAUUAGCAUAUAACUUCAAGAAAUCUAAUGAAAAGUGUGAAUUUCAGAGGAAGAGAAUAAAUUCCCCAUAUUUUUAUUCAUCAAUGGUAAGGGUAUAUAUACAGGUAUAGACAUCUUAUAAUAUGAAGAUAUCCUAUUACAAUAAAUCAGUCCUCUAAUUCCUAUAAUUUAGGCUACAAACUAGCCUACAUUUGUUAGCUAUCUAAUCCCUACAAAUCAGCCUAUAUCAAUCUGUGACAGCUAUCUAAUCCCUACAAAUCAGCCUGCAUAUAAUCUGUAACACUCCCCCUCAAGCUGGAGCAUAGAUAUUAAUCAUGCCCAGCUUGUUACAUAGAUAAUCAAUCCGGACCCCGUUAAGAGCUUUUGUGAAUAUAUCACCUAAUUGUUCUCCAGUCUUCACAUAACCUGUAGUGAUCAAACCUUGUUGGAUCUUUUCACGAACAAAAUGACAAUCAAUCUCAAUGUGUUUCGUUCGUUCAUGAAAGACUGGAUUGGAAGCAAUGUGAAGUGCAGCUUGAUUAUCACACCAUAGCUUGGCAGGUACUGAGACCUUAAUUCCUACUUCACUAAGGAGCUGAUAUACCCAUAUGACUUCACACACAGACUUGGCCAUAGCUCUAUAUUCAGCUUCCGCACUGGAUCGUGAGACGACAUUCUGUUUCUUACUCUUCCAUGAGACCAAAUUUCCCCCAACAAAAACACAAUAUCCUGAAGUAGAUCUCCUAUCUUCCUUACACCCUGCCCAAUCUGAAUCUGAAAAACAUUCAAUCCUAGUAUGACCAUGAUUGCCAUAUAGGAUUCCACGUCCAGGAGCACAUUUUAAAUAGUGCAAAACUUGUUCGACUGCUUUCCAAUGGUCAACAGUUGGUGAGGACAUAUAUUGGCUUAACACACUCACUGAAUAAGCAAUAUCAGGACGUGUCACAGUAAGAUAAUUCAACUUUCCGAUUAGUCUUCUGUACCUCUCAGGAUCUGCACACAAUUCACCUUCUUUGGUUAAUUGUAAAUUAGGAACCAUUGGGGUACUACAUGGUUUAGCACCCAACUUUCCCGACUCCGACAGUAAAUCAAGUACAUACUUUCUCUGUGAUAGAAAGAUUCCCUUCUUACUCCUGCUAACUUCAACUCCCAAGAAAUACUUUAACAUCCCCAAGUCUUUGGUAUAGAACUGAGUAUGAAGAAAGGACUUUAGAGACGAAAUUCCGCUAGAGUCGCUACCUGUGAUUACAAUAUCAUCCACAUAUACAACUAACAGAAUAAUACCUCCAUUAGAGUGUCUAUAGAAAAUAGAAUGAUCUGACUUGCUUUUCUGCAUCCCAAAUUUCUCAAUAGCUUGGCUAAAUUUUCCAAACCAAGCCCGAGGACUCUGUUUCAAGCCAUAUAGAGAUUUUUGCAGACGACAGACUUUCCCUUUCCCAUACCCCCCUUGAGCAACAAAACCAGGUGGUUGCUCCAUAUAUACCUCCUCCUGAAGAUCACCAUGAAGAAAGGCAUUCUUGAUGUCUAACUGAUGCAGAGGCCAGUCAUAAGCUGCAGCAAGGGAGAUAAACAACCUGACCGAAGCAAGUUUAGCAACAGGAGAAAAAGUAUCAUGAUAAUCCACCCCAUAAAUUUGAGCAUAUCCUUUAGCAACAAGUCGAGCUUUCAAUCGAGAAAUGGAGCCAUCAGAAUUCAUUUUGACAGUAAACACCCAUUUACAUCCAAUGGCUUGUUUACCUGCAGGUAAGGUAACCAAAGUCCAUGUACCAUUGACAUCUAGAGCAUUCAUUUCCUCAAUCAUAGCAGUCCGCCAUCCGGGAUGAGCUAAUGCCUCUCGAACAGUCUUAGGUACAGAAACAGUGUCUAGGGAUGUAAGAAAAGCACAAGAAGAGGAAGACAAAUGAUGGUAGGAAACAACUGAAGAGAUUGGAUAAGUACAUGCACGUUUACCUUUUCUGUGAGCAAUAGGGAGAUCAAGAUCAUCGUUGGCAGCCGGAUCUGAUGACAAAGAGACUGGUUCAUCAGGACAUGAUUCUGGAGACUCAAGGACCAAGUCAGAACUGGGCUGAUGUGCCCGACGUGAGUAGGUAUAUUUGAUGGGAGGCUUAACCGGUGUAGAAGGAGGCGGACCCAAAUUUGGUAUGACACUAUAGAUUAACAAAUCAUCAUCCUCCCCUGGACUCACAGAACUUGAAGAGCCUGAAGAUGAAGAUAAAGGUGUUUGUUCCAAAAAAGUAACAUCAGCAGACACAAGAUACUUACCAAGACUAGGACAAUAACAACGAUACCCUUUUUGCAUGCGAGAAUAACCCAGAAACAUACACUUUAAGGACUUAGGAUCAAGUUUUGUAACUUGAGGACGAACAUCCCGAACAAAACAAGUACAACCGAAUAUCUUUGGUUCUAUAGGAAACAACUGUUUAUUUGGAAAUAGAGUGUGGAAAGGAGUAUUACCAGACAAAACAGAGGAAGGCAUACGAUUGAUUAGAAAACAAGCAGUAGAUAGAGCAUCAGCCCAGAAACAUUUAGGAACCUUCAUUUGAAAUAACAAAGCUCGAGCAGUUUCAAGAAGGUGUCUAUUCUUUCUCUCGGCAACCCCAUUUUGAGAAGGGGUGUCAACACAAGAGGUCUGAUGAAGAAUACCCUGCUCAAGCAUGUAUUUCUGAAAACUGCUUGAAACAUAUUCUUUUGCAUUAUCACUUCGCAAAAUUUGUACAGGUUUACCAAAUUGGGUUCGAAUUUCAGCACAAAAGGAAGAAAAGUGAAGAAAUAGUUCUGAGCGACUUUGCAUCAAAUAAAGCCAUGUCAUUCUAGAAUAAUCAUCCACAAAGGUAACAAAAUAUCUGAAACCAGUUUUAGAGGUAACUGGACAAGGACCCCAAACAUCAGAAUGUACUAACUCGAAGGGAGCAGUAGCUCGCUUAUUGAUUCUAGGACUAGAACUAAGACGAUGAUGUUUAGCAAACUGACAAGACUCACAAUCUAAGGAAGUAAUGUUUGAAAACUGAGGACAAAGUUUCUUCAACAUAGAAAGCGAAGGAUGACCCAAUCGACAAUGUGCUUCAAAAGGAGAGAUUGUUCCAGCACAAGCUAUAGACCCUGGUUUCGGUGUAUCAAGAAUGUAGAGACCGUCAGACUCAUGUCCCUCACCAAUAAUCUUCUUCGUCAUGAGAUCCUGAAAUGAACAAUAACCAGGAAAAAAUGAGACACAACAAUUAAGAGCACGAGUAAGUUUGCUGACAGAAAUCAGAUUAAAAGAUAGUUGUGGUAGACUCAGAACAGAUGAUAAAUGGAGAGAUGAUGUGGGCUGAGUGGUUCCAGACCCAAUAACACUGGAUGUUGAACCAUCGGCUAAAGUAACAGGAGUGAUAGAUUUAUGUGGCUGAAAGUUAGAAAGUAAACUAGGAUUACCUGUCAUGUGAUCAGUAGCACCAGAAUCAAUGACCCAUUUUGGAGAAGAGGAAACAAGACAUGCAUUGGGUUUACCUGUCUCGACAGGAGCAGUAACAUGACCAGAUGGCUGUUUCACUGUUUCUUGAAACUGAGUCAAUCUAGCAUACUUAUCCGCAGAUAUUGUAACAUGCUUGUCAGAGGUGGCACAACUAGAUGCAAUAUGGGCAGAGUGAGCCUUCUUAUACUGCAGCUUCCGACAGUCUCGCUUGAUAUGACCUGGUUUAUGACAGUAGUGACAUACAAUCUCUCCUUGCUCCUGUCCAUGAUUGCUAGUAUUCUUAUCAGAGUGGUUGGGCCCCGACCCCAUGCUCGUACUGUUGCCAUUACUCUUGUAGUGUUGUCUUCCUGAAUCAGCUGUGGUAGUUCGGCUAAGAAGAACACUGUUAGGCUGAGUAGAUAGAACAGGUAACGUAUUCUCUGUACGGAGAACCCUUCGAAAAGCAUCUUCUAGACUGGAAAUUUCUGAACCGGAAAGAAUUUGAGAUUUAGCAGUCUCAAAUUCAGACGGAAGACCGGCUAGAAAACUCAUAACCGCCAUCUUCGCUCGCUGAUUUCGUUGUUCCUCCACAUCACAACUGAAGGGAAGCAGCAUAUUGAGCUCUUCAUAUGUUUUCUUGAAGUCCAUAAAAUAACUGGUGAGAGACUUGUCUCCUUUAUCUGCCCUGUAAAAAUCCUUGCAAACAUCAUAGAUACGAGAGAAAUUUCCUUUUCCAGAAUAUAAGAACUGUAAAUAGUUCAUUAAUUGUUUUACUGUCUUACAAUGAGUCACCAGACCAACCACCUCACUAUCAAUAGAAUUACGGAUCUGUAUAUACAAGCGAGCAUCCUCUCUCAUCCAAGACAAUUUAGAGUCAUCCGUAGGUGGAUCAUCAGUCAGAUGGCCAUCCAUAGAAAUACUGAGCAGAUAUAAUUCAAUAGUAUUGUUCCAAUCAAGAAAAUUAAUUCCAGUUAACUUAUGUUCCGUGAUUUUUGAAACCAGCGGAACUAUAUCAGAAACAACUCCAGGCUUUUUGUCAGACAUAAUUGCUAAGAAAAUUCAACAAGAUAACAGAUUACCCACAAGAAAAACCUGUUGUAGCCAAGUCCCACACCUAGAUCGAUGUUGACCCACAAACAGGUAUGCAAAUAGCGUCGAGAGACAGAGGAGAGGUGCUGGGUUCUGACCAAUCGGUACUACGUACCUCCCUGAGUUGGCGGUGUCUAUAAAGGAACCUCUAAAGCCUGUACCUUGAAUAUGGCAGCAGCUUCCCUCACACCCAACAACCCAGAAAAAAAAAAUUUAUGAACAAACCUUGCUCUGAUACCAUGUGAAUUUCAGAGGAAGAGAAUAAAUUCCCCAUAUUUUUAUUCAUCAAUGGUAAGGGUAUAUAUACAGGUAUAGACAUCUUAUAAUAUGAAGAUAUCCUAUUACAAUAAAUCAGUCCUCUAAUUCCUAUAAUUUAGGCUACAAACUAGCCUACAUUUGUUAGCUAUCUAAUCCCUACAAAUCAGCCUAUAUCAAUCUGUGACAGCUAUCUAAUCCCUACAAAUCAGCCUGCAUAUAAUCUGUAACAAAAAGAAACUGUGUUUACGUAUCAACCUUAGUGGGAUAAAUUGCAUUUGAUCAAAAAAGGAGGAGGAUUAUUAAUAUAGGCCAUACUUCUAUCCUCUCAAUACAUCAGUAGCAAAAGGGAUGGUCAAACUCUUGGCACAAAAUAACUCAUCCAGUUACACAAGAUUUUAAACCAAAUAAAAAUAUUAUGAUAACACCAUCCGCGUGAGAUAUAAUGCAUCAAGAGCUGACAUACAUAUAUAGCAGGUAAUGCAAAGAUCAGAUAGCUACAGUUAGUGCAAAAUCUAGUAUCCAGGGUCAUACGCUUCAAGGCUUUGAUCUUGAUAAAGCUUCAAGGGUGGCCGAUUCUGCUUCCCACAUAAAUAAACACGUAGUUUUGUUAAUCAAAUGGCAGAGGCAUUCUUGAGUGGUACUGCAAAAAUCCACUUCGUAUAGUUAAAUAUUAGUAACAAUUACCAUAUUCUCCAAAAAUAUAUCAUAGAUUUUUUUCUUUUAUCAUUGUCACUUCCAUUUUAAUCUAACUUUUUUCACUUACAGGAACAUCAUAAUUAGCGCCUAUCUAUGCAAUUACCUAUAUGGCAGACAAGUUUUUUCCAUAUAAUUAUCCCUGAAGGCAAAAGUAUGGGGCAAAGGAUUUUGUACAAUUCAUAGGUUAGGGCAUACUGCACCAGUGUGGCCAAAGAAUAAACGAACAAUCUUCAAUUACAAUAUAAAACAUGCAAUAACUACAAAUGAACAAUUUUCCAUUACAUUAUUAUAUACACAAUAUACACACUGUUGUAAAAAAAAAUUCCAUUCAUAGAGAUGGUUACAUUAAACCGAAAGGUGAAAGAAAAAAGGUUAGAAUCAGCACCUUAAAAGUAGUAGAAGGCCAUUAUUUGCUUUAUUAUAUGCCGAUAAUUUUAAUACCUAAUUCCAUCAUGAAGAGCCAGGUAGCCAUCUAAUUUAACGCCAAAUAAGGACACAAAGAAAUGGUUCGCAAGCUAAAUAGCAGAAAAGAUAAUUAACAGAAACUUAAUCAUUUUCUCAUAAUUAACAGAAACAUAAUCAACAAAGACAUCUACUAAUUAUUAGUAUACAAGCACAUCAAUUUGACUAAGAUAUUUUUUUAAAUAAAGUGUAAACAGCUUACUUGUCUAAAGCUGAACUAUGCUAAAAGGCCAAAGCUUGGGCUUAGACUGACUGGUACUAAACGAAGCAUUACCCCUAUAAAAUUCAACCCAAAAGUUAACAAAAAUAAACAGGAGCAAAAAUAAAUUGUUCAUAUGCAAAAUGGAAACAAGUAGCAAAAAAGAAGGCUGUAAAAUGUUACACAAAGAUAAUCACCAAGUUUUUAGCCAAAGACAUUGUGCUAAGAUUUAAACAACCCAUGAAUCCAAAACUAUAUGGUCAAAGAAGGAAAAGAGAUCUAGGGAUUUUUUCUUCUAAAUAAUAGGUUUUUUGGUAAACAUACACCUUUCAUAACAGCAUUUGUGGCCAAAGUGUUAUCUACCAACCAAUCUAACAAAUUUUGCCACUUUAACCUCCUUUCCCACAAUUAGUUGAAAAUUAUUCAAAACUAUAAUUAAAAACUUCAAACUAAAGUCAUCAAAAGAUGAAAUAAGUUCAAUUCCAUUGGAAAUUGACAAUGGCGGAGACAUGAAAAAGAAACAAAGAAAAUUGACAAUUUAAGUUAUUUCGAAAAUCCCAAGCAACAACUAAACAAGAGCUGGGAAAUUUGAGCAUAUAACAUCUCGAGUGAUAACCAAUGCAAUCUUGAUUUUGAGCUCCAAGACUCCAAAUGAUCAAGUAGUAUAGUACAGCAUAAACUGAAAAGCAUGAAACUUUUGCACUAAAAACCAAAGCCAACAGAUGAGAUAACUUAUUUAUGGCUUGGUUCCUAAGCUUAAAUGACACCACAAAUACAGCAAUAAUAAAAAAUCAACUUUAAUGUGCUCAAACUUCAAAGCUUGCGACGUCUGUGCAAUCACUCAGUUGAAAUUUUAGCUCAAAACACUAUACAACGGAAAAGGAAUAAGCAAAAGCACAAAAACACAUAAAAUCCGACAUUUUAAAAGCAAAAAAAAAAGAAUCCAUGGAAUUAAUGUUUGGAACCUUUUUUACGGCAUGCAGUGCAGCUCCAUGACCACUGACGCCAGCGCCAAUAAUGAUGAGAUCGUAAUCAAAGGAUUUGGGAGCGCUUCCAUUAUCAUCCGAAGAUGCAGAAACCUUCGUCGGACUCGCCUGCGCUUUUCUCGGAAAAAUUAGCCUCUUUGCUCGAAUAAACUGGCCGCGCUUCAGCUGCGAGGGAACUGAAAACCCAGAGAUUUCUAAUAUUUCACCUGCAAGAUCUAAGCAGAAGAAAAUAAAAAACAUACUACGGGUAGGAAAGCAGAUUUCUAAUAUUUCACCUACAAACUCAAAAGCAUACUCAACAAGAAAAUAAAAAACAGCAGAUCUCUGGGUUUAUAAAUACUUCUGACUUUCACUGCUUUUGGAUGAAGAUUUUACUACAGCUUUCUUUGUUUGCUCAAAGAAGGAGAUGAAAAAAUAGUAUUUCAGACCUCUAGGUUAUUAAUCGAAAGAUUAACAAAUCUUAGCAAGAAAAAUGUCUUUCUUUCUUGAAUAAAGGAAACUGUAAAACUUUGGGGAAAUAUUGGAGCUUACCAAUUAAGAUGAUUUCUGUGUCUCAUGCGUUCAGUAGCUUCAUAUCCAGACCAAUUCUAACAAGGGAAAAAAAUCAGUUAGAAUCAUAUAAUUGAAAAAAAAGGAAAGAGAAGAAAGGAAAAAGGGGGGAGGGGGGAAACGGGAAGGAAAAACAGAGAAAAAAGGACCAAAUAAAAACAACAAAAAGGAACAAAGAAAAGAAAAGAAAAGAAAAAUGGAAGGGGAGAGGAGAGGAGCUCUGGAGAGCAACGAAGCGGCGGACAUGAAUGAGGGGAAAGAAAACAAGGGAAGCCCUAAAACAAAAUUUUUGGCACGCGAGUCCCACGUGAUUGACGACCAAAUUCCAGCCAAUAAAACCCAGCCACGUCAGCAAAACAACAACCACCCUUAACAAUCCCAUUCGCGCUUUUACUAUAUAGGUAGAUUAGCAUUAUUCUUGUUCGGCUGGUUCUAGUUUCGAUUUCAGUUUCUAUCAUUUUCAAUUUUAGUAUUUUUCUAGGUAUAGUUUUCAGAUUUUCUAGUACAUUUAAUUACUUAUGAUUAUAAAAUUAAUUUUAAGAAAAUAUAAUAAUGAAUUUAGAGUAACGAGAAACUAAAGAAAAUGAAUGUAAAAAAAAAUAAGGCUUUUAUUGUAUUAUUAGCUUACAAGGAAGAGAAAGAUGAUAAAAAAAAAAUUUAUGUAAAACAUAUCUCAUAUUUAUUGAAUGUUUUAAAUAAAACAAAAGAUACAUAAUUUUCUAUCAAACUUGAAAAAAGAAAAAGAGAAAAACAUCUCAAUUUUCUCACUAACUUGCGCAUUGUUUUUCUUUUGACUCAACAUUUUAGAACUAGCUUAAUGCUGUUGAACUUUCGGUGAACCUCAACCAAAACCUUUAACCAUGGUUCCAACACCGAUUUAAAAUUUCCAAAUUAGUUAUAAUUUUUUUUUAACAAAUUGCUGAUUCAAUUCCGAUUUGAUUCCAAUUUGAACCUGAACUAUGGCCAUGGUUAUUACUAUUACGUAGAGGUGGCAAUUUGUCCCAAAUCCCAAUGAACUACCCAUACCCAAAAAGACUUUGGCGGGAUGGGUAUUGUAAUUUGAUAUUAGGUUUAAAAUGGGAUGCAUCCCAAUUAUACUCAUUAUUUGAUGGAAAAUGUUGGAAAAUACUUGGGUACCUAUUGAGCCCAAAUAUCUUCCCAAAAAAUUUCAUUUUAUCCAAAAAUUCAUCAUUAUUUUUUUUUUUUUGCAAAAAUCUGAUUUUUUUUCACUUCCAUUUUCUUUCAUUUCCUUUCUUCACUUUCCUACAAAAGAAAACCAGUUAAGUAAAAAUGAUUUCAUUUAAACAACUUUAAAAAAAUUAAAGAUAACAAUAAAAAUAAAAUAAAUUGGUAAAAUUUUGGUGUCUACAAGAUCAAUACUUUACUAACAACUGUUGGUACCCUAUAUGUUAAUUUUAUGCUAAUUGUUGAACUAUCUACAUAGAUUUCUAUAUGCAACCCUGUUAUCAAUUUUUAAUCAGCUUCUUCGUUUCUGUGCUAGCUUUAUUCAGCAUUUAAUGUGAAUUUCUUUUGUAUCAAAUUUUGAAAAUUUUAAGAAUGUCAGUAAGAAUGAAUGUGGUGUUAAAAAACUUGUUUCUAGUCCUUGUGUCAGACAACAUUAUGGGUAAGGUUGGAAUAUGGUUGUAUAUCUAUCUUUUCCUUUUUUUGUUAAUCCAAUUUUUGGUUUAAUCCAGGGAGAAGAUAUGUUCAUUCUUACCAAAAUAUUAUGUCUUUUAAAAGUAACUGCUGAUCGUUCUAAAGUGUAAAUGAAUUCAGGAAAAUAUAAAUUCACAAUAAGAUCAAAAGAAAUUUAAUAAAUAAAAAUAUUAAAGUUAUAUAAAAAAUAAAAAAGAAUUAAAGGAAAAAUAUAGAAAAUAGAUUUGGGUAUUGGACGGGAUCAAUCUAAACCUAUCCCAAAGUGAUCCCGCCCAAGUUAGUCCCAAAAUAUAUAUGGGUAAGAUUAGACCCAAACCCAUAUGAUUCGGUUCUAUUUCGAAUUCAAGCAAAUCACGUCCAUCCCGCCCAUUUUGCCACCUCUACUAUUACGAACCAAAUAGUGAAAAACUUGGGUUUUUUUUUUAUGGAAAUGAAACAACUUUGGUGCGAAGGAAGCUCAAGGGCUCAUGCAUCAAAAACAGAAACUGUUUCGUUGAAGCCCUUUUGGAUAGUGGAUAUUGCCGGCUCAGGCCAUUGAAUUUGAAUUGAAGAAGGAUUGCAUCGUGAUAUAAAUAAUUAGAUUGUAAACGAAUUGAAUCGAAUACAAAAUCUAUUCCCAGAUUGAAUUCUGGAUAUUAAGUCACACAACAAGUAGGAAAAAAUAAUAAAGUUAAAAUUGCCAUGUAUUGCCAAUUUUUCAUGUAAAUCCGAACUUUUUUUCAGUUUUCAUAUAAUGUUUUUAAAAAUUGAAGCCAAAAUCACUAUAUGUACUCGAAUUGUUAAUUAGGCAUUUUAUGACUAAUUUGAUUUAGCAAGUGCUCUAAGUUUUACUCAUCGUUAGCUUAAUUUCUUAAGAUUAUACUCGAAUGCCCAAAUGCACGUAAUUAGAAUGGUAUCUUAUGUACAUAUUAUUAAAAUGAUGUCUUAUGAAAUUAUUGCAGGUAUCAUGCAACAAAAUUUUAUCAAGUCCUAAAAAUGAUGUGAGUUCUUGGAAAAUAUUUUAAAAAGAAAAAAUGCAUGCAUUAUUAUUUUGGUAGUCCACUUAUAUUAAUUGCAUGAGCAAUUGAAGGCAGUCCAAAAUUUUUUCAACAAUCUUUACAAGUGCAAAGUGUUCAUUGUUCACAAUAACAAACAAGGGUGAAACUAUAAAAACUAUUCUUCCUUGGAAAAAUGUGAAAUGUGGGCAAAGAUAUUAUGAAAAUAACACAAAAGACUCGAUGAUCAUAAAAUCAAAUGUUCAAAACAACAUAGAAUAGUUCAUGAUCUUUGUAUACUUUAUACAUAAAUGCAUAAUUAAUGAGUUUUCUAUUAAAUUCCAUAAACUGCAUGGAGGAUAUUAUCAGUUUCAUAUGAGAUUAACUUGGGGUCAACUGGUCAUGGGUAGACCAUGAGAUGCCCUAAAACAUGACAUGGAGAAGAGAAUCUGCAUAUUAAGUGGCUCUUAGAGUCUCUUGCUACUAAUACUCUUGUUUAUGCCUUGGCUAAAAAGCUUGAGCUGCAGGUUAAAUGGCCUUAAUUUUAAGUACUCUUGUAACUUAGCUUAAUUUUGAAUUUGGCCCUGAACAAAUAAUUCAACUCUUGAUUCGAGUUCGAACAAGAAAUAUGAUUUGAUUAAAGUAUCAAAUAAAAUUCGAGUUGAAUAUUCGACUCGUACAUAUUCAAUUGAUUAAAGUUCAAUGCAACUCAACUAAUUUUUUAUAUUUUUAAGUUUCUUAAUAUUUUUUAUAAAAUUAUGCAUUUCCUAUUUUAUUAUUAAAAAAUUAAAUAAAAUUCCAAGCUCCGAAUUGAGCUCGAGCCUAGUGAGUACUAAAUUGAAUCAAACUCAACCUUAAAUUUUAAACUCGUUUAGGAUUCGAAUUGAGCUUUCGUUUGAGUCCAAAAAUUCAAAUCAAGUCGAAAAAUUAGAAUUGGAAUCUGAGUCUAACAGCUAAGAAGUUCGAGUAAAUUCGUUUGCUGCCCUAGCUUUAUGGAUUUGAAAUCCACGAAAUACAAGUUGAAAAGCCAAACAAUUAAUCAAGAAACCAGAGCAUCAAAAACUAUUCAAAAGUUUCCUUUCCUUUCUUCCUCAAUCUCCAUCCCUUGACCAAGACAAAAAAGGUUUUCACUAGUAACGACAUACAAGAAAGGUCUAUCAAUCCUUUAAAGGGCUAAGGGAAAGAGGAAAUGAAACCCCAACUCAAGGGAAGAACAACAGGGACAAUAAUUACAAAAACCUUUACAACUAUACAAAAUUCCUGUAGAAUUGAGGGAUUAUUUCCUCACCUCAAAAUUAGGGAAUGCUUUCUCUAUAACAUGAGUUGGCACUAUGUACUGUUAUGAUUUUUCUUUGUGUAUGUCAAAUAUGGAUCCUGAGCAAUGGUCAAAACAUCUGGCCUCUCUGCCUGAUUAUAUGUAAGACAACGACGAAUAAAAUCCUGCAAAACAUAAAAGGAGUUGCUACUUCAGCAUACAGGACAAAGGUGAUGAAAGAAAAGUUUAGCGCAGUCUAUAUACCAGUAUUCUUCAGCUUUUUGUCAGCAAAUGUCCUUUAACCACAUGUUAACAUCAUUCAUCGCAGAAAAUCCAAAAACUAAAAUAAACAUUGUAAUAAAGAAUCCAAGCUAAACAAGGAAACAUCCUAAAGGUAUAAAUUUUGCACCUUUGCCAAGCAAAUAAUUUAGAAAUCCAUCAACAGUAUUGUUAUCAAUUUUCAUGAGAAUCAGCAAUGGCAGUUUUAUUUAUAAAUCAUCAUCAUAGUUUCUUCAUUUUUGACAUACCUAGCAAGUUUCUCUAUUUCGUUUUGUUCCUUCAUCAAUCAUUUCCAUAUUAUGACUUGCAAUAUGAGUAAAAGGAAGCAUGAACAUUAUGUCUGAGCCAGUCAGCCAGAUGUUAAUCUGUCUCAGAAACUGCUAUAAAACAUUGAUACAAAUGAGAUUUUCAAAUUUGCAGCACAUCUGGCUUGGAGAAUUGCCAGAGACGAGUGGGGGGUGGGGGUGGGGGAAUAGAUUGACAUGUUUGUAAAUGGACACCCUCGAUUGAAUUUCAUACAGAAUACUUCCGCUAACAGAAAGUAUAGACAUUGACGAGUCAAAACCCAUUUACUGAAAUAAAUUUUGAAGCACUUCAAUACCACACAAAAAUUGACUCCACUAUGUUGGAAACAAUAACCAUUAUGAAACAAACAAGAGGAUAUCAAGAAUAAACUCAGUAGCAUCCACAUGAUUGGCAUGCUUAUCCAUUACAGAUAAAUUAAAGAGAUAAUUGUUGAAACUUUUGUCAAAUAAGAUUUACACAAGUGAAAACACAUCAAAUUGUAAAGUAUAAGAAAGAUGAUCGAUUUCACACCCCACUUUUACUGUUAUCAAAUUGUGGUAAUAAACACUAGCAAUUAGUGCUGGUGAUGGUGAUAGUGGUGGUGGUGGUGGUCAUAGUAACAAUGAUAUAGUCUCUCCUACGCAGACUCUCUUAGAGAAUUUACCCUACAUAAGGAUGUCGAAGAUUAUCACCCCAAGAAACAUUAGCAAAGAAGUUUACACACAAAUGAUUAGUGAACCUGCCUUUGCCUCGUUCGACACAGCUGGCCUUGAAGGAAAAUCCACCUUCCGGGCUUUAAUGAUGGUAUCUUCGCGUAAAACAAACAAAACAGACAGAAUUCAACCAAGAUCAAUCUAGCAAACGUCCGUGAUCUAUCCCCCAUUCUAACAACAACUCCCAAUUUUCCUUACUACGAGGAGCUUUAGCCCAUAAGAGACAAGUCAAGUUGAACAAUUUUAACCACUGUUGAUUUAAUAAAAUUUGGAGUGAAGCCCUCCAACGUGUACAGGGCUUGUCUUUCCAAAAAAACAAAAAACAAAAAACAAAACCGCUGCUGCAACUACUUCCAUUAUCAGUAUUCUGUAUUCGAAAAUCAACAUUUAGUCUUUCCCAAAUUUAGUAUAUUUUAGUGCAUAAUUGAAAAAUUCUCUUGGCGCAAGUGGAAAAUUAUAGAUUUGCAAUCAAUUACAAAUUUUCCUCGAAAAUAGAUGCCCAGUGAUCAACUAUGGCGCUUCAUAGUUCACCUUUUCCAGUCUUAUACUUAGGAGUUGGUCUUAAUAGUGCAUUAAUUUUUUCAUAGUUAAUCAGAAUUUUCUAUGACAAAAAAAAGAAGAAGAUUCAUGAAGAAAAAUAAUCUAUUGGCUGUACUUUUUUUCGAUUUAGACAUCAAUAGUGCAAUGGCAAAAGGACUUUGUAGAUGAAGCUAGUUGAUGUAAUGAAUUUAUGAUGAUUUAAUUAACUAAAAAGGCAAUCAAUUCGGUCUACUAAAUGUCAUACUCAAGAGGUCAUCAUCUUUGUCAAAGGGUCUAUACAUUCCAUACAUUAGUAGUAAAAGUUAGUGGAUUUGUUAGUAUUGAUGACCAUGUUAGCCACUGAUUUCUAUUAAAUCAUGUCUUCAGCUUCUUAUAAGCUUCUCUAUACCCUACCUAAUCUCAUACCAUUUUACUUUCUCUUGGAUUAUGUGGAAUGCCUACUUGACUGCCUGCAAUGCCUAUAUUUUAAUGAUUCCGGUGCAUUUUCAAAAUCUUCAAUUUAUUUUGUAAAGUAUCGAAGUUCAGUUCACUAAUUGGCCAUAAAAACAGAUCAAUAGCAAAGUUGAAAUAUGCCACUUAUCCUGAGACUUUGCAGAAAGUUUGGAAUGUUAAUGUUGUCCCUUGUAAUCCGAAUUAUCCGAUUAUGUGAAACUGAAGUUGUUGAAGGGUGAGAUGAGUUUUUCACUUGUAUACAAGCUGUUUAAUGGGGUUUUCAAUAAAAAACUUUAUCAUUUGCUCCAAAAAAAAAAAAAAAAAAGAAGAAGAAGGGUGAGUUGAGGAAGCUGAAUGCUAAGCAAUAUAGUUCUAUUAGUGAUAGAAUAAACAGGUGUGUAUGGCCAGUUAUGUGAAGUGCAAUCCUUUUCCUUCAUUCACCUUUUGAUAUCUCUUUGCAAUUUCAAGAACAAUCUCAGAGUAGUUGUCUCAACUAGGAGGCGACCAGCUAGGAUUUAUGUUUACUUUACGGGCCAAAGAUACUGGCCUGGCCACGUCUUCUUCUUCUUGGUUUUUUUUUUAAUUCUUCUUAUAGAUCUUUCAGGCGAGUAAGCAACCUUUUGGGGAAAUAAUGUGGUAUAUUUGGACAUUGGGAUAAUUUAACAAAUCUCCUCUGAGUUUAUAACAAAUUCAUCAUAGCUCCCCUCAAAUUAUGACAUGACGCUUGUGUCUAUUAGCUAUUGAUUUCCAAGGCAAAUACUGAAGUUUACCUCUAUGUUUACCAUUGACACUUUCUAUACAAAGCGAUACAAAUUAUAUAUAAGAGAUUUGUGAAAAUGUUAUACUUCCGAGCUAUAACUCAUAAACAAAGGCAUUCGUAAAACCCUUUUGAUUCAAAUAUAUAGAUAUACUCAACUAUACACUUAACAAUUUAAUGUGUGCUAAAGUGAGUAGAAUAGGCUUUUGAAAAAAGUACUCAAAAGUAUGCUACUUCCAUCAUUACCUUCUAGCACGCAUUGUGCAAACUCUUUUCAAAUAGAAAAAAGGGAACGGAAAGGAGAUACAAAAAAGGGUUACAAAUUCUUUAAAAUAUGGCAAGGGUAAGCAUGGAAGUAACAUAUAACAUGAAACAAACAUGUUAAGGAAACCUUAAAUCAAGAGAGGUAACAGUAAGUUUGAAAACUUUGGUGCAGCUAAAUGAAGUCAAAAACCUAAAACAAGGUUGAUGGAAUUAUCCUUUGUAAACUUUAUGUGUCCGUGGCCAAGUGAAAAAAUACUGUUCAAAAUUCUUAUUUCUAUCGGAACCAUUUCGAGGAACUCCAAUUUGGAUGUCAAUACUAAAAGAAAUUUUCCCUAUGGUACAACUGAUUUUGAAAUUUACUAAUUAUUUAUAUUUUUUUUCGGAGACGACAACUGUUAUAUAAUCUAAUCUAUCCUACACUAAAGGGGAGGGGGCGGACCUAAAGAGGCCCAGGGGUAUAUAGGAAGCAAAUGCAUUGUAUAUAGGAAGCUGAAAACCAAACAAGACUUUAUUAUUAGGUUAUCAGUAUUAUUAGUCGUAUCCAAGUGUCAUCAUGUUUUUUUUAUUCAAGUGUCAUAACGUUAUUGAUAGUAUAAUUGGGUUGCAUGAUUAUGGUUGAAAGUGUGGACUAUGCGAUUAAACUCCGUCUUAGGUGAUAGGGUGUUAAUUGUUAGUAAUUUUAUUGUUAAUUUUCCCUUUUAUCCUUGUCAAAUAUUAUUUUAAUUAUUAAUAUUUACUUAUAUUUGGUAUUUGGACUCAAUUUCAGGGAAUGGAGCAGAAAACUACAAAAAAUGAAGGACUUUCUGAAAACAAUGGAGACUUCAAACAAUCGGGCCCACAUGGUGCCACAAACGGAUGGCAUUUCCUUUUUGCUGAUUAGGAGUUGAAGUCUUUGAUGGGCAACAGGAAACGAAAAGUAGAGAAAAAUUCGGCAGAGCCUUCUUUUUGUACUUGGACUCCCAAUUCGUUGGGGACCACAGAGAGCAUUAAGGAGUCAUACUUUUGCUUGGAAUAAAAAGAACGUACAGAGGCUAGGGAUAGUUUUUAGCAAUAGUUUAGUUUUCUUGCUUUUUCCUUUUCAUGCACGCCUACUGUUAUCAAUGGUUGUACCUUGGUUAUCAAUAAAUUAAAGAAAAAUUGGUCGUUAGAGUUCGUCGGCGACUAUAACUAGUCUAUUAAUAAAUUAAGUGAACCUCCCUUACAUCAAUGAUCGGGUAAGUGGACUAUGUUUGAAUAGUUGUAUUCUUGGUUAGAAUUUAUCUAUUCUUGAAUUAAUUCCUGUGUAUAUUUGUGUUAGUUAAUUAUUCGUUUUAUUUGAAUUGCUUAAUUAUUUGUAGUUUUAUUCUGAUGAAACACCCCUUUUACCAAUUGGAAUCUCAAAGAGACAAAUAUCCUCAAUUCCUGAGGAGACGUGUGAGAACCCGUAUUUUCCCUAAUAAUUUUCCUAGGGUUUUUCCCCUUUAAUGGCAUGUUUUUUGCAUUUUCUGGCUUAGAAAAUUUUCCUGGUGAAUUUUAUGAGUAAUUAUAGUUUUUAGAUGAUUUUUCUAGCAUUGGAUAGUUUUUGAAAAAUUACGGAUAUAUAACGGACGUGGGGCCCACUAGUGCGAAAAGUUCGGAAAAAUUCGGCCAAUAAGGUUAAGUUUCGGAUACUGAGUGAAAUUUAUCGGGUGUUAAGAGAUAAGUAUAGGAUGUGAUGUGAUUGAUGUGAGAGGAAAACAAAAGGAUAGAAAUGCAUUAAUGAAGUGACACUUGUCAUGUUGGGAUUGGUUUCACUUGUUGACAACUAUUCAUUUUUUUUGACUUUUCUUACCAAUUGAUUAAAUAUCUCAAAAAUCACAAAAAAAAUCACUCUUGUCUUCACCUUCUUGGCCGGCCACCUUGAGCUUAAGAAGGAAGAAAACUCUUCAAAAUCUUGGCUACCAUCUAGCUCAAAUCCUCCAAAACAAUUGCUUGAUCUUGUUUCUACUCCAUAAAAUCUCUCCAUUUGGUACUAGUAAGUGAUUUGGUGAAGUGUUUAAGGAAGCUAAGGUGUCCAACAACUCUCCCUCUCUUGUUUACUAGGUGAGUGGUGAUUGAACUUCCUCCUACACUUAAUGAAGCUUAAGUUGUGCUUAGUGGUAGCUAAAGUGCUGAAAUUUGUGGUUUAUUUCUUGGUUUGAGAUGAAAUGAUGAAGUUUUCAAUUUAAUGGUGUAUUUUCUGGUUUAAUGUGAUCAUGAUGUUGUGGUUAUCUAUGAUGGUUGGUAAUGAAGGGUAAUGACUCUAGUAGGUGUACAUGAUUGGUAAUUGCAAGCAAUUUUGGGUUUGGAAGGAAUUUGAGAAAGUUAGGGUUUUAUAUCCCCAAUUCUGUCCGAUUUUGUAUCUCAUGGUUAGAGGCCGAAUUGGCCUUGUCUUAAAACAUGAAAGUUGUAGGUAUUGAUGUGUUUGAGGUGCCUGUAAAAUUUCAGGUUCAUCGGAGUUGUGUAGAGUGAGAAAAGUCGAUUUUACUGUUGCUGUUCUGGGUUCUUCAGGAUGGCCGAACUGCGUCUGUAAUUGGUGGUUUUGGCUGGAAUUGCUUUGGAUUUGGUUGUUGAGGCCUUCUGAUGAAAUGUAGCUUGAUGUCUUAGCUACCGCAUGCCUUUGGUAUGAAUGAAUUUGGACUUGUAUAGACUGAGUUGGACUAAUUACAGCAUAGUGUAUUUUGUAAACCUGCAAUUAAGGUUCUGGUUUGGUAUUUUGCAUAUUUGACCUAGUUGUGCUAGGAAUUGGACUGAGUGACCUUCUACAUUGUUGUAGCCCUGUUUCUUAGCUUCGAAACGGUGGGUCUUACACCCUCAUCCGAUAAGCGUAGUGCAAUUUGUGCCAUUACCGCAAACUGAGGACAAAACUGUUUUUUUUUCAGGGCCAAGUUAGUUACAUUUCCUGAUUUUCUGGUUUGCUAUAAUGCUUAUAUAUGAAUAUGAAACCCUAUUGGGGUUGUGAUUGGCAUGGCUUUAUGACUCGUUAUCGAGUCUCAUUGUAUUUGUUUACGUGUUUUAGGACGUGACGAGGGUUCACGACGACCUUUUAACGACGGUGCAUGAAACAUCACCUACUUGAGUAGUGAGUAUACUACUCACUUGAAUGUUUAUAAUGUGGCUUUGCUAUAUGUGAUUGUGAUGCCUUGAAGGCUUGUUUGGCUAUUGGACAUGGUUAAGGUGAGGGUGUACUUGACCGCCCUCAUCCUUUUUAUCUUGUUAAUGACUGUUUACCGUUUCACUGUAAUACUGCACUUGCUAUAUGAGAUAUUGAAUUCCAUUCAUGGGAAACUGUUUGGGUGUCGGUUGGACGAGUAUCCAACGGCCCUACUGCAUUACUGAGCUCGACCCCGUUGGUAGUUACUUGAAUCGAGCCAGCGAGGGCUUGGUCGUGAAAAUUGACUAGCCACGGGGACUGAAAUGGGAAUCUUGUGGUAAUGAGACCCUUGGUUCCGGUGUACUCGAGUAUCACCUAAAGCUACUGCUUGGAGUGCGGGCCCGGUUGGGGUAUGUUGGGUGGAAGGAAUGGAAGUGAAGUGAGGUCUACGGUCGGGUAUUCUUAAACAUUGACGGAGGGUCAAUGAGGUUGGAUCAAGAAUGUAAGCGUGGAAAUGGGCUCUUGAGAGCCGUCCGUAUCCUUUUACCGACUUGUUUUAUUUCUUAAUUGCGUACUUGAGAUGAAAGUUAAGUGAUCUUUGUUGAUUAUGUGAUAGUUGCUCACUGAGCUUUAGCUCACUCCGUUCCAUUUGUUUUCCUUACAGGAAAAAUGACUAUUUUGGGAAAGGUUGUGCUAGUUGGUUGUCAAGUUGAGCUCAUGUAAAUGUAUAUUUUGAAUAGCUCCUUGAGGGUGAAAACCCUAAGUGUUUUGUUUCAACCAAUGGUUGGUUUGUAAUUGGCCAAUUGCACAUGUGUGAACUUGUUGGAUAUUUUGGUAUACCGCUUUGGCUUGUAAAUGUUAAAUUUCGAUGUAUAUAUGUUGGAUUGAUGUUUGGUUGAACUCCGGAUUCUGACAUGGCCGGUACUGUUCAUCAUCGGCUUCGAUUUUCAUAUUUUUUUUAUUUUGUGAUUUUGACUUGUUUGCGCGCGUUGGUGUGUUCCGGAAUGUAGUAGAUCGACGUAAACUGAUCCGUUAGUCCUGGCGAGAGCUGGGCAGGCAGUCCGCUAACCCCUUUGGUUCGCCUUAGGGGAAGGUGGGGCUGUUACAAGACGACCCUACUUGCCACUGUCUGCCAAUUAGUAAAUUUUGUCAAAUAAUUAAUUCUGGUAUAUCGGAUUAAGCAAACUCUUCGAGAACAGGGUGAAUCAAGUAACCCAUUGCACACCUAGAGUCUCUGCUCCAGUACUUAGAAUUGAUUAUUGACUACUUUUGACGGGCGUAGGGUAUACAUAUAACAUUAAGCUCAUCCUAAUCAAGUUUUACAUUUAUAAACUCCUAAAUACCCUACACGCGAUUUAUCGCAAGUAUACGAAUCGUGAGCGAGUAUAGGGUAUUAAAAGUCGAUCUCACAAGGAAGAUUGCAAUUACCGGCACUACUAAAGCUUCUCUAUUAUUUAGACUAUCAAUGAAUUAUAACAAAUUUAACCUACUGAACUUAUGCAAGAAAAUAACAAAUGAAAGCUCCUUAAGUUGUGGUAUCCCUAACUACUCAUGCAAGUGCUAUAUUUGGAUCAUUGAAUACUACUAUCUAGGCUAGUUAUGGUGUAAUUUCCUUAAACAUGUGAAACCUACUUUCGUAGUGAAUCAACUAUAUUCAUAACUAAUCCAUACAUAUUCUCAUGGUUAUGAAAUUAGCUACAAGUUCAUUUCUUCAAUGAAAUUAAUCACUAAAAUCACAUAGGUGCACCUCUACUCUCGUGAGCGUACUCCCUAUGUUUAGCACUUCUUAAACUAGUGUUAAAUCUCAAUUUUCAUUGCAGAAACAACACCUUAAAUAAUCACAAUCAAUGGUACCAGAUUAAUCAUGAUUUAAAGAGCCAAAGUACUAAAUAACUUGCUCAAAUCAUAGCAAUCAAAUAACCAAAUAAUAAAUACUAACAAUUAUAGAAAGUUCAACCAAACCCAAGGCAUAAACGUUAGAGACACAUAUUAAACACAAAAUCCAGAACUUGCAUAUCAACUAAACUUAGAAUCCAAUACAAAAGAUAAAGAGUUGGAAAAGAGAUAACCAUUGUCACAUGAGCUUCAACUCCUCCUUUUUCAUCUCCAUUUUCAUCCUAAUCUAGCUAAUAUACAAGAAUGGAAGAGCUAUACUAUUCUAAACUAAACUAUCCUACUACUCAGAAAGUGCAAGAGCUACAUCUCUGCACUCCAAGUUUCUCCUGUAUGUCUCUCUAUUCUCCCUUCAAUCUUGCAAGCUUUGGCUAUAUAAAGGUGAAAGUUGGUCAAGAAGUGAGGUUUACACCUCCCUUUUACAGCUGGGAAUGUUUCUCACAUGUCUAGCAUCACCUGUGACUUAGUGGAGGUGAAAUUGAGUUUCCCACGUAAAGAGCAGCCUUCUCUGACCACAAUCCGGCCAGAAAUCUGGCCAAGUUCCGGCCGGAUUGCUACAGUGACAUUUUGGUGCACUUUUGUUCAAUUUCCAGCUCUGCUCCAAUUUUGUGUCAAUUUCAACUGAACUUUUGUUGAUGAUAAAAGCUGAUUUAGCUCUUGAUCAACAUAAAACUUGUAGCCCUUUGAGUUAGCUUUCCAAUGCAUCAAGAAUCACCUCAUUUGGAUCUGUGUAGGCUGAGAAAUGACCGAAAUACCUUUGACUGCUCACUGCCCUAUUUCAGCUUCGACCAAUAGAAAUUAGCUACUGUAAUUCGGCUUUUUAACCUGGAAAACCUUCAAAAUAGAUUCAGAUGUCUUCACCAAAGUUGUAGAUCUAUCUCUUAUCUUCAAAUUGGUUUAAGAAUCAUCUCAAUCCGAUCAUUAUAGCUCAAGUUAUAGCCAAAAUACGAAAAUGUGUCAAAACUGUCAAAAUGCACAAAAUCCAAGUAAAAAGUGAUAAAAACCUCAUUUAAUUACUUAAAAGCAUUUUUCACCAAUUAUAGCCAAAAUGAAUCAUUUUCUUCCAAUAAUGUAACCAAAGUGACUAACAAUAAUAUAAAAUAUCAUACAAUUAUUACAUAAAUUAGUCACUUAUCAGCUUUUAUUGGCAAUUAGGUUUAUUUUUAUUAUUGCACAGGUUCGGCACCUGUCAUUAGGAGUACUGGUUUUGCUGUGGGAUUUUUCGUUUUCUUUGUCAGCUGCGUCAGCUGCAUGGUGCUUUAGAGCAUAAGCCUUUGUUUUGUAUCGAAACAUCACGGCCAAAAUUGCCAAAAGCAUAUCGAAACAUGAACACAAAAUGAAAGAUGUGAGGAAACUUUAAUGAAGAUAUGCCUUGAGAUUUAAACACCAAAGACAAAAGCUCAAAAAAUAUUAUCAACGGAUCAAAAUAAGAACUUGAUUAUUGGUAAAACACUCCAACAAGUUAAGUCGAACCAAGAUCAACAUAAUCAAUUAUUUGAUUUCAAGAGUCAUAACUUUUGCUUGUAAAGAACAAAUAAAGUUAAACAAUUUAUUGCUUUUUUCCCCCCAGUCAGCUGUGUACCUCAACAUUAUUUCACGUCAAAAACUUGUUUUUCCUCGGAUUAAAUACCCUAGCAUCUGAGGUUAUCACCAGUCUCGACACCCAAUUGUCUACAAUAUUCAGUAUAAUACUCAACUCGAGCACUAACUGUGUUUGGAUUUGCACCAUCACAUUCAAGCCGACCAUUAAUGGCACGAAUUGUAGCCCCAAAACCCUGGCCAGAAGUGAUAAGAUCAUGACAAUGGUUCAUCCAAUACCACAAGCCAGUUUUGAAUGAAAUAACAUUAUUUGUAGCUACAGUUUCAGGUUGGCUGAGUCCAUUGAAUCCAAUGCUUUCACCUGCUGGUCCAUAGUUAGAGUUCCAUGAUAACUGUAUUGGACCCCUGCCGUAAUAUCCCUUGCCUGGCACACAUGGAUACUGAGUGUUGCUCUCAUCACAGUAAUCUCUGGAGGGGCCGUCUAUCUCUUCUAUGUAGCACAAAUCUGCGCAAUAUAAAGAAAUUUUGUCACUCAAUUGAAAUGAUUGAUAAAGGGUUAGAAUCAAAGAAAAUCAGGAGGUCUGGAAUUUUUUGUAAAUUUUUAGAUUUGAUUGUUUUACUAAUGAAUUCAAUUGGUGAGAAAAGACUUUAUCCCAUUUUGUAAAAAUUGGGUUGGACAGACCUAAAGUAAACACUCUUUUUAUGAGGUAAAAUUUUAGAAUGAUUUAACAUUAUAGGGUUAUACGAUAGAUAAAUAAAAAUUGGCAAUAGCAAGAUUAAGAAGGGACCAACAGUGAUAUAAAAAUUACAAAGGUAUCAUGGACGUCUAAAAUAUAUUUGGCUAAUAAAUUUGAACUAAUUUACGGCCAAAUUUAGGUGAAAUAGUUAAUUCUACUUGGUAAAUUGGAAGUUCGGAAACGUGUAUCUGUCAGUUGUCAUACUCAUGAGCGAGCCAAUCUUAACUUAAAAAAGAAAAAGAAAAAAAGAAAAAGAAAAAAGGAAUCCAAAAGAUAAAAGUAGAAAAGGCAUGAAUUUUAAAACGUAAUCGUAAUACCUUGUACCCGAAACAAAUAUGUGCAAUACUUAUUAAGCUAAGCAAAGCCACAUGAUCUACUCUUAGAUGCAGCAAAAUAUACAACCACCUUAAGCUUGGAAUGUAAAGGCAGAAAAACUUGCUUAUGUAGAUAUAAAAGUGACCACUACAAGAAAAGUAAAAAGAAUAUGGAGAUAAUAAUCCUUCUGUUCAUCAUGAUAAAUUAUUUAACAGUAAUAAAUCUUUCAUAUUCAAGUUUUAUUUUUUGAAGAAAAAAUUCUUGGAUAAUAGUGCACAGGAGAUUCCAAGAUAUACUAUCUAGAAAUUCACAGGAGCUACUAAAAAAGUAGAAAAUAUCUUCAAAAUUUAAUUUCCAAGCUAGUGUUAUUCAAAACUUACGUCCAGUCUCAUGAGUGACAUGAGCAAAGAAAGCAGCAAUCUCCCUUUUAGAAUCAUCAACAGAACCAGCGGUUCCAAACUGGGGAUACGAGUUCAGAGCUUCAAGAAAAGCUGAUCGAGUAUAGAACCCUUUUCCAGCACAGCUUGAAGCAGCUUGAUCAGCAAUCCCAUUAAAGAAAGCGUCCGUCACAAUAUCAGCAACUGAAACGCCACUAUUACCACUGCUCGGAGCAGCGGUGCAAGGGCCGGAUUGACAGCCAGAGCCGCAGUAGUCGUUGCCGGUACCGCAAUAGCCGAAUUUGCUGCAGCACAAGUCUGGUGCACAGCCGCAGUUUUGGCUUGAAAUCAGCUGUGGAAAGGCUCCUACAAGAACUACAAUGGAGAAAAUGAUGGUUGGAAAACUCUUCAUUUUUGGAUUUGAUAAAGGAGAGAAGCUUGUGGGCAGCAGUUGUAUCAGAAAAAAGGGUAUAUGUAGGGAAGAGAACUGAAAACUGAUCAGCUUGUGUGAAGCAUGCACAGCUGCUAUUGUUGAAAAUAUUGAAUUUGAGCAAUUAAAGAAAACAGAACAGAAGACGAAAGCGUGAAUGGUUGACUUCUAUCGAGAGUAUUGACUUUGACAUUGUCAAUGAAGCGGAAACUUUCUUUCUUGGCUUCUAGAAUGGGAAAGGUCAAAAAGAAAGAUUUUGGCCAAUUCGUAUGAACAAUUGUGAGAAUAAGGCAUGUAGACUCACAAGUCCCCACUAGAAUGUGUGCAAAAAUAUAAUUUGAAGUUGCCUAAAUCAUUUAAUUUCAUGCUUGUUAUUGAGUUUAUUUGCCUAACUGUGUUUUAGUAAUACUUCAAAAUUGUGUUUGAGUUAGAACGGAAAAAAAUAUGAGACAUUUUUUUUUUAAUUGCAAUUCCAGAAAUAAAAUCUUAUAAAACAUGUAUUAGAAAAAUUUUGAGGGUAAAUGAUAUGAAAAAAAAAAAGAAGAAAUAGUUCUAUAAAUUGACAUAAGUGUUCAUCGGCUUUUGGAAAAAUUAAGAAAGAAUAAAGCAGCCGACAUAUCUAUCAUGCAUAACAACAUUAUGUGGCUUUUGUUAGUACACGCUAUGACCAUAUAUGUUUCAUUUGAGAUGCUUGUCGGACGUGUUGAAUUGUUGGCAAUGAAAUGCUCCAAAAUGUCAGCACUAUAGUUUAUAAAUAGUAUUAGGUCAUAGUGAAUUAUCGACAUAUCGUUACAUGCAGAGUCGUGAAAAUAUACAAGUCUUUCCCUAUCAUUAAUUAGUUGGUCAAAUGACAAUUUUAGAGUGGCUGCUGACUAUGUCAAGAAACAUCUUGCAGUAAAUUGGGCGAUUUAAUGUACUUUUCUUUUUCUAAAUAUUUGCACUUAAACUCUCAAAUCGACCAUAGUUUUAACUAAUUUUGCUCUGGCUUUAUUCUUGAUUCGCAAAAUUCAGAAAAACCAAAACAAACCCUUGUUACUGAAGAUAUCAAAAUGGUAACCCAACUAAGUAAUUGAUUUUGAAAAACAUUCUGAACCAAAUUUCAAGUUUUGGUUUCUUUGCUCUUUUUCUACUGAAAGGCAACUUCCCCGGGCCAAGAAAUUGAAACAAAUAGUACGAUGCUUAAGUUUUCUAUGCUCUUAUGAUCAAGUCAAACCAUGCUUAUAAUCAAUUACAUAAAAAAUUACGGGCAAUUUCGUCAUUAUUUGGGAGGAGGAGGAAUAUUAAGCAAAAAAAAAAGUUCUAUUAAGAAAACGAUUAAGCAUAUUAUUUUCCAGGAAUAAAAAAGAACGAGCAGAGAAAUACAUUAGUUUGGAUGACAUUACAACAUUUAGCAACAUGAUUAGGGAUGCAAUGGGAUGGGUGCCAAUUGGGAAUCAAUGGGAUGGGAGAAAAUGCAGGAGGGGAUGGAGGGAUUGAAGAAUAUUUCUCCUCCAACAUUAAAUGGAUACCUCCAUCCCAUCCCCUAAAACCCCUUGUUGCUAUUCCUAAACAGGAUGCUACUUAUAUCCUCUCUCUAUGAGCAUGUGUGGCUAGUGAGGAAUGCAGGAUUUUGAUUUUGGCGGGGGGAGGGUGGGGCAAAUUGACAAUCAAGAAACAAUAGAAAAAAAACCUUAGCAAAUAAAGCACACAAACUUAAAAUGAAAGUUUAAUAUACGAUAAAUAAAAUAUAAAUAUUUUUAAUAAUAAAAUACACCAUAUAAAUAAAAUGAUAGAGCAAUAAUUGGGCACCAUAAGUGCUGUUAUUUGGUCAUAAUGUUGGCUACUUAUCAUGCUAAGUAGUGCAGCUUUGCUCAUAUUUGAUAUUUGUGUAAAUUACAGGCGGUUGGUGUUGAAACUGAUCUCUCGAGGCAAAUUUUCAGAAGACUUUUUAUUUCAGAGCGUGCCGACGCCAGAAACUAUAGAGAGACUCCUCAAAGGUGGACCGCGGGACUAAUUAACUAAACUUACCUUUAUUCCUGCUUGACGCUGCUGGAAGUGCGUUAAAACAAAAAGGCAAUAAUUUCCAGCGAAUUGGGUAACAACCAAUAAGGAGGAAAAUUAGGGGCACUAGCCUACAAAGCCGGACCCCGCGAGACUGGUAGACAAAGUGGGGAAUUAGGAAGUCUUCAAAGCGGCUAUUUUCUCGUGGGCUGCAGAGGUGAAAAGGACAAGUAGUUUGAGUCUUGCAGAGAGCUUUUGAGUUCUCUUACGUUUUGUCUUGCGGUAGCCACCCGGGGGAGGAUUGAAAAAGCCAUAUUCACGUGGGAUUAGGAGAUUAGCUUUAGUUUCUUGUAUCCCUGGGUAGACGAUCUGCUCUCUGCUUUGCUUUUGGCGACUUUCUUUAGACCUUUUUCUUUACUUUUCUCCGGCACGAACACGGAACCAAAAAAGAAGCAAGACUUUUCGUUUGUCUCGUCGUUAUUUCAUCUUUCCCAACUUUUUGGUAAUUAAGUGGAUGGAAUCAAUCAAAUCACGCGAGAUUGAUGUGAUGAGGAGUGGCUAGGUUUCUCUGCUACCCAAAGGUCGACGCGAAGGCGCGGUCCAUAACAUCUGUGAGAUCUAAUCGAACUUUCACUAUUUCUUCCAAUCCGUUACUAUUCGUGCGUUUUCUGGAUUAACUGUUUAUGAUUAUUUUAUUAAUUGAGUAUCAACAGCCGGAUAUUUAAUUUAAUCUAAUAGCCUACUGUCACGUUAACUAAAUUGAAUCCGUAAUUAUUCGUUUAGUUGAUAAUUAGUGACAACCAUCAUAAUUGGCUUUAUGUUGGGAAAAACGUAAGAUCUAAUUUAGAUAAACCCUCUUAUAGCGUGUUUAUUGGUUAGGGUUGGAUUUUUCUAGCGUUAAUGCAACUGAAUAAUUAAAUUCCUACGGUCGUAUCUAGGGUUAUUUUCUGGUUAGAGAAACAGUCAACGGUCGUACCUUGGCUAUCGAAAAAGUAAGAAAAAACUAGCAGUCAGAGCUUGUUGAUCGCUAUAACCAACCUAGUGACGAAUGAGUGAAAUAUCUUUGCAUCGAUGAUCAUUUAAUUGGACCGUGCCUGAAAAGUUGAUCCUUUGGAUAGAAUUUUGCUAAUUGCUAUUUUCAGUGAAUUGUACUUGGCGAGUUAGCUUUUGAAUUUUGUUUAUUUUAUUUUCAUUUUCAUUCCAUUAAAUAUCCCCCAAUUUUGUUCUAUUGACUUGGAAAGAAACAACUUCUUACCCGUUACUUGUGGAAUCGACCCUACUUGCCAUUUUCAGAAACAACUUCUUAAAUUUUAAUCCUUAUGAAACCCAGCUUCUCUCUCAAUUUUCAGAGGUUUCUUUUCCUUCAUCAUGUCAAAGUUGCUAUUAUAAUCACUGUAAUUAGACAGCUAAACCUGUCAUUCCAAUUAUACCCUUGGUCCGCCGUGGGAAAUACAUAAAAUGUGGUAGCGCUGCCCAAUAAGUCCCACAUUGGACCAUAUAAAAUUGUUUAAGGACUAAAUUGGUAAAAAAAAUCGUAAAUGAUGAAAUUGAUUUAAGUGAAAAAGUUCAAGGACCAAAUUGGCAAUUUUUCCUUAUUAUGAUUAUGAUUAUGAUUAUUAUUAUUAUUAUUAUUAUUAGUCUGAGAUGCCGAACAAGUUGUGGAGACUUAUUUCACCUUUACAAGGUCAUUGGAGGGCUUGACGAGGUGCGAUGUGGUAAGGAAAGGCACAAAAAACUCUUUUUUCUUUAUUAAAAAACAUACAAAUUGCACUAAUAAUGGCUGAAAAUGCAUCCAACAUGCAAUAGUGAAAAAUCGUUAGAUGCAAGAUAUAUAAAAGUUAACAAAAAUUAUCUUAGUACCUCUGAUAUAUUCCAAAUUCAGAUAAAUCAUCUGCCCCCAAUGAAUAUAUGUGCAUAUCAUCAUUGUCAAAAAAUAUUUAUGCAUAUCAUUGCCGUUAGAUUUUAUAUUGAAGUGGUUAAAGCUCCAAAUCUAGUAGAGAAGAAAUUCAACACUUGAGAAAAUAAGUUAAGAAAUUCAAGAUUUGACAUACAAAUCUGAAAAGCUCUCAAAUCUAACAAAACAAGAUAUAAAAUUAUCUGAAUAAAACUCUCACUAGAAUAUCUUAGUAGAGAAGAAAAUUCUCACUAGAUAGUCUCACUAUACUUUAUUAGACAUAAAAAAAAAAAAAAGAGAAGUCAAACAGAGGGAGGAAGGCAAUCCUCCAUGGAGGAAAUAAUAAUUGUCUUGAAGGUUGUGUAGAGAGAUGGUGGAGAAACUUCUUUUGUUUUAUCUAUUGGUUAUCUUUCUAAUUGCUAGUUAACGAACAAUAAACUCUAAAUGAAACUACUAAAUUUGCAACCGAAGACAUUUUUGGGCUUGUAUCUUAGUAUCGUAAUCGUCACCCAAUUAGAGCCGCCCAUGACGGCUUCAUUAAAUAUAUAAUUUGGGGGAACCAGGAUUUAAGGCCAAAUUUCGGCAACCUUCAAGGCACUUCAUUGUUUUCUCACAAAUUUUGUUUAUUUAUUGUAAAAGAUUAACUUUAAAGUGUCCUCAAAUUUCUUCCCUAUCUUCUCUCAAACUUUACCAGUGAAAAUUGUUUGUCUUCGGGUUCGUUUGUUUCGGGUGAAAAUGUUUUCCAGAAAAAGUAUUUUCCUAAUUUCCCGUGUUUGAUUGCACAAAAGUUACUGAAAACAUUUUACAUAAAUUUUCACUCAUCUUAUGGAAAACAACUUCCCUUCCAAACUUACUGAAGUUGUUUUCCGAAAUGCAUGCAUCCCGCCUGUAGUAUGUUCCAAACUUACUGAAACCAUCUUGUAGUAUGUUCUUUUUUUUUUUUAGUGUAAACAGGAGGACUCGAACCAAGACCUCUUCCUUACACUCCCUCCCCCGUACCAUCCAACCCAACCCAACCCUCCCCCUAGUAUAUUCAAAAUAAAAAAAAACCUCAUCCUACUCAUCCUAUUCUAGUAAUUAAUUAUGUAUAAUAGGGACAUUCUUUUCUAGAGAAACUUUCAGCAAUGAUAGUGCAAGAUAUAUGUCACAAUAAGCAUUGCAUGUGAUUGAUAUUUGACACUAAAUGGCCAGCAAUUUGUUUAUUGCUUAAGGAGAUAUUUUUUAUUCAUAUAUACAUUUCUCCAAGAUUUUUUAAAGUUAAACAAUGAGAUAAAUUUUCUUAUUUUGCAUGGGAAGAAGUAUGUAGUUAUAAUGUGUAGAAAGUAAAGAUAGAGAUAAAAGUGAAAAUAUUUCAAAAGUUAAACAAACACCAAAAAAAUGAAGUAAGAAAAUAUUUUCAAUAAACUAACCAAACACCUGAAAAUGAUGAAAGAGAAAUGAUUUUCAUGGAAAAUUACUUCCACGGAAAAUAUUUUCCCAAGAAAAACAUUUUACUUCCAACCAAACAGACCCUUCAUCUCGUUGAUUGUCUCCCCCAGUGCAUACAAAUGUAUUAUGGGCAUUUUGGUGAAAGAAAGGCAUAAACUGAGUUCUGCACAACUAAAUUUUGCCAAUAGCAUAUGAAAAUAUGAAGAAGAAUAAUAAUAAAUGAAGGGUCUGUCUAAUAAGUAUUCAUAGGGAACCAUUGAAAUAUAUCUCAAGUGUCAUGUUUUUGGAAAUGUAAAAUUAAUAGAAAAAAUAAAUAAAUACAAGAGAGAGUAGAUAAAAUUAAAUAAGAAAAGUUAAUAAUUGUUAAUAGAUAUAUAUACAUAAUAGAUUAGAUGAACGUUAAAUAUGUUAACAAGUACCUUAUUAGCACCCGUUAAAAAAAGCUAUAAAUGAAAGAUGUGAUCACCAAAUCAUUGACAAAGAAAUGUGUUGAAAAUGAAACAAGAAAGUCAAACAUGAUAAGGGAUCAAAAAUGGAAUUUAAUAAUUGCAGAUACUCCAAGAAGUUGAGUUGAAAUCAGUUAUCCGAUUUCAAAUUCACAACUUCUGCUGUCAAAGAACUACAAAGGGACUCAACUUCUGCUAAUUUAUAUUAGUUUCGAAACUCUUACAAGUACCCUAGCAUCUGAGAUUAUCACCGGGAUCAACACCCAACUGGUUACAAUAUUCAGCAUAAUACUCAACACGAGCACUAACAGUGUCCGGAUUUGCACCAUCACAUUCAAGCUGUCCGUUAACGGCACGAAUUGUAGCCCCAAAACCCUGGCCAGAAGUGAUAAGAUCAUGACAAUUGUUCAUCCAGAACCACAAGGCAGUUUUGAAUGAAAUAACAUUAUCUGUGGCCACAGUUUCAGGUUCAGUUAGUCCAUCGAACCCUAUGCUUUCACCUGCUGGUCCAUAGUUAAAGUUCCAAGAUAUUUGUAUUGGACCCCUGCCGUAAUAUCCCUUGCCUGGCACACAAGGGUACUGAGUGUUGCGCUCAUCACAAUAGUCUUUGGAAGGGCCGUCUAUCUCUUCUAUAUAGCACAUAUCUGCACAAUAUAGAGAAGUCUGUAUCAAUUAUCACUGCAUUCAAUUGCUUAUAUGAAAGCCACUCAUUGAUACAUUAUGGAUUUUAGAUAUUUUUACUAUUAAAAAACCUAUAAUCUAAAUACAAAAUAAAUGAGAACAUAAAAAAAAUUAAUUAUUUAAAAUCAGAAUCUAUAGUCAGUUAUAAUAAUCAAUCAAGAACAACCCCAAAAAAUGUCAUCAAUAUUUAAGAAGGGACCAUAUGUGAUAAAGAAAUUAUAAAGUUAUAAGUAAUCACAGACUAAAUAAAUAACCAAUACAACAAAGUAGAAAAAAUUAACGUCAAAGUGGGACGGAGGGAGUAUAUGUUUUUCUUGGUAUCCUAGCAAUAUGAUAGUUGGAGCAAUAACCAUUGUCAAAUUUUGGUGUUUGAUUGUUGCUCUCAUGCUUGAGGGCAAGCAUGGUUCAGGUGUGAGGAGAAUUGAUAGGGUGUUAAUUGUUAGUAAUUUUAUUGUUAAUUUUCCCUUUUAUCCUUGCCAAAUAUUGUUUUAAUUAUUAAUAUUUACUUAUAUUUGGUAUUUGGACUCAAUUUCAGGGAAUAGAGUAGAAAACUACAAAAAAGGAGGGACUUUAUGGAGACAAUGGAGACUUCAAACAACCGGGGCCACAUGGUGCCACAAACGGAUGGCAUUUCCUUUUUACUGAUUAGGAGUUGAAGUCUUUGAUGGGCAACAGGAAACGAAAAGUAGAGAAAAAUUCGGCAGAGCUUUCUUUUUGUACUUGGACUCCCAAUUCGUUGGGGACCACAGAGAGCAUUAAGGAGUCAUACUUUUGCUUGGAAUAAAAAGAACGUAUAGAGGCUAGGGAUAGUUUUUAGCAAUAGUUUAGUUUUCUUCCUUUUUCCUUUUCAUGCAUGCCUACUGUUCGACAAAAGUCCCAACUGGAGAAAUAUCUUUCACCUCUUGAUUAUUUAGUGAAAAACCCGAUGCCUUUGCAAUCAAUUAAUUUGCGUGGAAAUUUAUUUAUGCGGCGUGGCUAAACUUUUCAUCUAGUCAAGGAUCAACUCGACGGCGCAGUCCCGAAUAUCUGUGAGAUCUAAUUAGUUUUCACGCGUUCUUAAUUUGUUAAUAAUUGCGCGUUGUCUAUUCGAAUUUCCAUGGGAUUAUUUUGUUAAUUGGAUGUCAAGGGAUCGAUGUUCAAUGUGACUUAUUAAUCUCCUGCCAAAUUAGUCAAUUAAAUCCAUAAUUGUUUGAUUGGUUAAUAUUAGUGGCAACUGGCGUGUUUACACACCAGGGGAACGUGCAAUCUAAUUUAAAUAACCCUCGUAGCGUGUUAUUGAUUGGGGUUAGGUUUUUCUAGUUAUUAAUGCAAUUGAAAAAUUAAUUCCUACGGUCGUACCUAGGAGUAUUUUCUGGUUAGGGGUAAUCAAUGGUUGUACCUUGGUUAUCAAUAAAUUAAAGAAAAAUUGGUCGUUAGAGUUCGUCGGCGACUAUAACUAGUCUAUUAAUAAAUUAAGUGAACCUCCCUUACAUCAAUGAUCGGGUAAGUGGACUAUGUUUGAAUAGUUGUAUUCUUGGUUAGAAUUUAUCUAUUCUUGAAUUAAUUCCUGUGUAUAUUCGUGUUAGUUAAUUAUUCGUUUUAUUUGAAUUGCUUAAUUAUUUGUAGUUUUAUUCUGAUGAAACACCCAUUUUACCAAUUGGAAUCUCAAAGAGACAAAUAUCCUCAAUUCCUGAGGAGACGUGUGAGAACCCGUAUUUUCCCUAAUAAUUUUCCUAGGGUUUUUCCCCUUUAAUGGCAUGUUUUCUGCAUUUUCUGGCUUAGAAAAUUUUCCUGGUGAAUUUUAUGAGUAAUUAUAGUUUUUAGAUGAUUUUUCUAGCAUUGGAUAGUUUUUGAAAAAUUACGGAUAUAUAACGGACGUGGGGCCCACUAGUGCGAAAAGUUCGGAAAAAUUCGGUCAAUAAGGUUAAGUUCCGGAUACUGAGUGAAAUUUAUCGGGUGUUAAGAGAUAAGUAUAGGAUGUGAUGUGAUUGAUGUGAGAGGAAAACAAAAGGAUAGAAAUGCAUUAAUGAAGUGACACUUGUCAUGUUGGGAUUGGUUUCACUUGUUGACAACUAUUCAUUUUUUUUGACUUUUCUUACCAAUUGAUUAAAUAUCUCAAAAAUCACAAAAAAAUUCACUCUUGUCUUCACCUUCUUGGCCGGCCACCUUGAGCUUAAGAAGGAAGAAAACUCUUCAAAAUCUUGGCUACCAUCUAGCUCAAAUCCUCCAAAACAAUUGCUUGAUCUUGUUUCUACUCCAUAAAAUCUCUCCAUUUGGUACUAGUAAGUGAUUUGGUGAAGUGUUUAAGGAAGCUAAGGUGUCCAACAACUCUCCCUCUCUUGUUUACUAGGUGAGUGGUGAUUGAACUUCCUCCUACACUUAAUGAAGCUUAAGUUGUGCUUAGUGGUAGCUAAAGUGCUGAAAUUUGUGGUUUAUUUCUUGGUUUGAGAUGAAAUGAUGAAGUUUUCAAUUUAAUGGUGUAUUUUCUGGUUUAAUGUGAUCAUGAUGUUGUGGUUAUCUAUGAUGGUUGGUAAUGAAGGGUAAUGACUCUAGUAGGUGUACAUGAUUGGUAAUUGCAAGCAAUUUUGGGUUUGGAAGGAAUUUGAGAAAGUUAGGGUUUUAUAUCCCCAAUUCUGUCCGAUUUUGUAUCUCAUGGUUAGAGGCCGAAUUGGCCUUGUCUUAAAACAUGAAAGUUGUAGGUAUUGAUGUGUUUGAGGUGCCUGUAAAAUUUCAGGUUCAUCGGAGUUGUGUAGAGUGAGAAAAGUCGAUUUUACUGUUGCUGUUCUGGGUUCUUCAGGAUGGCCGAACUGCGUCUGUAAUUGGUGGUUUUGGCUGGAAUUGCUUUGGAUUUGGUUGUUGAGGCCUUCUGAUGAAAUGUAGCUUGAUGUCUUAGCUACCGCAUGCCUUUGGUAUGAAUGAAUUUGGACUUGUAUAGACUGAGUUGGACUAAUUACAGCAUAGUGUAUUUUGUAAACCUGCAAUUAAGGUUCUGGUUUGGUAUUUUGCAUAUUUGACCUAGUUGUGCUAGGAAUUGGACUGAGUGACCUUCUACAUUGUUGUAGCCCUGUUUCUUAGCUUCGAAACGGUGGGUCUUACACCCUCAUCCGAUAAGCGUAGUGCAAUUUGUGCCAUUACCGCAAACUGAGGACAAAACUGUUUUUUUUUCAGGGCCAAGUUAGUUACAUUUCCUGAUUUUCUGGUUUGCUAUAAUGCUUAUAUAUGAAUAUGAAACCCUAUUGGGGUUGUGAUUGGCAUGGCUUUAUGACUCGUUAUCGAGUCUCAUUGUAUUUGUUUACGUGUUUUAGGACGUGACGAGGGUUCACGACGACCUUUUAACGACGGUGCAUGAAACAUCACCUACUUGAGUAGUGAGUAUACUACUCACUUGAAUGUUUAUAAUGUGGCUUUGCUAUAUGUGAUUGUGAUGCCUUGAAGGCUUGUUUGGCUAUUGGACAUGGUUAAGGUGAGGGUGUACUUGACCGCCCUCAUCCUUUUUAUCUUGUUAAUGACUGUUUACCGUUUCACUGUAAUACUGCACUUGCUAUAUGAGAUAUUGAAUUCCAUUCAUGGGAAACUGUUUGGGUGUCGGUUGGACGAGUAUCCAACGGCCCUACUGCAUUACUGAGCUCGACCCCGUUGGUAGUUACUUGAAUCGAGCCAGCGAGGGCUUGGUCGUGAAAAUUGACUAGCCACGGGGACUGAAAUGGGAAUCUUGUGGUAAUGAGACCCUUGGUUCCGGUGUACUCGAGUAUCACCUAAAGCUACUGCUUGGAGUGCGGGCCCGGUUGGGGUAUGUUGGGUGGAAGGAAUGGAAGUGAAGUGAGGUCUACGGUCGGGUAUUCUUAAACAUUGACGGAGGGUCAAUGAGGUUGGAUCAAGAAUGUAAGCGUGGAAAUGGGCUCUUGAGAGCCGUCCGUAUCCUUUUACCGACUUGUUUUAUUUCUUAAUUGCGUACUUGAGAUGAAAGUUAAGUGAUCUUUGUUGAUUAUGUGAUAGUUGCUCACUGAGCUUUAGCUCACUCCGUUCCAUUUGUUUUCCUUACAGGAAAAAUGACUAUUUUGGGAAAGGUUGUGCUAGUUGGUUGUCAAGUUGAGCUCAUGUAAAUGUAUAUUUUGAAUAGCUCCUUGAGGGUGAAAACCCUAAGUGUUUUGUUUCAACCAAUGGUUGGUUUGUAAUUGGCCAAUUGCACAUGUGUGAACUUGUUGGAUAUUUUGGUAUACCGCUUUGGCUUGUAAAUGUUAAAUUUCGAUGUAUAUAUGUUGGAUUGAUGUUUGGUUGAACUCCGGAUUCUGACAUGGCCGGUACUGUUCAUCAUCGGCUUCGAUUUUCAUAUUUUUUUUAUUUUGUGAUUUUGACUUGUUUGCGCGCGUUGGUGUGUUCCGGAACGUAGUAGAUCGACGUAAACUGAUCCGUUAGUCCUGGCGAGAGCUGGGCAGCCAGUCCGCUAACCCCUUUGGUUCGCCUUAGGGGAAGGUGGGGCUGUUACAAGACGACCCUACUUGCCACUGUCUGCCAAUUAGUAAAUUUUGUCAAAUAAUUAAUUCUGGUAUAUCGGAUUAAGCAAACUCUUCGAGAACAGGGUGAAUCAAGUAACCCAUUGCACACCUAGAGUCCCUGCUCCAGUACUUAGAAUUGAUUAUCGACUACUUUUGACGGGCGUAGGGUAUACAUAUAACAUUAAGCUCAUCCUAAUCAAGUUUUACAUUUAUAAACUCCUAAAUACCCUACACGCGAUUUAUCGCAAGUAUACGAAUCGUGAGCGAGUAUAGGGUAUUAAAAGUCGAUCUCACAAUGAAGAUUGCAAUUACCGGCACUACUAAAGCUUCUCUAUUAUUUAGACUAUCAAUGAAUUAUAACAAAUUUAACCUACUGAACUUAUGCAAGAAAAUAACAAAUGAAAGCUCCUUAAGUUGUGGUAUCCCUAACUACUCAUGCAAGUGCUAUAUUUGGAUCAUUGAAUACUACUAUCUAGGCUAGUUAUGGUGUAAUUUCCUUAAACAUGUGAAACCUACUUUCGUAGUGAAUCAACUAUAUUCAUAACUAAUCCAUACAUAUUCUCAUGGUUAUGAAAUUAGCUACAAGUUCAUUUCUUCAAUGAAAUUAAUCACUAAAAUCACAUAGGUGCACCUCUACUCUCGUGAGCGUACUCCCUAUGUUUAGCACUUCUUAAACUAGUGUUAAAUCUCAAUUUUCAUUGCAGAAACAACACCUUAAAUAAUCACAAUCAAUGGUACCAGAUUAAUCAUGAUUUAAAGAGCCAAAGUACUAAAUAACUUGCUCAAAUCAUAGCAAUCAAAUAACCAAAUAAUAAAUACUAACAAUUAUAGAAAGUUCAACCAAACCCAAGGCAUAAACGUUAGAGACACAUAUUAAACACAAAAUCCAGAACUUGCAUAUCAACUAAACUUAGAAUCCAAUACAAAAGAUAAAGAGUUGGAAAAGAGAUAACCAUUGUCACAUGAGCUUCAACUCCUCCUUUUUCAUCUCCAUUUUCAUCCUAAUCUAGCUAAUAUACAAGAAUGGAAGAGCUAUACUAUUCUAAACUAAACUAUCCUACUACUCAGAAAGUGCAAGAGCUACAUCUCUGCACUCCAAGUUUCUCCUGUAUGUCUCUCUAUUCUCCCUUCAAUCUUGCAAGCUUUGGCUAUAUAAAGGUGAAAGUUGGUCAAGAAGUGAGGUUUACACCUCCCUUUUACAGCUGGGAAUGUUUCUCACAUGUCUAGCAUCACCUGUGACUUAGUGGAGGUGAAAUUGAGUUUCCCACGUAAAGAGCAGCCUUCUCUGACCACAAUCCGGCCAGAAAUCUGGCCAAGUUCCGGCCGGAUUGCUACAGUGACAUUUUGGUGCACUUUUGUUCAAUUUCCAGCUCUGCUCCAAUUUUGUGUCAAUUUCAACUGAACUUUUGUUGAUGAUAAAAGCUGAUUUAGCUCUUGAUCAACAUAAAACUUGUAGCCCUUUGAGUUAGCUUUCCAAUGCAUCAAGAAUCACCUCAUUUGGAUCUGUGUAGGCUGAGAAAUGACCGAAAUACCUUUGACUGCUCACUGCCCUAUUUCAGCUUCGACCAAUAGAAAUUAGCUACUGUAAUUCGGCUUUUUAACCUGGAAAACCUUCAAAAUAGAUUCAGAUGUCUUCACCAAAGUUGUAGAUCUAUCUCUUAUCUUCAAAUUGGUUUAAGAAUCAUCUCAAUCCGAUCAUUAUAGCUCAAGUUAUAGCCAAAAUACGAAAAUGUGUCAAAACUGUCAAAAUGCACAAAAUCCAAGUAAAAAGUGAUAAAAACCUCAUUUAAUUACUUAAAAGCAUUUUUCACCAAUUAUAGCCAAAAUGAAUCAUUUUCUUCCAAUAAUGUAACCAAAGUGACUAACAAUAAUAUAAAAUAUCAUACAAUUAUUACAUAAAUUAGUCACUUAUCAGCUUUUAUUGGCAAUUAGGUUUAUUUUUAUUAUUGCACAGGUUCGGCACCUGUCAUUAGGAGUACUGGUUUUGCUGUGGGAUUUUUCGUUUUCUUUGUCAGCUGCGUCAGCUGCAUGGUGCUUUAGAGCAUAAGCCUUUGUUUUGUAUCGAAACAUCACGGCCAAAAUUGCCAAAAGCAUAUCGAAACAUGAACACAAAAUGAAAGAUGUGAGGAAACUUUAAUGAAGAUAUGCCUUGAGAUUUAAACACCAAAGACAAAAGCUCAAAAAAUAUUAUCAACGGAUCAAAAUAAGAACUUGAUUAUUGGUAAAACACUCCAACAAGUUAAGUCGAACCAAGAUCAACAUAAUCAAUUAUUUGAUUUCAAGAGUCAUAACUUUUGCUUGUAAAGAACAAAUAAAGUUAAACAAUUUAUUGCUUUUUUCCCCCCAGUCAGCUGUGUACCUCAACAUUAUUUCACGUCAAAAACUUGUUUUUCCUCGGAUUAAAUACCCUAGCAUCUGAGGUUAUCACCAGUCUCGACACCCAAUUGUCUACAAUAUUCAGUAUAAUACUCAACUCGAGCACUAACUGUGUUUGGAUUUGCACCAUCACAUUCAAGCCGACCAUUAAUGGCACGAAUUGUAGCCCCAAAACCCUGGCCAGAAGUGAUAAGAUCAUGACAAUGGUUCAUCCAAUACCACAAGCCAGUUUUGAAUGAAAUAACAUUAUUUGUAGCUACAGUUUCAGGUUGGCUGAGUCCAUUGAAUCCAAUGCUUUCACCUGCUGGUCCAUAGUUAGAGUUCCAUGAUAACUGUAUUGGACCCCUGCCGUAAUAUCCCUUGCCUGGCACACAUGGAUACUGAGUGUUGCUCUCAUCACAGUAAUCUCUGGAGGGGCCGUCUAUCUCUUCUAUGUAGCACAAAUCUGCGCAAUAUAAAGAAAUUUUGUCACUCAAUUGAAAUGAUUGAUAAAGGGUUAGAAUCAAAGAAAAUCAGGAGGUCUGGAAUUUUUUGUAAAUUUUUAGAUUUGAUUGUUUUACUAAUGAAUUCAAUUGGUGAGAAAAGACUUUAUCCCAUUUUGUAAAAAUUGGGUUGGACAGACCUAAAGUAAACACUCUUUUUAUGAGGUAAAAUUUUAGAAUGAUUUAACAUUAUAGGGUUAUACGAUAGAUAAAUAAAAAUUGGCAAUAGCAAGAUUAAGAAGGGACCAACAGUGAUAUAAAAAUUACAAAGGUAUCAUGGACGUCUAAAAUAUAUUUGGCUAAUAAAUUUGAACUAAUUUACGGCCAAAUUUAGGUGAAAUAGUUAAUUCUACUUGGUAAAUUGGAAGUUCGGAAACGUGUAUCUGUCAGUUGUCAUACUCAUGAGCGAGCCAAUCUUAACUUAAAAAAGAAAAAGAAAAAAAGAAAAAGAAAAAAGGAAUCCAAAAGAUAAAAGUAGAAAAGGCAUGAAUUUUAAAACGUAAUCGUAAUACCUUGUACCCGAAACAAAUAUGUGCAAUACUUAUUAAGCUAAGCAAAGCCACAUGAUCUACUCUUAGAUGCAGCAAAAUAUACAACCACCUUAAGCUUGGAAUGUAAAGGCAGAAAAACUUGCUUAUGUAGAUAUAAAAGUGACCACUACAAGAAAAGUAAAAAGAAUAUGGAGAUAAUAAUCCUUCUGUUCAUCAUGAUAAAUUAUUUAACAGUAAUAAAUCUUUCAUAUUCAAGUUUUAUUUUUUGAAGAAAAAAUUCUUGGAUAAUAGUGCACAGGAGAUUCCAAGAUAUACUAUCUAGAAAUUCACAGGAGCUACUAAAAAAGUAGAAAAUAUCUUCAAAAUUUAAUUUCCAAGCUAGUGUUAUUCAAAACUUACGUCCAGUCUCAUGAGUGACAUGAGCAAAGAAAGCAGCAAUCUCCCUUUUAGAAUCAUCAACAGAACCAGCGGUUCCAAACUGGGGAUACGAGUUCAGAGCUUCAAGAAAAGCUGAUCGAGUAUAGAACCCUUUUCCAGCACAGCUUGAAGCAGCUUGAUCAGCAAUCCCAUUAAAGAAAGCGUCCGUCACAAUAUCAGCAACUGAAACGCCACUAUUACCACUGCUCGGAGCAGCGGUGCAAGGGCCGGAUUGACAGCCAGAGCCGCAGUAGUCGUUGCCGGUACCGCAAUAGCCGAAUUUGCUGCAGCACAAGUCUGGUGCACAGCCGCAGUUUUGGCUUGAAAUCAGCUGUGGAAAGGCUCCUACAAGAACUACAAUGGAGAAAAUGAUGGUUGGAAAACUCUUCAUUUUUGGAUUUGAUAAAGGAGAGAAGCUUGUGGGCAGCAGUUGUAUCAGAAAAAAGGGUAUAUGUAGGGAAGAGAACUGAAAACUGAUCAGCUUGUGUGAAGCAUGCACAGCUGCUAUUGUUGAAAAUAUUGAAUUUGAGCAAUUAAAGAAAACAGAACAGAAGACGAAAGCGUGAAUGGUUGACUUCUAUCGAGAGUAUUGACUUUGACAUUGUCAAUGAAGCGGAAACUUUCUUUCUUGGCUUCUAGAAUGGGAAAGGUCAAAAAGAAAGAUUUUGGCCAAUUCGUAUGAACAAUUGUGAGAAUAAGGCAUGUAGACUCACAAGUCCCCACUAGAAUGUGUGCAAAAAUAUAAUUUGAAGUUGCCUAAAUCAUUUAAUUUCAUGCUUGUUAUUGAGUUUAUUUGCCUAACUGUGUUUUAGUAAUACUUCAAAAUUGUGUUUGAGUUAGAACGGAAAAAAAUAUGAGACAUUUUUUUUUUAAUUGCAAUUCCAGAAAUAAAAUCUUAUAAAACAUGUAUUAGAAAAAUUUUGAGGGUAAAUGAUAUGAAAAAAAAAAAGAAGAAAUAGUUCUAUAAAUUGACAUAAGUGUUCAUCGGCUUUUGGAAAAAUUAAGAAAGAAUAAAGCAGCCGACAUAUCUAUCAUGCAUAACAACAUUAUGUGGCUUUUGUUAGUACACGCUAUGACCAUAUAUGUUUCAUUUGAGAUGCUUGUCGGACGUGUUGAAUUGUUGGCAAUGAAAUGCUCCAAAAUGUCAGCACUAUAGUUUAUAAAUAGUAUUAGGUCAUACUGAAUUAUCGACAUAUCGUUACAUGCAGAGUCGUGAAAAUAUACAAGUCUUUCCCUAUCAUUAAUUAGUUGGUCAAAUGACAAUUUUAGAGUGGCUGCUGACUAUGUCAAGAAACAUCUUGCAGUAAAUUGGGCGAGUUAAUGUACUUUUCUUUUUCUAAAUAUUUGCACUUAAACUCUCAAAUCGACCAUAGUUUUAACUAAUUUUGCUCUGGCUUUAUUCUUGAUUCGCAAAAUUCAGAAAAACCAAAACAAACCCUUGUUACUGAAGAUAUCAAAAUGGUAACCCAACUAAGUAAUUGAUUUUGAAAAACAUUCUGAACCAAAUUUCAAGUUUUGGUUUCUUUGCUCUUUUUCUACUGAAAGGCAACUUCCCCGGGCCAAGAAAUUGAAACAAAUAGUACGAUGCUUAAGUUUUCUAUGCUCUUAUGAUCAAGUCAAACCAUGCUUAUAAUCAAUUACAUAAAAAAUUACGGGCAAUUUCGUCAUUAUUUGGGAGGAGGAGGAAUAUUAAGCAAAAAAAAAAGUUCUAUUAAGAAAACGAUUAAGCAUAUUAUUUUCCAGGAAUAAAAAAGAACGAGCAGAGAAAUACAUUAGUUUGGAUGACAUUACAACAUUUAGCAACAUGAUUAGGGAUGCAAUGGGAUGGGUGCCAAUUGGGAAUCAAUGGGAUGGGAGAAAAUGCAGGAGGGGAUGGAGGGAUUGAAGAAUAUUUCUCCUCCAACAUUAAAUGGAUACCUCCAUCCCAUCCCCUAAAACCCCUUGUUGCUAUUCCUAAACAGGAUGCUACUUAUAUCCUCUCUCUAUGAGCAUGUGUGGCUAGUGAGGAAUGCAGGAUUUUGAUUUUGGCGGGGGGAGGGUGGGGCAAAUUGACAAUCAAGAAACAAUAGAAAAAAAACCUUAGCAAAUAAAGCACACAAACUUAAAAUGAAAGUUUAAUAUACGAUAAAUAAAAUAUAAAUAUUUUUAAUAAUAAAAUACACCAUAUAAAUAAAAUGAUAGAGCAAUAAUUGGGCACCAUAAGUGCUGUUAUUUGGUCAUAAUGUUGGCUACUUAUCAUGCUAAGUAGUGCAGCUUUGCUCAUAUUUGAUAUUUGUGUAAAUUACAGGCGGUUGGUGUUGAAACUGAUCUCUCGAGGCAAAUUUUCAGAAGACUUUUUAUUUCAGAGCGUGCCGACGCCAGAAACUAUAGAGAGACUCCUCAAAGGUGGACCGCGGGACUAAUUAACUAAACUUACCUUUAUUCCUGCUUGACGCUGCUGGAAGUGCGUUAAAACAAAAAGGCAAUAAUUUCCAGCGAAUUGGGUAACAACCAAUAAGGAGGAAAAUUAGGGGCACUAGCCUACAAAGCCGGACCCGCGAGACUGGUAGACAAAGUGGGGAAUUAGGAAGUCUUCAAAGCGGCUAUUUUCUCGUGGGCUGCAGAGGUGAAAAGGACAAGUAGUUUGAGUCUUGCAGAGAGCUUUUGAGUUCUCUUACGUUUUGUCUUGCGGUAGCCACCCGGGGGAGGAUUGAAAAAGCCAUAUUCACGUGGGAUUAGGAGAUUAGCUUUAGUUUCUUGUAUCCCUGGGUAGACGAUCUGCUCUCUGCUUUGCUUUUGGCGACUUUCUUUAGACCUUUUUCUUUACUUUUCUCCGGCACGAACAGGGAACCAAAAAAGAAGCAAGACUUUUCGUUUGUCUCGUCGUUAUUUCAUCUUUCCCAACUUUUUGGUAAUUAAGUGGAUGGAAUCAAUCAAAUCACGCGAGAUUGAUGUGAUGAGGAGUGGCUAGGUUUCUCUGCUACCCAAAGGUCGACGCGAAGGCGCGGUCCAUAACAUCUGUGAGAUCUAAUCGAACUUUCACUAUUUCUUCCAAUCCGUUACUAUUCGUGCGUUUUCUGGAUUAACUGUUUAUGGUUAUUUUAUUAAUUGAGUAUCAACAGCCGGAUAUUUAAUUUAAUCUAAUAGCCUACUGUCACGUUAACUAAAUUGAAUCCGUAAUUAUUCGUUUAGUUGAUAAUUAGUGACAACCAUCAUAAUUGGCUUUAUGUUGGGAAAAACGUAAGAUCUAAUUUAGAUAAACCCUCUUAUAGCGUGUUUAUUGGUUAGGGUUGGAUUUUUCUAGCGUUAAUGCAACUGAAUAAUUAAAUUCCUACGGUCGUAUCUAGGGUUAUUUUCUGGUUAGAGAAACAGUCAACGGUCGUACCUUGGCUAUCGAAAAAGUAAGAAAAAACUAGCAGUCAGAGCUUGUUGAUCGCUAUAACCAACCUAGUGACGAAUGAGUGAAAUAUCUUUGCAUCGAUGAUCAUUUAAUUGGACCGUGCCUGAAAAGUUGAUCCUUUGGAUAGAAUUUUGCUAAUUGCUAUUUUCAGUGAAUUGUACUUGGCGAGUUAGCUUUUGAAUUUUGUUUAUUUUAUUUUCAUUUUCAUUCCAUUAAAUAUCCCCCAAUUUUGUUCUAUUGACUUGGAAAGAAACAACUUCUUACCCGUUACUUGUGGAAUCGACCCUACUUGCCAUUUUCAGAAACAACUUCUUAAUUUUAAUCCUUAUGAAACCCAGCUUCUCUCUCAAUUUUCAGAGGUUUCUUUUCCUUCAUCAUGUCAAAGUUGCUAUUAUAAUCACUGUAAUUAGACAGCUAAACCUGUCAUUCCAAUUAUACCCUUGGUCCGCCGUGGGAAAUACAUAAAAUGUGGUAGCGCUGCCCAAUAAGUCCCACAUUGGACCAUAUAAAAUUGUUUAAGGACUAAAUUGGUAAAAAAAAUCGUAAAUGAUGAAAUUGAUUUAAGUGAAAAAGUUCAAGGACCAAAUUGGCAAUUUUUCCUUAUUAUGAUUAUGAUUAUGAUUAUUAUUAUUAUUAUUAUUAUUAGUCUGAGAUGCCGAACAAGUUGUGGAGACUUAUUUCACCUUUACAAGGUCAUUGGAGGGCUUGACGAGGUGCGAUGUGGUAAGGAAAGGCACAAAAAACUCUUUUUUCUUUAUUAAAAAACAUACAAAUUGCACUAAUAAUGGCUGAAAAUGCAUCCAACAUGCAAUAGUGAAAAAUCGUUAGAUGCAAGAUAUAUAAAAGUUAACAAAAAUUAUCUUAGUACCUCUGAUAUAUUCCAAAUUCAGAUAAAUCAUCUGCCCCCAAUGAAUAUAUGUGCAUAUCAUCAUUGUCAAAAAAUAUUUAUGCAUAUCAUUGCCGUUAGAUUUUAUAUUGAAGUGGUUAAAGCUCCAAAUCUAGUAGAGAAGAAAUUCAACACUUGAGAAAAUAAGUUAAGAAAUUCAAGAUUUGACAUACAAAUCUGAAAAGCUCUCAAAUCUAACAAAACAAGAUAUAAAAUUAUCUGAAUAAAACUCUCACUAGAAUAUCUUAGUAGAGAAGAAAAUUCUCACUAGAUAGUCUCACUAUACUUUAUUAGACAUAAAAAAAAAAAAAAGAGAAGUCAAACAGAGGGAGGAAGGCAAUCCUCCAUGGAGGAAAUAAUAAUUGUCUUGAAGGUUGUGUAGAGAGAUGGUGGAGAAACUUCUUUUGUUUUAUCUAUUGGUUAUCUUUCUAAUUGCUAGUUAACGAACAAUAAACUCUAAAUGAAACUACUAAAUUUGCAACCGAAGACAUUUUUGGGCUUGUAUCUUAGUAUCGUAAUCGUCACCCAAUUAGAGCCGCCCAUGACGGCUUCAUUAAAUAUAUAAUUUGGGGGAACCAGGAUUUAAGGCCAAAUUUCGGCAACCUUCAAGGCACUUCAUUGUUUUCUCACAAAUUUUGUUUAUUUAUUGUAAAAGAUUAACUUUAAAGUGUCCUCAAAUUUCUUCCCUAUCUUCUCUCAAACUUUACCAGUGAAAAUUGUUUGUCUUCGGGUUCGUUUGUUUCGGGUGAAAAUGUUUUCCAGAAAAAGUAUUUUCCUAAUUUCCCGUGUUUGAUUGCACAAAAGUUACUGAAAACAUUUUACAUAAAUUUUCACUCAUCUUAUGGAAAACAACUUCCCUUCCAAACUUACUGAAGUUGUUUUCCGAAAUGCAUGCAUCCCGCCUGUAGUAUGUUCCAAACUUACUGAAACCAUCUUGUAGUAUGUUCUUUUUUUUUUUUAGUGUAAACAGGAGGACUCGAACCAAGACCUCUUCCUUACACUCCCUCCCCCGUACCAUCCAACCCAACCCAACCCUCCCCCUAGUAUAUUCAAAAUAAAAAAAAACCUCAUCCUACUCAUCCUAUUCUAGUAAUUAAUUAUGUAUAAUAGGGACAUUCUUUUCUAGAGAAACUUUCAGCAAUGAUAGUGCAAGAUAUAUGUCACAAUAAGCAUUGCAUGUGAUUGAUAUUUGACACUAAAUGGCCAGCAAUUUGUUUAUUGCUUAAGGAGAUAUUUUUUAUUCAUAUAUACAUUUCUCCAAGAUUUUUUAAAGUUAAACAAUGAGAUAAAUUUUCUUAUUUUGCAUGGGAAGAAGUAUGUAGUUAUAAUGUGUAGAAAGUAAAGAUAGAGAUAAAAGUGAAAAUAUUUCAAAAGUUAAACAAACACCAAAAAAAUGAAGUAAGAAAAUAUUUUCAAUAAACUAACCAAACACCUGAAAAUGAUGAAAGAGAAAUGAUUUUCAUGGAAAAUUACUUCCACGGAAAAUAUUUUCCCAAGAAAAAUAUUUUACUUCCAACCAAACAGACCCUUCAUCUCGUUGAUUGUCUCCCCCAGUGCAUACAAAUGUAUUAUGGGCAUUUUGGUGAAAGAAAGGCAUAAACCGAGUUCUGCACAACUAAAUUUUGCCAAUAGCAUAUGAAAAUAUGAAGAAGAAUAAUAAUAAAUGAAGGGUCUGUCUAAUAAGUAUUCAUAGGGAACCAUUGAAAUAUAUCUCAAGUGUCAUGUUUUUGGAAAUGUAAAAUUAAUAGAAAAAAUAAAUAAAUACAAGAGAGAGUAGAUAAAAUUAAAUAAGAAAAGUUAAUAAUUGUUAAUAGAUAUAUAUACAUAAUAGAUUAGAUGAACGUUAAAUAUGUUAACAAGUACCUUAUUAGCACCCGUUAAAAAAACCUAUAAAUGAAAGAUGUGAUCACCAAAUCAUUGACAAAGAAAUGUGUUGAAAAUGAAACAAGAAAGUCAAACAUGAUAAGGGAUCAAAAAUGGAAUUUAAUAAUUGCAGAUACUCCAAGAAGUUGAGUUGAAAUCAGUUAUCCGAUUUCAAAUUCACAACUUCUGCUGUCAAAGAACUACAAAGGGACUCAACUUCUGCUAAUUUAUAUUAGUUUCGAAACUCUUACAAGUACCCUAGCAUCUGAGAUUAUCACCGGGAUCAACACCCAACUGGUUACAAUAUUCAGCAUAAUACUCAACACGAGCACUAACAGUGUCCGGAUUUGCACCAUCACAUUCAAGCUGUCCGUUAACGGCACGAAUUGUAGCCCCAAAACCCUGGCCAGAAGUGAUAAGAUCAUGACAAUUGUUCAUCCAGAACCACAAGGCAGUUUUGAAUGAAAUAACAUUAUCUGUGGCCACAGUUUCAGGUUCAGUUAGUCCAUCGAACCCUAUGCUUUCACCUGCUGGUCCAUAGUUAAAGUUCCAAGAUAUUUGUAUUGGACCCCUGCCGUAAUAUCCCUUGCCUGGCACACAAGGGUACUGAGUGUUGCGCUCAUCACAAUAGUCUUUGGAAGGGCCGUCUAUCUCUUCUAUAUAGCACAUAUCUGCACAAUAUAGAGAAGUCUGUAUCAAUUAUCACUGCAUUCAAUUGCUUAUAUGAAAGCCACUCAUUGAUACAUUAUGGAUUUUAGAUAUUUUUACUAUUAAAAAAUCUAUAAUCUAAAUACAAAAUAAAUGAGAACAUAAAAAAAAUUAAUUAUUUAAAAUCAGAAUCUAUAGUCAGUUAUAAUAAUCAAUCAAGAACAACCCCAAAAAAUGUCAUCAAUAUUUAAGAAGGGACCAUAUGUGAUAAAGAAAUUAUAAAGUUAUAAGUAAUCACAGACUAAAUAAAUAACCAAUACAACAAAGUAGAAAAAAAAAAGGAAAACAAUAAUCCCUCUGCCCAGUUAUAAGAGACACACCCUCAUGAUAAAUUUCUUUUUUUUCUUUUUCAGUUAUGUCAUUUUAAGUUAUUUGACAAUAGAAAGUAUUUCAUAUUAAUGUCGUUAUCUUUGAAGAAAGUUCUUGGACAAUAGUGCACAGGACAACAUCCUACGUAGAACUGUACAAAGAUUUAGUAAAUAGGAUCUAAGACGUAGAAAAGUUGCUAAAAAUUUCAAAAAAACUAAAUCUCCUUGGUGGAGUUGUUCAAAGCUUACGUCCAGUCUCAUGAGUGACAUGAGCAAAGAAGGCGGCAAUCUCCCUUUUGGAAUCAUCAACUGAACCAACUGUUCCAAACUCAGAAUACAAAUUCUGAGCUUCAAGAAACGCCGAUCGAGUAUAGAACCCUUUUCCAGCACAGCUUGAACCAGCUUGAUCAGAAAUCCAGCUAAAGAAAGCGUCUGUCACAACAUCAGCAACUGAAACACCAUUAUUACCACCAUCUGAUGAAGCGGUGCAAGGGCCGGACUGGCAGCCUUUGCCACAAUAGUCGUCGCUGGUGCCACAAUAGCCCCACUGGCUGCAGCAUAAAUCUGGUUCACAGUCACAGUUUUGGCUUGAAAUCAGCUGGGAAAAGGACCCUACAAGAACUGCAAUGGAGAAAAUGAUGAUUCGAAAAUUCUUCAUUUCUGUACUUGAAGAAGGAGAAAAGGAUGUGGACAGAAAUUGUUUGAGUAAGAAGGAUAUUUAUAGCAUGGAGAACUGGAAAAGUGAUCAGCUUGUGUGAAGUAUGGAGAACUGCUAUUGUUGGAAAUCUUGAAGUUGAGCACUGAAUGGAAUGGAUAUAAAAUGCAAUAUUAGUGCUUGACUUUCAAUUAAUCUAUUGACUUUGGCACUGUCAAAAAGUAGCAACCUUCUUUCUUGGCAUUCGGAAUGGGAAUUGUGGAAAAGAAAAAUUUUGGCCAAUUGAUAUCAACAAUUGUGAGUACAAGUCACAAGUCACAAAUAUAAUGCGUGCAAAAAAGAUAACUUGAUGUUGUCUGUAUCAUCUGAUGUUAAUAAAGCCUAACUCUGUUGUAGUCCUAUUUCAGUCUCGUAUUUGAGUCAGAACACAGAUGAUAUUUGUACCAUUCUAGAUCCACGGGCUGCCCUACUACAAAUACUUUUCAUUUGGCUUAAAAAAAACAUUUUAAAGGGUGUAAGCUUUACAAUUAAAGCACGAUCUUUACCUUAUCAUGCAAAGUAUUGGACAUAUAAAAUUUUAUCAAACUGUUGUAGUGAAAAGAACUCAAAUGAUCAAAUUUUAUCCAGUUGAUAAAUAUAGAAUCCUAAAUAAAAUGCAUAGUCCUUUUUUUUUCCUUUAGAGUUCUUAUUGCAUACUAUAUGAAUUAAUUGGUAAAAUUUUGGUAGCGUAUAGGAAAUGAUACCAAUAUAAAAACUACAUUUACUACUCGAGGGCUUAUUAUGCUGCCCAAUUUUUUGGUUUCUACCAUGAGCUGAAAAAAAAUCUUUUCGAAGCAUAAGUUUCCCCAAAUUCUCAUAGACUUUACAAAUGAAAGUUAUUUGUUUCUUGUCGUUCAUUGACUCACCAUGCGUGUGCAGAUGAAUUAUUGAUUGGCCUUUUUGUGGCAGAAAGAUAAAACAGAAUUGAACCAAAGACCUCAUAAUUCCCUAAUUAGUCACUUCAGCCAGUUGAAUUAGAUCUUAUUCACAAGUUUUUUGUACUUCGGUAUAAUAGCGCUCCUGUUCCUUAGUCUCUUAUGCUUCGGUUUACUCCCAAUCUUAAUUGCCUUAACAUUGGUGCAUUUAGACCCUUGCAUUUGGUAAUUCAUAAUCUUAGUAUAGUUAUGAUCCUCAAAUAUCAUACCUUGAGAAACAUCACGGCUAAAAUUACCAACAGCAUAUUGAAACAUGAAAAGUAAAUGAAAGACGUGCAGAAACUUCAAUGGAGAGGCUUGUUGAGAGUGGAAACACCAAAGUCGAAAGCUCGACGAAUACGAUCAAGGGUUCAAAACUGGAACAUGCCUAUUCGUAAAUAGUCCAAGAAAUCGAAACAAGACCAACAAAAUCAAUUAUAUGAUUUCAAAACUUAACAACUUUCGCUUGUAAAGAGCAAGAAAGGUAAACACCUUUUGCUAAUUUUUAUUAAUUUCCAAUCAGUUUUAAGCCUUUAUAGCUCAACAUAUUACUCCCUUCCGAGCACUUUCGGCUCUCCAGAAGUACCCUAGCAUCUGAGAUUCGGACCAGGAUCAACACCCAGUUGGCGACAAUAUUGAGUAUAAUACCCAACACGAGCACUAACAGUGUUUGGAUUUGCACCGUCACAUUCAAGCCGACCAUUAAUGGCACGAAUUGUAGCCCCGAAACCCUGGCCGGAAAUGAUAAGAGAAUGACAAUGGUUCAUCCAAAACCACAAGGCAGUUUUGAAUGAAAUAACAUUAUUCCUGGCUACAAGUUCAGGUUGACUUAGUCCAUUGAACCCAAUGCUUUGUCCUGCUGGUCCAUAGUUGUAGUUCCAUGAUAUUUGUAGUGGACCGCGGCCGUAAUACCCCUUGCCUGG
rnacentral:lncRNA from 1 species